CUCCAUCAGCCUUGCUAGCCAAACACCUUGAGUUGCUGCCAUGGAAGCAGCAAUGUACUCUGCUACACAUGAAGACAGAGCCACUACCCUUUGCUUGGUUGACUAGUAAACCAUGCUGCUGGUGCUCUUGCGGUCUUCAACAUCUCCAGCUAUAUCGCUGUCAAUGUAUCCAAUAACCUCCAGCCUCUGUUUUCCUCUCCCUGCGCCAUACCUGACGUCCAGUUCACAGUUCCAGCCACAUGCCGCAAGAUGUGUUUCACUGCAACUAAGUGUUCUUCUCUGGGUGCCUCCAUAAAAUGACUCACAUAUACCAGAGUAAGCAAGAUCGGGCCAGGUGUUUACCAGAUAUCUGAGACUCCUGACGAUGCUGCUGUAGUUGGUUGUGUCGGCUGCCAGAUUUGUACCAGUCUUUCUGAGCCGAAGCUAAACAUCAGUUUAAUACCCAAUAUCUAAGUUCAUAUUUGGUGCCAAAGUAGGAAUCAACAAUGCUUGUUCCUGAACCCAUUUCAUAAGUGCUUUACUUUAGCUUCUCAAAACUAAACCAUGGGAAGAUUAAUAUUUGUUAGAUUAUGAUAUGGCGCCGGGGACUCUUCAGAGGUGAGUAGAGAAGGAGGCGAGCUUGAGGGUUGGAACGCAGUGGAUAUGGGGGUAGUGGGCAGCUGAUGUCGCAGCUGGCUGGAUGAGCCAGGGUGACCGAAGAGCUGUCCACUAAGGAAUAACUUCUUCGAUAGACCCCUAGUACAAACUAUCGGCUGGCUUUAUAGAUGAUGAGCCACCAAACCUUUCCUAUUACUUAACCUAGAUAUUUGGAAACAGAAAUAUCAAAUCUAAACUUCCUAACAACUCAGCCCUUGAUUGGAGGAUUUGAUUUAUUCAAUCAAAACCUUCCUACUGACCUCUUCUUCCUUUCCUGCGCUGACUCCUUCCUUUCCUAUGCAUGCUGCCCCUUUCCUGCGCCUGCUGCCAGCCUUGGGCACCUGUGAUACUGGCGGCCCACAAACUAGUCCACAACAUUUCCCUCCACACCGACAAAGAACUCGUCCGUGAGCUCGAACUCUGGAUACCUCUGCUUGAAUUCUUCGAGUGGUUCCCUGGAAGCAUCUGUCUCAGCACGACCAAACCACUGAAUCAACAAUUCCUAAACACCUCUGUUGAGCCUGGCACGUACCACCUUGGAUAGUGUUGGUAGGACACGACCAUGCAAGAUCACAGGUAAUGGUACCACUUGUGUUGGCGCCUCCCCUUCAAACUUCUUCAGCAAGGAAACAUGGAAGACAUCGUGUAUUCGAGCAUGAGGUGGUAACUGCAGCUUGUAUGAGACCAGCCCUACCCGAAGGAGGACCUGGUAUCGACCGUAGUACUUUGGCCCAAGUUUGGAGGGAGCAGCAGAAGUCAACCUGACUGCUGUGCACUGUUGUAGGCGAAGCCACACCCAAUCGCCAACAUGGAACUCCACCUGGCGACGUUUCUUGUCCUAGUAAGCUUUCAUGGUUACUUGGGCCUGAAGAAGACGCUCCCGGAUUUCCACCAAGAACGUGACGCGGUCCUGCAGCUGGUGGUACAGUGCUGCCACCUUAGUGGAGCCCGGCUAAUAGGACAGCAGGGUUGGCGGUUCCCGGCCAUAGACGACACGGAAUGGCGAGCACUUGAUGGUUGUCUGGUAUGAAGUAUUGUAGCAAUACUCUGCCCAUGGCAACCACUGCAGCUAGGACUUCGGUCGAUCUCCUGCAAGACACCUCAAAUACAUGGUUAUGACCCGAUUUACCACUUCGGAUUGACCGUCGGACUGUGGGUGGAAUGCUGAGCUCAUGUUCAGUUUGACACUAGCCAACUUGAACAACUCGGUCCAGAAAAGGCUGGUAAAGAUUGUGUCGCGGUCGCUGACGAUUGAGUAGUGGAGCCUAUGUAAGCAGAUGAUGUCAUCAAAGAAGGCCUUGGCCACGGACGCUGUCGUGUAGGGGUGCCGAAUAGCGAUGAAGUUUGCAUACCUCGAGAAUCUGUCCACCACAGUAAGGACCACUGUCUUGCCACCAGCACGUGGAAAUCCUUCCACAAAAUCUAUGGAAAUGUCGCUCCAAACCUCCAAAAGGAUGGUUAGGGGCUGCGGGAGACCGCUAGGAUGUAGAUGAUCCGUCUUGUUCUUCUGGCAAGUGGUACACCCGCGCACAUAAUCGGCGGAUCUACUGCAAUGCGCUUGGGUUGUGGAAGGAGGUGUGCCAACGGUUGACCGUCUUCUGGAUGUCGUCAUGGCUGCAGUCGUGGACGUACGCCAGUAGGUGUGGCCAAAGGGCCAAAGCAUCUAGCACAUAGACACCACCGCCGAAGGUGAGGAGGUCGUCCACCUUAGUCCAGCCUUCUGGAGCAGAGCCAUCGGUUAUCUGUCGGUGUAAUGUCGCAGCCUGCGGGUCGGUGAGACGCUCGGUGCGCAACACCUCGAAGAGCUCGAAGGAGGGCGUAGAGAUGGUGUGGAGGGAGGCCACCACCUACUCGUCAUGCGAUACAGCACAUCAGUCGUGCCAUUCAUCUUCUCUGGCUUGUACUCGACAGCAAUGUCAUAUCCGAAGAGCUUGCUCACCCAUGUGUGCUGAGGAAUGGUAGAGAGGUGUUGAUCCAAAAUAUACUUUAAACUAUAGUGAUCAGUACGAACAGUAAAAGGUCGUCCCCAAAUGUAUGGCCUCCAAUGACGAACCGCCUUGACCAAACUGAUGAGUUCACGCUCGUAGGCAGGCAACUUCUAAUGGGGAGGCACCACGGUCCUGCUGAAGAAGGCGAUCACACCGUCGCCUUGGUGCAGGACGGCGCCGAAACCGGCACCUGAGACGUCACAGUCGAUGUAAAAACGCCACUCAAAGUCCGGCAUCUGUAGCAAAGGUGCCAACAUGAGCGCCUGCUUGAGGGUCUUGAAGGCGUCGUCGGUCCAGCGGAACGCCUCCUGCUUGAGGAGAGCGGUGAGAGGCGUGGCCACUGUACCAUAUCCCGCGAUGAAUUUGCGGUAGUACCCGAUCAAUCCGAGGAAUUCGCGUAGAGCUCGAAGUGAUUUUGGCGGUGGCCAUGCCUCCACAGCCUCAAUCUUGGCGGGGUCCAUGGCCACGCCGUUCGACGAGAUGACGUGACCAAGGUACGCGACUGUGUGAGUGCCGAAGAGACACUUAGAACACUUGAGCGCCAACUUGUGUGUCCACGGUAACUGGAACGUCUGCUUAACGUGUUGGAGAUGGUCGACCCAUGAACUUGCGGAUGAGGAUGCGUCAAAGAAGACCAGCAUGAACUUGCGGAUGUACGACUUCAACACCUCGUUCAUGAGUGCGGAAGGUUGUCUUGGCGAUGUCGUCGGGGUGCAUUUGCACUUGGUAAUGGAGUUGUCGGGGCUAGUUGGUUACGCCAUCUCUUGUUGGAACUUCGAUGCCCCCUUCACAGGAGUAUUCUUGUCUAUUGUGACAACGUCAGCGCCGUCUAUUUAUCCACCAAUCCAGUUCAACAUAUCAUACGAAGCAUGUUGAAAUUGAUCUCCACUUUUCGAGAACGCGUUGCUAUUGGUGACGUUCACGCAGGGGCGAAGCUACUGUGUAGCCAGUGGGUGCAAGUGCACCCCCUAAAAUUCCAAAAAUCAAUUAUAGUGUUCAAUUUUUCACCAUAUAAGCACCACCCACAUCUCAUCCUUAUGAAUCCACAAGGGAGGUGCACCCCCUUUAUAUUUGCUCUAGCUUCGCCACUACGUUCACGAAAGGGCUUCUGACAUCAGUGUUUCUUGAGUUCAAGUCCAGUCUCAACAUUUGCAGUGGCUAGAUGUUUCGACUGGGGGUGUUAGAUUAUUACUAUAAUUUGUAGGCUGCUUUGCAUCUCCCCUCCUGCAUGAGGGCUGGUAUGGCAACUCUGUCACUCUGUCAGGUAUAGCAACUAGGAGCAGUCCUAUAUGGCAUCUAGGAUCUAUUAUUUUAGUAUAGCUAUCAAGAGCUACCUAUAUGGUAAUCACUAAUCAGGAUCCUGAUUACCAGGCUGCCGCACCUUCCCUGGUGCGCCACCCUCCUGGCCUAUAUAUUGUAAACCUUUCUACAUCUAAUGAAUCAAUCUACUUGUGAUGUGCGGGCGCACAUACGCCAGGCGCGCGCGUGAUGUGCGCAGGGGAACAGAGCGAGCAGCCAAGACACAGGAAGGGAAGGCAAGUGGCUAGAAGGAAAGUUAGCCACCUAAUUAGUUGUUUCCUGUGUUAGUUAUUUCCUUAUUAGUCAUUUCCUUGUUAGUUAUUUCCUUGUGAGUUAUUUCCUUGUGAGUUGUUACCUUGUUAGUUAUUUCCUUACUAGUUGUUUCCUUGUUAGUUAUUUCCUUAUAGCUGCUCCCUCUGUGGCUAUAUAAGCAUGUACGAGAUAUCAUUUGGAAUAAGAAAUAAGUCAGUCCUAAUCUCCCUCUCUUCUCUACAAACCGACGGCUGAGGGGUAUAACCUCGCCGGCGUGACGGACAGCGGCUACGAGUUACGUAGCCGGGGUCCGGCCAGUCGGGGAUUUGGUGUCCUUGACAACCUGGCAUCACGGUCUCGUCGAUCCUCACCCACCCGCUCCAACCACGCCCAGCAGCCGCCAACGCCACCACCUUCCCCAGCCUCCACCACAGCCAUGGCCGAGCCCACCAUUGCCGACGUCCUCGCUGAGUUGCGGGCACUCCGCACGGACGUCAACACGCUGCAGUUCGACAUGGCGGCCAUGAAGGACAAGUCCGCGUCGGCCUUGGACAACGGGGGCCACGGUCGGCGACCCGAGGGGCAGCGCAACCCCGAUCCGUACAUCCAGCACCGCAAGUGGGACUUCCCCCGCUUCGACGGCUCCGUCGAUCCGAUGUUGUUCAUCAACAAAUGUGAGUCAUACUUCCGGCAUCACCGCACCUUGGGGGAGGAACGUGUUCGGAUGGCAUCGUACCAUCUGGACGACGUCGCGCAGCUGUGGUACAGCCAGCUUGAAGAAGAUGAUGGUGCCCCGUCAUGGGGUCGAUUCAAAGACUUCCUGAAUGAGAGGUUCGGACCUCCACUCCGUUCCGCGCCGCUGUUCGAACUUUCGGAGUGCCGGCGCACCGGAUCUGUGGAGUACUCUAAUCGUUUCCAGACGCUCCUGCCCCGUGCCGGUCGGCUGGACGAAGCUCAACGAGUGCAACUCUUCACCGGAGGCCUCCUCCCGCCUCUCAGUCAUGCGGUGCGCAUCCAUAAUCCGACCACGCUCGCCGCUGCGAUGAGCCUGGCGCGGCAAGUGGAGCUCAUGGAGCUCGAGCGACCGCCGGUACGACAGGGAGCGUGCGGUCUCCUUCCGCCACCGCCGCCUCGAACCGCUCCGGCCGCGCCACCCCAGCAGCUGGCUCUUCCAAACCUGCCGGCGGGUAACGACCAGGGACGACGCGAGGGCAACCAGCGGCGCCUCUCUACGGCGGAGCAGGCGGAACGACGUCGCCUUGGCCUUUGUUUUAACUGUGAUGAAAAGUAUUCUCGUGGCCAUAACAGGUUUUGCAAGCGGAUUUUCUUCGUGGACGGGGUUGAGAUUGAUGACACCGAACCCGUCACCGACAACGGGGACAGGGACGCCCCCUGCUUCUCGCUGCAGGCGGUGGCUGGGGUGUCCAUGACGGACACCACGCAGCUCGCGGUCACACUAGGGGCCGCCCAGCUCGUAGCCCUCCUCGACUCCGGCAGCACCCACAAUUUCAUCUCCGAAGAAGCCGCUCGGCGAACGGGUCUUCCGCUCCAACAACGUCCCCGCCUAACGGCCAUGGUGGCCAAUGGUGAGAAGAUCACCUGCGCCGGCGUCAUCCGCAAAGCCCCACUAAUCAUCGCUGGUGCUGCGUUCCCGGCGGAGCUGUUCGUCAUGCCCUUGGCCGGGUACGACAUCGUCCUCGGCACCAAAUGGCUCGGCGCGUUGGGACCCAUUGUCUGGGACCUGGCCAACAGGCGCAUGUCCUUCCAGCGAGGGGACCGCACGAUCUCAUGGGCGGGCCUAUCCACGACGUCGGGUCCGACGGUGUGCGCCUUGUCCGCUGAAGAAUCGCUCUUGGAUGCUCUCCUCGGAGCGUUUGCAAGUAUCUUCGCCACUCCAACGGGACUGCCCCCCAAGCGCGCACAUGAUCACCGCAUCCUGCUAAAGCCCGAUGCACAGCCGGUCGCCGUGCGCCCCUAUCGGUACCCAGCUGCCCACAAAGAUGAGUUGGAGCGGCAGUGUGCAGCCAUGAUGGAACAAGGGAUCGUCCGACGCAGCGACUCCCCGUUUUCGUCGCUGGUCCUCCUUGUCAAGAAGGCCGAUGGAUCCUGGCGCUUCUGCAUCGACUACCGGGCCCUGAACGCCAUGACGGUCAAGGACGCCUUCCCGAUCCCGGUGGUGGAUGAGCUAUUGGAUGAGCUCAACGGCGCCAAAUUUUUCUCCAAGCUCGACCUACGGUCGGGAUACCACCAGGUCCGCAUGCGACCCGAGGACAUCCACAAGACGGCGUUCCGCACGCAUGACGGCCUAUAUGAGUUCUUGGUCAUGGCGUUCGGACUCUGCAACGCGCCGGCCACAUUCCAAGCCCUCAUGAACGACGUCCUGAGGCCGUUCCUCCGUCGCUUCGUCCUCGUAUUUUUUGACGAUAUUUUGAUCUACAGCAGGACUUGGGCAGAUCACCUCCAGCACCUGCGUGCUGUCCUGGAAGAACUGCGCCGUCACCAGCUCUUCGUCAAGCGCACCAAAUGUUCCUUCGGGGUCUCCGCCGUCGCCUACCUCGACCACGUUAUCUCUGCGGCAGGCGUCGCCAUGGAUCCCGUCAAGGUGCAAGCCAUCCAUGAUUGGCCGACGCCACGAUCCGCCCGUGCCGUCCGUGGUUUCCUCGGUCUCGCGGGGUACUACCGCAAGUUCGUACAUAACUAUGGCACGGUGGCCGCGCCCCUGACGGCGUUGCUCAAGAAGGACGGUUUCACUUGGGAUGAUGCAGCGGCCACGACGUUCUCCGCGCUCAAAGCGGCGGUCACUUCGGCACCAGUCCUCGCCAUGCCCGACUUCGCCAAGCUGUUCGUCGUCGAAUGCGACGCGUCAACCAUCGGCUUUGGGGCGGUCCUAGUCCAGGAGGGACAUCCGGUGGCAUACUUCAGCCGGCCAGUAGCGCCGCGCCACCGCGCGCUGGCCGCCUACGAGCGAGAGCUCAUUGGCAUGGUCCAGGCGGUUCGGCAUUGGAGGCCAUACCUAUGGGGGCGCCGCUUCCUCGUCAAGACGGACCACUACAGCUUGAAAUACCUCCUCGACCAACGCCUCGCCACGAUUCCGCAGCACCACUGGGUCGGCAAGCUCUUGGGCUUCGAUUUCACAGUGGAGUACCGCUCCGGGGCCACGAAUACUGUCGCCGACGCCCUGUCCCGCCGCGACAACGAGGAAGGAGAGUUGUUGGCCAUCUCAGCGCCCCGGUUCGACUUCAUCGAGCGCCUCCGCCAUGCCCAGGCUACCGACCCGGCGCUGGUAGUCGUCCACGAUGAGCUCCGGGCGGGGACCCGCACGGCGCCGUGGACCAUCACCGACGGCAUGGUCGCCCUGGAGGGGCGCCUCUACAUCCCGCCAGCAUCGCCACUACUUCAGGAAAUCCUGGCCGCGGUCCACGACGACGGCCAUGAAGGCGUUCAUCGCACGCUGCACCGCCUGCGGCGUGAUUUUCAUUUCCCCAACAUGCGCCGUGUGGUGCAGGACUUUGUGAAGGCAUGCGCCACAUGUCAAAGGUACAAGACUGACCACCUGAGGCCGACCGGGCUGCUCCAGCCACUGCCCAUUCCAUCCAGCGUGUGGGCCGACAUCGGCAUCGAUUUCAUUGAAGCACUGCCCCGGGUGCAGGGCAAGACCGUAAUCCUCUCCGUCGUCGACCGCUUCAGCAAGUACUGCCACUUCAUCCUGUUAGCACACCCCUACACCGCCGAGUCCGUCGCCCAAGCGUUCUUCAGCGACAUCGUCCGCCUUCAUGGUGUGCCGCAAUCCAUCGUCUCGGACCGCGACCCGGUGUUCACGUCGACAUUCUGGACCGAGCUCAUGCGGCUCACUGGCACCAAGCUCUUCAUGUCGUCGGCUUUUCACCCGCAAACGGAUGGACAGACGGAGGCCGCCAACAGGGUAAUCGUCAUGUACUUCCGUUGUUUCACAGGCGAUCGUCCUCGGCAGUGGCUACGCUGGCUUCCGUGGGCCGAAUACACCUACAACACGGCUUUCCAAUCGUCGCUCUGGGAGACGCCGUUCCGCGUGGUCUAUGGUCGCGACCCGCCCUCCAUCCGCUCUUAUGAGCCUGGCGAGACGCGUGUGGCAGCUAUUGCACAGGAGAUGGAGGACCGCACGACUUUUCUCGCCGACGUCCGCUACCGCCUCGAACAGGCCCAGGCGGUCCAAAAGCGUGUCUAUGAUCAGCACCAUCGUCCGGUGGAGUACCAAGUUGGGGACUGGGCACUACUACGACUCCGACAACGCCCGGCAGCAUCACUUCCACGGACCUCCACCGGCAAGCUCAAGCCACGGUUCGUUGGACCGUAUCGCGUCCAAGAGAUCAUCAACGCCGUGGCUGUCCGGCUCGAGCUUCCGCCAGGGGCCCGCCUCCAUGAUGUGUUCCAUGUUGGAGUGCUCAAGAAGUUCGUCGGCACACCACCGGCAUCACCCCCGGCAUUACCCCCCACGCACAACGGCGCUGUGGUGCCCGUGCCAGCAGUGGUCACAGCCGGGCGCCUGGCUCGUGGGAUUCGCCAGCUAUUGGUCCAGUGGCAAGGUGAGCCAGCUGCGUCAGCAAGCUGGGAGGACUACGACGACUUUCGCGCUCGCUUCCCUGAUUUCCAGCUCGAGGACGAGCUGGUCUUCGACGGCGGGAGAGAUGUGAUGUGCGGGCGCACAUACGCCAGGCGCGCGCGUGAUGUGCGCAGGGGAACAGAGCGAGCAGCCAAGACACAGGAAGGGAAGGCAAGUGGCUAGAAGGAAAGUUAGCCACCUAAUUAGUUGUUUCCUGUGUUAGUUAUUUCCUUAUUAGUCGUUUCCUUGUUAGUUAUUUCCUUGUGAGUUAUUUCCUUGUGAGUUGUUACCUUGUUAGUUAUUUCCUUACUAGUUGUUUCCUUGUUAGUUAUUUCCUUAUAGCUGCUCCCUCUGUGGCUAUAUAAGCAUGUACGAGAUAUCAUUUGGAAUAAGAAAUAAGUCAGUCCUAAUCUCCCUCUCUUCUCUACAAACCGACGGCUGAGGGGUAUAACCUCGCCAGCGUGACGGACAGCGGCUACAAGUUACGUAGCCGGGGUCCGGCCAGUCGGGGAUUUGGUGUCCUUGACACUACUCAACCCAUGGUUACUUGUCUAAUAAUAUUCACUCUUCAUACCUGCAGGUUCACAUGUCAUCCUCAUUGCAGGUAAUGUUGCCACUGAAAAUUCUACCAUUCUGAUUCUUUUUCUUUUGCUACAAUACAAUACACUUUUACAUUGUCAUUUUCCAACAAUAACACUAAUAUUUUUCAAACAAGAAAUUUGGUCAUGGGACAUAGUUGUUUGUCCUAAUGCAGCUAGCUCAUUUGUUUUCCUUUGAUUCAGCUACAACAUCAGUAGCCACAUUCGUUGUUCUGGUAGUCACUGCACUCUAUCUUUCACUGAAGAAAAGAUAUAAUGAAGCAAUACAUCUCAAAGUAGAAAUGUUUCUCAAAACAUAUGGCACAUCAAAACCCACAAGGUACACUUUCUCCGAAGUUAAGAAGAUAGCAAGGCGGUUCAAGGAAAAAGUAGGCCAAGGUGGAUUCGGAACUGUUUACAAAGGGCAGCUACCAAAUGGUGUUCCAGUGGCGGUCAAAAUGCUAGAGAACUCUACAGGAGAGGGAGAAGACUUCAUCAAUGAAGUAGCAACCAUUGGACAAAUACAUCAUGCAAAUAUCGUCCGCCUCCUAGGUUUUUGCUCUGAAGGAACAAGACGUGCGCUUAUUUAUGAAUUCAUGCCUAACGAGUCAUUGGGGAGAUAUAUAUUCUUGCCGCAAGAGCUCCUAGUACCAGAAAAAAUGCUAGAUAUCGCUACAGGCAUUGCUAGAGGAAUGGAGUACCUACAUCAAGGAUGUAACCAGCGCAUCCUCCACUUUGACAUCAAGCCUCACAACAUUCUGCUGGACUACAGCUUCAAUCCAAAAAUUUCAGAUUUUGGUCUUGCUAAGCUGUGUGCCAGGGACCAAAACAUUGUUACCUUGACCGCAGCAAGAGGCACAAUGGGGUACAUCGCACCAGAAAUAUAUUCUCCAAAUUUCGGUGGGGUAUCAUACAAGUCAGAUGUUUACAGUUUUGGCAUGCUGGUGUUAGAGAUGGUGAGUGGAAGGAGGAAUUCAGACCCAGGUAUCGAGAACCAAAAUGGGGUGUAUCUACCAGAGUGGGUCUAUGAGAGAGUAGUCACUGGGCAGGACCUCACACUUAGUAAGAAAAUAGCUGAUCAGGAGAAAGAAACAGUGAGGCAGCUGGCCAUUGUUGCACUCUGGUGCAUUCAGUGGAACCCCAAAAACAGGCCAUCAAUGACAAAAGUGGUUAACAUGUUGACUGGAAGGUUACAGAAUUUACCAAUACCACCUAAGCCAUAUGCCUAGCCUGAAAGACAUCCUAUGCCAUAAAACAUGGAGGAUAUACACCAUGUUUUAGGAAGCAUGAAAAGCAGUUAUGCUUACUUUCAUUUGCGAGCUUAGUAAUGCUUAGCAAUAGAUUACACAGUAUUUGGAUCAUUCCACUGUAUCAGACACAUGAACUGUGACUCUUUUAAUUUUCGAUGUGUGGUAACUUAAUUAGAGACGUAUCACAUUGGAUUUGAUUUCCAGUGUUGUUCAAUUAUUGUGAUUUUCCAGAAAAUAUACCUGUUCGGUUGGCUUUAAUCCGUACCGGUUUCUACUGUUUUUUUUUCUCGAAAGCGCAGGAGAACUGUGCCCCAUUAUAUAUUAAGCAGAAAAAGGGAUGGCCAAAAAAGACCAAUACAAACGGCCUCCUUACGGAGGCCAGUAGGAAGCAUACAUAAAUGAAUCCAUCAGACCUUCUUAAUUCUCAGCUAAGGGUGCUGCUAAAUGGCAAAGCCCCUUGGCACCAGCAAUCUCCCAUUGUGCCCUUUCCUCAUCCGCGGCUCUAAGACUCAUGGUAACACUAGGGUUGCAGUCAUCAAAGACGUUUAUCGUCAACCUCAGGCUGCAGCUGCCAAACUGAAGUCAUAUUCCACAACUGGAGAUAAUCUGUUAAGACUCCCACUGUCAGCGGACCCUUAAUAUCAUAGAUCCAUUUUCUAUCUGUAAUUGCCUCAUAAACAGUCAUGUUAUUGACAAUCCUCUUGGGUAUAACAUUAUACAAACUUGGAGCAAGGUCUUUAAUUCUCUUACCAUUUAACCACUUAUCCUUCCAAAACUUUGUAUUUCUACUGUUUCUACAGUGUUUUUGUCUUUAUGGAUUGCAGCUGCAGCAGUCCAAACAGUCGGCUUUAAUCCAAAGCGAACAAAUAGUAGAACAAAUAUGUUCUACCAUUUUAUCUCAUUUUUUUUGUGUUUGUGUGUGUGUGGAACAAGGUGUUCUACUUUUCCUAUUUGUGGUGCAUAAGAGUUAUUAUAAAUUCAUCAUGCUGGGUAAUUGAUAAACAACUAAACCUCAGCAAUGUGUUCUAUAUGUCCUUCCGAUGGGCCAUAAUUGGUCAAGAUGCAAAGACACUAUAACCUAAAUUGUGCCAGGGACGAAGCCAGCCAAGUAAGUCGCCAGGUCAUCCACUUUGCUAGCUAGAGUUUGCACUGCAGUAAUACAGUGCGUACAGUGAUUUUCAACUUCAAACCAUCAGGGUCAGACCUAGAUCUGCACUUGAACUACGCAUAGUUUCUUAUUCCCCACACAGCCACACCCCAAGUAACAAUGUCACCCCGCAUAUACCCCAGGUUUGUGAGCGCAACUGUCCUAAAAUCUAGCAACGUGGUAUGCAAAAGCAAGGUGUUAUUACCUCUGUCAGUAACGAGUAGGAAGCGCAUCCGGAAAGCGGUAGCGACCCUUACCGGAGCGGAGGACGGCGGCGAGAAGAGGAAUACCCGUUCCAGCAUUCGGAGGCGGUGCGCACAUCGGCACAUGAGGGAAUUCGUGAGACUUCCUUCCUGGCAUUGGGAUUGGCGACUUCCUUCGUUGUGGCUACGAGGUACUAGUGAAAUCCGUAGCCGUGUAGCCGUAGCGCAGUUUAGCGGGCGACGCACACAAAAAAAAAGUGCGACGAACAGUGGCGUUGUGUCGGCUGUAACAGGUGGCCGUCAGCGCGAGGAGAUGUGAUUUAAUGGCCCAUGGGCCUGAUUUAGCUCAUGUAGAAAAGCAUUCGGAGUUCGAAUGGGGAAUAUUUUGUUAAAAACCGAACGUAUUUCGAAGGGCCUCUGUUUUUUAUUAGUCAGUUGAUCGUACAUUAAUUACAUAAUAGUCAGUUACCCGUGUGUUGCGACGGCUCACAACAAUACCUACAUAAAUUAUUUACCAAAAAAUAUCAAGAUUUUUUAUUGAUUGUCUCCGCUCUUCGCAUAAUAUUUUUUAUGAACGUACGGGUACCAAAGGCAGCAAAUCAGAGACCUCACAUCCCUUAUCUCCCCCACUUUCAAGGUUUCGUACAACAUGAGAGGAAGGGAAGAGGCGGACAUACUUGUUCGUUGCCGGAGAAGGACAUGAUGAAGACCUGGGCAUCUGGAGGCGACAUAGGUAGUAUACCGCUAGAUAUAUAGGGAAAGAGCACGCAAACGGAUAAAAAAGCCUAGCCGGAGCAGCUCCAAACUGAGAGGCACCCGCACCAGACGUUAAUCCGAGAAGGGCGAGAGAAUGCAAGUGUCUUCCCAGCCCUAGAUCCACCGAUGCGACACAACACCACCACCAACUCCGUAGCAUAUAUCGACUGCUGCCACGCUACGGGCCUUGGUUGUCCAAUAUCUCAAACCUGGACUCCUCAUCGCCAAGAUAACCAAAGUGUGGCAGGCGCCACCAUGUCCUCCUCGACGGCACACAUGGAGAAAGGCCAGGAGCAUAACCGACUCGUCCCAUACCCGCGUCGACGAGCGUCCGUCGGCUCACGACUGCGACCGUGGGUGGGGGCAGUAGGUUGGGGAGGAAGAACAGGGCGAUGGCCGGGAAGACGAAUGUAACACCCGGUUUUAAAGGACAAAGCCGGGUGCAUCUCAUACAUGCGCCAAAGAAGACAACAUAUAUAAUAACAGAGUGUAUAGAGAUAAAUGUCACAAAACAUCAGAGUAUUUAUUACAUAGCGGAAGACUUAUUACAAAAUAAAGAAUAAAUGUAAAACGAACUAAGGAUCGUUGGCGCCAAUGUCAACUGAGAAACGCCACCUAGAUCAAGUCGAAUGCCUCAGUGUUAGGCGGCUCCUCUUCGACCACCUGUUCUUCUCCUGUGGGGGGAGUGUGAGACAGCAAGAGUGAGCUCACAUGCGUUCAUAGCUCAAUAAGUCGUGGGGAAUAAUGUGUCAUGAACUCACCAAAGGUGGGAGUUCAUGAAGUGUAAGGCUGAUCAAUGAAAUAAAGGUUGAAGCUGAGCAUUGCUUUUAUAAGUUGGUCAAAAUUUUAUUAGCAAUUACUAAGUGUAAGUAAAUACCAAACCUUAAUAAUAAUAAAGAAAAGUAAUAGUGAAAUAAUCCCAAAUGCGAUGCAAAUGUCAAAUUAAAUUUAAGUUCCAUAAUUAAUCAUGUGAGGGUCCGAGCCGCUCAUGACCGUGAGCACGACUAGUAUACUAGUUUUACACUCUGCAGAGGUUGCGCAUCUUUACCCACAAGUCAUGUUACCCAUCUGCCAAGAGACGGCCAAUCCCAUACACCUCUACCGAGGAGGCGAGGCAGGGUAACACUACGAGGCCUUUACAAAGUUCCACUAGCUUCAGAAAUCUCGCUACAGUUUAUAGGAAGCUCCAGUGCAGGAAUCCCUCGCCUGACGGCCAUCGCAGCAAAAUCAACCCAAGGACCUCCCUACACUGACCACUCCCCUACUGCCCUUGCCCCUUUCGGGUAAGGAAGACCUCCACUAGCUUUCCUAGUUAAUCAGCCAAGGGCGUCCCAUUAAACCCUUGUGGUAGCACUGUUUUCCCGGGUGGUCGCUCCAUGUUCUCAUUAAUUUAAUGAUCUUAACAUGAAUAGUAAUAAUAACAAUAUAAUAAAAGAGUAAUCAUGAAUGUUGUAUCUCCAUACCCAAUCCACAUAAAGCAAUAGCAAGUACUACCCAAAAAUGUUUCAGUGGUGAACAAGGUAUAAAGAUAACCAAACUGGGGUAACAUAAAUGAUCCCAUCAAAAUUAACCUAUGCAGAUCAUUAUAAUUAACAAGAACAUGGCUGGGAAAAAGUAAGUGAUCAAGGGCACAACUUGCCUUCAAUGAGCUCCUGCUCAGCUAUCUCUACCUGCUGAACCUCAGAUUCCACAGUGGCUUGCUCGUCUAUUCGCAUCAACACAAUACAUACAUAGUAUAGCCAAAAUCAACAUCACACUAAACAUGUAAAUAAAAUAUACAGUAAAAAUCUACACAUUAAAAUGAGAUCAUAGGAACUGGAAUCACUAAAUUUGGAGUUAUAGAUUUCUAGUUAUGAAUUUCCUAAGAUUUAAUGUGGUUGAAAUAGGAUUAAAUGAUAAAUUAAUUUUCUAACUUCUUUCAUGUCAAAACAGAGACACUAAAUGAUAGAGAAUAUUAUUACAAAAUUUUAGAAAUUGGAAUGGUUCAAUUUGGAGCUAAAAUGAAUUUUCUAUGCAAUAAACAAGUUUUAGGGAUUCUUUUUAUAUUAAAAAUCAAUUUAUGUAUUUAUUUACCUAUUUUAUAUGUUCUCUGGACUGGGCCACAUUUCUUGGAAAGCUCAGGGGCCCUGGCGUAAGUUUACCGAGACUCAGGGAAUAGGGUCCAUGGACUGCGGGUUCUAUUCUCUAAAACUGUAAGGGUUCUUUAAUAAAAAAAUGUGUCGUGAAGGGGUAUCCUUAGAUGUGGGUCGUUGGAUUAGAUCCGAACGGCGCAGAUGAAUCUUUCAUCAUACCGAACCCGCAUGCUACGCUAGCCGUUGGAUCCGAAUUCAGCGCGCAAGAUUAAAUCUGUACUAAAGCGAACCGGUAUUCAAUCACGGUAGUUGGAUCUGGGAUCAACGGUUCCGAUUUUAUGAGACGAGAUUCGCUCUGAGCCGCCCGAUCAAACUACCAAUGGCUCGGAUCAAACCGACCCGAGAGGAUGCCAGGUUCCGAUCGACCGCCCAUUCCCCAUCUCACGGUGCGCGCGUUGUCCCCAUCCUCGACCACGGCUGCGCGGAACCGCGGCGGCGCAACUCGCCGGAGUUCGGGCAACCGGGUAAAACAAGACUAACUCCCCCCCCCUAAUACAAGUCGUACGCGAAGAAGAGGGAGUAGCGAACACGAUGGUCAAGCGCUUAACGGCGAUUAUGGCACGCAGUUUCCUACCCACGGGAGGGUGCGGAUCACACCGGCGGUAAAGACUCCGAUGACCAAUUCGCAGCGAUUGAGAGCGCCUCCCCGGUUCGCCCGGUUAAGACACGAUGUGAGGAUCCCCGCUAGGCUUCGUGACUACACCCUGGCCAGCAAUUUCAAGGGAAUAUGGAUAGGUGGCGCGGCGGCGGUAAGGAACACGAAGGUGGCGCUGUUCUGGGAGAGCUGAGCUCGCGCAAGGAUAGUAGGGGGAGAGACGGGUCACGGGAAGCGCUGCGCGAGGGUUCUUAUGGGCGGGUAGUUGCGCGUGGGGACGAUCCUGGAUCUUGGCCCGCCAUGCACGGAGCUCGUUGACGGGGUGGGCGGACGGAGUCCGCGCGCGGAGGGAAGAGCAUCUGACAUCACGGCCCCGCAAGUCAGCGGAGACGAGAGAAGCGGGCGCGAGGGACAGAGAUCGCCAAGUGGGUCCGGACGGUCAGUGGCGUGCGCGCGGAAGCAUCUGCGUGGGUGUGGGUCGCGCGUGAGUGUGUUAGGUUCGGUGGGCUGAAUAGAUGGUGAGAAGCCCAUUUAGCUGAGUUUGUUUUUAUUCUUUUUAUUUUCUAUUCCUUUUCCUUUCUCUCUAUUUUCAAACCCAAAUUUGAAUUCAAACUUGAGCUCAUCACUAUAAUUUAUGUUUGUGGAAUUAGGGGUAUUAAUUCUGGAUAUAUUUAUUUAUAUAUAUAUUAUUUAUAUUUUUCAUAUCAUUUUUCUUCUUCUUAUUUUCAAAACCCUAAUUUUAAUUUAGGGUUUAGUCCAACCUUAGAAUUGUUAUCUUAUUAUUAUUAUUCUUCCUAUUUUUAUUUAAUGCACAAACAUAUAACUCCAGCAUGAUGCAUAUUUUUUCAUCAUUGUUUUAAUUCAUUUCUAAAUUUUUAGGUAUGCUCUUCUUAUGAUGCAAAGGAGGCACAUAAAAUUGAGGAAAUCACUAUAUAUUCCUUGUAUACAAUUUUGAGUAUUACAAAUCCUACCCCCCUUAAAAAUAAUAUCGUCCUCGAGAUUUAGGAAGAUCUAGGGAAAAGGUGGGGAAAAUCUAUGUGAAGCUCUUCUUCUCUUUCCCAAGUUGCUUCAUCUUCGCCAUGGUGAUUCCAUUGAACUUUGCACAUCUUUAUAACCUUAUUCCUCGUAACCCGAGUCAAUGUAUCAAGAAUCUUGACGGGGUACUCAGCAUAAGUCAGAUCCUCUUGAACACUAAGGUCCUCCAUUGGUAAUUGUUCCUCAGGUACCCUGAGACAUUUCUUCAGCUGAGAUACGUGGAAUACAUGGUGAACGUCCGCAAGAUGAUCCGGUAACUCCAAUUGGUAUGCAACUUCUCCCACUCGCUUUAAGAUUAAAAAGGGUCCAAUAAAGCGAGGGGACAACUUUCCUUUGACUUUAAAUCUUCUCAUACCCCAAAUUGGUGACACCUUCAAAUAGACAUAAUCUCCCUCUUUAAACUCAAGCAAUCUUCUCCGGGUAUCAGCAUAGCUUUUCUAUCUUGACUGCGCAGUUCUCAAAUUCUCCCUUAUUUGCUGAACUUGUUCCUCUGCUUCCUGUAUAAUCUCAGGACCAAACAACUGUCUUUCACCAGUUUGAUCCCAAUACAGUGGAGUCCUGCACUUUCUGCCAUACAAAGCUUCAAACUGUGACAUCUUCAAACUGGCCUGAUAGCUAUUAUUAUAGGAGAACUCUGCAUAAGGUAGACUCUUGUCCCAACUUCCACCAUGUUUAAGGGCACAAGCUCUUAACAUAUCUUCUAGCACUUGGUUAGUCCUCUCAGUCUGCCCAUCAGUCUGGGGGUGGUAAACCGAACUAAAAUUCAAUCUCGUAUCCAAUGACUCGUGUAACUUCUUCCAGUACCGAGAGGUAAACUGUGAUCCCCGGUCUGACAAAAUCUUCUUUGGCACACCAUGUAGGCAUACAAUCCGUGCCAUGUACAACUCUGCCAGCUUGGCUCCUGAAUACGUGGUCUUUACUGGAAUAAAGUGGGCUACUUUAGUUAGCCUAUCCACAAUCACCCAUAUAGAAUCAUAUCCAGCAGACGUGCGGGGUAAUCCAACAAUGAAGUCCAUGCCAAUCUCUUCCCAUUUCCACUCAGGUAUCUUCAGUGGAUGCAGUAGUCCGGCUGGCCUCUGGUGUUCAGCCUUAACUCUUUGGCAUACAUCGCACAUAGCCACAUGUGCAGCCACAUCUCUCUUCAAUUCGUACCACCAAUAUUUUUGCUUCAAAUCCUGAUACAUCUUAGUACUCUCAGGAUGGAUAGAUAAAACUGAGUCAUGUGCCUCCUUCAAUAUAGUUUCCCGAAGACUAUCAAUAUCGGGAACACAGAUCCGAUUCUUGAACCAUAUCGUGCCUUGUUCAUCCUCUGUGAACUCCGGGCCUCUACCCUCUGUUAUCAGAUCCUUGAUCUCCUGAAUCUUAGCAUCACCAAUCUGACCUUUACGAAUUUCUUGUUCCAAGGUAGGUUCCAAUUCAAUGGUGACUCCUUCCGUAUGUGUAACAAUUCCCAGGUUGAGCCUCUCAAAAUCUUUUGCUAAUUCAUCAGGUAGCUGGACAACGAAAGCGGAGUGAACAUGCUCCUUCCGACUCAAGGCAUCUGCAACCAAAUUUGCCUUGCCUGGGUGAUAGUGAAUCUCCAAAUCAUAAUCCUUAAUGAGCUCCAACCAACGGCGUUGCCUAAGGUUGAGAUCCUUCUGAGUGAAUAUGUACUUCAAGCUCUUAUGAUCCGUGUAUACUUGGCACUUAGUUCCCAUGAUGUAGUGUCUCCAAAUCUUAAGUGCAUGCACAACGGCAGCCAGCUCCAAGUCAUGUGUGGGGUAGUUCAAUUCAUGUUUCCGCAACUGACGAGAUGCAUAGGCGAUCACAUGACCUUCUUGCAUAAGCACACAUCCCAAUCCUUGGCCACAUGCAUCACAGUAAAUGUCAAAUCCCUUCUGCAGAUCUGGCAUAAUCAAUACUGGUGGUGACAUCAAUCUCUCCUUCAAUUGAUCAAAACUCUCUUGGCAUUUCCCAUCCCACUUGAAUUCUUUUCCUUUCUCCAAAAGCGAUGUCAUAGGCUUGGCAAUCUUAGAGAACCCUUCAAUAAAUCUCCGAUAAUAUCCUGCGAGUCCCAAGAAACUCCGAAUCUCCGUAACUGUAGUGGGCACUCUCCACUCCAUUAUCUCCUUCACUUUAGCAGGAUCCACUGCUAUUCCUCCAUUAGAAAUAAUAUGACCAAGGAAUGGCACCUUGUCAAUCCAAAACUCGCACUUGCUGAACUUAGCGUAGAGUUGAUUAUCUCGCAGCUUUUGUAGCACCAACCUUAGAUGUUGUUCAUGAUCACUUUCAUUCUUAGAAUAGAUAAGUAUAUCGUCGAUGAACACCACGACGAAUUUGUCCAAAUACUCCAUAAACACCUUAUUCAUCAAUUUCAUGAAAUAAGCUGGUGCAUUGGUCAAUCCAAAUGACAUGACAGUGAACUCAUAUAAUCCAUAUCGGGUUGAGAAAGUCGUCUUAGGAAUAUCUGAGGGUCUAAUUUUCAUCUGAUGGUAUCCCGAUCGGAGAUCAAUCUUCGAGAAUACCCUGGCUCCUCUCAUCUGAUCAAACAAAUCCUCAAUACAGGGUAAUGGAUACUUGUUCUUCACCGUGACCUCAUUAAGUUAUCUAUAGUCCACGCACAUCCAUUGCGAUCCAUCCUUCUUCUGCACAAAUAACACCGGUGCUCCCCAAGGUGAGGAACUCGGACGAAUGUACCCCGCUUCUUGUAACUCAGUUAACUGCUUCUUAAGCUCCUUCAGUUCUUCUACAGCCAUCCUGUAUGGUCGCUUAGAAAUAGGGGCAGUUUCAGGUAAAAGAUCAAUCACAAACUCAACUUCCCUAUCUGGUGGCAUCCCUGGUAACUCCUCUGGAAAUACAUCCGGAAAAUCUCUAACCACCCGGAUGUUGUCACCAACAAACUCCUCGGGUAUAAAGAACAUUGCACACAUGGAUGAGGUGGUUACUGCAAUAUUAACUUGAAAUGUUUCUCCUUUAGGACUAGUGAGCUCUAUAGUACCUCUACAACAUGCUAUAAUGGCCUUUGCCUUCCUUAACCAUGACAUACCAAGAAUCAGAUCUAUACUGCUGGCAUCUAAUAUUAUAGCAGUAGCUCCAAAUUCUCUUCCCAUAAUUGAUAAUGUCAAUCUACGUGUCAUUUGAUCCGCCUCAAUAGGCCCUUUAGGGGUGAUUACUAUCAUUGGUUUUCUCAUAUUUAGCAGGGGUAUCUCAUUAGUGUUGGCAUAUCGAGUAGACAUGAAUGAAUGUGUAGCACCAGAAUCAAAUAAUACUGUUGCAGGAAGGGCAUUAAUGUAAAACAUACCGAGUACGAUGUCAGCACCAUCAGGAGUAUCAUCAACGCUGACUUGAUUCACCCUGGCUAUAGAAUAUCCCUUGCCAGGAGUCUGCUGCUUGUUCUUAGCUGGUGUACCAGAAUUUCCCAUAGGACAAGCAUUAGCAUAGUGCCCAAUCUGACUGCACUUGAAGCAUGUAGGGCCAGUCUUCUGUCAUGUAGGCCUUGUCGGGGUGCCAGUGGGAGUAGCCUGACGAGUAGGAGGUGUCCGUGGAGACCCCUGUGGAGCAUACUGAACUGGGCAUGGUCCUCCUGGUCUAGUCGGUGUACCCUAUGGUGAAACGUAGCGGGGAUGAACACUGCUGCUACCAUGUCCUUAUGAGAUAGCCUUCCUCUUCAAAUCACCCAGUUGAACACGCUUGUGUUCAAUAGCAAGAGCCUUAUCCAGUAGCCUCUGAAAUGACGGAAAUGUGUGUGCAACCAGUGCAUACUGUAGGGGUCCAUUAAGUCCUUCAAUGAAGUGCUCCUGCUUCCUCUCAUCCUCAGCAACUUCCUCCGGAGCAUAUCUCGACAGCUGAAUAAAUUUGUCUCUGUACUCGCUGACUGACAUGUUGCCUUGCUUUAAUGACAGAAACUCCUUCUUCUUAAUCUUUAUCAUACCAGCUGGAAUAUGGUAGUUCCUGAACUGUGUAUCGAACUCUGCCCAAGUAAUAGCAUCAGCAGCAUCGUGGGCAGCAGUAUAAGAAUCCCACCAGUCAGCAGCAGGACCUGUCAGACGACCUGAGGCAUAAAGAACUUUCUCCCGGUCUGAGCAUUGGGCGAUGUUGAGCAUCUUCUCAAUUGACUUCAACCAAUCAUCUACAUCAAGUGGAUCUGGCGAACUGGCGAAGGUCGGUGGCUUAUGACUCAUAAACUCCCGGUGCUUAUCACGAGGUGGAACUGGUGGUGGUGGUGGAGGCAAUGGCACUUGUUGCUGUUGUUGAAGUUAUCGUUGCAGCUGCUGUUGUUGCGCCCUUCUCUCAUGGAGUAUCUCCUCUCUCUCCUGGCGCAACUCCUGGCGUAUAUCUUCUCUUUCCUGACGCAUCUCCUGGCGUUCUUGCUGCAUCUGGGCAUGCAUAUCAGCCAUAGUGUCCGCCAUUUGCUGCAUCACCGCCAUCUGAGCUGCAAUAAGUGGAUCAACUCCGCCUGGUGGAGGAUUAGGAUGAUUCAUCCCUGCUGGUUGUGGCUGAGGUUGUCUAUAUAUCCUUCGAGUGUGUCGAUUAGGAGGCAAAUCAAUUCCACCACCCCUCCUGGUAUUGACCAUCUGAGUUAGAUACAUAUGGUAAGAAAGAGUAGUAGACAAGGCAGUAAUUACGAAUCAUGUUACUUUGGGGGAUUUAUUAGCUAAGCAGAUUAAUGUUUUACCUAUCAUAGCUAAUUUAUUACCUUAUGCUGGCACAUACUAAGAUGUCCAUAUAUAAUAUCUCAAUCAAUCAAAGAAGCAAAUCAGGCAUUGAUCAUCAGAACAAUCAACCAACAUUUUUAAUAGAGAAAAUAGUUUUUUUGGUCUUAGGUCUCCUAUCUCUUAAAAAUGUCAUAGGGGUAGGGAUUCCAAGGUGUGAAAUCCAUCUUGUCUCAGAGUAGAAAAGGUAAGAAUGAUCAGAGUAGAACAGUAGAAGGUGAGACAGGAUCAAGGUAAGUGUAGAAAAAAUCAGAGUAAGAUAAGUAGGUAAGGGUUUUGUCCAUUUCUAUCUAGGUCUCGUCCUACAGUCAACAUUUCCUCUGAUACCACUUCUGUAACACCCGGUUUUAAAGGACAAAGCCGGGUGCAUCUCAUACAUGCGCCAAAGAAGACAACAUAUAUAAUAACAGAGUGUAUAGAGAUAAAUGUCAUAAAACAUCAGAGUAUUUAUUACAUAGCGGAAGACUUAUUACAAAAUAAAGAAUAAAUGUAAAACAAACUAAGGAUUGUUGGCGCCAAUGUCAACUGAGAAACGCCACCUAGAUCAAGUCGAAUGCCUCAGUGUUAGGCAGCUCCUCUUCGACCACCUGUUCUUCUCCUGUGGGGGGUGUGAGACAGCAAGAGUGAGCUCACAUACGUUCAUAGCUCAACAAGUCGUGGGGAAUAAUGUGGCAUGAACUCACCAAAGGUGGAAGUUCAUGAAGUGUAAGGCUGAUCAAUGAAAUAAAGGCUGAAGCUGAGCAUUGCUUUUAUAAGUUGGUCAAAAUUUUAUUAGCAAUUACUAAGUGUAAGUAAAUACGAAACCUUAAUAAUAAUAAAGAAAAGUAAUAGUAAAAUAAUCCCAAAUGCGAUGCAAAUGUCAAAUUAAAUUUAAGUUCCAUAAUUAAUCAUGUGAGUGUCCGAGCCGCUCAUGACCGUGAGCACGGCUAGUAUACUAGUUUUACACACUGCAGAGGUUGCGCAUCUUUACCCACAAGUCAUGUUACCCAUCUGCCAAGAGACGGCCAAUCCCAUACACCUCUACCGAGGAGGCGAGGCAGGGUAACACUACGAGGCCUUUACAAAGUUCCACUAGCUUCAGAAAUCCCGCUACAGUUUAUAGGAAGCUCCAGUGCAGGAAUCCCUCGCCUGACCGCCAUCGCAGCAAAAUCAACCCAAAGACCUCCCUACACUGACCACUCCCCUACUGCCCUUGCCCCUUUCGGGUAAGGAAGACCUCCACUAGCUUUCCUAGUUAAUCAACCAAGGGCGUCCCAUUAAACCCUUGUGGUAGCACUGUUUUCCCGGGUGGUCGCUCCAUGUUCCCAUUAAUUUAAUGAUCUUAACAUGAAUAGUAAUAAUAACAAGAUAAUAAAAGAGUAAUCAUGAAUGUUGUAUCUCCAUACCCAAUCCACAUAAAGCAAUAGCAAGUACUACCCAAAAAUGUUUCAGUGGUGAACAAGGUAUAAAGAUAACCAAAACUGGGGUAACAUAAAGGAUCCCAUCAAAAUUAACCUAUGCAGAUCAUUAUAAUUAACAAGAACAUGGCUGGGAAAAAGUAAGUGAUCAAGGGCACAACUUGCCUUCAAUGAGCUCCUGCUCAGCUAUCUCUACCUGCUGAACCUCAGAUUCCACAGUGGCUUGCUCAUCUAUUCGCAUCAACACAAUACAUACAUAGUAUAGCCAAAAUCAACAUCACACUAAACAUGUAAAUAAAAUAUACAGUAAAAAUCUACACAUUAAAAUGAGAUCAUAGGAACUGGAAUCACUAAAUUUGGAGUUAUAGAUUUCAAGUUAUGAAUUUCCUAAGAUUUAAUGUGGUUGAAAUAGGAUUAAAUGAUAAAUUAAUUUUCUAACUUCUUUCAUGUCAAAACAGAGACACUAAAUGAUAGAGAAUAUUAUUACAAAAUUUUAGAAAUUGGAAUGGUUCAAUUUGGAGCUAAAAUGAAUUUUCUAUGCAAUAAACAAGUUUUAGGGAUUCUUUGUAUAUUAAAAAUCAAUUUCUGUAUUUAUUUACCUAUUUUAUAUAUUCUCUGGACUGGGCCACAUUUCCUGGAAAGCUCAGGGGCCCUGGCGUAAGUUUAUCGAGACUCAGGGAAUAGGGUCCAUGGACUGCGGGUUCUAUUCUCUAAAACUGUAAGGGUUCUUUAAUAAAAAUGUGUCGCGAAGGGGUAUCCUUAGAUGUGGGCCGUUGGAUUAGAUCCGAACGGCGCAGAUGAAUCUUUCAUCAUACCAAACCCGCAUGCUACGCUAGCCGUUGGAUCCGAAUUCAGCGCGCAAGAUUAAAUCUGUACUAAAGCGAACCAGUAUUCAAUCACGCUGGUUGGAUCUGGGAUCAACGGUUCUGAUUUUAUGAGACGAGAUUCGCUCUGAGCCGCCCGAUCAAACUACCAAUGGCUCGGAUCAAACCGACCCGAGAGGAUGCCAGGUUCCGAUCGACCGCCCAUUCCCCAUCUCACGGUGCGCGCGUUGUCCCCAUCCUCGACCACGGCUGCGCGGAACCGCGGCGGCGCAACUCGCCGGAGUUCGGGCAACCGGGUAAAACAAGACUAACUCCCCCCUAAUACAAGUCGUACGCGAAGAAGAGGGAGUAGCGAACACGAUGGUCAAGCGCUUACAGGCGAUUAUGGCGCGCAGUUUGCUACCCACGGGAGGGUGCGGAUCACACCGGCGGUAAAGACUCCGAUGACCAAUUCGCAGCGAUUGAGAGCGCCUCCCCGGUUCGCCCGGUUAAGACACGAUGUGAGGAUCCCCGCUAGGCUUCGUGACUACACCCUGGCCAGCAAUUUCAAGGGAAUAUGGAUAGGUGGCGCGGCGGCGGCAAGGAACACGAAGGUGGCGCUGUUCUGGGAGAGUUGAGCUCACGCAAGGAUAGUAGGGGGAGAGACGGGUCACGGGAAGCGCUGCGCGAGGGUUCUUAUGGGUGGGUAGUUGCGCGUGGGGACGAUCCUGGAUCUUGGCCCGCCAUGCACGGAGCUCGUUGACGGGGUGGGCGGACGGAGUCCGCGCGCGGAGGGAAGAGCAUCUGACAUCACGGCCCCGCAAGUCAGCGGAGACGACAGGAGCGGGCGCGAGGGACACAGAUCGCCAAGUGGGUCCGGCCGGUCAGUGGCGUGCGUGCGGAAGCAUCUGCGUGGGUGUGGGCCACGCGUGAGUGUGUUAGGUUAGGUGGGCUGAAUAGAUGGUGAGAGGCCCAUUUAGCUGAGUUUGUUUUUAUUCUUUUUAUUUUCUAUUCCUUUUCCUUUCUCUCUAUUUUCAAACCCAAAUUUGAAUUCAAACUUGAGCUCAUCACUAUAAUUUAUGUUUGUGGAAUUAGGGGUAUUAAUUCUGGAUAUAUUUAUUUAUAUAUAUUAUUUAUAUUUUUCAUAUCAUUUUUCUUCUUCUUAUUUUCAAAACCCUAAUUUUAAUUUAGGGUUUAGUCCAACCUUAGAAUUGUUAUCUUAUUAUUAUUAUUCUUCCUAUUUUUAUUUAAUGCACAAACAUAUAACUCCAGCAUGAUGCAUAUUUUUUCAUCAUUGUUUUAAUUCAUUUCUAAAUUUUUAGGUAUGCUCUUCUUAUGAUGCAAAGGAGGCACAUAAAAUUGAGGAAAUCACUAUAUAUAUUCCUUGUAUACAAUUUUGAGUAUUACAACGAACGUGGCGUCCGAUGAUGGCGAAAACGAUGGUGCGCGCAUAAUGUGAAACGUCCUUGUGGACGUGCAAUAGCCACUACGCGAGUCAGUGUUGGGGAUGCUGUCGGGCGAAUACGGGGAGGAGGCGCAUGCUCCUACGCCCUCUGCCAAGAAUGGGGUGGCGCGGAGGUGGAGGCAUGAGGGGAGAGAGAAAAGAAGUAUAAUGACGAAUGAGGUGGUGGCAACUGAGGCGAAGACCAUCAUUAUCGUGUGGAGGUAUAGAUGGUCAAAUGGGUUGUGUCUGGCGAGCCGGCCCGAGGCACGACCCAUUUAAUAGUGACUGGGCCAACCCGGCACGAGCGUCGUGCGGUGCUUGGGUCGUAGCCUCGGCCCAUAGUGCUAGUUCGACCCGACACAAUUAUUUUUUUUUAUUUUACAAAAAAAAUCAUACAUAUAUAUUCAAUAUUAUAAACACCUGAGUAUGAUGUUCUACUGGUUAGACAGCUUCGCCCAAUGUCUCCCACCCUUCUUCCAUUAGGGUGUGGGUUCAAACCCCACCUUCUGCAUCGCUUUUUAACAUUUUACGCUGAGUUGAUUUGGAAGAAAUGUAGGGACUUUUUUGUAAAAAAAUGACGCAAGACGACCGUUGAAACUAGUGCUUUAAGUAUAGUAGAGACUAGUCGGUUACCUGUGCAUUGCGAUGGCUCACAACAAUACCUAUGUAAAUUAUCCACCAAAAAGAUCUCAAGAUUUUUUAUUGGUUGUCUCCACUUUUGCAUAAUAUUUUUUAUUAAUGCACGUGUACCAUAGACAGCAAAUCAGAGAACUCCAUCCCUCGCCUCCCCACUUCCAAGGUUUUGUAGAGCGGGAGGGGAAGGGAAGAGGCGGGCAUACCUGUUCGUUGCCGGAGAAGGACACAACGAAGACCGGGGCAUCUGGAGGCGACAUAGGUAGUAUACCGCUAGAUAUAUAGGGAGAGAGCACACAAGCGAAGAAAGAAGCCUAGCUAGAGCAGCUCCAAACCAAGAGGCACCCGCACCAGCGCGUCACUCCGAGAAGGGCGAGAAAAUGCGAGUGUCUUCCCAGCCCUGGACCUGCCGAAGCGACACAACACCACCACCAACUCCGUAGCAUAUGUCGACUGCUGCCACUCUACGGGCCUUAGUUGUCCAAUAUCUCAGACCUGGACUUCUCAUCGCUAAGAUAACCUAAGAGUGGCAGGCGCCACCAUAUCCUCCUCGACGGCACACACGGAGAAAGGUUAGGAGCAUGACCGACUCGCCCUGUUCCCGCAUCGACGAGCGUCGGUCGACUUGCAGCUGUGACCGUGGGCGGGUGCAACAGGUUAGGUGCAAGAACAGGGCGAAGGCAGGGAAGACGAACGGGACGUCCGACGACGGCAAAGACGAUGGUGCGCGCAUGAUGUGAAAUGUCCUCGUGGACGUGUAAUAGCCACCGCACGAGUCAGUGUUGGGGCUGGUGUGAACGAAUACGGGGAGGAAGCGCCUGCUCCUAUGCCCUCUGCUGAGAAUGGGGUGGCGUAGAGGUGGAGGCAUGAGGGGAGAGAGAAAAGAAGUAGAAUGGCGAACGAGGUGGUGACAACUGAGGCGAGGACCAUCAUUAUCGUGCGGAGGUAUAGAUGUCCAAAUGGGUCGUAUCUGGCGAGCCAGCCCGAGGCACGACCCAUUUAAUAGUGCAUGUGCCAACCCGGCACAAGUGUCGUGUGGUGCUUGGGUCGUAGCCUUGGCCCGUAGUGCUGGCUCGGUCCGGCACGAUUAUUUUUUUAUUUUACAAAAAAAUCAUAUAUACAUAUGUACAAUUUAUAUUCAAUAUUAUAAACACAUGAGUAUGAUGUUUUACUGGUUAGAUAGCUUCACCUAGUGUCUUCCACCCUUCUUACAUUACGGUGUGGAUUCAAACCCCACCUCCUGCACCGCUUUUUAUAACAUACCCCACCUGUUGUACCGCUUUUUAAUAUUUUACGCUGAGUUGAUUUGAAAGAAAUGUAGGGACUUUUUUGUAAAAAGAUGACACAUGAGGCUAUGGUUGCAGGAUCCAAAUUUGAUCCCUAGUCCUCUUGCCCUUCUUUUUUGUUAUUUCGACAAACAGGAGGCGCAAUGCACUCGGGCUGCCCGCGGCUAGGCCUACAAGGUGGACACGUGCAGACAGCGUAAUGAGUGGACACAUGCAUGAUGAUUUAGACGUUUUAAUAUUAAUAACCGUGUGUUACAACGACACACAAGUAUAUUUGAUACUUAUAUGAGAUAUUGAACUGAUCUAAAGAUUCAUUAAUCUAGAUUUACGAUUUUUUAAAUAUCUAAUAACUUUCUUCAUUGGUUAACUUUUUUAGAUGAUACAGUCCCAACAGAACUUUAAACUUGCUUGUCAUGUAAUAAAAAACUCAACCUAGUGGAAUGAUUACGUUUACGAACGUAUGUUUAGAAAAUUAAUACGCCACCCACUAUAAUAAUGAUAUCAACAAGACAACAAUAAAAUUAAAUUUAUAGACAUUGAUUCGAGCUCUAGGCAUUUCCGUUUGACGAGGAAUUAGCCGGCCCAAAGCACGACUGCGUGACGUGACUUGCACGCUAGGAUUUUUGCCAAGAACUCGGUAAAUUUCCGUGGUAAUUAACACCACAUAUGUAAUCUCGAUCUGUUAUCCUUGGACAGGCUGAAACGACUUCCUAUGGACUCGCACAUCCUUUUGCAGCACCCUACCAGCUGUUGGUGUUGCCUUGAACGCACCUAAUCACCCCAUGUACGAUGAAGGCACAAUCGCACAAGAAUGAAAAAACAAUCCGCAACGCCCAUGCCUGGCGUCAAAACAAUCUAGGGAAGCCUAAAAAUCAGCUAGAACAAAUUCCCAGAGAGCCUCUGCAAGAAUCCCCACCUGAGCUUGGCAAAGAAUUACAGGGCAGCUUACUCCAGCUGGUUGAUCUUUUGUCGCCCGAUAGUAGUCUAGGGAGGUUUAGGUGGAAUUCACCAGCACCACGACUUCGAGAGCGGACCAUUCCUCUUCCUCCUUUGUCGAUAUGCAAUCGCCAGGCUACAAGCACCGAGCAGACUGAGCAGACUUGCAGCUUCUAGGCUUCUUAGAGAUUGUCGGUUCGUCGACCGUGAGAGCACCUAGAGGGGGGUGAAUAGGUGAUCCUAUAAAAAUCAACACUAAAUGGCACAAACUUGUUUUAUGAAAUGUUAGUGGAAUCAAAACCAAGGUGCUAUGUCUAGGGAGAAAGAGAUGACUUCUUGACUUAAUUGCUCUUCACAAGGUGAGUAUUAAACUUAGAGUAAUUAUGAAGUGAGUAGAAGCUGAUAGAUAAUCGCACACGAAUAACAACAGAUGACACAACGAUUUUAUCCAGUGGUUCGGCCAAGUAGAACACUUGCCUACUUCACGUUGUGGCGUCCCAAUGGACAAGAGUUGCACUCAACCCCUUUCAAGCGAUCCAAUGAUCCACUUGAAUACCACAGUUUUCUUUCUUAGCAGAUGUUUCCCUUUGUGAGGAAUCUCCACAAGUUGGAGCCUCUCACCCUUACAAAGUUGAUCACAAUGAAAACCACAAGAGUAAAGGAGGGAAAGAAACACACGCAAAAGCUAGAGUCGCAGCAACGACACGUACACAAGUCAAUAAACGAGCACACAAACACAGCGCAACGAGUUCACAGCUCAACAAGUGCUCAAAUCUCAAUCACAAUGAUCCGGAUGCGUGCUUGCAGAGUCUAGGCAUCUUAGGAUGUUCAAUGGAGGCUUGGUAUUCUAUUCCACGUGCCUAGGGGACCCUUUUAUAGCCCUAAGGCAGCUAGGAGCCGUUCGAGCUCCAUUUGGUAGGCAAUUCUUGCUUUCUGUCCGUGGGCGCACCGGACUGUCUGUUGCAGACCGGACAGUGAACAGUGCGAGCACAGGACGAGGCAGAGAAUCGCCUGAUUGGUUGAUUUCCUUUUCUGUGGGGCACCGGACGGUCCGGUGCGCCAUAUGACCUUUGUCUCUUGGUCGACGUGGCAGGUAGCCGUUGCACGGCUGGUACACUGGACUGUCCGGCACCUCGUGCGGACUGUCCGGUGAAUUAUAGCCGACAUAGCCAGGAAAACCUGAGAGCAGAGAGUCCGGUGCUACGCAGUCCAACACCUUUUCUACAUUCCUUCCAUUGUCUUCCUUUGAUUCUUUUGGACUUCACUUAGCUGAGUCCUUGACACUUAGACAAGUAUGUUUAGCACAUAAAACAAUUGACUAAGCAUCUAGAACUUACCUUCACACUUGAUUCAUCUAGAUAUUCCUUUGCUCAACAUUAUGUUAGUUCACACAUAGUGUGUUGUGCAUCUAAUCACCAAAACAAUAUAGAAAUAGCCCAAGGGCACAUUUCCCUUUCAAUCUCCCCCUUUUUGGUGAUUUACGCCAACACAUUAAAACACAACUCGUUUCGAACUAACAUAUCUAGAAGAGCUCAAAAAAUGCAAAUUGAAGACCAAUAAGAGUUUCAAGGAACUUGGCAUGUUUGGAUCACUUUUGCCACCACUUGGUUUAUUUUCACAAAACAAAUUCUUUUUCCUAUCUCAAAGUCCAACCCGCUUGAUUUGGCAAAUCGAGAGAUCUUUCAAGAGUAAAUUUGAUCAAAUGCCAAAGACUCCCCUUUUCCCAUAAUCGAAAUUCUCCCCCAUAAGAGAACAAUUUUUGCAAUGAGAGGGUUUUGAUCAAACACAAAGAUUCUAACUUUACAAUUUUUAAAAUUCACAAGUGGUUGGCUGAUCCAUUUUCUUUGGCCUUAAUUUUCCCCCUUUGGCAUUAAGCACCAAAACAUGUGAACUUUUGGCCCUUUAAGCCUAUUGCUUCACCAAAAAAUGUCAAAUAAGAGCAAAAGGCAGUGAGAACUUAGGACAAGAUACAUUGAUAUCGGAAUGCAGUGUGUAGGAAACGGGUGACGCCUAAGAGGGGGGUGAAUUAGGACUUCUAAAACUUUUACUAAACUAGGCCACAAUUAAAUCCCUAGAGCAAAACCUAUGCAAAUAAUCAAAACUAGAAUGUGCAAACUAGGUUUUGUCUAAGUGUUGCUAUCUCUACCGCAAAGGCUAAGUUUCAAUCUACACUAGAUAAGUAUGAAUACAAGAUUGAAACUUAAAUGCUUAAUGUAAAUGCGGAAACUUAAAGAGCAAAGUAGAGAAGCAAACUCUCGUGGAUGACGCCGGUAUUUUUACCGAGGUAUCCGGAACCACGCAAGGUCCCGACUAAUCCUCGUUGGUGCCCCUACGCAAAGGGAAGCCCACACGAGGGCCAAGCACCACGGUCGAGUAACUCCGUAGAGAGCCGCAGGCCUUCUCCACGCUCAAGUGGUGCUCCGCUUCCGGCUCCUCUCGGACGCUCCCCGCUGUCUCCACUAUCGAGCUUCCGGCUGAAAUGCCGCGGGCCUCGUUCCCUCCGGUACACGGUGGCGGCCGUGACACAAACGCGGUUGUCACGGUCUCGCAAGACUCUCGCCCCACUCGGUACAAUUACAACGACUCACACAAGAGCCGAGGGGUUGUGUGGUUUUACAAAACUCAUUCAACUAACUAGGGAUCACCUAGAGCAAGCGCUAAAGCGUUCUAACUAACCUAAGCACUUCGCAAAGCACCUACGCUAAUCACUGAGUGAUUCUAUUAAGCACUUGGGUGUUUGAGCUCUUGGAAAUAUGCACUAUGUGUCUUGGUAUGUUGCUUGGGCUCCCACACUUGAGAAUGGCUGGUUGGGGUGGUAUUUAUAGCCUCCACACCCCAAACUAGCCGUUGGACAGAAAGCAGCAGCUUUCUGUCGUCGGGUGCACCGGACAGUCCGGUGCACCACCGGACAUCCACUGUGCAGUGUCCGGUGCACGCCACGUCAGCCGACCGUUGGCGCCUGUAGCAGUCGAUCGUUGGAUCCGACCGUUGCCGUCUGCCCAGUGCACACCGGACAGUCCGGUGCACACCGGACAGUCCAGUGCUACAGCCAGAGAGUGCCUGUCUGUGGCCUCUCUGCGCAGACUGUCCGGUGCCACACCGGACAGUCCGGUGCACACCGGACAUCACUGUCCGGUGCGCCACCAGGCGCUGGCUGACAGCCCGCUUCUUGGGUUUCUUCGCUGAUUUCUUCGGGCUUCUUUUGUUCUUGAGUAUUGGACUCCUAUGCAUCUUUUUAUGUCUUCUUUUGAGGUGUUGCAUCCUCAUAGCCUUGGUCCAAUUCUCUUCGCAUCCUGUGAACUAUAAUUAUAAACACUAGCAAACAUAUUAGUCCACAGGUUGUGUUAAUCAUCAAACACCAAAACUCAAUUAGCCAAAAGGCCUAGGGUCCAUUUUCCUUACAAUCUCCCCCUUUUUGGUGCUUGAUGACAACACAACCAAAGCAAGCAAAUAAUACAAGUAUUUGAAUUAAAAUAUGCAAUCUACUUGCUAAGAUGCAUGAUUAUCCCCACAAUGUGAAAUUAUGGACUUAAGCCUCCCCCUAACUCCAUAAUUCACUUACUUCCUAUUUUUGGACCAAAUAACCAAAACCACUUGAAAAACCAUUUGUAGAUAUAAAAUUUUAAAUUGGUGGUGUUUGGUGUUUGAUAUAGUUUUCAUUGCUUUGUCCCUAAACUUCUCCCCCUUUGGCAUCAACACCGAAAAGGAAGACAUUAAAAGCAUGUAGGAAGUAAAUAAAAGCUUGCCCUCAACAAGAAUUGUAACAAGUGAUAUCACUAGAAGGAUAUUAAAUUAAACCAUAUGAAUGAUACCAGUUGAAAGGAACUCCCCCUAAAUGAGUGUUCUCUUUAGAAAGGAGUUUAUCCCCCUUUUUAGAGAUGAAGAAAUACUCCCCCUGACAGAGAUCCUCUACUUAGGAAAAAGCACGUGAAAUUUAGAGGUGCAAGACAUGAUUUGAAAAGACUAACUUCCCUUAUGCAUAGGUAACAGAAUAUGAGUUAACUACUUAUGCAUUUUUAGCAACAUGGAAGCAUAUGAUAUGAAAUAUAGUCUAAUCAAAUUUUGGAGAAGACAUGUAAAUGAUACUAGAUAUAGUCUCAAAAGAUACCAAUUGAAAGUCAAUGGCGAGCUUGAGAGACAUGAGAAUUCUUGGAGAUUUUGUAGUGGAAGAUUGUUGUCUUUCUCCGGGGACUUCAUUUUCCUUACAAUGAGACUAUCACAUGAAAUAGACUUGAAAAGGUGUUAGUCUCAAAGUGUUAGAUUGUAGAGUAACCUCCCCCUAAAGGUGUGCAUACAAGUUUUGAAUACUUGUAGGAGACAUGCACUUUGAUUUGAUAUCAAGAGGGGCAAAUUAUCUAUAAUCCUAACUUUGGCACAUAUAAGUUAAAUGAUACAACUUGUAGAAAUCAAAAUUUUCAAUUGAUGCAUCAUUUACUAUGGAGUGAUAUAGAAGCUAUGUGCCGUGCUUAAAUAAACAUUUUAAGCCAUGUAGGUUUGCUUAAGUAUAUGAAUUAAAAGCAAGCAAUCCUACCAUAUGAUUUACCUAGUAUGCAUGAUUUUAAACAAAAGUACAUAACAAAUGUAAUACUAGGCAAGAAAGGUAAACUAGAUAAAAGGUAAAUAGAUACACAUAUCUAAAAGCAAAAAAUACAAUAAAACUAGUUACCUUAGUCAUGGGUCGGUAAUUUGGGUCCAAAAUUUUCGCUAACCCACUUGGCAAUAAACUUGAUCCAAUAUGAUGUAUCCCAUGAUAUACAUCCCGAAUUUGCCAAGUCUCCAAAUUUCCCGGUGACCUUUGGUCCACUCACUUCCCUUUCGGGAUCCAAACCUUCUUGGUGCUUUUCAUGGUUGAAAUUAUUUCCUUUGGCACCCAGAUGCGUUUGGCCCCCUUUCCUUUGUUGGUUUGCUUGUUGGCCUUGAUUGCUAUCACCUUUCCAUUCUUUUUCUUCUUGAUUAAAUAUGGUGUAGCAGCCUUUUUGUCUACCUUUUUGAUGUAGGUGUUGGAGAUUUUGCUUGAGCUUUUGCCUUUGUUUAUCCCCGGUCACCGCCUUGCAUUGGAAAGACUUGUGGCCUUCCUUGUGACAUAGCCUACAAAUCACAGUUUCUCCCUCCAUAGGCUUGUUCACUCCCGCAGUGGUGUUAUCCUGUGGAGGUUGGAUUUGUUUGGCUUUGCCUUUCUUGUCAUACAAAGCCUUGCCAAGGCGAGCCACUUCUUGCUUUAAUUGUUCAUUUUCCUUUGCAACCUCAUCCGAGCAUGUCUCUACAACAAUAUUCUCAACAACGACUUGGUUGCAGGGGUUAGAAUCAUCAAUUAAAUCAAAGCAGGAAGUAGAAGCAUCUUUCUUAAUUAUUUUAGGUAUUUCAAUUAAAGAUGCUGCUGGGGUGCUACCAAUGUUUUCUAGCUUAGCAGUUAGCUCAUUAUUGUGUAUGCUAAGAAUUUCCAUUUUCUCUAGCAAAUUUUCAAUAGCUUCUUGGGAGCUAGCUAACUUAGCCUUAAGUUUUUCAUUCUUUUUAAUAAGGCUAUCAUCGGUAGCAGUGGAUGGAGCACUAGAUUCUAAUAGCUCAAUUUUAGUUGACAACUCACUAUUUAAGUUUGCAAAAGUUUCAAAUUUUUCUAGCAAACCUUUGUAAUCAUUUUGAGAGCUAACCAACUUCUUUUUCGAAGUUUUAAGUUGAGCUUUUUGCUUGGUGCAAACAUCCUGGAAAAAUUCUACGGCUUCCGCAAGUUCAUCUAGAGAGGGCUUUCCCUCACUUUCAUCAUCACUACUACUUUCAUCAUUAGAGGAUGGAAUGCUUUUGUUACCUCUUGCCAUAAGGCAUUUGUGUGAUGACCAUGAUGAGCGUGAUGAGGACCGGUGGCUGCGCGUCCUUGGAGGUUCAUCUUCACUUGAAGAAUCAUCCCAAGUUCUAACACUUGUUAACGCCUUGCCUUUGUUCCUCUCCUUUUUGGGUUUGGCCAUAUUUGGACAGUUGUCCCUGAAGUGGCCCUUCUCCCCACAUGCGAAGCAUCCUCUCUUCCUUUGCUUUUUCCUGUCAAUGUUAAAGAGAAGAUCCUCGACCUGCAGGGGCACACCCAUUAGAUUAAUCUUGCGGAUCAUCCCCAUUACCUUUCCGAUGCGUCGGAUUGUUUCUUCGUCCUCGGAGGAUGAUGUGCAUGGUUGAUUAUCUUCAUCAUCAUCACUUUCUUUUUCUUCCUCUUCUUCACUUGAGGAACUUGGAGUGGGAGCCUUCUUUUUGCCCUUCCUUUCAUCACAUGCAAAAGCAUAUGAUCUUGAGGAAGUUGGCUCCUCUCCCCGACUCAUUUUUCGUGACAUCUCAAAGGCCGCGAUUUUCCCAAUCACAAUGGUCGGGGUCAUGUUGCUCAAGUCCUCCAUAUUGUGAAGGAUGGUGAUGAUGCUCCCAUAUCUUUGUUGUGGUAGCAGGGAGAUAAUCUUCCUCACAAUGUCCACGUCACCUAGCUUAUUAAUGCCAAUAGAGUUGAGCUCAUUGAUAAUUAGAUUCAAACGAGAAUACAUGUCUCUAACAAGCUCAUCAUCUUUCAUAGCAAAAGAAUUAUACUCAUUUAAGACUAGGCAAUGUUUUUGCUCACGGACAUUGGAUGUGCCAUCAUGGAGAUCAUGCAAUUUUAGCCAAAUCUCAUUAGCAGUUUUUGUCGGCGUUUCGAAACCCGGGGGUCCCUGGACCGACGAGUAAAUUGUCGCCGCGUGCCCCAGCCCAGAUGGGUUGGCGCGAGACGGUGCGUGAAGUGGGGAGGAAGCUGGAGGGAGACGGGCGUGAGAGGUGAAAUCCCGCGGCCUUCGUGUUUGUCCCGCGCCCAGGUCGGGUGCGCUUGCAGUAGGGGGUUACAAGCGUCCACGCGGGAGGGAGCGAGCGGCCUCACGCGAGCGCCGUCCCGUCCUUCCCCGCGCGGCCAACCCUCUAUAAGAGGGCCCUGGUCCUUUCUUUUAUAAGCGUAAGGAGAGGAUCCAGGUGUACAAUGGGGGGUGUAGCAGUGUGCUAACGUGUCUAGCGGAGGAGAGCUAGCGCCCUAAGUACAUGCCAUCGUGGCAGCCGGAGAGGUUUUGGCACCCGGUUCGUGUGGUGUCGUGGCCGUCGGAGGAGUGCCGGAGCCUGGCGGAAGGACAGCUGUCGGGGCUGUCGAGUCCUUGCUGACGUCCUCUUGCUUCCGUAAGGGGGUGGAGAGCCGCUGUCGUCAUAGAGCGUGCAGGGCGCCAUCAUUACUCGUAUAGCGGAGCGAGCCAGAUGGGACGCCGGUCUUGUCCCCCGCAGCCUGAGUUAGCUUGGGGCAGGGUAAUGAUGGCGCCUCCUGUUGACGUGGUCGGUCCGAGCCCUGGGUUGGGCGAGGUGGAGGCUCCACCGAGGUCGAGGUUGAGUCUAUCUUCCAAGGCCGAGGUCGAGUCCGAGCCCCUGGGUCGGGCGAGGCGGAGACCGUCGGCUGAGGCCAGGGCUGAGUCCGAGCCCUGGGGUCGGGCGAAGCGGAGUUCGUCGUCCUUCGGGGCUGAGCCCGAGUCCGAGCCCUAGGGUCGGGCGAGGCAGAGUUCGUCGUCUUCCGGGGCUGAGCCCAAGUCUGAGCCCUGGGGUCGGGCGGAGCGGAGUUCGUCGUCUUCCGGGGCCGAGCCCGAGUUUGAGCCCUGGGGUCGGGCGGAGCGGAGUUCGCCGUCUUCCGGGGCUGAGCCCAAGUCCGAGCCCUGGGUUCGGGCGGAGCGGAGUUCGCUGUCUUCCGGGGCUGAGCCCGAGUCCGAGCCCUAGGUUCGGGCGGAGCGGAGUUCGCCGUCUUUCGGGGCUGAGCCCGAGUCCGAGCCCUGGGGUCGGGCGGAGCGGAGUUCGCCGUCUUCCGGGGCUGAGCCUGAGUCCGAGCCCUGGGGUCGGGCAAAGCGGAGUUUCCUAUGGCGCCUGAGGCCGGACUUGGCUGCUGUCAGCCUCACUCUGUCGAGUGGCACAGCAGUCGGAGCGGCGCAGGCGGCGCUGUCCUCUUGUCAGACCGGUCAGUGGAGCGGCGAAGUGACUACGGUCACUUCGGCUCUGUCGACUGGGGGGCGUGCGUCAGGAUAAAGGUGUCAGGCCACCUUUGCAUUAAAUGCCCCUGCGAUUUGGUCGGUUGGCAUGGCGAUUUGGCCAAGGUUGCUUCUUGGUGAAGACUGAGCCUCGGGCGAGCCGAAGGUGUGUCCGCUGCUGGAGGGGGUCCUCGGGCGAGACGUAAAUCCUCCAGGGUCGGCUGCCUCUGCCCGAGGCUGGGCUCGGGCGAGGCGUGAUCGCGUCCCUCGAAUGGACCGAUCCUUGACUUAGUCGCACCCAUCAGGCCUUUGCAGCUUUGUGCUGAUGGGGUUACCAGCUGAGAUUUAGGAGUCUUGAGAGUACCCCUAAUUAUGGUCCCCGACAGUUUUCAAGGUAAAUACUUGAUUAAAAAUAUCCAUGCUAAGAGAUUCAUACAAGCAAUUUUUGGCUCUAGCAUUUAAAUGAAUUUCUUUUUCCUCACUCGUGGUGGGUUUCUCGGGAUUCUUGAGGGGUUUCAUCCCGUCACGAGUGACUCUCCAAACACCUAGAUCAACGGCUGUAACGCCCUAAAUUUGGGGGUAGAAUUUUUUCUUCUUUUCCCUCACCAAAUUCAGGCGUUACCCUUUCCAUUUCCCUUUUCUCCUCGCAAAACCUUGAUCUUUUCCAAAGUUAUAGCGGGAUUCGGCUUGGGAUCCUGUGUAAAGCAAAACCCUAAAAUACUUUAUUUUGUGUGAUGCACCAUGCCGAACCAUGCAUACUUUUUGAUUGUUUAAAAAUGUGAAUGCAUUCAUUUAAAGAAAAAUAGAUUUUAGAAAAAGGAAAACCUUUUUCUUCUCCUCUUCCCCCUCCUUCCCCAUUUUGGCCCAGCCGUCCCCCUCCCCCUCGCGCCCGGCCCAGCCACGCCCCCCUCCUCUUUCCCUCCCCCGCCAUGGGCCGCCCCGGCCGGCCCAGCCGCCCCCCCCGCGCGCACCGCCCGGCCCCGCCUCGGCGUCCCAAAGCGGCCCAGCCGCCCCCUCCCCUUCCUCCCAAAUUCUCUCUCUCCCCUCCCCUGCGGGCCCCGCCCGUCAUCCCCUCCCCUGCCCUAACCGCGCCCCCUCCCCUGCGCGCUGCCGCCGCCUCCCUCCCCUGCGCGCCGCCGCCCCCCCCCCCCGCGCGGUAGGUCCCCCCCUCCCUCUCCUCUCCCCCUCCCUCCCUCUCCCCGGCCAUGGCGCCCCGUCCCCGACCUCGGCCGCCCCCGCGCCGGCCCCGCCGCGCCCGCCCCGGCUCGGCCGCCGCCGCCCCGUCCCCGACCCCGGCCGCCCCCGCCCCGGCUCGGCCGCCCCUGCGCCGCCCCCGCGCCGCCCCGGCGAGCCCCGCCCCGUACCGCCCUCGCGCCGCCCCCCGGCGAGCCACCCCCGCCCCCGCCCGGCGAGCCGCCCCCACCCCGCGCCCGGCCCCGCCUCGGCUCCGGCCAUGGCGCCGCCGCCCCGGCCCCGGUCGCCCUCGCCCCGUGCGCACCGCCCGGCCCCGCCUCGGCCCCGGCCGCGCUGCCCCAUGCCCGACCCCCACGCCCGGCCGUGCCGCCCCGGCCCCGGCCGCCCUCGUCUCGGCCCCGGCUGCGCCGCCCCGGCCGUGCCCCCGCGCCGCCCGUGCUUCGCCCCGCCCGUGCGCCGUGCUCGCCCGCCCACCCCGGCGUGCCUUGCUCGCGUCGUGAUGGCCCCGACGCGACCUCGAGCUCGGCCCAGUGUGCCUAUGGCGCGCGGCCCCGACGUGCGCACGGCUAGUUCGCGGCGCGUGCGUGCGGCCUCGAGCGCGUGCUCGCGCAGUGCGCAGUGCCUUGGCACGGCUCGCCGUGCCCUCGUCUACCCCUAGACGUCCCCGUCUACCCCCCCCCCUAUAUUUUAUGCGUGCUAAUCACAGUGUUCAUGUUAAUGAAAUAGGAAACUCAAUUUAGAAAUUGGUUACGUUAGUUAAUUUAUAUAGCUAAUCGUCUAUCUCAUUUAACGUUAAUCUACUAAAAGUGGUCACGUUUCCAUUAGCGCAUGUAGCUAAUCCUUAUUAUUGAAGCUAAGUAGAAUUAGAGCACGUAACGUUUAGUUAUUCGUCUACCCGUAGUGCGCCUCGAGCAUAAGCUUUAACCCCUGCGAGACCUUCCCCCGUGUCUUUCUAACCAUGGUAAAUGCAAUAUCGCAUGUCAUAUUCUAUGCAUGUUUAAUCUACUUGUUCUCUUGUAUGGUGUACUGUUGGUUUCCUAAUUUCAAUGGAUGGAUGUAUAUAUGUUUGCACUCGCAUAGAGAACGAUCCGGUUGAAGAGCCCGAGGAACUAGCAGGAGAAGUCCCUGAGCAGCAGUCGGUUGGUGGAGGCAAGUGUCCCUUGACCUAUCUCUGUCCUAUUCAUUCUUUAAUUCACCUCCCGCAUUACACAUUUAUGCCUAAGGAUGUACUAGCUUUGUUAUCCAUGUCCUUGUUUACCUAUUUGGGUUGGAUUAUUAUUGUUUAGCUUUAUGCUAUUGCUCAACGCUAAUCAAUGAACAUGAUGAGAUUAUCUAUGAUACGCUGUUUUCCCUUCUCUUAUUAUGAUGUUAUACUUGUGGCCUUUAAGGGGGCUCGAGCGGUUUCUCGAGUGCCUCUCCGUAAGGACCUGUUCUUUGGAUGACCGCCCGGGAAAACAGUGCAACCAUGAGGGUGGAAUGGGAUGCCCUUAGCUGAAUAAUUAGAGGAUCCGGGGUGUAGUUCGCUUAGCCGUUGUGCCGUCGAUGGGGCUCGGUGUAUGCAGCUCGCUCUGCCAAGAUUGGGUUCGCCCCUUGGGGAGGAGUGCGGUACAUUUAGAAAACCUAACGGGCGGCUACAGCCCCGGGGAGUCUUUGUAAAGGCUACGUAGUGAUGCCAUGCUGGGUCACCUUGGUAGUGAUCAAUGGAGAGUCAUGAUCUCCGGGCAGAAAGGGAAUCACGGCUUGUGGGUAAAGUGCACAACCUCUGCAGAGUGUUUGAAAAACUGAUAUAUCAGCCGUGCUCACGGUUAUGAGCGGCUAAGGGAGCUCCAGUGAUUAGUGGUACUUGAUCAGAGACAUUUUGGUUUACAGGUGACAAUGAGAUUGAUGGUUCUGGUUAUGACUAUGGUACUGGUAAGUGGUAUUCUUUCCGUUUGGAAAGGGUACAUCGAGCUAAUAACUUGGGUUAAUGUUAAAACCUGGCUUUCUACUAGUAAAUAAUAAUCUGACCAACUAAAAGCAACUGCUUGACUUAUCCCCACAUAAAGCUAGUCCACUACAGCCAAACAGGAUACUUGCUGAGUAUGUUGAUGUGUACUCACCCUUGCUCUACACACCAAACCCCCUAUCCCCAGGUUGUCAGCAUUGCAACCACUGCUCAGGAGAAGAUGAAGUCGUGGAAGGAGACUUCCAGGAGUUCCAAGACUACGACGAGUUCUAGGCGUGGGUUAGCGGCAACCCCCAGUCGGCUGCCUGUGAAGGCCGCGUUUAUCUACGUUUCUUUUCCGCACUUUGAUUUAUUGUAAGGACUAUGUGGAUGUCUCAGACAUAUGAUGCAAUCGACUAUUUCCCUUUUUAAUACUAUUUGAGCACUGUGUGAUGAUGUCCAUGUUAUGUAACUGCUGUGUACGUGAAUUGCUGAUCCUGGCACGUACAUGGUUCGCAUUCGGUUUGUCUUCUAAAACCGGGUGUGACAUAAGGUGGUAUCAAAGUCGUGCUGAAUGUAGGACCGCUAACCUAGAGUAGAAUGGUCGUUCUAAGGACUAUAGACCUCUGUCCCUGCCUUGACUUUGAUAUCCCUUCAAAAGUUGGUCAUACCGACCAAACCUAUGUUCUACUAUAUAUAUUAUACCUUACUGAAAAUUGUGUUUUAUUCUAAUCCUUCAUUUAUUUAUGGUUCAUUACUUGCUGGUCAUAUUAAUUCUGUUCUCACUCUUUUGCUUAUGGUGUCUUUUGUAGAUGGCUCGUCUUAGACACACUGCACGAAAGUCCGUCAUCCCCUUCUUACCCUCCCGCCUUGCUGAGCGUCCGCUUCGCCGUCCCGUGGCCGGUCAGUCCAGCCACUUGGAGAGGCUGCACCACCGCCUGCAUGAGGAGCAGGAACGUCGACGACAGGAGCAGCAGGGCUCUUCUUUCUUGCUCCAACAGGAGAUAGAGUCCAUGAGGAGCUGCUCCCCUGUGCUUCCUCUGGAGGCGCCCCAGCCUCUGGAGUAGCUGCUGGAGGAGACCCAGACGACGGAGGUGGCGACGACAGCUCAAGCCACGACACCGACUUUUCUGCUGACCAGGAGCCGGAAGGAUGGGUUGCUCGACCCAUCACUCGCGACGCUGCUCGCGGGUGUCACUUCCACGAUGCGCUCGACACCCUGAUACGUCGGGCACUUAAUCGGCGUACUUGGUCUAUCGAGUAUUGCUGUGUGGUCUACCAGCAUAGUCGUGGGGUCUACCCGGACCGCUGGGAGGUAACCUGCUUGGUGCGCCGUCCGGAGAACAGUCUCCAGGGUGCGGAGGCCUGCUCAGAGCACUAUUCUAUCUCUGAGCGGGACUCAGCUGAGGCGGCCAUGCAAGAUGCCACACGGCGUGCGCUUUCGCACUACUGCUCGGUUCUCGGUGGGGUAGCUGACGGUCUCAACCUGAAGUAUUACCCCCGCCAUCCAUCUGGCAGCACAGGAGGCGUGAUUGUUUCACCUGUCGGUGAGGACAAUCCUAGGUUGAGCAGCACAGUCAACCUAGCCGCCGUGCUAAACACGGAGCUGGAUCAUGCAUUAGACGAGCUGAGUAGGGCUCGUGCUGAGAUCGCCCUGCUGCGGGCUGAGCGCGCAGAACGUCGUCACCUGGAUGAUGGUUCCCCCGCUCCCGUCGGGACUCAGCACCCGUACCGCUCACCUCGGCGUGGACGCUAGUCUUAUGGCAACCCCGACUGCAAGACCAAGAUAAAUCUAGAACCAUAGAUCGCUAGAGUCAGAUCUUGUAAUUAAUACAAAAUAUAUACGUAGAAGCUACAGUCUUAGCGUUAGUCUCGCUCUUAGUUAGUCUUAGUUAGACAGGGUAGUUUGCUAUAUCCUGUGCAUUUAUGUUUGUCAUGAUGAACUAUGUUUGGUUUGGAUCUUUGUAAUGACUGUCACCAGAGUGUGGGUAUCCCCUGCAUUUUGGUUUACCUACUAUGUUAAUGGAGUUAGUUAGCUAGUUGGGAAGCCUUUUAUUCCACUUUCCUCUUUAUCUGAGAAGCUGUGUUGGUCUGUGUUGGAGAUCAGUGAAGAUGCUCAUCUGUUCAGUGUGGUGGAAAAUUCUAUACUCUCUUCUUAUGCUGCAAGAUUUGCAAGAUCAGUUCUGAUGUGUGGUUGCAUUCUGCAGAUGUCAGAGAACAGGCGCAGAGGAGGAAGGCGUGCUCAGCAGGAGCAAGCCGCUCAGCAGGAAGAGGUACCCCAGCAACAGCAACUGCCACCCCCGCCCCCGAUGUCCAUCGAGCAGAUGUUCCUGAUGCAGACUCAGGUAGUCCAAGCCAUCGGUCAGACUCUGGCCGCCAUUCAGCAGCAGGCCCCACCUCAGCCUCAGAUGCCUCAGAUGCCCAGGGACAAGCUUGCUGAAUUCAUGAGAGGUCAUCCACCAACGUUCGCUCACUCUUCUGACCCCAUGGAUGCUGAAGACUGGCUGCACACUGUGGAGCGGGAGUUGCAUACCGCUCAGUGCGAUGAUAGGGAGAAAGUCCUGUAUGGUCCUCGUCUGUUGAGAGGAGCAACUCAGUCAUGGUGGGAGUCUUAUCUCGUCACCCAUACCAACCCUGACACCAUCACCUAGGAAGAGUUCAGAGGUAGCUUUCGUCAGUACCAUGUUCCUGCAGGUCUGAUGACAGUGAAGAAGGAGGAGUUCCUGGCCCUCAAGCAAGGGUCAUCGUCUGUCAGUGAGUACCGAGACAGGUUUCUACAGCUAUCUCGCUAUGCUCCUGAGGAUGUCAAUACUGACGCCAAGCGAUAGUACCGUUUUCUGAGAGGCUUGGUUGAUCCUCUGCAGUACCAACUGAUGAAUCACACCUUCCCGACAUUCCAGUACUUGAUUGACAGAGCAAUCAUGACAGAGAGGAAGCGUAAGGAGAUGGAGGAUCGUAAGCGCAAGAUCAGUGGACCCCAGCCUGGAAGCAGCAAUCGUCCUCGUUUCUCAAACAAUCAACCUCAGCAGUUUAGGCAGAACCAGCGUCCACCUCAGCAGCAUCAGUAGUUCCAAAGGCAGUAUCCUCAGCACUAGUAUCAGAAUCGUCAGAACAAUCAGUCAGGAGGAGGUCAGUUUCAGAGGCAGAAUCAGCAGGCACCUCGUCUUCCUGCCCCAGCAACCUAGUAGAACAGUCAGGCAGCACCAGCUCAGGUUGGAAACAGAGCAUGUUUCCACUGUGGAGAGCAAGGCCACUGGGUGAUGCAAUGUCCGAAGAAGGUAGCCCAGCAGCAGUCAGGCCCCAAUGCCCCAGCAAAGCAGAAUGUGUUUCAGCCCGGAGCAGGCAACCGCUCUCAGCCACGCUACAACCAUGGGAGACUGAACCACUUGGAGGCUGAAGCAGUUCAGGAGACCCCCGGCAUGAUAGUAGGUAUGUUCUCAGUCGACACCCAUAUUGCAGAAGUGUUAUUUGAUACUGGAGCAACACAUUCUUUCAUUACUGCAUCAUGGGUAGAAGCACAUAAUCUUCCAAUUACUACCAUGUCAACCCCUAUUCAAAUUAACUCAGCCGGUGGUAGAAUUCGAACUGAUAGCAUAUGUUUGAAUGUAAGUGUGGAAAUAAGGGGGAUAGCGUUUCCCGCCAACCUCAUAGUAAUGGGUACUCAGGGAAUAGAUGUCAUCCUAGGGAUGAAUUGGCUAGAUAAGUAUCAGGCAGUUAUCAGUUGUGAUAAGAGGACAAUUGUUGGGGGCCUUCGGCUUCCGAAGGUCCUCAAAAACAUGAUUUGACAAGGUUUUUCAAGUAUGCGAGCAGGCAUCUUCGGAAUCAGGUUACGGGUAUACAAGAGCAUGGUCAAGACAAAGCUUGACUGGGAUGGAAGGCGAUCACGACGAAGGAUAAGACGAUCACGAAGCUAUGUGCAGAAAAGCUUCGGCAUGAUGGCAGAAAAGGGGAACCGACUUAAAGAUGAAAAGCCAAAUUAGACCUCGAAGAAUUACUAUAGAGUUAUUGAUAAAUGUAAAGGGCAUUAAUGUAAUUUUACACGGGCCGCGUCCCGUGCCUAUAAAUAGAUGAACAGUACUCCCGCACUGUUCACGCUGACUUGGCAUUCGCUUUUUGCAUCAUGCCUGUACCUUUACUUUUCAUCAAUUCGAAGGUACAUUUAUAAUUUGUCUCUAUGAAUUUGAUAAUAAAAAGAAGUUAAUUGUGUUCUUCUUCAUCAUCUAUCGAAUUUAUAAAGGUCUUUUCCUCGUAACCUUCGUCCAGAGUUCAUUAUAUCUGAAGGGAUAUAAUGUUUAUAAGGACGAAGGACUUUAACAUUUAACACUUUUUAUGUUGCCUUGUUCUUAACUUUUAGUAUUUGAGAACAAGUCCCCAACAUUGGCGCCCACCUCCGGUGAACUCACUUCCAUUUCUUGAGCUUUGAACAUCUUCGGCAAGCAUCACCUUCGUCAUGCCGCCGAAAAAAGCUUCAGCAACAGGGGCUGCCACUCUGCAGCCGUUGGACCCCAAUCAGGACAUCCUUUCUCUUAGGGAGGCCCGAAGCCAGAAGAGGAAGGCCACCAGUCCAACGCCUCCGGAGGACGACUUGGACCAGGAAAUCCAAAACCUGGAGAUGCUCCAUCAACAGGUGCAACGAAAGAAGGAGAAGAUGGCUCGUCUAGCUGACCUUCAGAGGCAGAUAGAUGAAGCUUCGGAAGAGGUUCAUCAUCUUGCUCAAGAUGACCAGAACCGAAGGCCUCCGCGCAGAGAGCUUCAUCAGGAGGGCUUCUACAAUGAGGACGACUGGUAUGAAGAUUUCCAUCAUGGAAAUUUUGCUUUUGAUGAUGCUUCUCCUCUAUCAACAGAAUUGCAGGCUACACCAUGGCCCCAGUCUUACAAGCCACCCCAGCUUCCCAUGUACGACGGUCAUUCAGACCCGAAGCAAUUCUUGAUGAGCUAUGAAGCAACCAUAUCUUCGUAUGGUGGCAAUACUGCAGUCAUGGCAAAGUCUUUUGUCAUGGCCGUCAAGAGUGUCGCUCAAACCUGGUACUCCUCUCUUCGGCCAGGGACAAUGACCUCAUGGCAGAAGCUGAAGGAUAUGUUGAUAACUAGCUUCCAAGGGUUUCAGACGAAGCCAGUUACCGCUCAAGCUUUAUUCCAGUGUACCCAGGACCACGAAGAAUACCUUCAGGCGUAUGUCCGAAGGUUUCUGCGUCUGAGGGCACAGGCGCCAACAGUGCCCAAUGAAAUUGUCAUUGAGGCCAUGAUUAAGGGACUUCGGCCGGGACCUUCAGCGCAAUACUUUGCCAGGAAGCCACCACAAACUUUGGAGAAGCUGCUCCAAAAGAUGGACGAAUAUAUUCAAGCUGACAAUGACUUCCGCCAAAGAAGGGAGGAAGCAUUCAGGUUCUCUGAAAUGACCAGGGGCUUCGGAGGAAGAUUUCAUCCGAGGCACGUCAGGUCAAUUCAUAACUCUACUCAAAGUGAUGAUAGAGGGAGCCAACAGCAAAGGCCACAAUACUCCUCGCAAGCUUCGGGGUAGCAGCAAAGCUCUUUUCGGUCGCCAGCGCCAAGGGGCAGAGGCGCCAGGGGCUUCGGGGGAAGAUUUGGGGAUCAGCCAAGAAAAAUUUACUGCCUAUUCUGUGGUGAAGACAAGGGUCAUACCACCAGGAUGUGCCAUGUUACCAUCCAGAAGCAAAAGGAGAUAGCAGAAGCUGCAGCACAACAGAGUCAGCCGAAGCAGGUCAUGCAUACUGCUUCGUACCAUUCGCCUUACAUUCCAGAAUAUGUAGGCAAUCACCCUGCAGCUUCUGUUGCUUCGGCAAGCCAACCCCAAGCAUCUUGGCAACAGCCUCCACCGCCACCACCAACACAACGAGGUUAGCAGCCAGAAGGGAGUCAGCACACUCACCUUCAGCGGGACUUCAGAGAGGAGUCCGAAGCUCGCACAGUCAAUAGCACUGUGCCAGAGUCGAAGCACAUUUACUGACAAAUAUCCUACCUCGAUAGCAGCUUUUCACGUUUUCACAUUCAGUAUUACUUUCUUUUUAAUAAGGAACAAUUAUGGGAAGUCUAAAUGUCUUUUAUCGUCUUUUAAUUUCUUGUAAUAGUUUCGCUUUUUACCAUAAUGAAAAUAUAUCUUCUCCAUAGACCUAAGUUGCCGAAGCAUGAGAAUUUAUGAUGGCAAGGAGGACCUUCAAAUUAUCAAAAAUUUGUUCUAAGGAAUGCAGUGCAAUUUGUUCGAAGCAGCAAAAAGUCGUUCCUAAGGGAGCGCAGUGUAAGUUUUCUAAGCCUACAGCGAAAAAUAAGCACUGAUUCCGCUGAAAGUAAAAGGCGAAGAAGCUCCUAAGGGAGGCUUACAACGAAAAAUAAACGCUGAUUCCGCUGAAAGUAAAAGGCGAAGAAGCUCCUAAGGGAGGCUUGCAGCGAAAAAUAAACGCUGAUUCCGCUGAAGUAAAAGGCGAAGAAGCUCCUAAGGGAGGCUUACAGAGAAAAAUUAAUGUCAACCUUCGGCAAAUAUCAUUUUGCACAACAUUACAUCAUUUGCAUAGCAUAACAUCAUACAUCAUAGUGCAUCAACAACGCAAGAAGGGGGGUCUCGAUAUUGAUAUUUGAAGAUUGUUUUGAAGAAAUAGUGACAAGGCACAAAAAAUAGCCGUUGAAAAGUUAUACCAUCGUCAAACUCUGAAAUGGAAGGAUCUAUUGAUUAUUGAUUUUACAAGGAUUGAUUAUUGAUUUUUACGAAGCAUGAAAAGAAGGGAAGGUGUUUUUUCGCCGAAGGCACAAAAAUGGUAUGUAUAUGAUGUUUCAUGGAUCGUCAAAAAUAGAAUUAUAAACAGCUAAUAUGCUAUAUCCAAAGUUACACAAUGUUACACAUGAUUCUCAGCAAGCAUUACAAUCUAAAUGUUUUUACAGCAGCAUUUAAUCUUCCUUUAAGACUACUUCUGCAGCUUCGUUUAAAAGCUGAUCAACAACUCUAUCCAUGAUGGCUUCGGCCAUUUGUCUAAUUUUGUCAUCCCCCUUCGUGUGGGGGCCUGGAGAUAGCUCAGUAGGUUCUGAGGGAAGAGAAGAUAUGGAUAUAUUACUAUUACAAAACAUGAACAAGUUCGAAAUCAAAAAGUUACAACGAAGAGCCAGUUAUCACUAAUUAAUACCUAUUUGCCCUUCGGGCUCUGCGCUUUUCUCAGCAGCCUCUGCUACCUUCCUAGCAUCAUGGAUGCCUUUUUCGCUUUUUUGAAUGAUUUCUUGGGUCAUUUCUCGGCCGCCAUUGUCCCAGAUGUCGGUGAAAAAUUUUCCACCGACCAGGCUUGCUUCGGCCGAGGGGUCUUUUAUAUCUUCGGAAGACAAGGCAGUUUUGGAUUGCGCUAAAGAUUUCACAUGCUCACAGCCUUUUCUUUCCAAAACAGUAGCAAUACCCCUGGCGCCCGAAAAAGCACAUAUGUCUCCGCGGCUAUUCAAGAUUUCCUCGAAGGCCUCAGCUUCGUGACUGAUCCAUUCAAUCGGGCCUUCUGGAUUACCCCUUGUGAAAUUUUCUUCGCUAGAGAAUGCGCCAACGCUGGCGAAGCUGGAUUUUAUUUUCUUAACACACUCUAUGGAUUUGUCAUAGCACCUUUUCUUGGAUGCACGAAGCUCUUCAACAUUUAUUUCCAAAUGAUUUGCCCAUUGAUCACUAAGUUCUCGUUUUGUCUCUUCAAGUAUGCGUUCUUCUUUAGCUCUGGCUAGCUGUUUCCGAAGAUCCUGAAUUUCGCGUUUUUGGGCUUCAGCUUGAGCCUUAGAGGUAGCUUCGUCUUCCUUUAUUUUAUCCACCAAUGUAAGCAGAAUUUUAUCUUUUUCCAAAGCUUCUUUCCUCAGCUUAAUAACCUCUGUUCGUAGGUUGUUGAAAGCAAUAUUAUAGCUCUCGUCUUCGGCAUUCUUUUGCGCUCUCAAAGCGUUGCUCAGUAUUAAACCCUAUAUGAAAAAAGAAUUAGUAUAAGAAUAAAAGAAUGAUUCAAAAAUUAUAAAUUUCCAAAUAUACAAUUCUCAUACCUUCAGACUAUUAUAUGCAAGGCUAUCCGCAAGAUCGUCCUUCGUCAUAGCGCAGAGCCCAGCUUCAAGCUUCGAAAACCCCAUACUUCUAGCCAUCUCCCGGCAGACAGAUAAUUCUUUGUUGUCUGGGAGGCAGUAUAAGAAGUCAUCUUCAUCUGUGCCGUUGAAUACUAAGGCCCCUUUCGGAUACUUCAGUUCUCGGGCAUAGUGAUUAGCUUCAAAAAUCUCUUCUUCAGAUAAUUUCUUCCCCGAAGCAUGUCGUACAAUAUAAUCAAGUACUUUGGAAGAUGCUUCGGGGGCUGCAGUGCCAGUUUCUUCAGCCAAAAUUUGUUCUGCUAUUUCUGUUUUUUCGGCUUCCAAGGAUUUCACCUUGGCGGGCUCUGAAGGCCCGGCUUCAAUUUCAGACUGUUGCUUUGAAGUUUUGGCGACAAAGGCUUCAGUGUGUACUUCAGAAGUUUUAACAAUUUUCUUUGGAGGUGUGCUUGAAGAUUUGAUUGUCUCUAAAACAUCUAGCACAUUAACCAUCCUUCUUCUUUUAGGGGUCACCGCUGGACCCUUAUGGCUUUUUGUCGUCUCAGUUUUUGCCGAAGGACUCAAGACUUCUGAUGUCUUUAUUUCUUCAGCUCGCGGUUCUUCUAUUUUUUCAGUCGCUGGCACUUCGGACAGCACUUCAAUAUUUGGCAGGGGAGUUGGCUCUUUAGCUUCGGUGGCCGAAGAGGUCUCACCGGCAAAUUCAGGCACUGUGGCCGGUUCAAUAUAACGUGGCCGGUGUGUGAGAACCUUUACUCUUUUCCUCUUCGGCGCCGGCUCACUAGGAGCGGCUGAAGCAGUUUCCUUCACAGAAGAUGGAUUCUUUCUUUUUUCACCCUGCGCUGGAUAGCAGUAGUCGGGGUAGACAAACCCAAUUGCAUCAAAUACUCGGUUGAGCCUCUUCCUCUUUCGGCCUCCGAAGGCCGCUGAUAAUGCAGUAUCUUCGGCCUUUGAGUAUACACCAAGUAAUUCAUCACUGAUGGCCUCAAUACUUUUCAACCAGUCAUCUGGCUCAACGAACUUAUCUUCGUAUUUAAAUGUGUAUUUCAGCCUGACUAGUCCACCUUCGUAAGUUUCUUUAAUGGUCUCCUUCGGCAUUUCCCAUUUUUACACAAGUGGCCAUACUCUGAAGGCAAUGUGUUCUUGGACCAAAUCCCUUGUCCCAAUAAAAGAGCAAACAACACCGAAGGCUCUCUGGCAUUCUUUGGCUGCUUCAUUCAUUUCCACCUUCGGCCUCCGUAGGCCGAAGCGUUGCCAGAUGGGACGCAUAAUGAUACUUUUUAUAUCUUCCCGUGAUUUCAAGUCAUUCUUCACGUAAAACCAUUCCGUCAUCCAGUCGUCGGCCACCUCUUUCGAAAGGUUGGCACGGGGCAGCUUGACCCAGACCGGGAGCCGAAGCUGUAGUAGCCAAAAUUGUUGUGAUACUGUUCUUUACCCCAGGGUUUUGUCUCGUACAAUAACUCAUGUAUGUUGCAGAAACUUUUCGCAUUAGGUUCCAAACCUUGGCUUCUCACGGCCCACACAAAGAUGCUCAUCCUUAUGAUUGCUUCGGGGGUAAGUUGGUGAAGGUAGAUUUCAAAUAUCUUCAGUAUUUCCACAACAAAACUGCUUAAGGGAAAUCGUAGUCUAGCUUUCAAGAAGCUUCGGAAUACCACGACUUCAUUUUCCUCAGGAGUCGGACAAGUCUUCUCUCCUUCAUCAGCCCUCACAACGGACAAGUCCCGAAAAUAUCUGCCCCUCAUAUUGACAAGAUGAUUUUCUUUAAUACUCGAAGUCUUCACCACCACUAUCCACAUCAUAACUGUCACUGUCACCAGUAUCUUCAGAUAAACCCUCCAAAAUUUCUUUAGUAAUCUUCUCUGUAUUAGUCUUUGACAUUGAUUGAAGAAAGCCCAGAUGCAUCUCCUCAGAAAGACUUAGCUUCGAAUCACCAACAGCUUUUUUAUCUUCAGACAUCCUUGCAAACGCUGAGAAGGUGCUCUUGAAACCGAAGCUUAAAAAUCUAAAAACCCAAGCAAGUGUUGUUGCGCGCAGGCUAUAGAAGUUGGGUGAGUAAAAGCAGUUGGCAAGAGAGCGUGCCAAAUAAACUCGUAAUGAGCUCUUAUUUAUACACCUAGUGCGUUGAAAACUGGAGGGUCCCGCUUGUCAAAGACUGUUGCUAUUCUAGCAAAGAGAAGGUGUUUUUUCGGACCUUCGACUUAAGGCCUUCGUCCAUGUCGCAAUAUGAAUUUAUCAUUACAGCAAAUUAAUAUUGUGAGGGGCUACUGUUGGGGGCCUUCGGCUUUCGAAGGUCCUCAAAAACAUGAUUUGACAAUGUUUUUCAAGUAUGCGAGCAGGCAUCUUCGGAAUCAGGUUACGGGUAUACAAGAGCAUGGUCAAGACGAAGCUUGACUGGGAUGGAAGGCGAUCAUGACGAAGGAUAAGACGAUCACGAAGCUAUGUGCAGAAAAGCUUCGGCAUGACGGCAGAAAAGGGGAACCGACUUAAAGAUGAAAAGCCAAAUUAGACCUCGAAGAAUUACUAUAGAGUUAUUGAUAAAUGUAAAGGGCAUUAAUGUAAUUUUACACGGGCCGCGCCCCGUGCCUAUAAAUAGAUGAACAGUACUCCCGUACUGUUCACGCUGACUUGGCAUUCGCUUUUUGCAUCAUGCCUGUACCUUUACUUUUCAUCAAUUCGAAGGUACAUUUAUAAUUUGUCUCUAUGAAUUUGAUAAUAAAAAGAAGUUAAUUGUGUUCUUCUUCAUCAUCUAUCGAAUUUAUAAAGGUCUUUUCCUCGUAACCUUCGUCCAGAGUUCAUUAUAUCCGAAGGGAUAUAAUGUUUAUAAGGACGAAGGACUUUAACAUUUAACACUUUUUAUGUUGCCUUGUUCUUAACUUUCAGUAUUUGAGAACAAGUCCCCAACAACAAUCAAGUUGGUGUCCCCACUAGGAGAGGAAGUGGUGACCGAGUUAGUUCCGCCUGAGCCGAAGAAAAGAAGUUGUUAUCAGAUGGUUGUCGAUAGAAGUGAAGCAGACCCAAUUGAGAGGAUCAAGAUUGUGUCUGAGUUUCCAGAUGUGUUUCCAAAGGAUUUACCAGGUAUGCCACCAGAGCGGAAAGUUGAGUUUGCCAUAGAGCUUCUUCCUGGAACCACCCCCAUCUUUAAGAGAGCUUACAAAAUAUCUGGACCAGAGUUGGUUGAACUUAAGAAGCAGAUUGAUGAGCUGUCAGAGAAAGGUUACAUUCGGCCAAGCACCUCGCCUUGGGCCGCCCCUGUCCUAUUUGUGGAAAAGAAAGAUGGCACCAAAAGGAUGUGCAUCGAUUAUCGAGCUCUGAAUGAAGUCACAAUCAAGAACAAGUACCCCUUGCCCAGAAUAGAAGAUCUGUUCGACCAGUUGAGAGGAGCCAGUGUGUUCUCCAAGAUUGAUCUGAGGUAAGGUUAUCAUCAGCUCAGGAUCCGACCUUCGGAUAUUCCGAAGACGACAUUCAUUACCAAGUAUGGUUUGUAUGAGUUCACUGUGAUGUCUUUUGGUUUGACCAAUGCACCGGCCUUCUUCAUGAACUUGAUGAACAGUGUAUUCAUGGAUUAUCUUGAUAAGUUUGUAGUGGUAUUUAUUGAUGACAUUCUUAUUUAUUCUCAAAGCGAAGAAGAGCAUGCAGAUCAUUUGAGGAUGGUAUUGCAGAGAUUGCGAGAGCACCAAUUGUAUGCAAAGUUGAGCAAGUGUGAAUUUUGGAUCAAUGAAGUCCUGUUCUUGGGUCACAUAAUCAACAAAAAAGGAUUGGCUGUGGAUCCGAAGAAAGUGGCAGACAUUCUGAACUGGAAAGCGCCAACAGAUGCCCGAGGAAUCAAGAGCUUCAUUGGAAUGGCCGGAUAUUAUCGGCGAUUCAUUGAAGGGUUUUCGAAGAUUGCGAAACCAAUGACAGUGUUGCUAGGCAACAAGGUCGAGUUCAAGUGGACCCAGAGAUGUUAAGAGGCCUUUGAAGCGCUGAAAGAGAAGUUGACCACAGCGCCUGUCUUAGUCUUGCCUGAUGUGCACAAGCCCUUCUCGGUGUAUUGUGAUGCUUUCUACACAGGUUUGGGAUGUGUGUUGAUGCAAGAGGGAAGAGUUGUGGCUUACUUGUCCCGACAGUUGAAGGUUCAUGAGAAGAAUUACCCAAUCCAUGAUCUAGAGUUGGCAGCAGUGGUUCACGCACUGAAAACAUGGAGGCACUAUCUAUAUGGACAGAAAUGCGAUGUUUACACAGACCACAAGAGUCUGAAGUACAUAUUCACUCAGUCGGAGUUGAAUAUGAGGCAACGAAGAUGGUUAGAGUUGAUCAAAGACUAUGAGUUGGAGAUUCACUACCAUCCAGGCAAAGCGAACGUAGUGGCAGAUGCUUUGAGCAGGAAGAGUCAGGUCAAUCUGAUGGUCGCUCGUCCGAUGCCUUAUGAGUUGGCCAAAGAGUUUGACAGGUUGAGUCUCGGAUUUCUGAACAACACGCGAAGAGUCACAGUUGAGUUGGAACCUACCCUGGAGCGGGAAAUCAAAGAAGCACAGAAGAAUGAUGAGAAGAUCAGUGAGAUCCGGCGACUGACUCUAGAUGGCAGAGGCAAAGAUUUUUGGGAAGAUGCAGAAGGUGUGAUAUGGUUCAAAGACCGUUUGUGCGUUCCCAAUGUCCAGUCUAUUCAGGAGUUGAUCCUUAGGGAAGCUCAUGAGACAGCCUAUUCGAUUCACCCUGGCAGUGAGAAGAUGUAUCAGGAUCUGAAGAAGAAAUUCUGGUGGUAUGGAAUGAAGAGGGAAAUCGCGGAGCAUGUGGCUAUGUGUGAUAGUUGUCGGCGGAUCAAGGCAGAGCACCAGAGACCAGCUGGAUUGUUGCAACCGUUGCAAAUUCCUCAGUGGAAAUGGGAUGAAAUCGGUAUGGAUUUCAUAGUCGGAUUGCCUCGCACUCGAGCCGGCUACGAUUCCAUUUGGGUAGUAGUGGACCGUUUGACCAAGUCAGCCCACUUCAUACCUGUCAAGACCAACUACAGCAGUGUAAUAUUGGCAGAAUUGUAUAUGUCUCGGAUCGUUUGUCUUCAUGGUGUGCCAAAGAAGAUAGUGUCAGACAGAGGAACGCAGUUCACCUCUCAUUUCUGGCAGCAGUUGCAUGAAGCCUUGGGCACACAUCUAAAUUUCAGUUCAGCUUAUCAUCCGUAGACAGAUGGUCAGACCGAAAGGACCAAUCAAAUUCUUGAAGACAUGUUGAGAGCCUGUGCGUUGCAGGAUCAGUCCGGAAGGGACAAGCGAUUGCCUUAUGCAGAGUUCUCCUAUAACAACAGUUACCAGGCCAGUUUGAAGAUGUCACCAUUUCAAGCGCUUUAUGGAAGGAGUUGUAGGACUCCAUUGCAAUGGGAUCAGCCUGGAGAAAAGCAAGUGUUUGGGCCAGACAUUUUGCUGGAAGCUGAAGAGAACAUCAACAUGGUCCGAGAGAAUCUGAAGAUAGCGCAAUCAAGGCAGCGAAGCUAUGCAGACACAAGAAGAAGAGAGCUGAGUUUCGAAGUCGGAGACUUCGUCUAUCUGAAAGUGUCACCGAUCAGAGGAGUCAGAAGGUUCGGAGUCAAAGGCAAGCUAGCACCCCGCUACAUCGGUCCGUAUCAAAUUCUCGCCAGGCGUGGAGAAGUGGCCUAUCAGCUCAGUCUGCCAGAGAAUUUGUCUGCUGUGCAUGAUGUCUUUCAUGUGUCUCAGUUGAAGAAGUGCUUGCAUGUGUUAGAAGAGCAGUUGCCAGUGGAAGGUCUGGAGGUCCAAGAGGACUUGACCUACACAGAGAAACCAGCGCAAAUCCUUGAGAUUGAAGACAGAGUCACCCUAAGGAAGACCAUCGGAAUGUGCAAAGUCAGAUGGAACCAUCUGAAAGUCGCCUAGAGGGGGGGUGAAUAGGGCGAAACUGAAAUUUACAGAUAUAAACACAACUACAAGCCGGGUUAGCGUUAGUAAUAAAGAAACGAGUCCACGAGAGAGGCGCAAAACAAAUCCCAAGCGAAUAAGCAAGUGAGACACAGAGAUUUGUUUUACCGAGGUUCGGUUCUUGCAAACCUACUCCCCGUUGAGGAGGCCACAAAGGCCGGGUCUCUUUCAACCCUUCCCUCUCUCAAACGGUCCCUCGGACCGAGUGAGCUUUUCUUCUUCUCAAUCAAACGGGAACAAAACUUCCCCGCAAGGGCCACCACACAAUUGGUGCCUCUAGCCUUGGUUACAAUUGAGUUUUGAUCACAAGAACAAGUGAGAAAGAAAGAAAGCGAUCCAAGCGCAAGAGCUCAAAAGAACACGACAAAUCUCUCUCGCUAGUCACUAAAGGAUUGAGUGGAGUUGGUGAGGAUUUGAUCUCUUUGGUGUGUCUAGAAUUGAAUGCUAGAGCUCUUGUAGUAGUUGAGAGGUGGAAAACUUGGAUGCAAUGAAUGGUGGGGAGGUUGGGGUAUUUAUAGCCCCAACCACCAAAAGUGGUCGUUGGGAGGCUGUCUGCUCGAUGGCGCACCGGACAGUCCGGUGCACACCGGACAGUCCGGUGCCCCCUGCCACGUCAUCACUGCCGUUGGAUUCUGACCGUUGGAGCUUCUGACUUGUGGGCCCGCCUGAGUGUCCGGUGCACACCGGACAUGCACUGUUCCUUGUCCGGUGUGCCAGUAUGGGCGCGCCUGACUUCUGCGCGCGCUGUGCGCGCAUUCAAUGCGCGGCAGAGAGCCGUUGGCGCGGAGGUAGCCGUUGCUCCGGAGUCGCACCGGACAGUCCGGUGCACACCGGACAGUCCGGUGAUUUUUAGCGGACUAGCCGUUGGCGAUUCCCGAAGCUGGCGAGUUCCUGAGGCCGCUCCUCCGUGGCGCACCGGACACUGUCCGGUGUACACCGGACAGUCCGGUGAAUUAUAGCGCGAGUGCCUCUGGAAUUUCUCGAAGGUGACGAGUUUGAGCUGGAGUCCUCUGGUGCACCGGACACUGUCCGGUGUACACCGGACAGUCCGGUGCUCUCAGACCAGAGGGCCUUCGGUUCCCACUAUGCUCCUUUGUUGAAUCCAAAACUUGGUCUUUUUAUUGGCUGAGUGUGAACCUUUUACACCUGUGUAAUCUAUAAACUUGGGCAAACUUAGUUAGUCCAAUUGUUUGUGUUGGGCAAUUCAACCACCAAAAUUAAUUAGGGACUAGGUGUAAGCCUAAUUCCCUUUCAAUCUCCCCCUUUUUGGUGAUUGAUGCCAACACAAACCAAAGCAAAUAUAGAAGUGCAUAAUUGAACUAGUUUGCAUAAUGUAAGUGUAAAGGUUGCUUGGAAUUGAGCCAAUUUAAAUACUUACAAGAUAUGCAUGGAUUGUUUCUUUCUUAUAUAACAUUUUGGACCACGUUUGCACCACAUGUUUGUUUUUGCAAACUCUUUUGUAAAUCCUUUUCAAAAUUCUUUUGCAAAUAGUCAAAGAUAGUGAAUAAGAGUUUUACAAAGCAUUUUCAAGAUUUGAAAUUUUCUCCCCCUGUUUCAAAUGCUUCUUCUUUGACUAAACAAAACUCCCCCUAAAUGAGAUCCUCCUCUUAGUGUUCAAGAGGGUUUUGAUAUGUCCUUUUUGAAAUACUACUUUCUCUCCCUUUUGAACAUAAUAGGAAAACCAAUUGAUAAAUAUUCAACACUAAGUUUUGAAAUUUGGUGGUGGUGCGGUCCUUUUGCUUUGGGCUCAUUUCUCCCCCUUUUUGGCAUGAAUCGCCAAAAACGGAAUCAUUAGAGCCUUUGUUUUUUUUAAAGUGCUAUCUUCCUCUUUGGUCAUAAAUGAGUGAGUUAAGAUUAUACCAAAGACGAAGUCCGGUCCUUUAGCUUUGGGCUCAUACUCUCUCCCAAAGACGAAGUCCUUUUCUUUGAUGCUCAUUUCUCCCCAAAGAAUAGAGAGUUGCUUGGAGUGAUGGCGAAGUAUGAGUUACGGAGUGGAAGCCUUUGUCUUCGCCGAAAACUCCAAUUCCCUUUCAAUAUACCUAUGACUUGGUUUGAAAUAGACUUGAAAACACAUUAGUCAUAGCAUAUGAAAGAGAUAUGAUCAAAGGUAUAUAAAUGAGCUAUGUGUGCAAUCUAGCAAAAGAAAUUGCGAGAAUCAAGAAUAUUGAGCUCAUGCCUAAGUUUGGUAAAAGUUUGUUCAUCAAGAGGCUUGGUAAAGAUAUCGGCUAAUUGAUCUUUAGUGUUAAUGUAAGAAAUCUCGAUAUCUCCCUUUUGUUGGUGAUCUCUAAGAAAGUGAUACCGAAUGGCUAUGUGCUUAGUGCGGCUAUGCUCGACGGGAUUGUCGGCCAUUUUGAUUGCACUCUCAUUAUCACAUAGCAAAGGGACCUUGGUUAGUUUGUAACCGUAGUCCCGCAGGGUUUGCCUCAUCCAAAGCAAUUGUGCGCAACAGUGGCCUGCGGCAAUAUACUCGGCUUCGGCGGUGGAAAGAGCGACCGAGUUUUGCUUCUUUGAAGCCCAAGACACCAAGGAUCUUCCCAAGAACUGGCAAGUCCCCGAUGUGCUCUUCCUAUUUAUUUUGCAUCCCGCCCAAUCGGCAUCUGAAUAACCAAUUAAAUCAAAAGUGGAUCCCCGAGGGUACCAAAGCCCAAACUUAGGAGUGUAAGCCAAAUAUCUCAAGAUUCGUUUUACGGCCGUAAGGUGGGAUUCCUUAGGGUCGGAUUGGAAUCUUGCACACAUACAUACGGAAAGCAUAAUAUCCGGUCGAGAUGCACAAAGAUAAAGUAAUGAACCUAUCUUCGACCGGUAUACCUUUUGAUCCACGGACUUACCUUCCGUGUCGAGGUCGAGAUGCCCAUUAGUUCCCAUGGGUGUCUUGAUGGGUUUAGCAUCCUUCAUUCCAAACUUGCUUAGAAUAUCUUGAGUGUACUUCGUUUGGCUUAGGAAGGUGCCUUCUUGGAGUUGCUUCACUUGGAAUCCUAGAAAAUACUUCAACUCCCCCAUCAUAGACAUCUCGAACUUUUGUGUCAUGAUCCUCCUAAACUCUUCACAUGUAGACUCGUUAGUAGACCCAAAUAUAAUAUCAUCAACAUAAAUUUGGCAUACAAACAAGUCAUUUUCAAGUGUUUUGGUAAAGAGCGUAGGAUCGGCCUUUCCGACUUUGAAUCCAUUUGCAAUAAGAAAAUCUCUAAGGCAUUCAUACCAUGCUCUUGGGGCUUGCUUGAGCCCAUAAAGCGCCUUAGAGAGCUUAUAGACAUGAUUAGGAUACUUACUGUCUUCAAAGCCGGGAGGUUGCUCAACAUAGACCUCUUCCUUGAUUGGUCCAUUGAGGAAGGCACUUUUCACGUCCAUUUGAUAAAGCUUAAAGCCAUGGUAAGUAGCAUAGGCCAAUAAUAUACGAAUUGACUCAAGCCUAGCUACGGGUGCAUAGGUUUCACCGAAAUCCAAACCUUCGACUUGGGAGUAUCCCUUGGCCACAAGUCGAGCUUUGUUCCUUGUCACCACACCAUGCUCAUCUUGCUUGUUGCGGAAGACCCAUUUGGUCCCUACAACAUUUUGAUUAGGACGUGGAACUAAAUGCCAUACCUCAUUCCUAGUGAAGUUGUUGAGCUCCUCUUGCAUUGCCACCACCCAAUCCGAAUCUUGAAGUGCUUCCUCUACCCUGUGUGGCUCAAUAGAGGAAACAAAAGAGUAAUGUUCACAAAAAUGAGCAACACGAGAUCUAGUGGUUACCCCCUUUUGAAUAUCGCCGAGGAUGGUGUCGACGGGGUGAUCUCGUUGGAUUGCUUGGUGGACUCUUGGGUGUGGCGGUCUUUGUUCCUCAUCCUCCUUUUCUUCCUCAAUUUCAUCUCCCCCUUGAUUAUUGCCGUCAUCUUGAGGUGGCUCAUUCGCUUGAUCUUCUUCUUCAUCAACUUGAGCCUCUUCCUCAUUUUGAGUUGGUGGAGAUGCUUGCAUGGAGGAGGAUGGUUGAUCUUGUGCAUUUGGAGGCUCUUCGGAUUCCUUAGGACACACAUCCCCGAUGGACAUGUUCCUUAGCGCGAUGCACGGAGCCUCUUCAUCACCUAUCUCAUCAAGAUCAACUUGCUCUACUUGAGAGCCGUUAGUCUCAUCAAACACAACGUCACAUGAGACUUCAACUAGUCCAGUUGACUUGUUAAAGACCCUAUAUGCCCUUGUGUUUGAGUCAUAACCAAGUAAAAAGCCUUCUACAGUCUUAGGAGCAAAUUUAGAUUUUCUACCUCUUUUAACAAGAAUAAAGCAUUUGCUACCAAAGACUCUAAAAUAUGAAAUGUUGGGCUUUUUACCGGUUAGGAGUUCAUAUGAUGUCUUCUUGAGGAUUCGGUGAAGAUAUAACCGGUUGAUAGCGUAGCAAGCGGUGUUGACCGCUUCGGCCCAAAACCGAUCCGAAGUCUUGUAUUCAUCAAGCAUGGUUCUCGCCAUGUCCAAUAGAGUUCUAUUCUUCCUCUCCACUACACCAUUUUGUUGUGGAGUGUAGGGAGAAGAGAACUCAUGCUUGAUGCCCUCCUCCUCAAGAAAGCCUUCGAUUUGAGAAUUCUUGAACUCCGUCCUGUUGUCGCUUCUUAUUUUCUUGAUCCUUAAGCCGAACUCAUUUUGAGCCCGUCUCAAGAAUCCCUUUAAGGUCUCUUGGGUUUGAGAUUUUUCCUGUAAAAAGAAUACCCAAGUGAAGCGAGAAUAAUCAUCCACAAUAACUAGACAGUACUUACUCCCGCCGAUGCUUAAGUAAGCGAUCGGGCCGAAUAGAUCCAUGUGUAGGAGCUCCAGAGGCCUGUCGGUCGUCAUUAUGUUCUUAUGCUGAUGAUGAGUGCCAACUUGCUUCCCUGCUUGGCAUGCGCUACAAAUCCUGUCUUUCUCAAAAUGAACAUUUGUUAAUCCUAAAAUGUGUUCUCCCUUUAGAAGCUUGUGAAGAUUCUUCAUCCCAACAUGGGCUAGUCGGCGGUGCCAGAGCCAACCCAUGUUAGUCUUAGAAAUUAAGCAAGUGUCGAGUUCAGCUCUAUCAAAAUCUACCAAGUAUAGCUGACCCUCUAACACUCCUUUAAAUGCUAUUGAAUCAUCACUUCUUCUAAAGACAGUGACACCUAUAUCAGUGAAUAGACAGUUGUAGCCCAUUUGACAUAAUUGAGAAACAGAAAGCAAGUUGUAAUCUAAAGAAUCUACAAGAAAAACAUUGGAAAUGGAAUGGUCAGGAGAUAUAGCUAUUUUACCAAGACCUUUGACCAAACCUUGAUUUCCAUCCCCGAAUGUGAUCGCUCUUUGGGGAUCUUGGUUUUUCUCAUAGGAGGAGAACAUCUUCUUCUCCCCUGUCAUGUGGUUUGUGCACCCGCUGUCGAGUAUCCAACUUGAGCCCCCGGAUGCAUAAACCUACAAAACAAGUUUAGUUCUUGAUUUUAGGUACCCAAAUGGUUUUGGGUCCUUUGGUAUUAGACACAAGAACUUUGGGUACCCAAACACAAGUCUUGGAGCUCUUGUGCUUGCCCCCAACAUACUUGGCAACUACUUUGCCGGAUUUGUUAGUCAACACAUAAGAUGCAUCAAAAGUUUUAAAUGAAAUGUUAUGAUCAUUUGAUGCACUAGGAAUUUUCUUUCUAGGCAACUUAGCAUGGGUUGGUUGCCUAGAACUAGAUGUCUCACCCUUAUACAUGAAAGCAUGAUUAGGACCAGAGUGAGACUUCCUAGAAUGAAUUCUCCUAAUUUUUCUCUCGGGAUAACCGGCAGGGUAUAAAAUGUAACCCUCGUUAUCCUGAGGCAUGGGAGCCUUGCCCUUAACAAAGUUGGACAAUCUUUUAGGAGGGGCACUAAGUCUGACAUUGUCUCCCCUUUGGAAUCCAAUGCCAUCCUUGAUGCCAGGGCAUCUCCCAUUAUAGAGCAUACUUCUAGCAAACUUAAAUUUUUCAUUCUCUAAGUUAUGCUCGGCAAUUUUAGCAUCUAAUUUUGCUAUAUGAUCAUUUUGUUGUUUAAUUAAAGCCAUAUGAUCAUUAAUAGCAUCAAUGUUAACAUCUCUACAUCUAGUACAAAUAGAUACAUGCUCAACAAUAGAUGUAGACGGCUUGCAAGAAUUAAGUUCAACAAUCUUAGCAUGUAGAAUAUCAUUUUUAUCUCUAAGAUCAGAAAUUGUAACUUUGCAAACAUCAAAAUCUUUAGCCUUAGCAAUCAAAUUUUCAUUUUCUAAUCUAAGACUAGCAAGAGAAAUGUUCAAUUCUUCAAUCCUAGCAAGCAAAUCAUCAUUAUUAUCUCUAGGGUUGGGAAUUGAAACAUUACAAACAUGAGAAUCAACCUUAGCAUUUAAACUAGCAUUUUCAUUCCUAAGGUUGUCAAUCAUCUCACGGUAAGUGCUUAGCUCACUAGAUAAUUUUUCACAUUUCUCAAUUUCUAGAGCAUAAGCAUUUUUAACCUUAACAUGUUUCUUGUUUUCUUUAAUUAGACAAUCCUCUUGGGAAUCCAAAAGGUCAUCUUUUUCAUGAAUAGCACUAAUUAAUUCAUUUAAUUUUUCUUUUUGUUCCAUGUUAAGAUUGGCAAAAAGGGUACGCAAGUUAUCCUCCUCAUCACUAGCAUUUUCAUCACUAGAGGUUUCAUAUUUAGUGGAGGAUCUUGAUUUUACCUUCUUCCUUUUGCCGUCCUUUGCCAUGAGGCACUUGUGGCCGACGUUGGGGAAGAGGAGUCCCUUGGUGACGGCGAUGUUGGCGGCGUCCUCGUCGUCGGAGGAGUCGCUUGAGCUCUCGUCGGAAUCCCACUCCCGACAAACAUGGGCAUCGCCGCCCUUCUUCUUGUAGUACUUCUUCUUCUCCUUUCUUCUCCCCUUCUUGUCGUCGCCUCGGUCACUGUCACUUGAUAUAGGACAUUUAGCAAUAAAAUGACCGGGCUUACCACAUUUGUAGCAAACCUUCUUGGAGCGGGACUUGUAGUCUUUCCCCCUCCUUUGCUUGAGGAUUUGGCGGAAGCUCUUGAUGACGAGCGCCAUUUCCUCAUUGUCGAGCUUGGAGGCGUCUAUUGGUUGUCGACUUGGUGUAGCCUCCUCCUUCUUUUCCUCCGUCGCCUUGAAUGCGACGGGUUGAGCUUCGGAUGUGGUGGGUUCGUCAAGCUCGUUGAUCUUUCUCGAGCCUUCGAUCAUGCACUCAAAACUUACAAAAUGCCCGAUAACUUCCUCGGGGGUCAUUUUAGUAUAUCUAGGAUUACCACGAAUUAAUUGAACUUGAGUGGGGUUAAGGAAAAUAAGAGAUCUUAGAAUAACCUUAACCACCUCGUGGUCGUCCCACUUUAUGCUCCCGAGGUUGCGCACUUGGUUCACCAAGGUCUUGAGCCGGUUGUACAUGUGUUGUGGCUCCUCCCCUUUGCGAAGCCGGAACCGACCGAGCUCCCCCUCGAUCGUUUCCCGCUUGGUGAUCUUGGUGAGCUCAUCUCCCUCGUGCGCGGUUUUGAGCACAUCCCAAACCUCCUUGGCGCUCUUCAACCCUUGUACUUUGUUAUACUCCUCUCUACUUAAAGAGGCGAGGAGUAUCGUUGUCGCUUGAGAGUUGAAGUGCUCGAUUUGGGCCACCUCAUCCUCAUCAUAAUCCUUAUCCCUUAUCGACGGUACCUGUGCACCAAACUCAACAACAUCCCAUAUACUUUUGUGGAGUGAGGUUAGAUGAAAUCGCAUUAAAUCACUCCACCUAGCAUAAUCUUCACCAUCAAAAGUUGGUGGUUUGCCUAAUGGGACGGAAAGUAAAGGUGCAUGUUUAGAAAUGUGAGGGUAGUGUAGGGGAAUCUUACUAAACUUCUUACGCUCUUGGCGUUUAGAAGUUACGGAGGGCGCAUCGGAGUCGGAGGUCGAUGUUGAUGAAGUGUCGGUCUCGUAGUAGACCACCUUCCUCAUCCUCUUUUGCUUGUCUCCGCUUCGAUGCGGCUUGUGGGAAGAAGAUUUUUCCUUCUUCUCUUUGUGGUGAGAAGAAGAUUUCUUCUCCUUUCCUUUGUUGGAGGAGAUCUUCUUCUUCUCCCUCCUUUUGGUGCGGGACUCUUCCGAUGAAGUGCUCCCGUAGCUUGUAGUGGGCUUUUCGCCCGUCUCCAUCUCCUUCUUGGCGUGAUCUCCCGACAUCACUUCGAGCGGUUAGGCUCUAAUGAAGCACCGGGCUCUGAUACCAAUUGAAAGUCGCCUAGAGGGGGGGUGAAUAGGGCGAAACUGAAAUUUACAGAUAUAAACAAAACUACAAGCCGGGUUAGCGUUAGUAAUAAAGAAACGAGUCCACGAGAGAGGCGCAAAACAAAUCCCAAGCGAAUAAGCAAGUGAGACACGGAGAUUUGUUUUACCGAGGUUCGGUUCUUGCAAACCUACUCCCCGUUGAGGAGGCCACAAAGGCCGGGUCUCUUUCAACCCUUCCCUCUCUCAAACGGUCCCUCGGACCGAGUGAGCUUUUCUUCUUCUCAAUCAAACGGGAACAAAACUUCCCCGCAAGGGCCACCACACAAUUGGUGCCUCUAGCCUUGGUUACAAUUGAGUUUUGAUCACAAGAACAAGUGAGAAAGAAAGAAAGCGAUCCAAGCGCAAGAGCUCAAAAGAACACGGCAAAUCUCUCUCGCUAGUCACUAAAGGAUUGAGUGGAGUUGGAGAGGAUUUGAUCUCUUUGGUGUGUCUAGAAUUGAAUGCUAGAGCUCUUGUAGUAGUUGAGAGGUGGAAAACUUGGAUGCAAUGAAUGGUGGGGUGGUUGGGGUAUUUAUAGCCCCAACCACCAAAAGUGGCCGUUGGGAGGCUGUCUGCUCGAUGGCGCACCGGACAGUCCGGUGCCCCCUGCCACGUCAUCACUGCCGUUGGAUUCUGACCGUUGGAGCUUCUGACUUGUGGGCCCGCCUGAGUGUCCGGUGCACACCGGACAUGCACUGUUCCUUGUCCGGUGUGCCAGUAUGGGCGCGCCUGACUUCUGCGCGUGCUGUGCGCGCAUUCAAUACGUGGCAGAGAGCCGUUGGCGCGGAGGUAGCCGUUGCUCCGGAGUCGCACCGGACAGUCCGGUGCACACCGGACAGUCCGGUGAUUUUUAGCGGACUAGCCGUUGGCGAUUUCCGAAGCUGGCGAGUUCCUGAGGCCGCUCCUCCGUGGCGCACCGGACACUGUCCGGUGUACACCGGACAGUCCGGUGAAUUAUAGCGCGAGUGCCUCUGGAAUUUCCCGAAGGUGACGAGUUUGAGCUGGAGUCCUCUGGUGCACCGGACACUGUCCGGUGUACACCGGACAGUCCGGUGCUCUCAGACCAGAGGGCCUUCGGUUCCCACUAUGCUCCUUUGUUGAAUCCAAAACUUGGUCUUUUUAUUGGCUGAGUGUGAACCUUUUACACCUGUGUAAUCUAUAAACUUGGGCAAACUUAGUUAGUCCAAUUGUUUGUGUUGGGCAAUUCAACCACCAAAAUUAAUUAGGGACUAAGUGUAAGCCUAAUUCCCUUUCACCAUCACUCUGAGGAAGAAGCAACCUGGGAGCGUGAAGAUGAUCUGAUGGCUAAAUACCUAGAGCUCUUUGCUAGCCAACCCUAAAUCUCGAGGGCGAGAUUCUUUUAAGGGGGAUAGGUUUGUAACGCCCUGAAUUUGGGGGUAGAAUUUUUUCUUCUUUUCCCUCACCAAAUUCAGGCGUUACCCUUUCCUUUUCCCUUUUCUCCUUGCUAAACCUUGAUCUUUUCUAAAGUUAUAGCGGGAUUCGGCUUGGGAUCCCGUUUAAAGCAAAACCCUAAAAUACUUUAUUUUGUGUGAUGCACCAUGCCGAACCAUGCAUACUUUUUAAUUGUUUAAAAAUGUGAAUGCAUUCAUUUAGAGAAAAAUAGAUUUUAGAAAAAGGAAAACCUUUUUCUUCUCCUCUUCCCCCUCCUUCCCCAUUUUUGGCCCAGCCGCCCCCCUCCCCUUGCGCCCGGCCCAGCCGCGCCCCCUCCCCUUUCCCUCCCCCGCCAUGGGCCGCCCCGGCGGCCCAGCCGCCCCCCCGCGCGCCCCCUUUGGGCCCAAAGCAGCCCAGCCGCCCAGCCGCCCCCCUCCCCCUCCUCCCAAAUUCUCUCUCUCCCCUCCCCUGCGAGCCCCACCCGUCAUCCCCUCCCCUACCCUAACCGCGCCCCCUCCCCUGUGCGCCGCCACCGCCGCCUCCCUCCCCUGCGCGCCGCCGCCCCCCCCCCCCGCGUGGUAGGUCCCCCCUCCUCCCUCUCCUCUCCCCCUCCCUCCCUCUCCCCGGCCAUGGCGCCCCGUCCCCGACCUCGGCCGCCCCCGCGCCGGCCCCGCCGCGCCGGCCCCGCCGCGCCCGCCCCGGCUCAGCCGCCGCCGCCCCGUCCCCUACCCCGGCCGCCCCCGCGCCGCCCCGUCGAGCCUCGCCCCUCCCCGGCCUCGGCCCCGCCCGGUGAGCCGCCCCCGCGCCGCCCCAGCGAGCCCCGCCCCGCCCCGAUCUCGCGCCGCCCCCCGGCGAGCCGCCCCCGCCCGGCGAGCCGCCCCCGCCCCGCGCCCGGCCCCGCCUCGGCUCCGGCCAUGGCGUCGCCGCCCCGGCCCCGGUCGCCCUCGCCCCGUGCGCGCCGCCCAGCCCCGCCUCGGCCCCGGCCGCGCCGCCCCACGCCGCCCAGCCCCCAUCCCGGCUGCGCCGCCCCGUGCCCGGCCCCCGUGCCCGGCCGUGCCGCCCCGGCCCCGACCGCCCUCGUCCCGGCCCCGGCUGCGUCGCCCUGGUCGUGCCCCCGCCCCGCCCGUGCUUCGCCCCGCCCGUGCGCCGUGCUCGCCCGCCCGCCCCAGCGUGCCUUGCUCGCGUCGUGACGGCCCCGGCGCGGCCUCGAGCUCGGCCCAGUGUGCCUAUGGCGCGCGGCCUUGAGCUCGGCUAGCGCGCGGCCCCGACGUGCGCACUGCUAGUUCGCGGCGCGUGCGUGCGGCCUCGCGCGCGUGCUCACGUAGUGCGCAGUGCCUUGGCACGGCUCGCCGUGCCCUCGUCUACCCCUAGAUGUCCCCGUCUACCCCCCUAUAUUUUAUGCGUGCUAAUCACAGUGUUCAUGUUAAUGAAAUAGGAAACUCAAUUUAGAAAUUGGUUACGUUAGUUAAUUUAUAUAGCUAAUCGUCUAUCUCAUUUAACGUUAAUCUACUAAAAGUGGUCACGUUUCCAUUAGCGCAUGUAGCUAAUCCUUAUUAUUGAAGCUAAGUAGAAUUAGAGCACGUAACGUUUAGUUAUUCGUCUACCCGUAGUGCACCUCGAGCAUAAGCUUUAACCCCUGCGAGACCUUCCCCCGUCUCUUUCUAACCAUGGUAAAUGCAAUAUCGCAUGUCAUAUUCUAUGCAUGUUUAAUCUACUUGUUCUCUUGUAUGGUGUACUGUUGGUUUCCUAAUUUCAAUGGAUGGAUGUAUGUAUGUUUGCACUCGCAUAGAGAACGAUCCGGUUGAAGAGCCCGAGGAACUAGCAGGAGAAGUCCCUGAGCAGCAGUCGGUUGGUGGAGGCAAGUGUCCCUUGACCAAUCUCUGUCCUAUUCAUUCUUUAAUUCACCUCCCGCAUUACACAUUUAUGCCUAAGGAUGUACUAGCUUUGUUAUCCAUGUCCUUGUUUACCUAUUUGGGUUGGAUUAUUAUUGUUUAGCUUUAUGCUAUUGCUCAACUCUAAUCAAUGAACAUGAUGAGAUUAUCUAUGAUACGCUGUUUUCCCUUCUCUUAUUAUGAUGUUAUACUUGUGGCCUUUAAGGGGGCUCGAGCGGUUUCUCGAGUGCCUCUCCGUAAGGACCUGUUCUUUGGAUGACCGCCCGGGAAAACAGUGCAACCAUGAGGGUGGAAUGGGAUGCCCUUAGCUGAAUAAUUAGAGGAUCCGGGGUGUAGUUCGCUUAGCCGUUGUGCCGUCGAUGGGGCUCGGUGUAUGCGGCUCGCUCUGCCAAGUUUGGGUUCGCCCCUUGGGGAGGAGUGCAGUACAUUUAGGAAACCUAACGGGCGGCUACAGCCCCGGGGAGUCUUUAUAAAGGCUACGUAGUGAUGCCCUGCUGGGUCACCUUGGUAGUGAUCAAUGGAGAGUCAUGAUCUCCGGGCAGAAAGGGAAUCACAGCUUGUGGGUAAAGUGCACAACCUCUGCAGAGUGUUUGAAAAACUGAUAUAUCAGCCGUGCUCGCGGUUAUGAGCGGCCAAGGGAGCUCCAGUGAUUAGUGGUACUUGAUCAGAGACAUUUUGGUUUACAGGUGACAAUGAGAUUGAUGGUUCUGGUUAUGACUAUGGUACUGGUAAGUGGUAUUCUUUCCGUUUGGAAAGGGUACAUCGGGCUAAUAACUUGGGUUAAUGUUAAAACCUGGCUUUCUACUAGUAAAUAAUAAUCUGACCAAUUAAAAGCAACUGCUUGACUUAUCCCCACAUAAAGCUAGUCCACUAUAGCCAAACAAGAUACUUGCUGAGUAUGUUGAUGUGUACUCACCCUUGCUCUACACACCAAACCCCCCCAUCCCCAGGUUGUCAGCAUUGCAACCACUGCUCAGGAGAAGAUGAAGCCGUGGAAGGAGACUUCCAGGAGUUCCAAGACUACGACGAGUUCUAGGCGUGGGUUAGCGGCAACCCCCAGUCGGCUGCCUGUGAAGGCCGCGUUUAUCUACGUUUCUUUUCCGCACUUUGAUUUAUUGUAAGGACUAUGUGGAUGUCUCAGACAUAUGAUGUAAUCGACUAUUUCCCUUUUUAAUACUAUUUGAGCACUGUGUGAUGAUGUCCAUGUUAUGUAGUUGCUGUGUACGUGAAUUGCUGAUCCUGGCACGUACAUGGUUCGCAUUCGGUUUGUCUUCUAAAACCGGGUGUGACAACGGCUUCUAGGUAACAAGCCAUUCUAGCACUAUAAUCGGGAAGUUAGUGCCGUCGAAAUGUGGUGGCCUAUGGGUAUCCAUCCCUUCCUCUAAAAAGCGUCGGCUCUUUUAGCGGUGAAGCUAAAAACGUUUCAAAUGAGCCAAACCGGGCUUUGAUACCACUUGUAGGAAACGGGUGACGCCUGUGGCGGAAUCGCCCGAAUUAUUCCAACUUAAGUGCCUAAGUCCCGCCUUAGAGGCUAGACCACACUUAAAUAGGAAUAACCCGUCAGUCCCUCGGAUCUAGUCCGAUAAAGCCACUUAUCCAGGAUCGAAUACCACUAGCUCACUCGAAGGUGAGGCACAGAGAAAUACAAUAAAAUAUAAUACCACAAAUUUAAUAAGUAUCAUUAGUGAUUACAUUAUCGGAGUUUCAGAAAUAAUAACCAUAAAUUUUAAUGCAGCGGAAAUAACUAACGGAGAAGAACCAAGUAACAUGGCGAAGCCUGGCCACGCUACUCCUCCUGGUCCUCUCGUGCGGAAGCAGUAACCCACUCGACCAUCUAUCCCGGUGGCAGGGAUGGAGGCCAAGUCACACCAGCAAAAAAUCAUCCUAAGGAGUACCUGCAAAACAAUUGUGCCACAAGCAAGGCUGAGUAUACUAAGGGUCUGUUUGGUUGGGCUGUGGCUGUGAAAAAAGUUGUUGUGGGCUGUGAGCUGUGGAAAAAGCUGCUGUAGGCUGUAAGCUGUUAAAAAGCUAAAAACCGUUUGGUGGAAACCACUAAAAGUCAUUAAAAAUUCUUCGAUAUAUGUUUUCAUAGUUCCAUCCGAAAAGCCACUAAAAGCAGGUCCAGGGGUGCUUUCAAAUUUGCACUACGAGAAAGUCGGCUUUUAGGAAAAGCUGCUUCCUGGAUCCAGCCCUUUGGUUGGCUUUUGGCUUUUAGGGCGGCAAAAGCCAAAGCCAAAAGUCAAACCAAACACACCCUAAUACUCAACUAGACUUACCCGGUGUGAGGAGUCUACUCCUCUACCUCUAGACAUGCAGCUGUUUGGCUGAGGGGUUUGGUUUGCCAAAAGCACUAGCUGAGUCUAAAAUCAAGUUUUAGCUUUUCAAGUUUUAGUAUGAUCCUUUUAAACUAGAUGAGUACCUAGCUAUUCAUAUAUGGUAUCAAACAUUAUAUCAAUCAACAUCUUUUUUGCCAGUCACCUCAUUUUCACUUAUUACUCAAUGUAGCAGCAUGGAUCAAGCAGUCUCAUUAGCUGCGAGAAGCAGACGAUUCGAAUCGAGUUUUUAAACCUUGCAAGGUAAACCUAAACACACGACGUGGCGAGGCACUCCGUCCCCACACACAUCAACCGUCCCCAUCGAUUCCCUGGCAACAGAAAGGGGCUCACCGCCUUGGCGUACAAUGCCUCACUGACCCCGACUGCCGUCGUGCAGUGACCACACUUGUACCCAUCAUAACCGGAAUGGGAGACAACGUCUCAGGUCGCGUGAGGAGGGCAAUCUGCGAGCAGGUUCACUCAGGUACUAGGCUUACCGAUUUACCAUAUUUCUCGGCAUAUGUUUAGUACGUUCAAACGCUUGACUCACGGUACCACACCAUAAUCCUUAUCCAAAUUUUUAUCUCGUAGACAACCAAUCCCCAUGGAUUGUUGUCCACAACCCAACAUCGUUAUGAUAAGAAGUGGAUACAAUCAAUUCCUGACCUAGCGCGAGUGCUAGAAAAAUCACUCGACUUUUACCGAGAUUCCUAAUUAAUAAAGCAGCUACUCGACUUAGCAUACUAGUAUUCAUCUCAAUGGGAUUCCUGAGAUCAUGUAACUAGGGUUUCAAACAACUCCUACACUUAAGUGAAUAAUACAAGCCUACAAUCAUUAAGUGCAGUAAAAUAAUAUAUAGAACUGUUUAUGCAUAAACCGGGGCUUGCCUUUAAUUUAACACUCAGGUAGUGUUUGCUGGGGGAGGUACUCGCUUGGCGAGCAUCCACUGGGUAAGUCCAUCAUUCUUCAGGUCGUCCACCGACUGCAUCUUGUGGUUGGCACCACAUCACUGGCUCGAUCAUCAUCUCUCGGUCCUAUAUGAGGUGCAAGAUGCAUAUGUAUGAAUAUAAUGAAAUAGCACAAGAUACUUUAAGUACACGCUAGCGAAUUAAACACUAAGUAGGGAGACAUCACAAGCAACCACACACACUAGCGUUAGCUAACUACAUAUCAUCGAGCGUACAACGUUAACACCACAAAAAGACGACAAACAUUUUGUAUAUUUAUGCAACACAAAUACGACCCCAUAAGUACAAGCAUUUAUUUAAUUUGCUACGACUUUUCAUUAGUUCUUCUAUUUAUCACACAAAAGCAUCCAACACAAGUUUAAUCGACGACAUAGGCAUCAAUGUCUAUGGAAAUUCUAUAUCACAAUCACCUAAAGAAGAAACAUAUAAAACAAUACACACAUAUCAUCUCUAGCUUAGCUAUGGCAAGUCUACAUUACUUAAGAGCAAACCAAACAUUUUUAGCGAGAAGGGUGAACUAAACAAUCAAAAGCGCAUUUGCAGAUUUUUGGGACAGCAACACAGCAGCUACUUGUUUUAAUCAUAACUUUUCAAAUAUUAACCCAAAAAUAGCAAAUUAAGACUUUCUGGAAAGUUUAAAAAGUGCUCUACGACUUUGGUAUUGUCAUCACAACAUGAUUAAACACUUAGCAAGGUCGAAUUGUGCAAACACAGUAGCUCUGUCCAGAUUUGGACAGAUUCAGACUUGCAGCCUCAAAAAUUCACAACUAAAGAUUCAGACAUCCAAACAAAUUGAUCCUAGACUUUCUGGAAAGGUAAUAAGAUUGUCUACAUAUUAUUUAUAAACAUCUUAAGGUGAUUCAAUAUUUAACUAAGGAUAAACAUCACUAAAAGACUUUGCUGUCCAGAACUGGACAGAUUCAGUCUUCAUAAUUGAAACAUUCAUAACUUAAGCUUCAGGCCACCAAAAAGAGUGAUCUAAGACCUUUUGGAAAGCUCAGCAAAAGCACUACAUAACUUUUAUAAUCACUAAGAAGUGAUUCAAUGUUUAACUAAAUCAAACAACACAGUUUUCGAAAUCUGUUCUGACGGUGGACAGAACACAACAACCAAGUUGUAAAAUUCAUAACUCUUAAACCGUCAGGCCUAUAGUUAUGAAAUUUUAACACAAGAAAGAUCAGAAAAGCAUCUACAACUUUCUUAUAACGACCAUGAACAGAUUGCAACAUUAAAUUGAGCAAACAAUGCAGUUUCUGAAAUCUGUACAGAAUUUGGACAGAUUCAGUUACUGAAUUUGGAAAAAGCAUAACUCCUAAACUGUCAGACCUAUGACUGUCAAAUUUUAACACCAGCAAGAUAAUAAAGUUAUCUACCAGUUUUCUAUAGCACAUAUCUACAGAAAAUACAAUUUAGUUCAUCAAACAUACAGCACAACUAAAACAGUGUGUGCAGUCCAAAACAACAAUCAAUAAAUUUCAGCUCAUAUAUAAUUCAAGAAUCGCCGCGUUCUAGAGACUUGAAUUAUUCUAACACUUUGACAAUUGUUAGAGUUAAAAUAACCAAGGGAUAACUAACAAGUAGACUUACUAAUUUUUAUAUAAGUUAAUUCACGCGCUAGAACUAACAUACACAUUUAAUUAACGCAUUUACCACACGAACACAGUUUCACGCCGCAUACUAGUUUCUAACAUGCUUUUCACAUAACUCGUAAUUCAACUACUCACUAACAAUAAUUCACGCACGACAACUACCACAUCAACCGAUUUAUUUAUUUGGAACACCGCCUGCCUAGCGUACCACUAGUUCCCACAUUUUGAUUCAAGCUCAAUAAUACAACCUUUAUUCGAUUAUACAACAGCGACCUAAGCGUCGCGUUACCCAAGGCAUACAUCCUUCCUCGUCGCGAGUAUAACCAUAUCACGGCAUAUACCCGCACAUCUCAAUCAAAUAUCUUACGCCACCACCACUAUAAUACAUCACGGCACACACGCACAUACGCGCCCCACGUUACGCACAAGGCAUCAACAGCAUAGUGACACUAACCGGAUUAAUCAUACUCCUCAUUCGCCUCGACUAUCCCAAUCAUCGAUCACAUGCAUAAAACAAGUACACUUAUCUCUUAUUUUUGUGCAGGCUUAACACCUUUCGGGAUAAAGUGUUACUAUAAACACCUUACACAUAUUUGCCUUAGGAACCUAUUAGUUCACUCGAAGACAUCUAUUCAAGUCAUAAACACAAUCAUACACUUAUUUGCGAAGCACAACUUAAGGAACACCUAACGCGUAAAUACUCGACUUAUAAUUAUAAAGGAAGUGAUGACUACUUACGGCAUGUCAUCACCUCACUACAUAAGCCAAAACAAUUUCUACUUUCGACUAAGAGUUCUAAGUAUCAAACACACUUUUACUUUCCACGCGCAAAUCAACCUCAACUUAACACCAGUGACCCCGAUGGAAUUUUUACUAAACUCAUCAUGCGCAUAACCUUGUCUCACAUACAACCAUAUGGUGGCGUGCACUCGAGACACUUCAACCAAUGUGGCGCGACCACUAAUAUAUGGACUCCGAUACUCAUGCUUUGAUAAUUCAUCCUCUAUGCAACUAGCAUUUUCUAAACUACUCGUCACAUCAAUAAAUAUACUCCCUAUAAAAUCAUGAAUCCCAUCACAUUGCAUAAAACAAUUAUACUUUUCACAUAAACACAUAUCGAUAUAUUUCCCAAAACAUAAUCCGCAUUUUGUAACUUAGUUUUUCGCAUCAAACAACACAUCACAUAUUUUUCCCACCAAGGUAUAAAAACAUUCGAGUGCUUGUUCUACUUCAUUUUCUUCUAUAUACGCGUUCAUUCAUACAAUUAUAAUUUCACGCACAUAUUCACACACGCACCUCAUCAACCAAAUACGUAAAUAAAACAAAUCGCGAAUCAUUCAAGGCGAACAACCUGGCCGAAAUCCGAGUGGAGUUGCGCAUGCGUCCACGGUUUAGGUGCUUCAAUGAAUCCUGCGUCGCGCAAGGCGCAGCGGCAACAUCUAGCUGCGAUUAACAACACCCAAUGGUUCAAACAUUUUAUCAAGCACCUGAGAUCCAAAAACAGUGGAAUACUAGCGAGGGGCUCACCAAGGAUUUUUUUGACGCCGACUCACAAGCGCGGCGCAGAUCGACGACGCGGCAUGGGGUUGUUUCAAACACCAUCGCGACGGCGCGGGUCAGGACUGCGCAGAUCGAGCGAGCACGCGAUGCAGGGGGAUCCGGGGCUGCUGUUUUUGGACCGACAUCGCUGUGCAGAGAAUCAUGGCGCCAUGGCUGCUGUCCGAGCAGGGGCCCCUUGCUGCCGCACUAGGGAAAAAGAGGAAGGGGGCUAGCUGCUGGUAGUGAUGUAUGGAGGGAAGAUGUGUAGGCGAUGGCGGCAAUCGGGCUGGGUCGGCGAGCUCACUGCCGGCGGGAAUGGAUGCAAAACACCCAGGUGCUCCAUGCGCGCCAUGGGCAUAUACCUAGCCGAGGCCGAGGUCAGCCUAGGGAAGGGCACCGAGCGCUACUGUCCAUGGCGCAAGGGACCCAGACGCCAUGACUAUUUGCCGGAGCAGAGGCGUCGGUCUGUAAUGGGGGCGCCGAGCCAGAGAAAAGCAGAGGCCGACCAGGGUGACAGCGGCUCACCUGCUCGAGCUGGGGGCCGGUCCGACCAUGGCCAGCGACCGAGAGAGCAGAGAGAGGAAAAAAAUGGAGCAGCGGCCUGGAGGGAGCAGAACGCCGAGGGGGAUGGAGAGAAGGGGAGGAGGGGUGCGCGCCCAGGGAAGGCUGGGGAAGAACGCCCUGCUGGAUGGGUGCCGGGCGCCAUGGCAAGGAGCCGAGCUCUGGCGUGCGUGGAGCCUGCGGCUGGAAAAUGGCAGAGGAGGAAGAGAAGAGAUGUUGGCGGCUAGGGGUGGAAAUAGAAAUUUUCCAAUUUGCAAGGGAGAGAGCUCCUAUUUAUAGAGGAAGUCCUAGGGUUAGGGUUUCUUAGUGGGCCAAAUGGGCUGGGUUGGGCUGGCCCAAAACGCUACUCGGGUUGUGCUAAAUUAUUUUUCCGAAUAAAAAUGCUCCCGCGGAAUUCGUUUCUACAGAGAACAGAGCGAAAAGAUUUCGGGAGAUUGGGCGAUUAACUUGGCCGUGAGUCUGAUUUGAAUUCGCUCAGAAAUAACUCCUCAUGCAUGAAUCGAAAAUAAUUUGUCUCAGGAUAUGACCGGCUUUCGGAUUUUUAGUCAGAGAAGGCGAAACGUGAUAUUCUAAAAUCGUUGUCGAUACGGGGUUUUGAAUUCGGUUUGGACAUGGAGAUAUUCGGCCGAGUCGAGUAAGAAAUAAUUAGAGGAUGACGUACUGAGUAUUCCGUGUGAGAGUACGGACUCGGAUCAAAAUAGUCGGACAUCGAUCGGGGUUCGAGGAAUUAGACUCGGGCUCAAAUCAAAUAACAGCCGUCGAGAGUUUGAUUUAAUGAGCUUCAGAUGAGAUUUAUAAUUCGAGAAUGAUUUUUGAGUUUGCAUUCGUUCCGAGAAAUAAAAGUUUUAACAGGCUCCAAAUUCGGCCUUCUGUGAGAUUGAAUAAUUCCAAAUUCGGUGAAAUGUGAAGGAAUAAUCUGGAUAGUCAGAGACAUACGCGAGCGAGAAAUAGAAAUUUUCACUGAGCAUCUGAGAUUGGGAUAAAUCUCUCGUCAUAACACGAAAUAGACACCUGGGGUGUCACAGCCUUCCCCCCUUGAAAAGAAUCUCGUCCCGAGAUUCGAAUGAGGAUCUUCAAGGGUGGAGAAGCAUGUAACUCCUAGACUCAAGAUAGAUGCAAAUUCAUGAGAGGGUAUCUGACAAGAUACGAAAGAUAGAUUUGGAUCGGAUAUCGUGACAUAUUGAGAUAAAAUGCCAUGAUCACUUUGAGAUAAUGUUCCAAAAGAUAGCACAUCAGUAUAGUCUUGUAAUGGAUCAUGACUAUUAACCGCGAUACCAGCGCGUGCCGAGCAGCGCAACCAUGUGUGCACCAUAGUAGGCUCUCGGUUUCGUCGCGGCACCAUCAGUCGUUAGUCAUGACAUCAUUACAAAACGCAACCAAUAAGAAAUUCACAUAGCAUAGAUAGAUGGAGCCCAUGAGAGUAUGGCUCAGAAAAUAAGAAUGUGAUCGGAGUUGAAGCAGAGACUGCCGACAAAAGAGCAUCACAUGAGAAUUUUCUUUAACUCAAAGAACUAUUUUAUGAUCAUCACGAGGAUUAUCAGCCAAAGAUUGAUACGAUAUUUAAUAUGAGGAGGAACCAACCAUGAGAUCAAAAUUGAUGAGCUUGUAGAGACAUGCGAGAACUGAAGACAAAAGCAAAAUCCAUUGAACCGAAUGGAUACACUGUUUAGAGAUACAGUUGAUGAAACAAAUGUCGUGAUCCUCGGAGAAGGGGGUAUGAGACUGGCCAGAAAUGAGAGAUUUAGGCAGAUCAACAUCGGAUACUUGAGAACGGGUUAUAGCAGAUAACCAGAUAACGGGGCAGAAUCAUUAAGGGGUCCAGAGAUUUGGAUGAUAAAGCCGCAACAUGAUUCACAAGGAAAAAGAUCACUAGAUCCAUGCGAAAGGAGAGGUAGGCAACAAGAUCAGCUGGAUGAUCAACAGGAAUGCUAUGAAGUUUUAGGGGCAAGGAUUUAUGGAAAGAAACAUGGCCUUGAUAGGGUUUGCGCAACUCGACACCAACAAUAAUUUUUUUUGACACAACAAGUGCACAAGGAAGUUUUAGUCGAUUUAGGGGUCAAGCUAUGGGUGUCUACCAGCCGUGCAGGUGCAACUUCAAGGGGGAAACACAUAAGGGUUUGAAAACACCAACACAAGCAUGUUUUUUUACAAGGGUUUCACUUGCUAAACUCAAGGUUGUUUGGGUGGGGAUCUUUUUAUGAACAGAACAAGCAACAAAAUGUUUUGCAAAAAGGGUUGAACAAUUACAAUACUACCUAGAUGGCAAGGCAGGAGAAACACAUAGCACGACCUAACAAGACUUACCAAUCUGACACGAGGUAAGGCAUUUCUAACAUAGUAGUACAUCACAUUAUUCACAAGUUUUUAUUAUUGGAAUAAAGGUGAGAGAAGCAUGUUGAUGCACAAGAGAAAAUUAUAAUGCGACAAUCAUGAUGCAUGCUCAUUCUAGUCGUCUUCUCAGACCUAACUAAUUGUUCGGAUGCUUCUACAACAUCCUUAUUAAUAGUAGUAGUAGCCUUUAUGGCCUAUAUACAUAGCCACCUAGCUACCCAUCUAUUUCCUAAGGCUUCAUGUCCUAGGUCUAUCCUUAUCGUCCUGAUAUCUAUCCAACAUUGGUUUCUAAGCAAAUUUUACUUUAGAAAAGGUUGGUAAUCAUGACUUAUUGACUUCUCUGUAAUGGUAUUCGCUCCAAUACCAGCUGUGGCGGAACCGCCUGAAUUAUUCCAACUUAAGUGCCUAAGUCCCACCUUAGAGGCUAGACCACACUUAAAUAGGAAUAACCCAUCAGUCCCUCGGAUCUAGUCCGAUAAAGCCACUUAUCCAGGAUCGAAUACCACUAGCUCACUCGAAGGUGAGGCACAGAGAAAUACAAUAAAACAUAAUACCACAAAUUUAAUAAGUAUCAUUAGUGAUUACAUUAUCGGAGUUUCAGAAAUAAUAACCAUAAAUUUUAAUGCAGCGGAAAUAACUAACGGAGAAGAACCGAGUAACAUGGCGAAGCCUGGCCACACUACUCCUCCUGGUCCUCUCCUGCGGAAGCAGUAACCCACUCGACCAUCUAUCCCGGUGGCAGGGAUGGAGGCCAAGUCACACCAGCAACAAAUCAUCCUAAGGAGUACCUGCAAAAAAAUUGUGCCACAAGCAAGGCUGAGUAUACUAAUACUCAGCUAGACUUACCCGGUGUGAGGAGUCUACUCCUCUACCUCUAGACAUGCAGCUGUUUGGCUGAGGGGUUUGGUUUGCCAAAAGCACUAGCUGAGUCUAAAAUCAAGUUUUAGCUUUUCAAGUUUUAGUAUGAUCCUUUUAAACUAGAUGAGUACCUAGCUAUUCAUAUAUGGUAUCAAACAUUAUAUCAAUCAACAUCUUUUUUGCCAGUCACCUCAUUUUCACUUAUUACUCAAUGUAGCAGCAUGGAUCAAGCAGUCUCAUUAGCUGCGAGAAGCAGACGAUUCGAAUCGAGUUUUUAAACCUUGCAAGGUAAACCUAAACACACGACGUGGCGAGGCACUCCGUCCCCGCACACAUCAACCGUCCCCAUCGAUUCCCUGGCAACAGAAAGGGGCUCACCGCCUUGGCGUACAAUGCCUCACUGACCCCGACUGCCGUCGUGCAGUGACCGCACUUGUACCCAUCAUAACCGGAAUGGGAGACCACGUCUCAGGUCGCGUGAGGAGGGCAAUCUGCGGGCAGGUUCACUCAGGUACUAGGCUUACCGAUUUACCAUAUUUCUCGACAUAUGUUUAGUACGUUCAAACGCUUGACUCACGGUACCACACCAUAAUCCUUAUCCAAAUUUUUAUCUCAUAGACAACCAAUCCCCAUGGAUUGUUGUCCACAACCCAACAUCGUUAUGAUAAGAAGUGGAUACAAUCAAUUCCUGACCUAGCGCGAGUGCUAGAAAAAUCACUCGACUUUUACCGAGAUUCCUAAUUAAUAAAGCAGCUACUCGACUUAGCAUACUAGUAUUCAUCUCAAUGGGAUUCCUGAGAUCAUGCAACUAGGGUUUCAAACAACUACUACACUUAAGUGCAUAAUACAAGCCUACAAUCAUUAAGUGUAGUAAAAUAAUAUAUAGAACUGGUUAUGCAUAAACUGGGGCUUGCCUUUAAUUUAACACUCAGGUAGUGUUUGCUGGGGGAGGUACUCGCUUGGCGAGCAUCCACUGGGUAAGUCCAUCAUUCUUCAGGUCGUCCACCAACUGCAUCUUGUGGUUGGCACCAUAUCACUGGCUCGAUCAUCAUCUCUCGGUUGCAUUUGUAUGAAUAUAAUGAAAUAGCACAAGAUACUUUAAGUACACGCUAGCGAAUUAAACACUAAGUAGGGAGACAUCACAAGCAACCACAUACACUAGCGUUAGCUAACUACAUAUCAUCGAGCGCACAACGUUAACACCACAAAAAGACGACAAACAUUUUGUAUAUUUAUGCAACACAAAUACGACCCCAUAAGUACAAGCGUUUAUUUAAUUUGCUACGACUUUUCAUUAGUUCUUCUAUUUAUCACACAAAAGCAUCCAACACAAGUUUAAUCGACGACAUAGGCAUCAAUGUCUAUGGAAAUUCUAUAUCACAAUCAACUAAAGAAGAAACAUAUAAAACAAUACACACAUGUCAUCUCUAGCUUAGCUAUGGCAAGUCUACAUUACUUAAGAGCAAACUAAACAUUUUUAGCGAGAAGGGUGAACUAAACAAUCAAAAGCGCAUUUGCAGAUUUUUGGGACAGCAACACAACAGCUACUUGUUUUAAUCAUAACUUUUCAAAUAUUAACCCAAAAAUAGCAAAUUAAGACUUUCUGGAAAGUUUAAAAAGUGCUCUACGACUUUGGUAUUGUCAUCACAACAUGAUUAAACACUUAGCAAGGUCGAAUUGUGCAAACACAGUAGCUCUGUCCAGAUUUAGACAGAUUCAGACUUGCAGCCUUAAAAAUUCACAACUAAAGAUUCAGACAUCCAAACAAAUUGAUCCUAGACUUUCUGGAAAGUUAAUAAGAUUGUCUACAUAUUAUUUAUAAACAUCUCAAGGUGAUUCAAUAUUUAACUAAGGAUAAACAUCACUAAAAGACUUUGCUGUCCAGAACUGGACAGAUUCAGUCUUCAUAUUUGAAACAUUCAUAACUUAAGCUUCAGACCACCAAAAAGAGUGAUCUAAGACUUUUUGGAAAGCUCAGCAAAAGCACUACAUAACUUUUAUAAUCACUAAGAAGUGAUUCAAUGUUUAACUAAAUCAAACAACACAGUUUUCGAAAUCUAUUCUGACAGUGGACAGAACACAGCAACCAAGUUGUAAAAUUCAUAACUCUUAAACCGCCAGGCCUAUAGUUAUGAAAUUUUAACACAAGAAAGAUCAAAAAAGCAUCUACAACUUUCUUAUAACGACUAUGAACAGAUUGCAACAUUAAAUAGAGCAAACAAUGCAGUUUCUGAAAUCUGUACAGAAUUUGGACAGAUUCAGUUACUGAAUUUGGAAAAAGCAUAACUCCUAAACUGUCAGACCUAUGGUUGUCAAAUUUUAACACCAGCAAGAUAAUAAAGUUAUCUACCAGUUUUCUAUAGCACAUAUCUACAGAAAAUACAAUUUAGUUCAUCAAACAUACAGCACAACUAAAACAGUGUGUGCAGUCCAAAACAGCAAUCAAUAAAUUUCAGCUCAUAUAUAAUUCAAGAAUCGCCGCGUUCUAGAGACUUGAAUUAUUCUAACACUUUGACAAUUGUUAGAGUUAAAAUAACCAAGGGAGAACUAACAACUAGACUUACUAAUUUUUAUACAAGUUAAUUCACGCGCUAGAACUAACAUACACAUUUAAUUAACGCAUUUACCACACAAACACAGUUUCACGCCGCAUACUAGUUUCUAACAUGUUUUUCACAUAACUCGUAAUUCAACUACUCACUAACAAUAAUUCACGCACGACAACUACCACAUCAACCGAUUUAUUUAUUUGGAACACCGCCUGCCUAGCGUACCACUAGUUCCCACAUUUUGAUUCAAGCUCAAUAAUACAACCUUUAUUCGAUUAUACAACAGCGACCUAAGCGUCGCGUUACCCAAGGCAUACAUUCUUCCUCGUCGCGAGUAUAACCAUAUCACGACAUAUACCCGCACAUCUCAAUCAAAUAUCUUACGCCACCACCACUAUAAUACAUCACGGCACACACGCACAUACGCGCCCCACGUUACGCACAAGGCAUCAACAGCAUAGUGACUCUAACCGGAUUAAUCAUACUCCUCAUUCGCCUCGACUAUCCCAAUCAUCGAUCACAUGCAUAAAACAAGUACACUUAUCUCUUACUUUUGUGCAGGCUUAACACCUUUCGGGAUAAAGUGUUACUAUAAACACCUUACACAUAUUUGCCUUAGGAACCUAUUAGUUCACUCGAAGACAUCUAUUCAAGUCAUAAACACAAUCAUACACUUAUUUGCGAAGCACAACUUAAGGAACACCUAACGCGUAAAUACUCGACUUAUAAUUAUAAAGGAAGCGAUGACUACUUACGGCAUGUCAUCACCUCACUACAUAAGCCAAAACAAUUUCUACUUUCGACUAAGAGUUCUAAAUAUUAAACACACUUUUACUUUCCACGCGCAAAUCAACCUCAACUUAACACUAGUGACCUCGAUGGAAUUUUUACUAAACUCAUCAUGCGCAUAACCUUGUCUCACAUACAACCAUAUGGUGGCGUGCACUCGAGACACUUCAACCAAUGUGGCGCGACCACUAAUAUAUGGACUCCGAUACUCAUGCUUUAAUAAUUCAUCCUCUAUGCAACUAGCAUUUUCUAAACUACUCGUCACAUCAAUAAAUAUACUCCCUAUAAAAUCAUGAAUCCCAUCACAUUGCAUAAAACAAUUAUACUUUUCACAUAAACACAUAUCGAUAUAUUGCCCAAAACAUAAUCCGCAUUUUGUAACUUAGUUUUUCGCAUCAAACAACGCAUCACAUAUUUUUCCCACCAAGGUAUAAAAACAUUCGAGUUCUUGUUCUACUUCAUUUUCUUCUAUAUACGCGUUCAUUCAUACAAUUAUAAUUUCACGCACAUAUUCACACACGCACCUCAUCAACCAAAUACGUAAAUAAAACAAAUCGCGAAUCAUUCAAGGCGAACAACCUGGCCGAAAUCCGAGUGGAGUUGCGCAUGCGUCCACGGUUUAGGUGCUUCACUGAAUCCUGCGUCGCGCAAGGCGCAACGGCAACAUCUAGCUGCGAUUAACAACACCCAAUGGUUCAAACAUUUUAUCAAGCACCUGAGAUCCAAAAACAGUGGAAUACUAGCGAGGGGCUCACCAAGGAUUUUUUUGACGCCGACUCACAAGCGCGGCGCAGAUCGACGACGCGGCAUGGGGUAGUUUCAAACACCAUCACGACAGCGCGGGUCAGGACUGCGCAGAUCGAGCGAGCACGCGAUGCGGGGGGGAUCCGGGGCUGCUGUUUUUGGACCGACAUCGCUGCGCAGAGAAUCAUGGUGCCAUGGCUGCUGUCCGAGCAGGGGCCCCUUGCUGCCGCACUAGGGAAAAAGAGGAAGGGGCUCGCUGCUGGCAGUGAUGUAUGGAGGGAAGAUGUGUAGGCGAUGGCGGCACUCGGGCUGGGUCGGCGAGCUCACUACCGGCGGGAAUGGAGGCAAAACACCCAGGUGCUCCAUGCGCGCCAUGGGCAUAUACCUAGCCGCGGCCGAGGUCGGCCCAGGGAAGGGCACCGAGCGCUACUGUCCAUGGCGCAAGGGACCCAGACGCCAUGACUAUUUGCCGGAGCAGAGGCGUCGGUCUGUAAUGGGGGCGCCGAGCCAGAGAAAAGCAAAGGUCCGACCAGGGCGACAACGGCUCACCUGCUCGAGCUGGGGGCCGGUCCGACCAUGGCCAGCGACCGAGAGAGCAGAGAGAGGAAAAAAAUGGAGCAGCGGCCUGGAGGGAGCAGAACGCCGAGGGGGAUGGAGAGAAGGGGAGGAGGGGUGCGCGCCCAGGGAAGGCUGGGGAAGAACGCCCUGCUGGAUGGGUGUCGGGCACCAUGGCAAGGAGCCGAGCUCUGGCGUGCGUGGAGCCUGCGGCUGGAAAAUGGCAGAGGAGGAAGAGAAGAGAUGUUGGCGGCUAGGGGUGGAAAUGGAAAUUUUCCAAUUUGCAAGGGAGAGAGCUCCUAUUUAUAGAGGAAGUCCUAGGGUUAGGGUUUCUUAGUGGGCCAAAUGGGCUGGGUUGGGCUGGCCCAAAAUGCUACUCGGGUUGCGCUAAAUUAUUUUUCCGAAUAAAAAUGCUCCCGCGGAAUUCGUUUCUACAGAGAACAGAGCGAAAAGAUUUUGGGAGAUCGGGCGAUUAACAUGGCCGUGAGUCGGAUUUGAAUUCGCUCGGAAAUAACUCCUCACGCAUGAAUCGAAAAUAAUUUGUCUCGGGAUAUGACCGGCUUUCGGAUUUUUAGUCAGAGAAGGCGAAACGUGAUAUUCUAAAAUCGUUGUCGAUACGAGAUUUUGAAUUCGGUUUGGACAUAGAGAUAUUCGGCCGAGUCGAGUAAGAAAUAAUUAGAGGACGACGUACUGAGUAUUCCGUGUGAGAGUACGGACUCAGAUCAAAAUAGUCGGACAUCGAUCGGGGUUCGAGGAAUUAGACUCGGGCUCAAAUCAAAUAACAACCGUCGAGAGUUUGAUUUAAUGAGCUUCAGAUGAGAUUUAUAAUUCGAGAAUGAUUUUUGAGUUUGCAUUCGUUCCGAGAAAUAAAAGUUUUAACAGGCUCCAAAUUCGGCCUUCUGUGAGAUUGAAUAAUCCAAAUUCGGUGAAAUGUGAAGGAAUAAUCUGGAUAGUCAGAGACAUACGCGAGCGAGAAAUAGAAAUUUUCACUGAGCAUCUGAGAUUGGGAUAAAUCUCCCGUCAUAACACGAAAUAGACACCUGGGGUGUCACAGCGCCUAAGAGGGGGGGUGAAUUAGGACUUCGUUCCCUCCGGUACACGGUGGCGGCCGUGACACAAACGCGGUUGUCACGGUCUCGCAAGACUCUCGCCCCACUCGGUACAAUUACAACGACUCACACAAGAGCCGAGGGGUUGUGUGGUUUUACAAAACUCACUCAACUAACUAGGGAUCACCUAGAGCAAGCGCUAAAGCGGUCUAACUAACCUAAGCACUUCGCAAAGCACCUACGCUAAUCACCGAGUGAUUCUAUUAAGCACUUGGGUGUUUGAGCUCUUGGAAAUAUGCAGUAUGUGUCUUGGUAUGUUGCUUGGGCUCCCACACUUGAGAAUGGCCGGUUGGGGUGGUAUUUAUAGCCUCCACACCCCAAACUAGCCGUUGGACAGAAAGCAGCAGCUUUCUGUCGUCGGGUGCACCGGACAGUUCGAUGCACCACUGGACAUCCACUGUGCAGUGUCCGGUGCACGCCACGUCAGCCGACCAUUGGCGCCUGUAGCAGUUGACCGUUGGAUCUGACCGUUGCCGUCUGCCCAGUGCACACCGGACAGUCCAGUGCUACAGCCAGAGAGUGCCUGUCUGUGGCCUCUCUGCGCAGACUAUCCGAUGCCACACCGGACAGUCCGGUGCACACCGGACAUCACUGUCCGGUGCGCCACCAGGCGCUGGCUGACAGCCCGCUUCUUGGGUUUCUUCGCUGAUUUCUUCGGGCUUCUUUUGUUCUUGAGUAUUGGACUCCUAUGCAUCUUUUUAUGUCUUCUUUUGAGGUGUUGCAUCCUCAUAGCCUUGGUCCAAUUCUCUUCGCAUCCUGUGAACUAUAAUUAUAAACACUAGCAAACAUAUUAGUCCACAGGUUGUGUUAAUCAUCAAACACCAAAACUCAAUUAGCCAAAAGGCCUAGGGUCCAUUUUCCUUACACAGUGGAAGCCCUUUCUUUGUCCAAGUUCAAUUUUCCCUUUCAAUGCAAUUUUGAGACUAUAUCAAGAGUACUCAACAAACAAGUUAGUCUCAAGGGAGUCAAGUUGUAGCACAUCCUCCCCCUAAACAUGUGCAUCAUUUGCAUAGGGACUUGAAAGGUCCGGGGAUGACUUGUACAACUUGAGCACCAAAAAUAAGCAAUUAAAGACAUUAGUAACAUGAUCAGAGGCAUAGAACACAUGUAUGCUAUAGAUCAAUCCAAGUUACACGAAUCUAAGACAUUUAGCUCACUACACAACCUGCAAAACCUUUUCUCAUCUAAAGGCUUGGUGAAGAUAUCGGUUAGCUGGUUCUCGAUGCUAAUAUGGUAAAUAUCGAUAUCUCACCUUUGCUGGUGGUCUCUUAAAAGUGAUACCGGAUGUCUAUGCGCUUAGUGCGGCUGUGUUCAACAGGAUUAUCCGCCAAGCGAAUUGCAUCUCAUUAUCACAUAGGAGUGAGACUUUGCUCAUAUUGUAGCUAAAGUCCUGGAGGGUUUGCCUCAUCUAGAGCAGUUGCGCGCAACACUGUCCUGUGGCAACAUACUCGGCCUCGACAAUGGAUUGGGCAACAGAAGUUUGUUUCUGAAAGGGAAUUAGGCUUACACCUAUUUCCUAAUUGAUUUUGGUGGUUGAAUUGCCCAACACAAAUAAUUGGACUAACUAGUUUGCUCUAGUCUAUAAGUUCUACAGGUGCCAAAGGGUCACAAUAAGUCAAUAAAAAGAACAAGAAUGGGUUCAAUCAAAGAGAGCAAGGGACAACCGAAGUGUGCCCUGGUCUGGCGCACCGGACAGUGUCCGGUGCACCAGGGGACUCCAAGCUGAACUCAACACCUUUGGGAAAUUCAGAAGCGCUCCGCUAUAAUUCACCGGACUGUCCGAUGUACCACCAGACAGUGUCCGGUGCCCUAGAGGAGAGCGACUCUGAACUCGCCAGCUUCGGGAAUCCGCUCCGCUAUAAUUUACCGGACUGUCCGAUGAGUCACCAGACAAUGUCCGGUGCACAUCGGACUGUCCGGUGUGGCAGCGGAGCAACGGCUACUUCACGCUCAACGGUCGACUGCAACGCAUUAAAUGCGCGCCAGCGCGCGCAGGGGAGCAGAGCACGCACAGGUGGCACACCGAACAGCCUACAGGGCCUGUCCGGUGCACCACCGGACAGCUAGGCGGGCCCACAAGACAGAGCUCCAACGGUCGGAACCCAACGGCCUGGUGACGUGGCUGGCGCACCGGACAGUGUCCAGUGGCGCACCGGACUGUCCGGUGCGCCAUGCGACUGCAGCCUUCCAACAGCCACUUUUGGUGGUUGGGGUUAUAAAUACCCCAACCACCCCACAUUCAAGUCAUCCAAGUUUUCCACCUUCCAACUACUUACAAGAGCUCUAGCAUUCAAUUCUAGAUACACCAAAGUGAUCAAAUCCUCUCCCAAUUCCACACAAAGCUUUAGUGAUUAGUGAGAGAGAUUUGUUGUGUUCUUUUGAGCUCUUGCGCUUGGAUUGCUUCUUUCUUUCACUCUUUAUUGCGAUCAACUCAAUUGUAACCGAGGCAAGAGACACCAAUUGUGUGGUGGUCCUUGUGGGGAAGUUUGGUUCCCGUUUGAUUGAGAGAAGAAGCUCACUCGGUCCGAGGGACCGUUUGAGAGAGGGAAAGGGUUGAAAGAGACCCGGUCUUUGUGACCACCUCAACGGGGAGUAGGUUUGCGAGAACCGAACCUCGGUAAAACAAAUCCUUGUGUCUCACUUCUUUAUUCGCUUGCGAUUUGUUUUUACGCCCUCUCUCGGACUCGUUUCUAUUUCUAAUGCUAACCCGACUUGUAGUUGUGAUUAAAUUUAUAAAUUUCAGAUUCGCCCUAUUCACCCCCCUCUAGGCGACUUUCAAUUGGUAUCGGAGCCCGGUGCUUCAUUAGAGCUUAACCGCUCGAAGUGAUGUCGGGAGAUCACGCCAAGAAGGAGAUGGAGACCGGCGACAAGCCCACUACAAGCCACGGGAAAACUUCAUCGGAAGAGUUCCGCAACAAAGGGAAGGGGAAGGAGAAGAAAUCCUCUUCCCACAAGUCGCAUCGGAGAGGCGACAAGAAGAUGAGGAAAGUGGUCUACUACGAGACCGACACUUCAUCACCAUCGACCUCCGGCUCCGACGCGCCGUCUGUAACUUCUAAGCGCCAUGAGCGCAAGAAGUAUAGUAAGAUUCCCCUAUGCUACCCCCGUAUUUCAAAACGUACUCCUCUACUCUUCGUUCCAUUAGGCAAACCACCGGUUUUUGACGGUGAAUAUUAUAAUAUGUGGAGUGACAAAAUGAGGCAUCAUCUAACCUCACUCCACACAAGCAUUUGGAAUGUUGUUGAGUUUGGUGUACAGGUACCAUUCGUAGGGGAUGAAGACUACGACUCUAACGAAGUGGCCCAAAUUCACCACUUUAACUCCCAAGCCACCACUAUACUCCUCGCCUCUCUAAGUCGAGAGGAGUAUAAUAAGGUGCAAGGGUUAAAAAGUGCGAAGGAAAUUUGGGACGUACUCAAGACCGCACACGAAGGAGAUGAGGUGACCAAAAUCACCAAGCGAGAGACGAUCGAGGGGGAGCUCGGUCGGUUCCGACUUAACCAAGGCGAGGACCCUCAAGCCAUGUACAACCGGCUCAAAACCUUGGUGAACCAAGUGCGCAACCUCGGGAGCACAAAAUGGGAUGACCAUGAGAUGGUCAAGGUUAUUCUAAGAUCCCUCGUAUUUCUUAAUCCUACUCAAGUUCAAUUAAUUCAAGGCAAUCCUAGAUAUACACAAAUGACCCCCGAGGAAGUUAUAGGUAGUUUUGUGAGCUUUGAGUUGAUGAUCAAAGGCUCAAAGAAGAUCAUCGAGCUAGAUGGCCCCUCCGCGCCCGAAGCACAACCGGUUGCAUUCAAGGCGACGGAGGAGAAGAAGGAGGAGUCUACAUCAAGUAGACAACCAAUCGACGCCUCUAAGCUCAACAAUGAGGAGAUGACGCUCAUCAUCAAGAGCUUCCGCCAAAUCCUCAAGCAAAGGAGGGGGAAAGACUACAAGUCCCGCUCCAAGAAAGUUUGCUACAAAUGUGGUAAGCCUGGUCAUUUCAUUGCUAAAUGUCCAUUAUCUAGUGAUAGUGACAGGGGCGACGACAAGAAGGGGAGAAGAAAGGAGAAAAGGAGGUACUACAAGAAGAAGGGCGGCGAUGCCCAUGUGUGCCGCGAGUGGGACUCCGACGAGAGUUCCUCCGACUCCUCCUCCGACGAGGACGCCGCCAACAUCACCGUCACCAAGGGACUCCUCUUCCCCAACGUCGGCCACAAGUGCCUCAUGGCAAAGGACGGCAAAAAGAAGAAGGUUAAAUCCAAAUCCUCCACUAAAUAUGAGUCCUCUAGUGAUGAUAAUGCUAGUGAUGAGGAGGAUAAUUUGCGUACCCUUUUUGCCAACCUUAACAUGCAACAAAAGGAAAAGUUAAAUGAAUUAAUUAGUGCUAUUCAUGAGAAUGAUGACCUCUUGGGUUCUCAAGAGGACUUCCUAAUUAAGGAAAACAAGAAGCAUGUUAAGGUGAAAAAUGCUUAUGCUCUAGAAGUUGAAAAAUGUGAGAAAUUAACUAGUGAGCUAAGCACUUGCCAUGACACUAUUGCCAACCUUAGAAAUGAAAAUGCUAGAUUAAUUGCUAAGGUUGAUUCACAUGUUUGUGAUGUUUCAAUUCCCAAUCCUAGAAAUGAUAAUGUUGAUUUGCUUGCUAAGAUUGAAGAAUUAAACAUCUCUCUUGCCAGCCUUAGGAUUGAAAAUGAGAAAUUAAUUGCUAAGGCUAAAGAUUUUGAUGUUUGCAAUGUUACUAUUUCUAACCUUAGAAGUGAAAAUGACAUAUUACAUGCUAAGGUUGUGGAAUUAAAAUCUUGCAAACCCUCUACAUCUACCGUUGAGCAUACUUCUAUUUGCACUAGAUGUAGGGAUAUUGAUAUUGAUGCUAUUCGUGAUCAUAUGGCUUUAAUUAAACAACAAAAUGAUCAUAUAGCUAAACUAGAUGCUAAAAUUGCCGAGCAUGAACUUGAGAAUGAAAAAUUUAAAUUUGCUCGUAGUAUGCUUUAUAGUGGGAGACGCCCUGGCAUUAAGGAUGGCAUUGGCUUCCAAAAGGGGGACAAUGUCAAAAUUAAUGCUCCUCCUAAAAGAUUGUCUAAUUUUGUUAAGGGCAAGGCUCCCAUGUCUCAGGAUAACGAGGGUUACAUUUUGUACCCUGCCGGUUAUCCUGAGAGCAAAAUUAGGAGAAUUCACUCUAGGAAGUCUCACUCUGGCCCUAAUCAUGCUUUUAUGUAUAAGGGUGAGACAUCUAGCUCUAGGCAAUCAACCCAUGCUAAAUUGCCUAGAAAGAAAACUCCUAAUGCAUCAAAUGACCAUAGCAUUUCAUUCAAAACUUUCGAUGCAUCAUAUGUUUUAACUAACAAAUCCGGCAAGGUAGUUGCCAAGUUUGUUGGGGGCAAACACAAGGGAUCAAAAACUUGUGUUUGGGUACCCAAAGUUAUUGUGUCUAAUGCCAAAGGACCCAAAACCGUUUGGGUACCUAAAGUCAAGAACUAAACUUGUUUUGUAGGUUUAUGCAUCCGGGGGCUCAAGUUGGAUCAUCGAUAGCGGGUGCACAGACCACAUGACAGGGGAGAAGAAGAUGUUCUCCUCCUAUGAGAAAAACCAAGAUCCCCAAAGGGCAAUCACAUUUGGGGAUGAAAACCAAGGUUUGGUCAUAGGUUUGGGUAAAAUAGCUAUAUCUCCUGACCAUUCCAUUUCCAAUGUUUUUCUUGUUGAUUCAUUAGAUUACAAUUUGCUUUCUGUUUUGCAAUUGUGUCAAAUGGGCUACAACUGUCUAUUUACUGAUGUAGGUGUCACUGUCUUUAGAAGAAGUGAUGAUUCAGUAGCAUUUAAGGGAGUGUUAGAGGGUCAGCUAUACUUGGUAGAUUUUGAUAGAGCUGAACUCGACACUUGCUUAAUUGCUAAGACUAACAUGGGUUGGCUCUGGCACCGCCGACUAGCCCAUGUUGGGAUGAAGAAACUUCAUAAGCUUCUAAAGGGAGAGCACAUUCUAGGAUUAACAAAUGCUCAUUUUGAGAAAGACAGGGUUUGUAGCGCAUGCCAAGCAGGGAAGCAAGUUGGCGUUCAUCAUCCACAUAAGAACAUCAUGACGACUGACAGGCCACUGGAGCUCCUACACAUGGAUCUAUUCGGCCCGAUCGCUUACAUAGGCAUCGGCGGGAGUAAGUACUGUCUAGUUAUUGUGGAUGAUUAUUCUCGCUUCACUUGGGUGUUCUUUUUGCAGGAAAAAUCUCAAACCCAAGAGACCUUAAAGGGAUUCUUGAGACGGGCUCAAAAUGAGUUCGGCUUGAGGAUCAAGAAAAUAAGAAGCGACAACGGGACGGAGUUCAAGAACUCUCAAAUUGAAGGCUUCCUUGAGGAGGAGGGCAUCAAGCAUGAGUUCUCUUCUCCCUACACGCCACAACAAAAUGGUGUAGUGGAGAGGAAGAAUAGAACUCUACUGGACAUAGCGAGAACCAUGCUUGAUGAGUACAAGACAUCGGAUCGGUUUUGGGCCGAGGCGGUCAACACCGCCUGCUACGCCAUCAACCGGUUGUAUCUACACCAAAUCCUCAAGAAGACAUCAUAUGAACUCCUAACCGGUAAAAAGCCCAAUAUUUCAUAUUUUAGAGUCUUUGGUAGCAAAUGCUUUAUACUUGUUAAAAGAGGUAGAAAAUCUAAAUUUGCUCCUAAGACUGUAGAAGGCUUUUUACUAGGAUAUGAUUCAAACACAAGGGCAUAUAGAGUCUUGAACAAGUCCUUAGGACUAGUUGAAGUUUCUUGUGACGUUGUGUUUGAUGAGACUAACGGCUCUCAAGUAGAGCAAGUUGAUCUUGAUGAGAUAGGUGAAGAAGAGGCCCCGUGCAUCGCGCUAAGGAACAUGUCCAUUGGGGAUGUGUGUCCUAAGGAAUCCGAAGAGCCUCCAAAUGCACAAGAUUAACCAUCCUCCUCCACGCAAGCAUCUCCACCAACUCAAAUUGAGGAUGAGGCUCACGAUGAUGAAGAAGAAGAUCAAAAGGAUGAGCCCCCUCAAGAUGACGACAAUAAUCAAGGGGGAGACGCAAAUGAUCAAGAUAAGGAGGAUGAAGAACCAAGACCGCCACACCCAAGAGUCCACCAAGCAAUCCAACGAGAUCACCCCGUCGACACCAUCCUCGGCGACAUUCAUAAGGGGGUAACCACUAGAUCUCGGGUUGCACAUUUUUGUGAGCAUUACUCUUUUGUUUCCUCUAUUGAGCCACACAGGGUAGAGGAAGCACUACAAGAUUCGAAUUGGGUGGUGGCGAUGCAAGAGGAGUUCAACAACUUCACGAGAAACGAGGUAUGGCAUUUAGUUCCACGUCCUAACCAAAAUGUUGUAGGAACCAAGUGGGUCUUCCGCAACAAACAAGACGAGCAUGGUGUGGUGACAAGGAACAAAGCUCGACUUGUGGCCAAGGGAUACUCCCAAGUCGAAGAUUUGGAUUUUGGUGAAACCUAUGCACCCGUAGCUAGGCUUGAGUCAAUUCGUAUAUUAUUAGCCUAUGCUACUUACCAUGGCUUCAAGCUUUACCAAAUGGACGUGAAAAGUGCCUUCCUCAACGGACCAAUCAAGGAAGAGGUCUAUGUUGAGCAACCUCCCGGCUUUGAAGACAGUGAGUACCCUAACCAUGUCUAUAGGCUCUCUAAGGCGCUUUAUGGGCUCAAGCAAGCCCCAAGAGCAUGGUAUGAAUGCCUAAGAGACUUCCUUAUUGCUAAUGGCUUCAAAGUCGGAAAGGCCGAUCCUACUUUAUUUACUAAAACUCUUGACAAUGAUUUGUUUGUAUGCCGAAUUUAUGUUGAUGAUAUCAUAUUUGGGUCUACUAACAAAUCUACUUGUGAGGAAUUUAGUAGGAUCAUGACACAAAAAUUCGAGAUGUCAAUGAUGGGGGAGUUGAAGUAUUUCUUAGGAUUUCAAGUGAAGCAACUCCAAGAGGGCACCUUCAUUAGCCAAACGAAGUAUACUCAAGACAUUCUAAACAAGUUUGGAAUGAAGGAUGCCAAGCCCAUCAAGACUCCCAUGGGAACCAAUGGGCAUCUCGACCUCGACACGGAAGGUAAAUCCGUCGAUCAAAAGGUAUACCGGUCGAUGAUUGGUUCAUUACUCUAUUUAUGUGCAUCUCGAUCGGACAUUAUGCUUUCCGUAUGCAUGUGUGCAAGAUUCCAAGCCGACCCUAAGGAAGCUCACCUUACGGCCAUAAAACGAAUCUUGAGAUAUUUGGCUUAUACUCCUAAGUUUGGGCUUUGGUAUCCUAGUGGAUCCUCAUUUGAUUUAAUUGGUUAUUCGGAUGCCGAUUGGGCGGGGUGUAAAAUUAAUAGAAAGAGCACAUCGGGGACUUGCCAGUUCUUGGAAAGAUCCUUGGUGUCUUGGGCUUCAAAGAAGCAAAAUUCCGUAGCUCUUUCUACCACCGAAGCCGAGUACAUUGCCGCAGGUCAUUGUUGCGCGCAAUUGCUUUGGAUGAGGCAAACCCUUAGGGACUAUGGUUACAAAUUAACCAAAGUUUCUCUUCUAUGUGAUAAUGAGAGUGCAAUCCGCAUGGCGGAUAAUCCCGUUGAGCAUAGCCGCACUAAACACAUAGCCAUUCGGUAUCAUUUUCUUAGGGAUCACCAACAAAAGGGAGAUGUCGAGAUUGCAUACAUUAAUACUAAAGAUCAAUUAGCCGAUAUCUUUACCAAGCCACUAGAUGAACAAACUUUUACCAAACUUAGACAUGAGCUAAAUAUUCUUGAUUCUAGGAAUUUCUUUUGAUGUUUUGCACACAUAGAUCAUAAGUAUACCUUUGAUCAUGUCUCUUUUAUAUGGUAUGACUAAUGUGUUUUCAAGUGUAUUUCAAACCAAGUCAUAGGUGUAUUGAAAGGGAAUUGGAGUCUUCGGCGAAGACAAAGGCUUCCACUCCACUCCAUCAAUUACUCACCCUUCGCCGUCGCCCCGAGCAACUCUCCGUCUUUGGUAUAAUCUUCACUCAUAUUAUUGUUUGCCAAAGGAGGAGAAAGUAGUUCUUAAGGGCUUAUAUUUCACUCUAAGUAUCCGUUUUUGGCGAUUCAUGCCAAAGGGGGAGAAAGUAUUAGCCCAAAGCAAAAGGACCGCACCACCAUAUUUUAAAAAGAGUUUUUCAAAUUGGUAUCUUAUUAUAUCCAAAAAGGGGGAGAAAGUAGCAUCUUCAAAAAUUGGUAUCUCAAAACCCUCUUGAACACUAAGAGGAGAAUUUUAUUGAAGGAGAGUUUUGUUUAGUCAAAGGAAAAUCAUUCGAAACAGGGGGAGAAAAUUUUCAAAUCUUAUAAAUGCUUCUCAAAAUUCUUAUUCAUUUAUCUUUGACUAUUUGCAAAAGGUCUUUGAAAAAAUUUUCCAAAACUUUGCAAAAACAAAACAUGUGGUGCAAGCGUGGUCCAAAAUGUUAAAAUAAUAAAGAAACAAUCCAUGCAUAUCCUAUGAUAAUAUUUAUUGGCUCAAUUCUAAGUAACCUUUGCACUUACAAUUAUGCAAACUAGUUCAAUUCUGCUCUUUUAUAUUUGCUUUGGUUUGUGUUGGCAUCAAUCACCAAAAAGGGGGAGAUUGAAAGGGAAUUAGGCUUACACCUAUUUCCUAAUUGAUUUUGGUGGUUGAAUUGCCCAACACAAAUAAUUGGACUAACUAGUUUGCUCUAGUCUAUAAGUUCUACAGGUGCCAAAGGUUCACAAUAAGUCAAUAAAAAGAACAAGAAUGGGUUCAAUCAAAGAGAGCAAGGGACAACCGAAGUGUGCCCUGGUCUGGCGCACCGGACUGUCCGGUGCGCCACCGGACAGUGUCCGGUGCACCAGGGGACUCCAAGCUGAACUCAACACCUUCGGGAAAUUCAGAAGCGCUCCACUAUAAUUCAUCGGACUGUCCGGUGUACCACCGGACAGUGUCUGGUGCCCCAGAGGAGAGCGACUCUGAACUCGCCAGCUUCAGGAAUCCGCUCCGCUAUAAUUCACCGGACUGUCCGGUGAGUCACCGGACAAUGUCCGGUGCACACCGGACUGUCCAGUGUGGUAGCGGAGCAACGGCUACUUCACGCUCAACGGUCGACUGCAACGCAUUAAAUGCGCGCCAGCGUGCGCAGGGGAGCAGAGCACGCGCGGGUGGCACACCGGACAACCUACAGGGCCUGUCCGGUGCACCACCGGACAGCCAGGCGGGCCCACAAGACAGAGCUCCAACGGUCGGAACCCAACGGCCUGGUGACGUGGCUAGCGCACCGGGCUGUCCGGUGUGCCAUGCGACUGCAGCCUUCCAACAACCACUUUUGGUGGUUGGGGUUAUAAAUACCCCCAACCACCCCAAAUUCAAGUCAUCCAAGUUUUCCACCUUCCAACUACUUACAAGAGCUUUAGCAUUCAAUUCUAGACACACCAAAGUGAUCAAAUCCUCUCCCAAUUCCACACAAAGCUUUAGUGAUUAGUGAGAGAGAUUUGUUAUGUUCUUUUGAGCUCUUGCGCUUGGAUUGCUUCUUUCUUUCACUCUUUCUUGCAAUCAACUCAAUUGUAACCGAGGCAAGAGACACCAAUUGUGUGGUGGUCCUUGCGGGGAAGUUUGGUUCCCGUUUGAUUGAGAGAAGAAGCUCACUCGGUCCGAGGGACCGUUUGAGAGAGGGAAAGGGUUGAAAGAGACCUGGUCUUUGUGACCACCUCAACGGGGAGUAGGUUUGCGAGAACCGAACCUCGGUAAAACAAAUCCUUGUGUCUCACUUCUUUAUUCGCUUGCGAUUUGUUUUUACGCCCUCUCUCGGACUCGUUUCUAUUUCUAACGCUAACCCGGCUUGUAGUUGUGAUUAAGUUUAUAAAUUUCCGAUUCGCCCUAUUCACCCCCCUCUAGGCGACUUUCAGUUUCUUAGAGCUCCAAGACACCAGGGAUCUUCCUAGAAACUAACAAGUCCCGAAUGUGCUCUUCCUAUCAACCUUGCACCCGGCAUAGUCGGAAUCUGAGUAUCUGAUUAAGUCAAAGGUAGACCCCUUUGGAUACCAAAUCCCGAAGCAAGGCAUAGAAACCAAAUAUCUAAGAAUUCGCUUAACGACCACAAGGUGACAUUCCUUGGGAUCGGAUUGAAAUCUAGCACACAUGCAUACACUUAGCAUAAUAUCCGGUCUACUGGCACAAAGAUAAAGCAAAGAUCCUAUCAUAGACCGAUAUGCCUUUUGAUCAAUGGACUGACCUCCUUUGUUGAGGUCUAGAUGUUUGUAUGUUCCCAUCGGUGUCUUUGCGGGCUUUGCAUCCUUCAUCCCAAACCUCUUGAGCAAAUCUUGAGUAUACUUUGUUUGGGAGAUGAAGGUUCUUUCCUUGAGUUGCUUCACUUGAAAUCCAAGGAAGUAGUUUAACUCGCCAAUCAUUGACAUCUCAAAUUUCUGUAUCAUCACCCUGCUAAACUCUUCACAAGACUUUUGAUUAGUAGAACCAAAUAUUAUGUCAUCGACAUAUAUUUGGCAUACAAAGAGAUCACCAUUACAAGUCUUAGUAAAGAGAGUAGGAUCAGCUUUCCCAACCUUGAAAGCAUUAGAAAUAAGGAAAUCUCUAAGGCAUUCAUACCAUGCUCUUGGGGCUUGCUUAAGUCCAUAGAGCGCCUUAGAGAGCUUGUAGAUGUGGUCGGGAUACCUGUCAUCCUCAAAGCCAGAGGGUUGUUUCACAUAUACUUCCUCCUUGAUUGGUCCAUUAAGGAAGGUGUUCUUCACGUCCAUUUGAAAUAACUUAAAAGAGUGGUGAGCAACAUAGGCCAAUAAUAUUCGAUUUGAUUCUAGCCUAGCUACAGGAGCAAAAGUCUCCUCAAAAUCCAAACCUACGACUUGGGCAUAACCUUUUGCCACAAGUCGAGCCUUGUUUCUUGUCAACACAUCGUGUUCAUCUUGCUUGUUGUGGAACACCCACUUGGUUCCCACAACAUUUUGCUUCGGACGUGGCACCAGGCUUCAAACUUCAUUUCUCUUGAAGUUGUUGAGCUCUUCCUGCAUGGCCAACACCCAGUCCGGGUCCUACAAGGCUUCUUCUACCCUGAAAGGCUCAAUAGAAGAAACAAACGAGUAAUGCUCACAAAAAUUAGAUAAACGUGAGCGAGUGGUUACUCCCUUGCUAAUAUCACCCAGAAUUUGAUCUACUGGAUGAUUUCUUUGAAUUAUCGUCUGGACUUGUGUUGGAGGAGCUUGUGGUGCUUCUCCCUCCUCAUCCUGUUCUUCAUGUGCUCCCCCUUGAUCCAGCCCUUCAUCUUGAGGUACCUGUUCCUCACCUUGAGUUGGGAGAUGCACCAAAGUAGAGGAAGAAGGUUAAACUUGCUCUUGUUGUUCCCGCGGUCGCACAUCACCUAUUGCCAUUGUUCGCAUUGCGGUCGUCGGAACCUCAUCCUCAUCUACAUCAUCAAGAUCAACUUGCUCUCUAGGAGAGCCAUUAGUUUCAUCAAAUACAACGUCGCUAGAGACUUCAACUAAUCCUGAUGACUUGUUGAAGACCCGAUACACCUUUGUAUUUGAGUCAUAACCUAGUAAAAACCCUUCUACAAGAUUGGGAGCAAACUUUGAAUGCCUACCUUUCUUUACCAAGAUGUAGGAUUUGCUCCCAAAUACAUGAAAAUAAGAAAUGUGACGGAACCUCCCAAAGUCAUUAGGCCCACCUACAAUUGUCCUUAUACAAUGGGCCUUGGGCAACCCUGUAGAUAUACAUAAUCACUCGACAAGUUCAGUAUCUGUACCCUUUUCCUUUCCCAAGAGCGUUUCACCUGUCACACAGAUAUUACAACACAUCGGAGGAACGAAUAAGCGGAAGUGAAUUACAAUAACUUAAUUUACAUUCAUUAAUAUAUAGAAAGAGUAUUAUUAUUACAUCACCAGGUUAUAAGAGUGCAUAAGUAUUAUUAUUACAAACUUGGGAGGCAAAAACCCUCCCGCAUAAAAGUAUAUUGUUUUUCAAAAGGAAGGACCACGUCCUUCCGCAACCACGUUACUGCUGAGGCUCAUCUUUGGGUACCAUGUCCUUGGGCACCACCUUAGUGCAAAAACAUAAAAGCCUGUUGUUUCUUCACCUACAACAACAUGGGUUCGAAAACCCUGAGUACGAAGUGUACUUUCGCAAGUCUUACCCGUCAAAAUAAAAGACUCUCAAGGAUAUGCUGGCUUAAGGGAGUCAACGUAAGGCUUAAUCAAGAAUGAAGACUCUAUGUGCAAAAAUGCUUACUAAUAGUGGAUCCUUAAAACCCAGUUUUAUUAGCAAGUUAAGUCAUUACCUGUCACUAGAAUUCUUUCUAUCCUAGUUCAAGCACUUGGCCUAUACUAGCCAUCCUUUUAUCAACCCUUCUUGUUCACUGGAAUGCUACAUGUAAGUCAGUGACCAAGUCUUCAUGUCCGAGAAGUAACGGCGAUCCGAAUCGAUUAAUACUCAGCUGAGGAUCUCCAAUCACACGACAUAUGUAGAACUUAACCCUUGCAUAUGUCAACUCGCCACCGGGGUUCUUAAGACCAGACCGGGUUCACGCCAACCGAGAGCACAGAUACACCACCGUCCAGCCUCUUGCCACAGAGGGUAGACGCUACUCUCGCCAUCUCUCCACUCCCAUUGCGUGUUGGCCUUUCUGGUAUUAGUCUGCCCGAGGCAAAGCUUACCCAUGACGAGGCAUGUGACCAGUUAAAGGGUCCUCGAUCAGCAGGCCCACAUCGAGACGGUCCUUAAUCGACUCAGACGGAGACACUACACCAAGACUUUCUUCUCGUGCAAGUCACCAGCCCGGUCUCAGCUUUAUCAUUUCAAACCCAAAGUUUGGUACCUGGCAGAGGUACGUCUUUUCCGAUGUUGAACCCAUCAUGGCCAUGAUGGAUCCACCAUCAAGUUUUAUUUUUGAAAACAUCCCAUCCACUGUGAAGCAUCACCUUUUGUUUAAACAAAACAUUUGUUUUUAUAAAGCAAGACUAAGCAUCAGAAAAACCUUUUGAAUAAAACAGGUAAUCAAAGAAUGGUAAACAGUUCCAUGGAAGGAAAUGCAACAAUUGGUUUAACACCCAACUCCUAUCACCUAAUGCAUCAUUCAAGUGAUAAAGAGUUUUUAAAUAGCAAGGAGGUGGGAAAUGCACCGGGGCUUGCCUUGUGUUGUAGGAGAGUCAGGCUCUGUUCCACAAAUAUCAAAAUAAAAACAGUUCCCGACAGGUGGAUUUUUUGCUGAUGGAGUAGUCUCUUCCUCUUCAACAGUCACUUCUUCCUCGUUUUCUAUAUAUAUAACCAUAUAUAACCAUGAAUGCUCAUGUAAUGCUUAUAAAAAUGCAAUAAUAGAGAAACUAUACUAAGUUGUAUCUUGAAUACAACUUUCCUUCACGGUGCACUAGGGUAACAGGGGUUUUUCUAGGCCAGUGCCUUAGUAGGGUUAGACAAUUUACCCUAAGGAACUAGGGUUUUUGGUUUAGGAAUCUAACAAUGUCCAAAGCAUAUCAAACUUUGCCCAUGGGUUCUAAGUACCAAAAUAAGUUCACCCAAAAAGUUUUAUGAUUUUUGGGGCUAUUAAAUAAUUCCUAAAAUUCCAGAGGUAUAGGUUUAAGCUCUUUUAAAUACUAAUUAAUUCCUUGUUUGGACUAAAAAUCCUAGAACCAUUUUUAUUAAAUACUAGAGAAAUCUAGGAAUCCAACAAAAUUAGUUUCAUAUUUUAUCAUUUUUCUAUAAUUUUCUAUGGAUUUCCUAAGUCUGGCAAAAAAAGGAAAAGCAUCAACAGUGAUGGGCUCAAUUUAACCCGAGCCGGCCCAAGAGAUGCAGAACGCGCCCGCGUUGCCGGAUUUGCACAGGUGACCUUGGUGAUUUGAAAAACCCGUUAAUAGUCCCGCACACUGUUCCUAUGGGUCACUGACUCUUUACGCAGAGGCCCUUCAUUUUCUAAUUCUUCACGGACUGAAGUCCUCGACUGAGGACGUCAGAGCAGCGGCUCCGGCGAGCCUGUACCGGCCAAGAUACGCAAUGACCGGUGCUCUGGAGUGGUUGACACCUAAUUCGACCCCUAAUAACCAUUUUCCCUCAACCAAUUUCAAGGUUCUAGCCCCUAAUAUCUCUGCCCAUGGUGACAGUGCGACCAACGGACAACCCGAAGCGUUCCCGGUGAUCCUACGUGUUCUAGCUCAAUUGGCCGGGCCGAGAAGCAUCACAAGCACACAGGGAUGCUAAAACAAGAGCAAGGAGGGCGUGAUUGGACCUGUGGAGGGCUGACCACAACGAGCUCACACACGCGGUGUUCUUGAUUGAUUUGGGGGAAAUCUCAAAUUGGGGCGUUCUGGUGGACGAUCCGUGGCACGAGCUGGUGUAUUGGGUGCGUGACUACCUAGCGGAGCCGAUGACACGCUCAAUUUAUAGGCCUCGAGGGCGGUGGCGCCUGAAUUUAACAUGGCGAGGUGGCGGCCGGAGAGAGGGGAGAGCACUGGUGGCUUAAUCAUGGCGUUCACCGGUGCAACGUCUCAAGGAUUGUAAUUCUAAGGGUGCCACGGUUACUUCCGCACAGUAGCGAGUCACGGCGUGGCAUAACCGAGGUCACCGGAGUUUCCACGGCAACACCGGCGGUCUGGCCACGUCGCACGGCUACAGGCGCGAUGAUAAGCUUCCGCCGCGACCAAAACCGCUCCCCCGCGAGAUCUUUUUUCCUCCCCGUGAAUAUCCACUGCGUGCCAAGCACGAACCACGGCGACCGACGUGAAUCUGAGCGCACGGGUCACCGGCAGCGAGGGGGGCUAUAUCUGUGAUCUUUGUCAGGCACUGUACCAUUGGGAUCCCAUUCAAAGUGCCUAACAGAGCUGAAUGAAACGCCUUAUUCGCCAAUUCUUAUGUGACAACAUGAUCUUCAACCUAUAGAGAAAUUGUUGUCCUAUAAUCCCUCUCUAACUUUGUUAUAGUAUCCACAAUGAAAUAGUCAUAGGAUCCUACUCAAAAUCACUCACCAAGUUCAUCCAACUCCACUGUUUCUCAGAAUUCAGUCUAAUGGCCGAUUGACAGCUAGACUUUAGGGCUAUUUAUCUCUAGAUUUUGUAUGUCAACAAUGCUUAACCACUUAAGCAAAGUUACGCUCCUAUAGUAGAUCUAUAAUCUUGAUGCAUUGACCCUAGGCAAAUUCCUUAUGGAUUAAGAGAUACAAGGCUCCAAAGAUGCCUCAAGCUCACUGAAUUUCACACUUAACCCAAUAGGGUUUAAGUGGUGCUUUUUGAAAAUAAGUCCAAAUACCAUAAUUUGAUUUGAAAAUCCUCAAAUGUGUGAAACAUAUGAUUGGUGGUGCUCUUAAUACUUUGGUUUUUGCACUUGGUUCCAAAAGUGCACAAAAUUUACACUUAGCCCCCUAGGGUUCUAGUUUAGGGUUUUCUAGGGGUCUUUUUAGGGGUUUUAACACUUUAGGGUUUUAUGGUCACUAAAGUCUAUCAAAUGUGAUAUCUUAUGAUCAUGUCUUAUGUCUUUUAAGGCUUUCAAAUAUUUGGGCUUUAUUUAUAUCCAUAAGCCAUGAUAUGAGGUUAAGCACUUUAUCCGAGGGUUAACCAUACAUCAAGUCACAUUAGUACAACUUGAUUUGAAAUUUUUACCUAGUGAAUGCACUCUAGGUGUAACAAACACAUGAUAUGCCAAUGCACAUGAUGUUAUGCUCAAGUUUUAGUAACAGUAACACCAGGGGUGUUACAUCCUUCCCCCCAUAAAAGAAUCUCGUCCCGAGAUUUAAAGUCCUAGGGCAAGUAGUGGAAAAGGAAACACGUCAUAUUUUUAUUUCCUUAUUUCUUGUACAAGGCAGGGGUGGCAUGGGGUCUAUUUCAUCUUUACAAGCAUUUGUACAUAUCUCAUAAUUUACAUGAAGCUAAAAAGCCAAGGAAGUUCUAUUCUAAGAAGUCUUGGGUUUCCCAUGUAGCUUAAUCUUCCGUAUGUUGGUUCCAUUGUAUCUUAUAAAAUUUGAGAACUCUUCUUUGGGUGACCCUGUCCUUUUGAUCCAGGACUCGAAUGGGAUGUUCUGAAUAUGUCAAAUCUGGUUCUAAGGUAACAUCCAUCACACCAAUGGUUCGAUAUGGGACCCGAAGACAUUUCUUCAAUUGGGAUACGUGGAACACAUUGUGCACUGCAGACAAUGUUUCGGGUAGUUGGAGUCGGUAUGCCACUGGUCCACAUCUUUCAAGAAUAGGAAACGGACCAAUGUACCGAGGUGCAAGCUUUCCUUUUACACCGAAACAAGAUACACCCUUCACUGGUGAUACUUUCAGGUAAACAUAAUCUUCAACUUGAAAGUACAAGGGUUGGCAGCGUUUGUCUGCAUAACUCUUUUGCCGAGCUUGUGCUUCUUUCAGGUUACGUAUGAUUCGUUGAACCUUUUCUUCCAUUUCUUUCACCGUAUCAGACCUGAAAAACCACCUUUCUCCUGGUUCAGACCAAUUCAAUGGAGUACGGCACCGUCGUCCAUACAAAGCUUCAAAGGGUGCCAUCUUGAUGCUCUCUUGAUAGCUAUUGUUAUAUGAAAACUCUGCCAAUGGUAAGCAUUCAUCCCAUUUCUGUGGGAACUCCAGAACGCAUGCUCGCAACAUGUCUUCAAGUAUUUGAUUUACUCUCUUUGUCUGCCCACUUGUUUGGGGAUGAUAGGCCGAACUAUGGAGCAACUUAGUACCUAGGGACUUAUGUAGUGCUUCCCAAAACUUGGAUACGAAUUGCGGUCCGCGAUCUGACACUAUUGUCUUUGGAACUCCGUGCAGACUAAGGAUAUGAGCAAUAUAUAACUGAGCAUAGACAACAACUGGGUGAUCUGUCUUGACGGGCAGAAAAUGGGCUACCUUGGUAAGCCAAUCAACUAUAACCCAAAUAUAAUCAAAUCCUUUUGCUGUCCUGGGUAAUCCCACAAUGAAGUCCAUGCUAAUGUCCUCCCAUUUCCAAGUUGGGAUGGGCAAAGAUUGCAGUGGACCAGUAGUCUUCAUGUGUAUGGCUUUGACACAUCUACAGGUGUCACAUCUCGCCACAUAGCGUGCAAUUUCGAUCUUCAUUUUUGUCCACCAAUAAUGUUGCUUUAAAUCUUGAUACAUCUUAGUGCUUCUGGGAUGAAUGGAAUAUCGACUAAGAUGAGCUUCGUCCAAUAUUUUCUGGCGGACUUCAUCAUCCUUAGGCACAACUAUGCGGUUAUUAAACCCUACCAUGCCUUGAUCAUCCUUUCUGAAACAAUUUGCUUUACCGACUUUUAUUUUCUCAUGAAUAUGUUUCAUACCCUUAUCGCUUCUUUAUGCAUCAAUAAUUCUUUGCAGAAGAACCGACUCAAGCUUCAAUUGGUUCAAUGUUCCAUGUUGAAUCAUUCCCAGGUUUAAUUUCUCCAUUUCUUGACAUAAUGUGAUGUCAGAGGCCUUUACUAUAAGACAAUGGCAAGAAGCCUUGCGACUUAGUGCAUCUGCCACCACAUUGGCCUUGCCUGGGUGAUAGUGAAUCUCUAAUUCAUAAUCCUUAAUUAGCUCAAGCCAUCUUCUCUGCCUCAUGUUUAGUUCUGACUGGGUAAACAUAUACUUCAAACUUUUAUGAUCUGUAUAUAUAUGGCAGAUAUUUCCCAGCAGAUAAUGACGCCAUAUUUUAAGGGCAUGAACCACAACAGCUAAUUCUAAGUCAUGAGUUGGAUAAUGUUCCUCAUGCCGGCACAACUGUCUUGAAGCAUAUGCUAUAACUCAGCCCUCUUGCAUUAAGACACAUCCGAGGCCACUGCCCGAUGAGUCACAGUACACAUCAAAAGGCUUUUCAAUGUCCGGUUGAGCCAAUACCGGAGCAGUGGUCAACAAUACCUUCAGCUGCUCGAAGGCUUCGUUGCAUCUUGAGGACCAGUUAAAUUUUGUAUCAUUCUUCAAUAGACUUGUGAUUGGCUUCACAAUCUUGGAGAAAUCCGGGAUAAAUCUGCGGUAAUAGCCAGCCAGUCCAAGGAAACUUCGAACUUGAUGUACAAUGGUUGGCGGUUUCCAUUCAAGAAUAUCUGUGACCUUGCUGGGAUCAACCGCAAUCCCAUUUGCAGACAAUACAUGUCCCAAAAAUUGGAUUUCCUCCAGCCAAAACGCGCACUUGCUAAAUUUAGCAUAUAAUUGAUGUUCCCUUAAGCGCGUUAAUACGAUCCGUAAAUGUUUAGCAUGCUCCUCUUCAUUCUUGGAAUAAGUCAAAAUAUCAUCAAUGAAGACCACCACAAAUUUGUCCAACUCGGGCAUAAAUACCGAGUUUAUCAGAUAUGUGAAGUGGGCAGGAGCAUUCGUCAAUCUGAAGGACAUAACCAAAUAUUCGAAUAGUCCGUACCGCAUAGUAAAUGCGGUCUUGGGUAUAUCUUUGGGUCGGAUACGGAAAUGAUGAUAGCCCGACUUGAGGUCAAUUUUGGAGAAUACCCGUGCUCCAGUAUGUUGAUCGAACAAGAUAUCGAUUCGGGGAAGAGGGUACUUGUUCUUGAUCGUGACCUCAUUAAGGGGUCUGUAGUCCAUGCACAUUCGAAGCGUUUGAUCCUUCUUCUUGACAAAGAUUGCGGGACAUCCCCAAGGUGACGAACUGGGCUGAAUGAAUCCCUUCUCAAGCAAGUCUUGUAUUUGUGUCUUGAGUUCUGCCAAUUCAUUUGGCGGCAUCCGAUACGAUCUUCUAGAAAUAGGGGUUGUACCGGGCUUCAGCUCAAUCACAAAUUAUACAUCAUUUUCUAGAGGUAAUCCAGGCAGAUCUUCAGGAAAUACAUCUAGAAAUUCACAUACUACCGGAAUAUCCUGGAUUUCUGGAAUGAUAGCUUCAUAGACCCGUCCAAAUGGUUUAGCUGGAAUAUCUACAGGGAUGGACAGGAGAACCUCUUCAUGGCCAUGACUCAACUUGAUAGUCCUUAAGUCAGUGUUAAGGAUAGCUUUGUGCUGGGCUAACCAAUUCAUGCCCAGAAUUACAUCUAUAUCUUGGCCUUUCAAAACAAUCAUGUUGGUGGGAAAAUCCCAUUCAGCCAAUGUUACUGGGACAUGGAAGGCUACUUCCUUAGUAAAUAUUUGUCCCCCGGGCAAAUGGAUGAUAAACCCUUCCCUUGAUUCAGGGCAAUGAAUGCAAUAUUUUCCACAAAUUUCUUACUUAUGAAUGUAUGCGAAGCCCCAGAAUCAAAGAGAAUUACUGCUUGGUGAUUAGCCACAAGGAACGUACCCAUCAUUACCGGCUCUCCUUCCGGUGUAGUGGCCACUUGCGUGUAAUAAAUUCGCCCAGUCUUCUUCGCAUUUUUGCCCGCUGAAUUAUUUGCCAUGUUCCCUUUGCCUUGAUUUGAGGUCCCUGAGUUUUGCUGAUUGUUGGACUUAGUCUGCCUUAGGUAUGGGCAGUCUUUGAUAAAAUGACCAGACUUCACACAGUUGAAGCAGCCAGUUGAGGAGCUAGGGAGGGCGGGGAAACGAGCACCAGGGGCACUUGGCUGAUUUGUAGAAGUGGGGGCAGUGGUAGGACGAAUGAAAACAGACUGUUUAAACGGAUAGGAGGGUGGACAAGGCGAAGAACGAUUCUGAUUGAAAGGCCGGAUUACCAACCUUGUUCGCUUCUCAGCUCCCUGAUUGGACCUAUCACCUCCAAAUCCCUUGGAUUUUCCUUGGCCUGUAUUCUUGGCUUCUACUGCCAGCGUCAUGCUGACAGCCCUGUUGUAUGUAAGAUCUAGGCAGGUGGCCAUUUUCCUUCAGAGCCGGUUGUUGAGUCCUCUCAUAAAGCAGUUCUUCUUUUUCAGGUCAAUGUUUACUUGGUCAAUUGCAUAUUGGGAUAAAUGAUUAAAUUUGUUGAGAUACUGCAUCACAGUAUCCCCUCCUUGUUUCAGUCGAAUGAAUUCCUCUUGUUUCAUGUGAAGCACUCCUUCUAGAAUAUAGUGCUCAUGGAAUGCCAAUUUAAAUUCAUCCCAAGUGAUCUAAUGUCCGGCUUGUUGAAUCGCCACAAAAUUUCCCCACCUGGUACUGGUAGGACCUCUUAGUUGUUGGGCGACGAACAACGGCUUCUGUGUUUCGGUGCAGCGGAUUAAUCCGAACUUCUGCUCCAUUACCCUGAUCCACUCAUCAGCUUCAAGAGGAUCUUCAGCUUUAACAAAGAGUGGGGGACGCAUUUCAAAGAAGUCUAGGUAUGAGGUUUCAUGCGGUCCCUAGGGAGGAGCCCUUCCGCCUUGCUGCUGAAAUUGGUUACCCACCAUUUCACGUACGAAGCGGGUAUUAUCGGCAGUCGCAUUAACCAAGGCAGCGAUAGCCUCGUCCAGCGUUGGUGGUACAGGUGGUGGAUUAGGAGUGUCUUCCCGACCACUGGAAAUACCCGCACCGUCAUGCGCACGAGUCCUUGAUGGCAUCUAAGGCAAAGAAACAUUUGGGAAAAAUAUAACAUGUCGAUACACACCAUCAUUUUACAUUACCAAAACGUAAUGAUACAGACUCAAGUGUACAACAUGACUUCAUUAUUUAUUUUACAAAGGUAUAUCUUCUAAACUAUACUAGUCUAGUCUUCGUCGUCCUUGGUUUCUUCAUUUCCGUCCGUGAGAGACCGAUCGUCAGUCAGGUUCAUGGAAGGAGGAGGCCUAAAAAAGUCUAGCUCCUCAUCAGUUCCUUCACCUGCUGUCCUUGAUGGACCGACUCCCAUUGGAACAGGGUUAGUAGGUACGUUCGGGUGCAGUCGCAAAUACAGUACAUGCACUUCCUCAUGUAGAGUAUUGCAAUAUACCUGCAAGUUGUCAAGGGCCGCACUAAGCUCGGUCACACGAGCACGAGCCUUGGCUUCCCGAUCCCAAGCAACCGAACGUGAGUUGACGACCCAAUCGACUGCCAGGUCUCGUUCAACAAGCUUGUCUUGCAGGUGUCUAACGUCAGCUGCCAACUCAUUUAUACGCUAACCAUCUUCUGCCCACACCUUGUUUCGGUGACGUAACUCCGUUCGAAGUUGUUCCACUUGGGCUUCUAAGUCUCCGAUUGGAUUGUUGUUGCCGCUGCUGCUCCCUUCAUGUCGUGGAGCCAACUGAUGACGACGUACGCCAAUGGGUCCAGUGGACUUACGCGCAGUUUUCCUCGUACGCGACAAAUCUCCAUAAGAGGAGAAAUUUAUUAGUUUAUUUUUUAAACAUGAUGCAUGCAUAAUUACAGAAUCAACCUUUUUUGAUCCUACUUCCUCUAUUUUGCACUCUAUUACCUGGUCUUACAGGAUGAGAACUUCCAGAAAGUGGCAAGGGAAGAAGGAAACAAUAUUUCUUGGAUAAGUAUUUGAAAAUUCUUUUUGAAUGCUUCAUAAUAUCUGAAGAGAUAGGCUUCGCUCCGAUACCAGCUGUGACGGAACCUCCCAAGUCAUUAGCCCACCUACAGUUGUCCUUGUCCAAUGGACCUUGGGCAACAACUCUGUAGAUGUACAUAAUCACUCGACAAGUUCGAUAUUUGUACCCUGUUCCUUUCCCAAGAGCGUUUCACCCGUCACGCAGAUAUUACAACACAUCUGUUGGGGACUUGUUCUCAAAUGCUAUGAAUCAAGAACAAGGCAACAUAGUGUUAAAGGUUAAUAUCCUUCGUCCUUCGAAGCAUUAUUUCCCUUAGGAUAUAACGAUCUUCGGAUGAAGGUUAUGAAGGACGUACCUUCAUCAUCAUGAUAAAUGAUAAUGAAAGACAAAGCAUACGAAACAUGAAAGAUAACAUGAACAAUCAUGUAACAUUAUUCAUAUAUCGUCAUUAUAUAAAUUCAAGUAUUUAAAUACAAUAUUUAAUGACAUUUAUACCUUCGGCUUGACAGAAGGCAAAAAAUCCAAGCGUUGCGCACGAGCGAAUACAGGAUAGCGUGAACAGUACAAGGGUACUGUUCAUCUAUUUAUAGGCACAGGACGCAGCCUAUGAGAAAUUACAUUCAUGUCCUUUACAAAGGUUUACAAUCAUAAUACAAGUUAUCACGGGCCGAUUGGUCAUUUCAUCUUUAAGUCGGUGCAUUUGAAAAUGUACUCCGAAGCCCUUUGGUUGAUAGCUUCGGCUUUGUGCCAGUCUUCCGAAGGUGUUUCUUCUUAUGGGACCUUCGGCGACGAAGCAGGCCCCCAACAGUAGCCCCUUCACGGUGCCAAAUCAUUUUUUGUAACGAGCUUGACCCGUGAAAAACUCUCUCAGGCUUCGGAAUGCCGAAGGUCCGAAAAACACCUUCCCUGAGCUCGUUGCUGGGAAACGAUUUAAAUAUUCUGGGUGAAGGAUGGUCCCACCAUGCAACGGAUACGCGCGAUCUGGUGAUUCAGCUUCUUGGGAACUAUGGUCCACCGUUCAGCGAGUGCGGGUGACUGUUCAGCGGGUGCGAGCGACUUGACGAUUCACCUUCCCACCUGCAGCACUAUAUAAACAGACGAGUAGUUGUGAAGUUACCACAACAUUUACUACUAUUGCACUGUUGUGCUGCCGAAAAAUUUAACCACCGCCGAAGCUUAUUCACCGUGUUCUCAGUCAAAGGAUCACUUCGCUCUAGCUCCGUGAGAAGAGGGAGCUUCGUCAAAAAUACUCAACUUCAUUAAAACGCAAGAAAUUCAACAUCAAAUGGCCAGAGUGCGCUCAAUAGCUAGGGUUACACACGAUGGAGAGGAAACCAAAGCUACUAAAACUACUCUGAUCUCCAAAGUUAUGAGGCGGUCGGGGCUAGUUGUAACGAAGGGCGCUCUCGACGAAAGCGCCCCUGCUACUGAAGCGGAGCAGGCAGACAUUGAAGAAGGUGAUAUUGGUGAAGAAGAGAUUGAUUAUAACACCGCUAUGCCAUCGAAGCCCAGCCAUUUGAAUUUUGGAAAGUCGACUGUGUCUGAAGCUGAUAUGGCUAUGAUGACGAAGCUAGGCUACUUCAGAGAAGCCGACAAGGGGUUGAUUCGCUUUGGUGGGGAAGAAACUUUCCCGAAACUAGAAAAUGAUGAAGUGGUGGUCUUUAAGAGCUUCUUCAAAGUAGGGCUGAGAUUUCCUCUGCACGGGAUGAUUGGAGAUGUCUUCGAAAAUUUUGAGAUUUACCUUCAUCAGCUGACCCCUAACGCCAUUGUUAGGCUCAGCGUGUAUAUCUGGGCUCUCCGAAGUCAUGGGGUGGAGCCGCUCGCCGAAGCCUUCUGCCGAGUACACGAACUUCAUUAUCAGACGAAGGCUAGGGAAGACGGACUUUAACACCCGGCUUUAAGGAACAAAGCCAGGUGCAUCUCAUACAUGCGCCAAGAAGACAACAUAUAUAAUAACAGAGUGUAUAGAGAUAAAUGUCACAAUAACAUCAGAGUACUUAUUACAUAGCGGAAGACUUAUUACAAAAUAAAGGAAUAAAUAUAAAACGAACUAAGGAUCGUCGGCGCCAAUGUCAACUGAGAAACGCCACCUAGAUCAGAUCAUACUCCUCGCCUUGUGGCUCCUCCUGAACUACCUGCUCUUCUCCUGUGGGGGGGUGUGAGACAGCAAGAGUGAGCUCACAUACGUUCAUAGCUCAACAAGUCAUGGGGAAUAAUGUGGCACGAACUCACCAAAGGUGGGAGUUCAUGAAGUGUAAGGUUGAUCAAUGAAAUAAAGGCUGAAGCUGAGCAUUGCUUUUAUAAGUUGGUCAAAAUUUUAUUAGCAGUUACUAAGUGUGAGUGAACACCAAACCUUAGAAAUAAUAAGUAAAAGUAAUAAUAAAAUAAUCCCAAAUGCAAUGAUAUGACAAAUUAAGUUUAAGUUCCAUAAAUUAAUCAUGUGAGUGUCCGAGCCGCUCAUGACCGUGAGCACGGCUAGUAUACCAGUUUUACACUCUGCAGAGGUUGCGCAUCUUUACCCACAAGUCGUGUUACCCAUUUGCCAUGGAGUUGAUCAGACCCCAUACACCUCUACCAAGGAAGCGAGGCAGGGUACCACUACGAGGCCUUUACAAAGUUCCACUAGCUUCAGACUACCCGCUACAGUUUAUAGGAAGCUCCAGUGCAGGGUUCUUGCCAGACCGCUAUCGCAGCAAAAUCAACCCAAGGACCUCCCUACACUGACCACUCCCCUACUGCCCUUGCCCCUUUCGGGUAAGGUAGCCCUCCACUAGCUUUCCUAGUUAAUCAGCCAAGGGUGUCCCAUUAAACCCUUGUGGUAGCACUGUUUUCCCGGGUGGUUCUCCAUGUUCCCAUUAACAUAAUGAUCUUAUCAUGAACAUAAAAUAAUGAACAGAUAAUAACAAGUGUAGAAAAAAUGAGUGAUGAAUAUCUCUAUACCCAAAUUCACAUAAAGCAAUAGCAUGUACUACCCAAAAGUUUAGUAGUAAAACCAGUGGUGAAACAAGGUAUAAAGAUAGUCAAAAUCUAGGGUAUCCUAUUGGGUCCCAUCAAAAUUAACCUAUGCAGAUCAUUAUGAAUAAUAAGAACAUGAAUGGGUAAAAAGAAGUGAUCAAGAGCACAACUUGCCUUCCACGAGCUCCUGCUCAGCAGUCUCUACUUGCUGAACCCCAGAUUCCACAGUGGCUUGCUCGUCUACUCGCAUCAACACAAUACAUACAUAGCAUAGCAUAAAUUAACAUCACAUCAAACAUGCAAAUGGAAUAUACAGUAAUAAACUGGACAUUAAAAUAUGAUCACAGGAACUGGAAUCAUUAAAUUUGGAGUUAUAGAUUUUAAGUUAUGAAUUUUCCAAGGUUUUAUGUAUUUAAUACAUGAUUGAGUACUAGAUAAAUUUUAAAUCAUCUUUCAUGUUAAAACAGAGGCACUAAUGGUUAGAUAAUAAUAUUAUGAAAAUUUAGGAACUGGAAUGGACCAAUUUGGAGUUCAUGUGCAUUUUCUAUGAAUUAUACAAAUUCUAUGAAUUGUUUUUAUAUUAAAAACUCAUUUUCCAAUUCAUUUUCCUGAUUUUAUAAUUCUCUGGACGGGGCCUCAUUUUCUGGAAAACGCAGGGGUGCCUAGGUAAAAACCCCGAGACACAGAGAAUAGUACAGGGUGGACUGCGGGUUGAUUACUAUAAAACAGAGGGGUUCUUUUACAAACUUGCGGCCGAAGGGGUAUCGACCAACCAGAGCCGCACGAUUUAAUACCUACCGUCCAGAUUAGAUCCAUGGUUCUAUACACUAGCGCGUGAUCACAGCCAUCGGAUGAUCGAUCAAUGGACUGCAUUCUACAUCACCGAGAUCAAUGCGCCACCUUCGGAUCAGGGAUCAGCGGUCGCGCGCACUCGGCCGAAACGAUGCGCUCGGCUUCUAAUCGUGGGUGUCGAUAAUGAAUCCAACGGUUGCGAGCACCCUUCCCCAGCCUGCGCACUCCGGCAACGGCACCGCCCAACAGUCCGUCGUUGAGCUCGCCGGAGAUGGUGGAUCCAGUGCUUCGGGACCCAAUCUUCGUGACCGAUAGAUGCAAAACGAUGAGGAGCCCAUGGCGAAUACUGUGGUGGCGUCAAUUUGGUGUGCCAUAGGCGUACCAGGAACAACCACGGCAAACGGACUCCCCCACGGCGGCGCCAUGGACGGCGCGGUGAAAUCCGGCCCGACCAGGACCCCCCGAUCGAUUAACUGACACAGCGCAACAAGUAAACCGAGGCGAACACGGUGAGGUGAGUUACCGGGCAUGUAGACCACUGGCAGAGGCAGGCCACGGCGGAGGGCGGAACAGGGACCAGGCGCGAGCUCCGACGAGGAAUUGAGAGCGGCGCGACCGGAGUUUGUGCCCCCCGAGUGGUCACACACCUGUGGAAUGAGUGGAGAAACGCCCCGGCACCACCCGAGAGCCUGAUUAUGGAGUAACGACCAACUAUCGUGGUGGCGGUGACGAAGGUUUCUCUCCCCUCUCUCGGCAUCGACGAUAAACUGGCAGAGGAGUAGUUGGGUCGCGAGGGUAGGCGGAUACGGAAGGAGAGGCGAGCCCGGUGAGCUUUAUACCCGGAACGUGCCCACGGUCGCAGGGAGAAGCCGAGCAACCCCCACUGCCGAGCUCUGCGGAGUCCGCGCGGUCCGCCCGCUGCGAUCGUUUCGGAAGGUGGGUGGAGCUCCUGUCAUCUCGGGCCCACGCGUCAGCGAUGACUUCACAAGCACGAGAGACCGACAGCCGGGCCCAGGGUGUCGGCGCCGAUACUCCACUGGUUGGGCCACAGGGAGUUAAAGGAGACCUGGGCCGGAUUGGGGAUAUUUGGCCCAUGCGCACAGUUUCUCUUUUCUUUUAUUUAUAUUUCCUGUUUUUCCCAUUAUUUCACCAAUCCAAAUUUAAAUCCUAAUUUAAAUUCAAACUUGUGACUAAUUCAUUCUCAAACCAUAUUUGUGCAAUUAUAAUUAUUAAGUUUGAGAAUAUUUAUUUAAAUAUAUUAUUCAUGUUUUCAUAUUCCUUCUCUUUUCCUCAUUUUGUUCAAAACCCCAAAUUUCAAUUUAGGGUUAAGCUCCAUCUUCUAGUCAUUAUUGUCUUAGUAUUUUUAUUUUAUUUAAUGCACAAACAUAUAAACUCCAGCUGAUGCAUUUUUUUUCAUUUGUUUGACUUAAUUUCUAAAUUGUGUGUGUGCUCUUUUCUUAUGAUGCAAAUGAGGCACAUAAAAUGAAGAAGUCACUAUAUUUUCCUUGUAUACAAUUUUGAGUAUUACAAAUCCUACCCCCCUUAAAAAUAAUCUCGUCCUCGAGAUUUAAGAAGAUCUAGGGAAAAGAUGGGGAAAAUCUAUGUGAAGCUCUUCCUCUCUCUCCCAAGUAGCUUCAUCUUCACCAUGGUGACUCCAUUGAACCUUGCACAUUUUAAUCACCUUAUUCCUUGUAACUCGAGUCAAAGUGUCCAAAAUCUUGAUUGGGUACUCAGCAUAAGUCAGAUCAUCUUGAACACUAAGGUCUUCCAUUGGUAGUUGCUCCUCAGGUACCCUGAGGCACUUCUUUAGCUGGGACACAUGAAACACAUCAUGUACAUCUGACAGAUGAUCGGGUAGCUUUAGUUGAUAUGCAACUUCUCCCACUCGCUUUAAGAUCAAGAAAGGUCCAAUGAAGCGAGGGGACAACUUUCCUUUAACUUUAAAUCUCCUCAUACCCCGGAGUGGUGACACCUUCAAAUAGACAUGAUCACCCUCCUUAAACUCCAGUAAUCUUCUCCUAUUAUCAGCAUAGCUCUUUUGCCUGGAUUGUGCAAUUCUCAAAUUUUCUCUUAUCAUUCGAACUUGUUCUUCUGCCUCUUGUAUAAGCUCAGGCCCAAAGAACUGUCUUUCUCCAGUCUGAUCCCAAUACAGGGGAGUCCUGCAUUUCCUGCCAUACAAAGCCUCAAAUGGUGACAUCUUCAAACUGGCCUGGUAGCUAUUAUUAUAAGAAAACUCAGCAUAGGGUAAGCUCUUCUCCCAACUGCCACCAUGCUUGAGAGCACAAGCUCUUAACAUAUCUUCCAGCACUUGAUUAGUCCUCUCUGUCUGUCCAUCAGUCUGGGGAUGGUAGGCUGAGCUAAAAUUCAACUUUGUAUCCAAGCUCUCAUGUAAUUUCUUCCAAAAUCGAGAAGUAAACUGCGAUCCUCGAUCCGACACGAUCUUUUUAGGCACACCAUGUAGACAAACUAUCUGAGUCAUAUACAAUUCUGCUAGCUUGGCUCCCGUGUAAUUAGUCCUCACAGGUAUGAAAUGAGCCACUUUUGUCAAUCUGUCUACAAUCACCCAAAUAGAGUCAUACCCAGUAGGGGUGCGGGGUAGUCCAACAAUAAAAUCCAUACCAAUUUCUUCCCAUUUCCACUCAGGAAUCUUAAGCGGGUGCAAUAGUCCAGCGGGUCUUUGAUGUUCGGCCUUGACUCUUUGACACACAUCACACUUAGCCACAUGAGCAGCCACAUCCCUUUUUAGUCCAUACCACCAAUACUUUUGCUUCAAAUCCUGAUACAUCUUAGUGCUCCCAGGGUGGAUGGAGUAAUCAGAAUCAUGAGCUUCUUUCAAUAUAGCCUCACGGAGGCUAUCGAUCUCUGGAACACAUAUCCGAUCCUUGAACCAUAUAGUGCCUUGCUCAUCCUCUGUGAAUUCCGGGACUCUUCCUUCAGUAAUCAGAUCCUUAAUCUCUUGAAUCUUAGCAUCUCCAACCUGACCUUUACGAACCUCUUGCUCCAAGGUAGGUUCCAAUUCAAUGGUAACUCCUUCAGUGUGAGUAACAAUUCCCAGGUUGAGUCUCUCAAAGUCUUUUGCUAAUUCAUCGGGUAGCUGGACAACGAAAGCGGAGUGAACAUGCUCCUUCCGACUCAAGGCAUCUGCAACCAAAUUUGCCUUGCCCGGGUGAUAGUGAAUCUCCAAAUCAUAAUCCUUAAUGAGCUCCAACCAACGGCGUUGCCUAAGGUUGAGAUCCUUCUGAGUGAAUAUAUACUUCAAACUCUUAUGAUCCGUGUAUACUUGGCACUUAGUUCCCAUAAUAUAAUGUCUCCAAAUCUUAAGUGCAUGCACAACUGCUGCCAGUUCUAAGUCAUGAGUGGGGUAGUUCAAUUCAUGUUUCCGCAACUGACGAGAUGCAUAGGCAAUCACAUGACCUUCUUGCAUAAGCACACAUCCCAAUCCUUGGCCACAUGCAUCACAAUAAAUGUCAAAUCCUUUCUGUAAGUCCAGCAUAACCAACACCGGAGGUGACAUCAAUCUCUCCUUCAAUUGAUCAAAGCUCUCUUGACAUUUCUCAUCCCACUUAAAUUCUCUUCCUUUCUCCAGAAGCGAUGUCAUAGGCUUGGCAAUCUUAGAGAACCCUUCAAUGAAUCUCUGAUAAUAUCCUGCGAGUCCUAAGAAACUCCGAAUCUCAGUAACUAUAGUGGGCACUCUCCACUCCAUAAUCUCCUUGACCUUAGCCGGAUCCACUGCUAUUCCUCCAUUAGAAAUAAUAUGUCCAAGGAAUGGCACCUUGUCAAUCCAAAACUCGCACUUGCUGAACUUAGCAUAGAGUUGAUUAUCUCGCAACUUCUGUAGCACCAACCUUAGAUGUUGUUCAUGAUCGCUAUCACUCUGCGAAUAAAUAAGAAUAUCGUCGAUGAACACCACGACGAAUCUGUCCAAAUACACCAUAAACACUUUGUUCAUCAAAUUCAUGAAAUAAGCCGGUGCAUUGGUUAAUCCAAAUGACAUAACAAUAAACUCAUAUAAUCCAUAUCGAGUCGAGAAAGCCGUCUUGGGAAUAUCCGAUGAUCUAAUCCUCAUCUGAUGGUAUCCCGAUCGGAGAUCGAUCUUCGAAAAUACUCUUGCUCCUCUCAUUUGAUCAAACAAAUCCUCAAUACGGGGCAACGGAUACUUGUUCUUCACAGUAACAUCAUUAAGAGAUCUAUAGUCCACACACAUCCGUUGCGAACCAUCCUUAGAACCGGUGCUCCCCAAGGUGAGGAACUCGGACGAAUGUAACCAGCCUCUUGCAACUCCGUCAACUGCUUCUUAAGUUCCUUCAACUCUUCUAUGGACAUCCUAUAUGGCCGUUUAGAAAUAGGGGCGGUUCCAGGUAAGAGAUCAAUAACAAACUCAACUUCUCUAUCAGGUGGCAUCCCUGGUAACUCCUCUGGAAAGACAUCCGGAAAAUCUCUAACCACCCGGAUGUUGUCACCAACAAACUCCUCAGGCAUAAAGAACAUUGCACGCAUGGAUGAGGAGGUUACUGCAAUAUUAACUUGAAAUCUUUCUCCUUUAGUGGUAGUGAGUUCUACGGUACCUCUACCACAUGCUAUAACGGCCUUUGCCUUUCUUAGCCAUGACAUACCAAGGAUCAGAUCUAUACUGCUUGACUCUAAUAUUAUAGCAGUAGCUCCAAAUUCUCUACCCAUAAUGGUUAAUGUCAAUCUACGUGUCAUUUGAUUUGCCUCAACAGGCCCUUUAGGUGUAAUUACUAUCAUGGGUUUUCUCAUAUUUAGAAGUGGUAUUUCAUUUGUGUUGGCAUAUCUAGCAGACAUGAACGAAUGUGUAGCACCAGAAUCAAAUAAUAUGGUUGCAGGAAUCGCAUUAACAUAAAACAUACCAAGUACGAUGUCCCCACCAUCCGGAGUAGCAUCAACGCUGACUUGAUUAACCUUGGCAAUAGAAUAUCCCUUGCCAGGUCCUGGAGUUUGCUGCCUGUUCUGAACUGGAGUAGUAGCAAUCCUCUAUGGGCAGACAUUUGCAUAAUGACCAGUCUUCCCACACUUGAAACAAGUAGUGCCUGAACUCUGUCCUGAAAACUUUGUCGGGGUGCCAGUGGGGGUAGCCUGUCGAGGAGGUGGAGUCCUCAGUGGUGAUUGCUGAACUGGGCGCGGUCCUCCUGGUCGAGUCGGUGUACCCUGUGGUGAGCUGUAGCGAGGACGAACACUGCUGCUACCCUGUCCUUGUGAGAUAGCCUUCCUCUUCAAAUCACCCAGUUGAACACGCUUGUGUUCAAUAGCAAGAGCCUUAUCAAGUAGCCUUAGAAAUGAUGGAAAUGUAUGCGCCACUAGAGCAUACUGCAGUGGCCCAUUAAGUCCUUCAAUAAAAUGCUCCUGCUUCCUCUCAUCUUCAGCAACUUCUUCCGGAGCAUAUCUCGACAGCUGAAUGAAUUUGUCUCUGUACUCGCUGACCGACAUGUUGCCUUGCUUCAAAGACAGAAACUCCUUCUUCUUGAUCUUUAUCAUACCAGCUGGAAUAUGGUAGUUCCUGAAUUGUGUACUGAACUCUGCCCAAGUAAUAUUAUCAGCAGCAUCAUGGGCAGCAGUAUAAGAAUCCCACCAGUCAGCAGCAGGACCAGUCAGACGACCCGAGGCAUAAAGAACUUUCUCCCAGUCUGAGCAUUGUGCAAUGUUGAGCAUCUUCUCAAUUGACUUCAACCAAUCGUCUGCAUCAAGGGGAUCUGGCGAACUGGCGAAGGUCGAUGGCUUAUGACUCAUAAACUCCCGGUGCUUAUCACGAGGUGGAACUAGUGGUGGUGGUGGAGGCAAUGGCACUUGUUGUUGUUGCUGCUGUUGUUGAAGUUGUUGUUGCAGCUGCUGUUGUUGCGCCCUCCUUUCUUGGCGUAUCUCCUCUCGCUCUUGGCGCAACUCCUGUCGUAUAUCUUCUCUUUCCUGAUGCAUCUCCUGGCGUUCUUGCUGCAUCUGGGCACGCAUAUCAGCCAUAGUGUCCGCCAUUUGCUGCAUCACCGCCAUCUAAGCAGCAACCAGUGGGUCAACUCCGCCUGGUGGAGGAUUAGGAGGAUUCAUCUCUGCAGGCUGUGGCUGAGGUUGUCUAUAUAUCCUUCGAGUGUGUCGGUUAGGAGGCAAAUCAAUUCCACCACCCCUCCUGGUAUUGACCAUCUGAGUUAGAUACAUAAGGUAAGAGAAAGCAGUAGACAAGGCAGUAAUUACGAAUCAUGUUAAAUUGGGGGAUUUAUUAGCUAAGCAGAUUAAUGUUUUACCUACCAUAGCUAAUUCAUUACCUUAUAGUGGUACAUACUAAGAUGUCCAUAUUUAAUACUUCAAUCAAUCAAAGAAGCAAAUCAGACAUUUUCCACCAGAACAAUCAAACAACAUUUUUAAAUAUAGAAAAUAGUUUUGAUUUGGUCUUAGGCCUCCUAUCUCUUAAAAUGUCAUAGGGGUAGGGAUUCCAAGGUGUGAAAUCCAUCUUGUCUCAGAGUAGAAAAGGUAAGAAUGAUCGGAGUAGAACAGUAGAAGGUGAGACAGGCUCAAGAUAAGUAUAGAGAGAUCCAGAGUAAGGUAAGUAUAGAAUGAAUCAAAAUGAGAUAAGUAGGUAAGGGUUGUCCAUAUCUAUCUAGGUUUCGUCCUACAGUCGACAUUUCCUCUGAUACCACUUCUGUAACACCCGGCUUUAAGGAACAAAGCCAGGUGCAUCUCAUACAUGCGCCAAGAAGACAACAUAUAUAAUAAUAGAGUGUAUAGAGAUAAAUGUCACAAUAACAUCAGAGUACUUAUUACAUAGCGGAAGACUUAUUACAAAAUAAAGGAAUAAAUAUAAAACAAACUAAGGAUCGUCGGCGCCAAUGUCAACUGAGAAACGCCACCUAGAUCAGAUCAUACUCCUCGCCUUGUGGCUCCUCCUGAACUACCUGCUCUUCUCCUGUGGGGGGGUGUGAGACAGCAAGAGUGAGCUCACAUACGUUCAUAGCUCAACAAGUCGUGGGGAAUAAUGUGGCACGAACUCACCAAAGGUGGGAGUUGAUGAAGUGUAAGGUUGAUCAAUGAAAUAAAGGCUGAAGCUGAGCAUUGCUUUUAUAAGUUGGUCAAAAUUUUAUUAGCAGUUACUAAGUGUGAGUGAACACCAAACCUUAGAAAUAAUAAGUAAAAGUAAUAAUAAAAUAAUCCCAAAUGCAAUGAUAUGACAAAUUAAGUUUAAGUUCCAUAAAUUAAUCAUGUGAGUGUCCGAGCCGCUCAUGACCGUGAGCACGGCUAGUAUACCAGUUUUACACUCUGCAGAGGUUGCACAUCUUUACCCACAAGUCGUGUUACCCAUUUGCCACGGAGUUGAUCAGACCCCAUACACCUCUACCAAGGAAGCGAGGCAGGGUACCACUACGAGGCCUUUACAAAGUUCCACUAGCUUCAGACUACCCGCUACAGUUAUAGGAAGCUCCAGUGCAGGGUUCUUGCCUGACCGCCAUUGCAGCAAAAUCAACCCAAGGACCUCCCUACACUGACCACUCCCCUACUGCCCUUGCCCCUUUCGGGUAAGGUAGCCCUCCACUAGCUUUCCUAGUUAAUCAGCCAAGGGCGUCCCAUUAAACCCUUGUGGUAGCACUGUUUUCCCGGGUGGUUCUCCAUGUUCCCAUUAACAUAAUGAUCUUAUCAUGAACAUAAAAUAAUGAAUAGAUAAUAACAAGUGUAGAAAAAAUGAGUGAUGAAUAUCUCUAUACCCAAAUUCACAUAAAGCAAUAGCAUGUACUACCCAAAAGUUUAGUAGUAAAACCAGUGGUGAAACAAGGUAUAAAGAUAGUCAAAAUCUAGGGUAUCCUAUUGGGUCCCAUCAAAAUUAACCUAUGCAGAUCAUUAUGAAUAAUAAGAACAUGAAUGGGUAAAAAGAAGUGAUCAAGAGCACAACUUGCCUUCCACGAGCUCCUGCUCAGCAGUCUCUACUUGCUGAACCCCAGAUUCCACAGUGGCUUGCUCGUCUACUCGCAUCAACACAAUACAUACAUAGCAUAGCAUAAAUUAACAUCACAUCAAACAUGCAAAUGGAAUAUACAGUAAUAAACUGGACAUUAAAAUAUGAUCACAGGAACUGGAAUCAUUAAAUUUGGAGUUAUAUUUUAAGUUAUGAAUUUUCCAAGGUUUUAUGUAUUUAAUACAUGAUUGAGUACUAGAUAAAUUUUAAAUCAUCUUUCAUGUUAAAACAGAGGCACUAAUGGUUAGAUAAUAAUAUUAUGAAAAUUUAGGAACUGGAAUGGACCAAUUUGGAGUUCAUGUGCAUUUUCUAUGAAUUAUACAAAUUCUAUGAAUUGUUUUUAUAUUAAAAACUCAUUUUCCAAUUCAUUUUCCUGAUUUUAUAAUUCUCUGGACGGGGCCUCAUUUUCUGGAAAACGCAGGGGUGCCUAUGUAAAAACCCCGAGACACAGAGAAUAGUACAGGGUGGACUGCGGGUUGAUUACUAUAAAACAGAGGGGUUCUUUUACAAACUUGCGGCCGAAGGGGUAUCGACCAACCGGAGCCGCACGAUUUAAUACCUACCGUCCAGAUUAGAUCCAUGGUUCUAUACACUAGCGCGUGAUCACAGCCAUCGGAUGAUCGAUCAACGGACUGCAUUCUACAUCACCGAGAUCAACGCGCCACCUUCGGAUCAGGGAUCAGCGGUCGCGCGCACUCGGCCGAAACGAUGCGCUCGGCUUCUAAUCGUGGGCGUCGAUAAUGAAUCCAACGGUUGCGAGCACCCUUCCCCAGCCCGCGCACUCCGGCAACGGCACCGCCCAACAGUCCGCCGUUGAGCUCGCCGGAGAUGGUGGAUCCAGUGCUUCGGGACCCAAUCUUCGUGACCGAUAUAUGCAAAACGAUGAGGAGCCCAUGGCGAAUACUGUGGUGGCGUCAAUUUGGUGUGCCAUAGGCGUACCAGGCACAACCACGGCAAACAGACUCCCCCGCGGCGGCGCCAUGGACGGCGCGGUGAAAUCCGGCCCGACCAGGACCCCCCGAUCGAUUAACUGACACAGCGCAACAAUUAAACCGAGGCGAACACGGUGAGGUGAGUUACCGGGCGUGUAGACCACUGGCAGAGGCAGGCCACGGUGGAGGGCGGAACAGGGACCAGGCGCGAGCUCCGACGAGGAAUUGAGAGCGGCGCGACCGGAGUUUGUGCCCCCCGAGUGGUCACACACCUGCGGAAUGAGUGGAGCAACGCCCCGGCACCACCCGAGAGCCUGAUUAUGGAGUAACGACCAACUAUCAUGGUGGCGGUGACGAAGGUUUCUCUCCCCUCUCUCGGCGUCGACGAUAAACUGGCAGAGGAGUAGUUGGGUCGCGAGGGUAGGCGGAUACGGAAGGAGAGGCGAGCCCGGUGAGCUUUAUACCCGGAACGUGCCCACGGUCGCAGGGAGAAGCCGAGCAACCCCCACUGCCGAGCUCUGCGGAGUCCGCGCGGUCCGCCCGCUGCGAUCGUUUCGGAAGGUGGGUGGAGCUCCUGUCAUCUCGGGCCCAUGCGUCAGCGAUGACUUCACAAGCACGAGAGACCGACAGCCGGGCCCAGGGUGUCGGCGCCGAUACUCCACGGGUUGGGCCGCAGGGAGUUAAAGGAGAACUGGGCCGGAUUGGGGAUAUUUGGCCCAUGCGCACAAAUUCUCUUUUCUUUUAUUUAUAUUUCCUGUUUUUCCCAUUAUUUCACCAAUCCAAAUUUAAAUCCUAAUUUAAAUUCAAACUUGUGACUAAUUCAUUCUCAAACCAUAUUUGUGCAAUUAUAAUUAUUAAGUUUGAGAAUAUUUAUUUAAAUAUAUUAUUCAUGUUUUCAUAUUCCUUCUCUUUUCCUCAUUUUGUUCAAAACCCCAAAUUUCAAUUUAGGGUUAAGCUCCAUCUUCUAGUCAUUAUUGUCUUAGUAUUUUUAUUUUAUUUAAUGCACAAACAUAUAAACUCCAGCUGAUGCAUUUUUUUCAUUUGUUUGACUUAAUUUCUAAAUUGUGUGUGUGCUCUUUUCUUAUGAUGCAAAUGAGGCACAUAAAAUGAAGAAGUCACUAUAUUUUCCUUGUAUACAAUUUUGAGUAUUACACUUCAGCUGCUAAAAUUUUGCUUAUCGCAAAGACAUGAAGACACCAGUGGUCGGCUAUCGCUCUAAAUGGCCAACAGGCUGGAAAUCUGAAUGGUUUUAUGUUAAGAUUGAUGAGAAAAAGGAGAAGCUAGUGCAGAGCCCGUUGGAGUUAACCUUCGGGCUGACUAGGCCUCAGUGCAACAUGACGCCGGGGGCACCAUGCCCAGAUGCUGUGUAUGAGUUUAGAGUUGUAUCUGAACACAUUGGAACUAGGGAUUUAGUUCAAGAAUACAUGGCCAACCGAGUAUUCCCAACACUGAGGGAAUGGGGUAUGCCGAAGCUUGAAAAAGAGAAGAAGAAGAAGGAUGAACUCGUUCGGCUGCCCUAUCAUUUCAAAUUCAAGAAACACUUCGAAGAACCCUACCAAGAAUGGUUGGAUACAAUUGAAGUUAUGUGCAACGAGAUUUUGGGCAAUUAUACGAGAAAAGAAGAUCAGUUGAUGACUGCAGCCUUCGGCGCCCGACCGAAGCGAAGAUUGAAUCGAGUAAUGGAUGCGUUGAAUUUUGAAUAUCCUGACUAUGAGCGGUUGAACAAGGGCGCAGAAGGGCAAAAAAGAAAAAGAGUUGUCAGUGUUGUGGGCAGACAUGCCGCUAGAAUGGUAAAAGAAGAUGAAGAAAACCUGAAGAAGAGAAAGUUGAGCCCUGAGCCGAAGGCAGUUGCUCCGAAGAAAAGGAAAGCUGCGGCUCCAAAGCAGAAGGCGACUGAUAUAGAAGAAGAAACUCCUUCAACACCUUCUGCUGCCAACGUAGAAUAAAUUCUAAAGGUAAUGACUGAAUCCUUGCCUAUGAAGCUAAGUCCACUGGGGCCACAUCUGAUGAAGCUUUUUUAGAAUAAGAAGGAGCCCUCGGUAAUGAAGAAGUCUGCCGAGCCGAAAAAACGAAGAAUUAUUACUGUGACUGAAGCCAUUGAACAAACACCUCCGCCAGCUUUGGUGGCAAAGACACCAGCUGUCGAGAGCGCUACAGCUGCCGAAGCUGCACCUACUGAAGCUACAACUGCCAAAGCUGCAAGGGACAAAAAUACAAAUUUAGAAAGCACACUCUCUAAUAUUGAUAAAAUACUUCUGGACAUGGCCGCAGAAGAAGCUGCUGCAGCCGCCGAAGAGACCAUGGCCACAGUGUCUGAGAAAGAGAAGGAAAUAACCGAAGAUAUUUCAGAAGAAGAAAACUUCAACUUUCAAAACUUAACUGGACAAGGAUUGACAAAGGCUGAGAAAGAAGAGUUGAGGGAGUAUGCCAUAUCCUGCGGGUAUCAGCCAGGGGCGAUGCUCUUCGGCGAUAUCGACGAUGAAAGCUUAGGUUGUCUCCGAGACCGGACUGGAGCGAAGGUCGUCGGUACUCUAUCGAAGAGUAUUGGUUUCCCGAAGCUUGAGACCGAUAUCAGCCGCUACCGGCCAUAGCAUAUCGUCGGUAGUUUAUUCUAUUCUAACUUCAAGGUAAAAAAUUUUCUUCUACUUUUCAUUGUUUUUAACAACGAAGAUGUUUGCUGACGAAGCUUGCUUCUACAUAGAGUAUGCUAUUAAGCAAAGCUUUAAGGAUGCAACAGGACCUUGAAGACAAAAAACAUGAGAUCAUAAUUUAAGGUUUAGAGAGCAAAAUAAAAGAUCAAGCAGUUGCUAUUGAAAAGGAAGAUUUCGAACUUCAGACAAUGGAAGGCUUUCUGGCAGAAGCUGAAGCCAAAAUUGCAAAGUUGGAUAAGGAGCUUCUCUCAAAAUCAGAAAGCUUCGAACAAGAAAAGCAGAAAUUUGAUACAAAGUUUGAGGCUGAGGUCGAAAAAAGUUCAAAUUUGCAAAAAUCAUUAAAAGAGCUUCAAGAUAAAUGUCUGUUUUCAGCAACCGAUGCGUGCAGCGAUUAAGGCAGAUCUUUAAUUCGGUUGGAGCCAGCUCUGAGAAAUUCAAUCCUUUGAUUGAGGACCUGCCAGGGACCUUCGAACAUAUUGAGGGCGAAGUUGAUGCUCUUGAUGAAGUUAUAGCCGGACACGGUGAUUUCUGUGCCCUGCUAGCUUCUCGGGGCACAACUGUUGCCUUGAUGAAGUCUGGUUGCACGCACGGAAAGAUUGUUAAUAGACCAAACUUCAGCUUAUCACCAGCAGAUCUGAUUGAUAUCCCCAACCUAGCUCGAAGCAUAGGAAACAGAUUUAUAAAGCAAAUAUGGACAAAGGGUGGGCGAAGCCUAGCUGGUGACGAAGCUCGAAGUCAUCUCAAGCCGGUAAUAAAAUCAUACCUUGUAAUUACCUUUUCCUUGAAACUUGAAUUUUCCUUAUAAUGUUUUGGUAUGUACAGGAUGACGAAGCCGAAGAACACAGAGCCGAAGCUUAACAGGCAAUCCGAAGCUCAACAGAUGAUGAUGAAACUCGAAUACCUAGCUGUGGAAAAAUUCUAAGAAAACUUUUGUAUUAACCCUUGUAAAGAAUAUUGUAACUUAAGAAUCAAAUUCCACUCUGUAAAUUUGUCCAUACCUUGUAAUAUAUUUUUACCUUUCCAUCGAUGUAUGAAAUGCUUUGAUGUGGUCAAAACCUGUAUUUUUGAGCCGAAGGCGAAAAACACCUUCCCUUCUUUUCGUACACAACGAAGCAUGAAUCUGCUUCUUGAAGCUGUCUGCUUAGAACCGAAGCAACUGUCUGUAUUUGUAUGAUAUGAUGAUGAUCCUAUGUAUGUCUAAAUGAAUGUUUAUGAAUGCAAUGUAUGAUGUAAUGUAUCGUGCAAAUGAAUGCCCAAACACACACAUUCGAAGCUUCAUCCACAAACUUCAUUCCCUUAGGAAUGACUGAAAUCUCUUUGCCGUUUAUUUUUCGGCUGCACCGCUUAUUUUUCGGUGUAAGUUCUGCAUCCCCUUAGGAACGCCUUUUGAACUUCUUCGCCUUCUAUUUCGGAGGUAUUCACGUUGACUUUUCGCGCUUCGCCUUAUAUUUCAGCGGUAUUCGGCUCUGCAUUCCCUUAGGAACGACUUUUGAGCAGAAAACUUACGCUGCGCUCCCUUAGGAACGACUUUUUGUAGCUUCGUCAUGCUCUGCAUCCCCUUGGGGAUGACUUUUGAGCUUCUCCCUAUUUUUUUCUCUCUCUGCACUCGAUGGUGCAUGCUCAGAUUUUACAUUUACAUAUUUGGGGGAUUUUGCUCUCAUGGAGCUGAAUGAGAAAAGAAAAAAUUACAAACUAUGGCCCCAUUAAAAACCUUUCUCCCCCUUUGGAAAGGAAAAGUGUGCCAUAGAAAAAUGAAAAAGAUUACAUCAAUCUAUACAUAAUACAGUCGAAGCUCAUCCGGGUUCCAAGAUCUAGGAAUGUCAUUGCCAUCCAUAUCCUUUAAUCUGUAAGAACCGGGCCUUGAUGAAGAUACUACCAGAAAAGGUCCUUCCCACUUCAGCUGUAGUUUGCCUACUGUGUCCGGAUUAGCCACUCUCCGAAGCACCAAAUGCCCUGGCUUAAUAUUUUUCAGUCAAACUUUUCUGUCGCGCCAUUUUAUUGUUUCGGCUUGAUAUUUAUUAAUAUUUUCCACAGCCUGAAGUCUGACCCCUCCUAUAGUGUCUUUUGCCACAUGAUAAUCAGCUUCAUCUUCUACCGAAGUUGUUGUUCUUAUUGACCCUGUUUUAGCUUCUUCUGGAGUUAUAGCUUCGUCGCCAAAUAGUAACUUGAAUGGCGUGAAACCUGUUGAUCUUGAUACGGUGGUAUUGUGGCUCCACACCACUUUAAUCAACUCUUCUGGACACUUUCCUCUAGGCUGGUUAAAAAUUAACUUCAUUAUUCCUGUCAUUAUAAUACCAUUUGCUCUUUCGAUAAGUCCAUUUGACUCUGGAUGUCUGACUGACGCAAAAUGAAUCUUCGUGCCGAUUUGAUCACAAAAUUCCUUAAAAGCUUCGGCAUAAAACUGUAUUCCAUUGUCCAUAGUUAUAGCCUUUGGUACGCCAAAACGACAAACAAUGUUUUGCCAAAAGAAUUUCUGGACUAUGACCGAAGUUAUUGUGGCCAAAGGCUUUGCUUCAAUCCACUUGGAAAAUACUCCACAGCCACCACAACAUAUCUUAAAUUGCCUUGUGCUGGUGGAAGUGGACUUUACAAAUCCAGGCCCCAUCUUUGCAAUGGCCAAGUUGGUUUUAUUAAUUGGGUUAGCGACGAAGGUUGUUUCUGAUCUCUUGCACAUUUUUGACAAUUUUCACACUUUUGAACCAGAUCCGUUGCAUCCGAAACUGCCUUCGGCCAAUAAAAUCCUUGUUUGAAGACCUUCCCCAGCAAAGGUCUAGAUCCAAUAUGAGAUCCACACAAGCCUGCGUGUAUUUCCUUCAUCAGCUCUAUACCUUCGGCUCUGGACAGACACUUGAGAAGUGGAGAGCAGACUCCAUGUUUGUAUAACUCCCAUUCUAUUAUUACAUAUGGUUUUGUUCUUGCCUCCAUUCUCUUAUUAUAAGCUUCAUCAUCUGAAAGGCAGUUACCUUGAAGAAAAGAUAUAAUCUCAGUCCUCCAAUCUUCACUAUGAACAGGAGAUAUAUUGAGCACUGCUCUUUCGAGAAGUUCCACCGAAGGUGCUCUUAUUGUCUCAAAGAAUACUUCCGAAGGUAUAGGCAGCCCCUGUGCUGCUGACUUGGCUAGCAGGUCAACAUGCUUGUUUUCUCCUCGUGGAAUAUUCUUGACAGAAAACCCUUCGAAAGAAGCUUCAAGCCUUCAAACUGUGUCGAGGUAUUUCUCAAGCUUCGGGUCUCUUGCCCUGCAACUCUUGUCAACAUGACCAGAAAUAACUUGGGAAUCGGUUUUAAGGACCGCCCUUCUUAUCCCCAUUGCUUUUAACUUCCGAAGCCCCAAAAGCAAAGCUUUGUAUUCAGCAAUAUUAUUUGUGCAGCUGAAGUCAAGCUUUAUUGCAUAGCAUGUUCUGACUUUAGAAGGUGCAACUAAGACAGCAGCUGCACCUACCCCGAAGGUUCCCCAAGAACUGUCGCAGAACACCGUCAAAGCUUCGGAAUCUUUGUUUGCUUCUUUUUCCUGAGCCUCUAGCGUCCAGUCAGCGAUGAAGUCUGCUAGCGCCUGGGACUGAAUCAAGGAUCUAUGCACAUAAUCAAUGCUGAAUUCAUUGAGUUCCGCAGCCCACUUUCCAAUUCUUCCAGUAGCUUCUCUGUUCCUCAUGAUAUCCUUCAGAGGCUGUGAUGAAGGAACAAUUAUAUGGAAUGCUUGAAAAUAUUGUCGAAGCUUCCUGGAGGCCAUUAAGACAGCAUACAACACCUUCUCCAAUUCUGUAUAAUUUUUCUUUGAUAAGCUUAGAACUUCGAAGACAAAAUAUACUGGGGCUUGCUUUUUGAUUUCUCCUUCGAAUUUCUCCUGCACAAGCGCCGCACUCACUGCAGAGUGUGAAGCUGCCACAUACAAUAGUAACGGAGCCCCUGGCGCAGGUGGAGUUAAUGUUGUUAUAUCAAUCAAAUAUUGCUUCAGCUCUUCGAAGGCUUUCUGUUGAGCUGGGCCCCAUUGAAAGACUUUGGCUGACUUUAGUAUUUCAAAGAAUGGCAAGUUUCUUUCUGCUGAUCUAGAUAUAAAUCUAUUCAAUGAAGCCAGUCUUCCUGCCAACCAUUGAGCCCCCUUCUUUGUGCUUGGCGGUUCCAUUCGAAGGAUGGCUUCGAUCUUGCUUGGGUUAGCUUCAAUCCCCUUUGUUGAAACCAGACAGCCAAGGAACUUACCCUUCUUCACUCCGAAGACACACUUUUCAGGAUUUAAUUUCAGGCUAGCUUGUCUGAAGUUAGCAAAUGUUUCUUGCAGAUCAGUGAUAUGAUUUUCUUGCUUCGUACUUUUUACUAUGAUGUCAUCAACAUAUGUUAGCACAUUUCUGCCUAUCUAGGAAUGAAGGACCUUGGUCGUCAUCCUGCUGAAACUGCCUCCAGCAUUUUUGAGCCCCUCAGGCAUCCGAAGAUAACAAUAGGUUCCACUGGGAGUUAUGAAGCUAGUCUUCGGCUCAUCCUCCUUCUUCAUCCAUAUUUGAUGAUAUCCUGAGUAGCAAUCCAGCAGACUCAUAAGUUCUGAAGAAGCUGCUGCAUCCACAAGAGAGUCUAUCCUUGGUAAUGGAAAUUCGUCCUUUGGACAGGCCUUGUUGAGAUCCGUGAAAUCAAUACACAUUCUCCAUUUGCCAUUGGCCUUCUUCACCAUAACAGUAUUGGCUAGCCACUCUGGAUAUUUUACUUCUCUGAUGACACCAGCACUGAGAAGUCUUUUUACUUCAUUCCGAGCACCUUCGGCUUUAUCAUCAGACAUUUUCCGAAGCCUUUGUUUUCUGGGCCUGAAUGAUGGAUCGACAUUAAGUGAAUGUUCAAUGACAUCCCUGUUGACACCGCAGAGAUCAUUGGCCGACCAUGCGAAAACAUCUUUGUUGUUGAAUAAAAACCUUAUCAAAGUUUUUUCCUACUCUUCAGAUAAUUGAGACCCCAGAAGUACCUUCUGCUCUGCUAUGUCUUCACAUAGAAGCAUGGGCUUCGGCUGAUCAGCCGAAGCAGCCUUCUCUCUUUUGUACUUGUACUUCUCACAAGCUUUAGCUCCAUCUAUAUUGUGGAUGGCUUUUGAGUCUGUCCAAUUUCCCUCAGCCUUCCUGGCAGCUUCCUGACUUCCAUGAAUUGCAAUAGGCCCUUGUUCCGAAGGUAUCUUCAUGCAUAGGUAUGCUGGAUGAAGAAUUGCUUCGAAAGCAUUAAGUGUCCUACGACCAAUGAUUGCAUUGUAGGGGUAUUCCAUGUCAACAAUAUCAAACACAACCUGUUCAGUCCUUGUGUUGUGGACAAAUCCGAAGGUCACUAGCAUUGUGAUCUUGUCAAGUGCUAUGAUCUGCCUUCCUCCGAAGCCACAAAGAGGGUGUGUAGCAUCAUGAAUCUUGUCCUCUAGCUCUUGCAUCUGUCUGAAGGCCUUAGCAAAUAUGAUAUCCGCUGCACUGCCUGUAUCAACCAGAACAUUGUGGACCAGAAAUCCCUUGAUGACACAAGAUAUAACCAUAACAUCAUUGUGAGGGUAAUCCUUGAGUUGAAGGUCCUCCUGGGAGAAGGUGAUUGGGAUGUGGGACCAUUUUGACUUGAUGAAGGGUCCCUGCACCCCAACAUGCUGCACCCUUCUCUGGGCCUCCUUCUUCUGUUUCUUGUUGGCCGGUUCUGAACAUGACCCGCCUGUUAUCGGGAGCACCAGCUUCAUAGCCGAAGCAGCUUCAGCUUGGGUUUUGGACGAAGCCAUCAGCUCAAAAGUGGAAGUGAGUUCACCGGAGGUGGGCGCCAAUGUUGGGGACUUGUUCUCAAAUGCUAUGAAUCAAGAACAAGGCAACACAGUGUUAAAGGUUAAUAUCCUUCGUCCUUCGAAGCAUUAUUUCCCUUAGGAUAUAAUGAUCUUCGGACGAAGGUUAUGAAGGACGUACCUUCAUCAUCAUGAUAAAUGAUAAUGAAAGACAAAGCAUACGAAACAUGAAAGAUAACAUGAACAAUCAUGUAACAUUAUUCAUAUAUCAUCAUUAUAUAAAUUCAAGUAUUUAAAUACAAUAUUUAAUCACAUUUAUACCUUCGGCUUGACAGAAGGCAAAAAAUCCAAGCGUUCCACACGAGUGAAUACAGGAUAGCGUGAACAGUACAAGGGUACUGUUCAUCUAUUUAUAGGCACAGGAUGCAGCCUAUGAGAAAUUACAUUCAUGUCCUUUACAAAGGUUUACAAUCAUAAUACAAGUUAUCAUGGGCCGAUUGGUCAUUUCAUCUUUAAGUCGGUGCAUUUGGAAAUGUACUCCGAAGCCCUUUGGUUGAUAGCUUCGGCUUUGUGCCAGUCUUCCGAAGGUGUUUCUUCUUAUGGGACCUUCGGCGACGAAGCAGGCCCCCAACAACAUUGGAGGAACGAAUAAGCGGAAGCAAAUUACAAUAAUUUAAUUUACAUUCAUUAAUAUAUAGAAAGAGUAUUAUUAUUACAUCACCAGGUUACAAGAGUGCAUAAGUAUUAUUAUUACAAACUUGGUAGGCAAAAACCCCUCCCGCAUAAAAGUAUACUGUUUUUCAAAAGGAAGGACCACGUCCUUCCGCAACCACGUUACUGCUGAGGCUCAUCUUUGGGUACCACGUCCUUGGGCACCACCUUAGUGCAAAAACAGCAAAAGUCUGCUGUUUCUUCACCUACAACAACAUGGGUUCGAAAACCCUGAGUAUGAAGUGUACUUUCGCAAGUCUUACCCGUCAAAAUAAAAGACUCUCAAGGAUAUGCUGGCUUAAGGGAGUCAAGGUAAGGCUUAAUCAAGAAUCAAGACUCUGUGUGCAAAAAUGCUUACUAAUAGUGGAUCCUUAAAAACCUAGUUUUAUUAGCAAGUCAAGUCAUUACCUGUCAUUAGAGUUCUUUCUAUCCUAGCUCAAGCACUUGGCCUAUACUAGCCAUCCAUUUAUCAACCCUUCUUGUUCACUGGAAUGCUACGUGUAAGUCAGUGACCAAGUCUUCAUGUCCGAGAAGUAACGGCGAUCCGAAUCGAUUAAUACUCAGCUGAGGAUCUCCAAUCACAUGACAUAUGUAGCACUUAACCCUUUCAUAUGUCAACUCGGCACCGGGGUUCUUAAGACUAGACCGGGUUCACGCCAACCGAGAGCACAGAUACACCACCAUCCAGCCUCUUGCCACAGAGGGUACACGCUACUCUCACCAUCUCUCCACUUCCAUUGUGUGUUGGUGUUGUAUUAGUCUGCCCAAGGCAAAGCUUACCCAUGACGAGGCAUGCGACCAGUUAAAGGGUCCUCGGUCAGCAGGCCCACAUCGAGACGGUCCUUAAUCGACUCAGACAGAGACACUACACCAAGACUUUCUUCUCGUGCAAGUCACCCACCCGGUUACAGCUUUAUCAUUUCAAACCCAAAGUUUGGUACCUGGCAGAGGUAUGUCCUUUCCGAUGUUGAACCCAUCAUGGCCAUGAUGGAUCCACCAUCAAGUUUUAUUUUUGAAAACAUCCCAUCCACUGUGAAGCAUCACCUUUUGUUAAAAACAAAACAUUUGAUUUUUCUAAAGCAGGACUAAGCAUCAGAAAAACCUUUUGAAUAAAACAGGUAAUCAAGGAAUGGUAAACAGUUCCAAGGAAGGAAAUGCAGCAAUUGGUUUAACACCCAACUCCUAUCACCUAAUGCAUCAUUCAAGUGAUAAAGAGUUUUUAAAUAGCAAGGAGGUGGCAAAUGCACUGGGGCUUGCCUUGUGUUGUAGGAGAGUCGGGCUCUGUUCCACAAAUAUCAAAAUAAAAACAGUUCCCGGCAGGUGGAUUUUCUGCUGAUGGAGUAGUCUCUUCCUCUUCAACAGUCACUUCUUCCUCGUUUUCUAUAUAUAUAACCAUAUAUAACCAUGAAUGCUCAUGUAAUGCUUAUAAAAAUGCAAUAAUAGAGAAACUAUACUAAGUUGUAUCUUGAAUACAACUUUCCUUCAUGGUGCACUAGGGUAACUAGGGUUUUUCUAGGCUAGUGCCUUAGUAGGGUUAGACAAUUUUAUCCUAAGGAACUAGGGUUUUGGGUUUAGGAAUCAAACAAUGUCCAAAGAAUAUCAAACUUUUCCCAUGGGUAAGUACCAAAAUAAGUUCACCCAAAAAGUUUUAUGAUUUUUGGGGCUAUUAAAUAAUUCCUAAAAUUCCAGAGGUAUAGGUUUAAGCUCUUUUAAAUACUAAUUAAUUCCUUGUUUGGACUAAAAAUCCUAGAACCGUUUUUAUUAAAUACUAGAGAAAUCUAGGAAUCCAACAAAAUUAGUUUCAUAUUUUUAUCAUUUUUCUAUAUUUUCUAUGGAUUUCCUAAGUCUGGCAUAAAAAAGGAAAAGCAUCAACAGUGAUGGGCUCAAUUUAGCCCGAGCCGACCCAAGAGAGGCAGAACGCGCCCCCGCGCGCGCCCGCGUUGCCGGAUUUGCAUAGGGGACCCUGGUGAUUUGAAAAACCCGUUAAUAGUCUCGCGCACUGUUCCUAUGGGUCUCUGACUCUUUGCAUAGAGGCCCUUCAUUUUCUAAUUCUUCGCGGACUGAAGUCCUCGAUCGAGGACGACGGAGCUGCGGCUCCGGCGAGCCUGUACCAGCUAAGAUACGCAAUGACCGGUGCUCUGGAGUGGUUGACACCUAAUUCGACCCCUAAUAACCAUUUCCCCUCAACCAAUUUCAAGGUUCUAGCCCCUAAUCUCUCUGCCCACGGUGACAGCGCGACCAACGGACAACCCGAAGCGUUCCCGGUGAUCCUACAUGUUUUAGCUCAAUUGGCCAGGCCGAGAAGCAUCACAAGCACACAGGGAUGCUAAAACAAGAGCAAGGAGGGAGUGAUCGGACCUAUGGAGGGCUGACCACGUCGAGCUCACACACGUGGUGUUCUUGACCGAGUUGGGGGAAAUCUCAAAUUGGGGCGUUCUAGUGGAUGAUCCAAGGCACGAGUUGGUGUAUUGGGUGCGUGACUACCUAGCGGAGCCGAUGACACGCUCAAUUUAUAGGGCCCGAGGGCGGUGGCGCCUGAAUUUAACAUGGCACGGUGGCGUCCGGAGAGAGGGGAGAGCACUGGUGGCUUAAUCGUGGUGUUCACCGGUGCAACGGCUCAAGGUUUGUAAUUCUAAGGGUGCCACGGUUACUACCGCACAAUAGCGAGUCAUGGCGUGGCAUAACCGAGGUCACCGGAGUUUCCACGGUCACACCAGCGGUCCGACCACGUCGCACGGCUACAGGCGCGGUGAUAAGCUUCCGCCGCGACCAAAACCGCUCCCCCGCGAGAUCUUUUUACCUCCCCGUGAAUAUCCACUGCAUUCCAAGCACGAAUCACGGCGACCGACGUGAAUCUGAGCGCGCGGGUCACUGGCGGCGAGGGGGGUUGUAUCCGUGAUCUUUGUCAGGCACUGUACCAUUGGGAUCCCAUUCAGAGUGCCUGACAGAGCUGAAUGAAAUGUCUUAUUCGCCAAUUCUUAUGUGACAACAUGAUCUUCGGCCUGUAGAGAAAUUGUUGUCCUAUAAUCCCUCUCUAACUUUGUUAUAGUAUCCACAAUGAAAUAGUCACAGGAUUCUACUCAAAAUCACUCACCAAGUUCAUCCAACUCCACUGUUUCUCAGAAUUCAGUCUAAUGGCCGACUGACAGCUAGACUUUAGGGCUAUUUAUCUCCAGAUUUUGUAUGUCAACAAUGCUUAAUCACUUAAGCGAAGUUAUGCUCCUAUAGUAGAUCUAUAAUAUUGAUGUAUUGACCCUAGGCAAAUUCCUUAUGGAUUAAGAGAUACAAGGCUCCAAAGAUGCCUCAAACUCAUUGAAUUUCAGACUUAACCCAAUAGGGUUUAAGUGGUGCUUUUUGCAAAUAAGUCCAAAUCCCAUAAUUUGAUUUGCAAAUCCUCAAAUGUGCGAAACAUAUGAUUGGUGGUGCUCUUAAUACUUUGGUUUUUGCACUUGGAUCCAAAAGUGCAAAAAACUUACACUUAGCCGCCUAGGGUUCUAGUUUAGGGUUUUCCAGGGGUCUUUUCAGGGGUUUUAACACUUUAGGGUUUUAUGGUCACUAAAGUCUAUCAAAUGUGAUAUCUAAUGAUCAUGUCUUAUGUAUUUUGAGGCUUUCACAUAUUUGGGCUUUACUUAUAUCCAUAAGCCCUGAUCUAAGGUUAAGCACUUUAUCCUAGGGUUAACCAUACAUCAAGUCACAUGAGUACAACUUGAUUUGAAAUUUUUACCUAGUGAAUGCACUCUAGGUGUAACAAACACAUGAUAUGCCAAUGCACAUGAUGUUAUGCUCAAGUUUUAGUAAUAGUAACACCAGGGGUGUUACAAGAAACAUUGGGUUUGUUACUGGUUAGAAGUCCGUAUGAUGUUUUCUUGAGGAGGCAAUGCAGAUAGAGCCUGUUUAUGGCAUGGCAGCCUGUAUUCACGGCUUCCGACCAAAACCGCUCAGGCGUCUUGUAUUCUUCAAGCAUUGUCCUUGCCAUGUCAAUUAGCAUCCUAUUCUUCCUCUCUACAACACCACUUUGUUGUGGUGUGUAGGGAGCGGAGAACACGUGCUUGAUGCCUUCCUCCUCAAGAUAUUCUUCGACUUGAAGGUUCUUGAAUUCAGAUCCAUUAUCACUCCUUCACCUUUAGCUCAAACUCAUUUUGAGCUCUCCUUAAGAAGCUCUUUAGAGUUCCUUGAGUUUCAGAUUUAUCCUGCAAAAAGAAAACUGAGAGCACCUAGAGGGGGGGUGAAUAGGUGAUCCUGUAAAACUUGAAACUUAAUGCCACAAAACUUGAUUAGAUGUUAGCACAAUAAAGAGGAGUUCUUGCAAAACACAAUAACCACAAGAAGAUCAACACAGAUAGGCACAAUGGUUUAUCCCGUGGUUCGGUCAAGUCCAACACUUGCCUACUCCACGUUGUGGCGUCCCAACGGACGAGGGUUGCAAUCAACCCCUCUCAAGCGGUCCAACGACCCACUUGAAUACCACGGUGUUUUGCUUUGCUUUACUAUAUCCCGCUUGCGAGAAAUCUCCACAACUUGGAGCCUCUCGCCCUAACAAAGAAGUUCACAAAGAAUCACAGAAGUAAGGUUGGGAUGAGCAACGCACACAAGACACAAAAUCAGAGCAGCAACACGCACACAAGUCACAACAAGAGCUCUCAACACAACCCGAAGAGUACACUACUCAAAUGGAGCUCUAGUUGCUAUCACAAAGAAUCGAAUGCGCGGAAUUGAAGUCUUGGUGCUUAGGAAUGCUUAGAGAAUGCAUGGUGUUCUCCUCCAUGCGCCUAGGGGUCCCUUUUAUAGCCCCAAGGCAGCUAGGAGCCAUUGAAAGCAUUCCAGGAAGGCAAUUCUUGCCUUCUGUCGCCUGGCGCACCGGACACUGUCCGGUGCGGAUUUCUUUCCUUCCGUGGUGCAGCCGACCGUUGAAGAUCCAGAGCUGUUGGCGCACCGGACACUGUCCGGUGCACACCGGACAGUCCGGUGCCCCUUUCUGACCAUUGGCUCGGCCACGCGUCGCGCGUGGAUUACUCGGCUGACCGUUGGCUCACCGGACAGUCUGGUGCACCACCGGACAGUCAGGUGAAUUAUAGCCGUACGCCGUUAAUCGCUUCACGAGAGCGACGACUUCGCCUGUGAAUGGCUCACCGGACAGUCCGGUGCACCACCGGACAGUCCGGUGCACCACCGGACAGUCCGGUGAUUUAUAGCCGUACGCCGUUGAUCGCUUCCCGAGAGCAGCCAGUUGACAGUCGCCAGCCUGGUGCACCGGACACUGUCCGGUGCACCACCGGACAGUCCGGUGCACCCAGACUGCGCAGAGUCUUGGCUGCAUAGCCAUGUCUUUUCCAAAUUGAUCUUUUCCUGUUUCUAGCACUUAGACACAAUACAUUAGUCUCUAAAACAAUGUACUAAGUCUUAGAAAACAUACCUUUACUCUUGAUUUGCACUUUGUCCAUCAAUUGGCAUAGAUUAACACUUAAGCACUUGUGUUGGACACUAAAUCACCAAAAUACUUAGAAAUGGCCCAAAGGCACAUUUCCCUUUCAAUCUCCCCCUUUUUGGUGAUUUAUGCCAACACAACACAAAGCAACUAGAACAAGUGCAAUAUUAAUGCAAAUAAGAACACACAUUGUUUUGAUUCAACUUUGGCAUAUUUGGAUCAUACUUUGCCACCACUUGGUUUGUUUUUGCAAAUCAAACUCAAUUUCCUAUCUCUAAGUCAAAUUCACUUGUAGAGACAUAAAGAGAGGUAUUCCAAGAGAAUUGAUCAAAGAUUCAAAAACUCCCCCUUUUUCCCAUAAUCAAACAUUCUCCCCACAUGAGACCAACUUUUGACAAAGAGAGACAAUAAGAGGAUUUUGACAAAACAAAAGCUCUAUUCUACUGUUUUCAAAAUUCUCAACUGGUAGCUGAUCCAUUUCUUGCUUUGGCCUUAUUUUCUCCCCCUUUGGCAUCAAGCACCAAAACGGGAUCAAUCUUGGCCCUUAAACCUCAUUGCCUCACCAAAAUCUUCACAUAAGAGUACAAAGGCAAUAAGAAGAUGGAGAUGAACUUGGAGUAAGUUACCCUCUCAUCGGAGUGCAGUGGAAGUCUUGCAUGGUCCAAGUUCACCUUUUUCCUUUCAAUCCUCCUUUGAGGCUAAAUCAAGCAAGCUCAAACACACGGUUAGUCUCUAAGGGUCAAGUUGUAGCACAUCUCCCCCUAAAUAUGUGCAUCACUCACACAUGGACUUUUGAGGUCCGGGGAAUGUUUGUACAACUUGAGCACCAUAAAUAAACAAAAUGCAUAAGGGAACAUGAUCAAAUCAUGGUACACAUGUAUGCUAUAAAUCAAUCCAAGUUCCACGAAUCUAAGACAUUUAGCUCACUACGCAGCCUACAAAAGGUAUUCUCAUCUAAAGGCUUGGUAAAGAUAUCGGCUAGCUGGUUCUCAGUGCUAAUAUAGAACACUUCGAUAUCUCCCUUUUGCUGGUGGUCUCUCAAAAAGUGAUGCCGGAUGUCAAUGUGCUUUGUGCGGCUGUGCUCAACAGGAUUGUCCGCUAUGCGGAUAGCACUCUCAUUGUCACAUAGGAGUGGGACUUUGCUCAGAUUGUAGCCAAAGUCCCGGAGGGUUUGCCUCAUCCAAAGUAGUUGCGCGCAACACUGUCCUGCGGCAACGUACUUGGCCUCGGCGGUGGAUAGGGCAACGGAGGUUUGUUUCUUAGAACUCCACGACACCAGGGACCUUCCUAAGAAUUGGCACGUCCCCGAUGUACUCUUCCUAUCGACCUUACAUCCAGCAUAAUCGGAGUCUGAAUAUCCAAUUAAGUCAAAGGUAGACCCCUUUGGAUACCAGAUCCCGAAGCAAGGCGUAGCGACUAAAUAUCUAAGAAUUCGCUUCAUGGCCACUAAGUGACACUCCCUUGGAUCGGAUUGAAAUCUAGCACACAUGCAUACACUAAGCAUAAUAUCCGGUCUACUAGCACAUAAAUGAAGCAAAGAACCUAUCAUGGACCGGUAUGCUUUUUGAUCAACGGACUUACCUCCUUUGUUGAGGUCGACGUGUCUGUCAGUUCCCAUCGGAGUCUUUGCGGGCUUGGCGUCCUUCAUCCCAAACCGCGUUAGCAAGUCUUGCGUAUACUUUGUUUGGGAAAUGAAAGUGCCGUCCUUGAGUUGCUUCACUUGGAACCCAAGGAAGUAGUUCAACUCGCUCAUCAUCGACAUCUCAAACUUUUGAGUCAUCACCCUGCUAAACUCUUCACAAGACUUUUGGUUAGUAGAACCAAAUAUUAUGUCAUCGACAUAAAUUUGGCACACAAAUAAGUCACCAUCACAAGUCUUAGUGAAUAAAGUUGGAUCGGCUUUCCCAACCUUGAAAGCAUUAGCAAUUAAAAAGUCUCUAAGGCAUUCAUACCAGGCUCUUGGGGCUUGCUUAAGUCCAUAGAGCGCCUUAGAGAGCUUACACACGUGGUCGGGGUACCGUUCAUCCUCAAAGCCAGGGGGUUGCUCCACGUACACCUCCUCCUUGAUUGGCCCAUUGAGGAAAGCGCUCUUCACAUCCAUUUGGAAUAACCUGAAAGAGGUGAGCAGCAUAUGCUAGCAAAAUACGAAUGGACUCUAGCCUAGCCACAGGAGCAAAAGUCUCCUCAAAGUCCAAACCUGCGACUUGGGCAUAACCUUUUGCCACAAGUCGAGCCUUGUUCCUUGUCACCACCCGUGCUCGUCUUGUUUGUUGCAGAACACCCACUUGGUUCCCACAACAUUUUGCUUGGGACGAGGCACCAGUGUCCAAACUUCAUUUCUUUUGAAAUUGAUGAGCUCUUCCUGCAUGGCCAACACCCAGUCCGGAUCUAGCAAGGCCUCUUCUACCCUGAAAGGCUCAAUAGAAGAGACAAAGGAGUAAUGCUCACAAAAAUUAACUAAUCUAGAGCGAGUAGUUACUCCCUUGCUAAUAUCACCCAAAAUUUGGUCGACGGGAUGAUUCCUUUGAAUCGUCGCUCGAACUUGGGUUGGAGGUGCCGGUUGUGCUUCUUCCUCCGUCACAUGAUCAUCUUGUGCUCCCCCUUGAUCACACGCGUCUUUUUGAUGAACCUGUUCAUCGUCUUGAGUUGGGGGAUGCACCAUUGUUGAGGAAGAAGGUUGAUCUUGCUCCUUUUGUUCCUGUGGCUGCACAUCUCCAAUCGCCAUGGUGUGUAUUGCGGCCGUUGGAACGUCUUCUUCGUCUACAUCGUUAAGAUCAACAGCUUGCUCUCUUGGAGAGCCAUUAGUCUCAUCAAAUACAACGUCGCUAGAGACUUCAACCAAACCCGAUGAUUUGUUGAAGACUCUAUACGCCUUUGUAUUUGAGUCAUAACCUAACAAAAACCCUUCUACAGCUUUGGGAGCAAACUUAGAAUUUCUACCUUUCUUCACUAGAAUAUAGCAUUUGCUCCCAAAUACAUGAAAGUAAGACACAUUGGGUUUGUUACCGGUUAGAAGCUCAUACUAAGUCUUCUUGAGGAGGCGGUGAAGGUAGACCCGGUUGAUGGCGUGGCAAGCCGUGUUCACGGCUUCCGACCAAAACCGCUCGGGGGUCUUGAACUCUCCAAGCAUCAUCCUCGCCAUGUCUAUGAGCGUCCUGUUCUUCCUCUCUACCACACCAUUUUGUUGUGGUGUGUAGGGAGCGGAGAACUCGUGCUUGAUCCCUUCCUCCUCAAGGUACUCCUCCACUUGAAGGUUCUUGAACUCGGACCCGUUGUCGCUCCUUAUCUUCUUCACCUUGAGCUCAAACUCAUUUUGAGCUUUUCUUAGGAAGCGCUUGAGGGUCCCUUGGGUUUCAGAUUUAUCCUGCAAAAAGAAUACCCAAGUGAAGCGGGAAAAAUCAUCAACUAUAACAAGACCAUACUUACUUCCUCCUAUGCUUAGAUAGGCGACGGGUCCGGAGAGGUCCAUAUGAAUCAACUCCAAAGGUCUUGAUGUGGUCAUCACAUUUUUGGUAUGAUGAGAGCUUCCCACCUGUUUACCUGCUUGACAAGAUGCACAAGGUCUAUCUUUUUCGAAAGUUACAUUAGUUAGACCUAUCACGUGUUCUCCCUUUAGAAGUUUGUGAAGGUUCUUCAUCCCCACAUGAGCUAAGCGGCGAUGCCACAGCCAACCCAUGCUAGUCUUAGCAAUUAAGCAUGCAUCUAGACCGGCCUCCUCUUUUGCAAAAUCAACUAAAUAGAGUUUGCCGUCUAAUACACCCUUAAAAGCUAAUGAACCAUCACUCCUUCUAAAGAUAGACACAUCUACAUUUAUGAAUAAGCAGUUAUAUCCCAUAUUACAAAGCUGACUCACAGGCAACAAGUUAUAUCCAAGCGACUCAACUAAAAACACAUUGGAAAUGGAGUGCUUGGAUGAAAUAGCUAUUUUUCCUAACCCUUUCACCUAACCUUGAUUCCCGUCACCGAAUAUGAUUGAGUCUUGGGAAUCUUUGUUCUUGACGUAGGAGGUGAACAUCUUCUUCUCCCCCGUCAUGUGGUUUGUGCAUCCACUGUCGAUAAUCCAGCUUGAACCCCCGGAUGCAUAAACCUGCAAGGCAAAUUUAGGCUUGGGUUUUAGGUACCCAACUCUUGUUGGGUCCUACAAGGUUAGUCACAAUGGUCUUAGGGACCCAAAUGCAAGUUUUAUCUCCCUUGCAUCUUGCCCCUAACUUCCUAGCAAUCACCUUCUUAUCCUUUCUACAAAUAGCAAAGGAAGCAUUGCAAGUAUGAAAAAUUGUAGAAGGUCCAUUGUUUACUUUUCUAGGAACAUGAACAACAUUUCUUCUAGGCAUAGCAUUUUUCCUAGCCAAAUUUCUAUCAUGCAUAAUAGAAGAACUAGAAGCAAACAUGGCAUGAGAAUCAAAAGCAUCAUAACUUCUAUAAGCAUUCCUAGAAUGUCUCCUAUCAUGAUACAUGAAGGCAUGGUUCUUUUGAGUACUACUAGCCAUAGGGGCCUUCCCUUUCUCCUUGGCGGAGAUGGAAGCCUUAUGGCUUGUUAAGUUCUUGACUUCCCUCUUGAAGCCAAGACCAUCCUUAAUUGAGGGGUGUCUACCAAUCGUGUAGGCAUCCCUUGCAAAUUUUAUUUUGUCAAAUUCACUCUUGCUAGUCUUAAGUUGGGCAUUAAGGCUAGCCACUUCAUCAUUCAAUUUAGAAAUUGAAACUAGGUGUUCACUACAAGCAUCAACAUUAAAAUCUUUACACCUAUUGCAAAUUGCAACAUGUUCUACACAAGAUGUUGAUUUAUUAGCUAUUUCUAACUUAGCAUUCAAAUCAUCAUUUAUGCUCUUUAAGCUAGAAAUAGAGUCAUGGCAUGUAGACAAUUCACAAGAGAGCAUUUCAUUCCUUUUAAUUUCUAAAGCAAGGGAUUUUUGAGCCUCUACAAACUUAUCAUGUUCUUCAUACAAAAGAUCCUCUUGCUUUUCUAAUAAUCUAUUCUUAUCAUUCAAAGCAUCAAUCAAUUCAUUAAUCUUAUCAAUCUUAGUUCUAUCUAAGCCCUUGAAUAAACAUGAAUAGUCUAUUUCAUCAUCGCUAGAUUCUUCAUCACUUGAGGAAGCGUAAGUACUAGUAUUACGAGUGCUUACCUUCUUUUCCCUUGCCAUGAGGCAAGUGUGAUGCUCGUUGGGGAAGAGGAAUGACUUGUUGAAGGCGGUGGCGGCGAGUCCUUCGUUGUCGGAGUCGGAUGACGAACAAUCCGAGUCCCACUCCUUGCCAAGGUGUGCCUCGCCCUUAGCCUUCUUGUACGCCUUUUCUUUUCCCUCUUGUUCCUGGUCACUAUCAUUAUCGAGACAAUUAGCGAUAAAAUGACCAAUCUUACCACAUUUGAAGCAUGAGCGCUUCCCCUUCGUCUUGGUCUUAUUGGGAUGCUCCUUGCGACCCCUUAGCGCCGUCUUGAAACGCUUGAUGAUGAGAGCCAUCUCUUCCUCAUUGAGUCCUGCCGCCUCAACUUGUGCCACUUUGCUAGGUAGUACUUCCUUGCUCCUUGUUGCUUUGAGAGCAACGGUUUGAGGCUCGUGGAUAGGGUCGUUCAACGCAUCGUCAACGUAUCUAGCCUCCUUGAUCAUCAUCCGCCCGCUUACGAACUUUCCAAGUAUCUCCUCGGGCGACAUCUUGGUGUACCUAGGAUUCUCACGAAUAUUGUUCACAAGAUGUGGAUCGAGGACAGUAAAAGACCUUAGAAUUAGGCGGACGACGUCGUGGUCCGUCCAUCGCGUGCUUCCAUAGCUCCUUAUUUUGUUGACGAGGGUCUUGAGCCAGUUGUACGUUUGGGUUGGCUCCUCGCCCCUGAUCAUUGCGAAUCUCCCAAGUUCGCCCUCCACCAACUCCAUCUUGGUGAGCAUGGUGACGUCGUUCCCCUCAUGUGAGAUCUUGAGGGUGUCCCAAAUCUGCUUGGCGUUAUCCAAGCCGCUCACCUUAUGGUAUUCGUCCCUGCACAAUGAAGCUAGAAGAACAGUAGUAGCUUGUGCAUUUUUGUGAAUUUGCUCAUUAAUGAACAUGGGACUAUCAGUACUAUCAAAUUUCAUUCCACUCUCUACUAUCUCCCAUAUGCUUGGAUGGAGAGAGAACAAGUGACUAUGCAUUUUGUGACUCCAAAAUCCGUAGUCCUCUCCAUCAAAGUGAGGAGGUUUACCAAGUGGAAUGGAGAGUAAAUGAGCAUUGGUACUUUGCGGAAUACGAGAGUAAUCAAACGAAAAGUUCGAAUUGACCGUUUUCUUUUUCUCGUAGUCGUUGUCGUCGUUGUCCUUUUGGGAAGAAGAGGACUCGUCGCUGUCAUCGUAGUAGAUGAUCUCCUUGAUGCGCCUCGUUUUCUUCUUCUUCCCGUCUUUUCUUUUGUGGCCCGACCCCGAGUCAGUAGGCUUGUCAUCCUUUGGAUCAUUGACGAAGGACUCCUCCUUAUCAUUGACCACCAUCCCCUUGCCCUUAGGAUCCAUCUCUUCGGGCGAUUAGUCCCUUUCUUGAAGAGAAUGGCUCCGAUACCAAUUGAGAGCACCUAGAGGGGGGUGAAUAGGUGAUCCUGUAAAACUUGAAACUUAAUGCCACAAAACUUGAUUAGAUGUUAGCACUGUUGGGGCGAAGGCAGAGACGCCACCCUUCGCUCGUCGCCUUUCGCUGCAGUCGCUGGUUUGACGAAGACAAAACGGGCAGGAACACCCUUCGCUUCAUUCAGCACCAGGCGAAGGCCUGCGGUGACGUCUCCCCGCAGCGCGGCCUCGUCCUGCUCUGAGGCCCACGUGUGAUCUGGCCCAUUGUAACGGGCCCCGCGUGACCGCCUUUGUGUUACGGGCCUAGUUUGUAAAGGCAUUCUUGUAAGUACAGCUUGUAACCCUGCUUUAUGGGAAUAUUCUGGGGAUAAACUAGGUGUCCGAGGGCACAUGCGUCCUUAACACAAGGCGCUGGGCACUCGGAUACCUAUAAAUACCCCCGCACAGUGCCCGUGAGAGGCUAGACAUUAACAGAGCUAUUUGCCCCCGUGCACGUAUCCCUGUUGUCACCACCGUUCGUCCUUGUUGGCCUCCUUGCUACUGAGAGCAAGUUCCAACAUUUGGCGCCCACCGUUCGUGCUACGACAAGACCACCCGCGAUGGCACCCAAGAGAGCUAACCCGAAGGCUGACGAGGUUGCGAAGGCAGCACUGCUGGCCGCGAGAAAGGGCAAGGCCCUCGUCCUCACCCAAUCCACCCACCAAGAGCCCACUGAAGACAACAUUCCCCGCACAUGCGAAGACGACACCUUCCGCACCUGCGGGCCCGAAGGACAAUCGCAGCCGCCCCCAGGCUUCGCCCCAGUGGAGGGCGCGGAUCUCACCGAGGACGGCGAGGUCCUCGGCGUCUCAACAGAAGAACAGUUACAGCUGCGCGCCCUGCGCCUCAAGAACCGCAAUCUCCAGAGGCAGAAAGAGAUACUGGAAGCCAAGCGCCAACGUGUGUCCGCACUAGCCAAGGUGCGGCAGAUGAUACGCGACGAGGAGCAGAAGGCCCAAGACCUCGAGCGCGAGAUCACGCUGAUGCAGCGCGAAGGCCACUUCGGUCUACAGCAAGAGCCACCCCUCCAGCAGCGCGCGCAACCGGAGGACACGCGCGAAGGCCACCUCGGCCUGCAGCAUGGCCCACCCCUGCAACACCGGGCGCAGCCGGAGAACCCGCGUUUCCCCCAGCAUGACCACGCCUUCCAGCACGGCGCGCCAUUCCAAGGGGUCAACUACCUCGACGAGCGAAGUCCCCUGGCGCCACACCUCCAAGUGACGCCUUGGCCAGCUAACUUCCGAGCAGGGGCAUAUCCCAAGUACAACGGCAGCACCGAUCCGGCGCAGUACAUAAUGAGUUAUCAAGUCGCCGUUGCAUCCGCCGGAGGGGACGACGCCACAAUGGCGAAGUCUUUCAUCAUCGCCCUAGAGGGCCCAGCACUCACCUGGUUCACCAGAUUGCCUCCGCUGUCCAUUGAUUCAUGGAGAAGUCUCAGAGACAAGUUCCUGCUCAACUUCCAAGGGUACCGCCCAGACACCGACGCCCUGGCCGAGCUCUCGCUUUGCAAGCAGCUGGAAAAGGAGACUCUGCGGGAGUAUUACCGCAAAUUCCUAACACUCAAGUCACAGCUGCCCUCCGUCGAUGAUCAGAUCGCUAUCCACUACGCCAUCAGUGGCCUUCGUGCCGGCGUCCUCUACAGUCAUUGUAUCAGAGAUCCACCCAAAAACCUCCAGGAGCUAUAUCAGCUCUUUGAAAAAUAUGCCAAAUCCGAAGAGCUCCACCAGCGCAAGAUUGAGUCGCAGCGGAAGCCCAAAGAUGCCCCACAGUCCAGCCGCACGUGGACGAGGACUCCGCAACCAGACUCCGGUCGAGAUGGCCGCAGUCAACAGCAAGUGCACAACAUCGCCAACCAGCAGCCUGCUGCUGACCCCCCUCGUCGCCAAGAAUAUCCCCCCCAGGGCCGCGGAAACGGAACUCGCGGCAGGGGCCGAGGGCGCGCGCAGCCGCCGCGCCGGUUCUACUGCCUUUUCCACGGCGACGACUGCGCCCACCAAACCAAAGACUGCCCCGAAACGAAGGCCACCAGAGACAGAAUGGCGCGGGCGCAGCCAACCGACAAUCCUAGAAUUGUCGCGCAUAAUUACCAACCACCCCCUCCACCAUACAUCCACGCUCCCGCUCCGCAUCCACCGCACCACGCUUACCAACACCAUCAGGAAGUACAAAUCGUACCUCCUCCACCCCCACUGCCACACCAGCAACAUCAAAACAUCCCCCACGCCCCAAAGCAGGAAGACUUCGCCGAUCAACCAUAUCGCGGAGUCAUCCACAUGAUAACGGGGGGCUCCAGCACCGACUUCGACACCAAGCGGCAGAAGCGGGACCACUACCGCAGCAUCAACCACGUCGCCGUCACUGGCCCAGUCGUGCAGACGAAGUGGUCCCACAUACCGCUAACCUUCGACGCACGAGACGUCGACCUGCGCAGCGCCCCCCACAUCGACGCUAUGGUCAUCAAUUGCAGCGUGGCAGGCUGGGACUUACACAAAGUCCUAGUCGACAACGGCAGUCAGGCGGACAUCAUCUUCCUCCAUGCCUUCGACCGCAUGGGUAUAAGCCACAGCUUGCUGAAGCCUUCGGACAACCCCUUGUAUGGUUUCGGCGGCAAGGGCACCUUCCCAGUUGGCAAGAUAGAGUUGCCCCUCUCCUUCGGUGUAGCACCCAAUGCCCGAAGUGAGCAAGUAACCUUCGACAUUGUCGACAUGGUAUAUCCGUACAACACCAUCAUGGGUCGGGGCUCCAUCAAUAAGUUCGAAGCUGCCAUCCACGGACUGUACCUAUGUAUGAAGAUACCAGGUCCGCUAGGCGCUAUCACGAUCUACGGCAACCAGCAGACGACGCGCAACAUAGAGCGGGACUUCGUGCCUGGUCAGAGGAACGUACACUGCCUCACGACCCAGCGCGAGGUCCCCGCGCCCGCCAGCCCAACCGACAAGCAGCACGAGAAGGCACAGUUGCAGAGCCAAGACGGAACCAAGACUGUUCCCCUUGAUCAGGCCACGCCCAAGCAGACAGUCACUAUCAGCGAAGACCUCACGUCACAUGAAGAAGAGAAGCUUCUCUGCUGCCUGGCCAAGAAUAAAGAUGUCUUCGCCUGGUCCGCCCUAGACCUGGUCGGAGUCAGCCGAUCCAUAAUUGAGCACAGCUUGGGAAUUGACCCUUCGGUGCGACCAAAAAAGCAAAGGCUCCGCAAAAUGUCCGACGAAAAGACAGAGGCCGCCAAGGCGGAAGUGCACCGCCUCCUAGAAGCUAAAUUCAUCGAGCCAGUGGCUUACCCCACGUGGCUCUCCAAUGUCGUAAUGGUGCAGAAAAAAAGCGGGAAAUGGCGAAUGUGCAUAGACUUCACCAGUCUCAAUAAGGCCUGCCCGAAGGACAAUUUCCCGUUGGCGCGGAUCGACAAAAUAGUCGAUAGCGCGGCCGGAUGCGAGGUCAUGUCACUCCUCGACUGCUUCUCCGGCUAUCACCAGAUAUACAUGAAGGAGGAAGACAAGGCUAGCACCAGCUUUAUAACACCCUUCGGCACUUAUUGCUUCAUCAGGAUGCCGGAGGGACUCAAGAAUGCGGGGUCCACUUUCUCCAGACUCACCAGAACAGUACUCGAAGGGCAGGUCGGUAGAAACAUAUUUACAUAUGUGGACGACAUCGUCGUCGCCAGCAAGAAUAAGGAGGACCACCUCGCCGACCUCGCCGAGACAUUCGCGAACAUGCGAGAUGCACGACUCCGCCUGAACCCGGAAAAGUGCGUCUUCGGUGUUCGCCAGGGCAAGAUACUGGGUUACUUGGUGUCACACCGCGGCAUCGAGGCCAACCCAACCAAGAUCCAGGCCAUCGUCGACAUGUCGCCUCCGCAGUCCGUCAGGGACGUCCAGCGUCUGACAGGCAGACUGGCCGCUCUCAACAGAUUCAUCUCCAGGUCCGCCGAGCGAAGUCUCCCCUUCCUCAAAACACUCCGCGACGCGAAAGACUUCGCCUGGGGGCCGGAGCAAGCAGCGGCCUUCGCUUCACUCAAACAGUACCUGUCGGAGCUGGCCAUCCUCACCAGCCCCGACUCCUCGCUCCCCCUAUUGCUCUAUGUCGCGGCUUCGCCGCACGCGGUCAGCGCGGCACUAGUGCAAGAGCAGUCAGUCGAAGGCGCAGUCAGACAGUGCCCUGUUUAUUAUGUCUCCGAAGUCCUGACACCGUCCAAAUACAACAUGACAGAGCUGGAGAAGAUCGCCUACGCAGUUGUCAUGUCCUCGCGCAAGCUGCGCCAUUACUUUGAAGCAUUCAAGGUCCGAGUCACCUCUGACAGAGGGCUCGACGAACUAUUCAGAAACCCGGAGGCAUCGGUGAGGAUUGCCAAGUGGGCAGCCGAACUCUCCGGCUACCACAUCAGCUUCGAGCCCAGGACAACCAUCAAGUCGCAAGUCCUGGCAGACUUCGUCGUCGACUGGACUGGGCCAGCAACACAGCCAGACCCGUCCAUAGAGAAGAUCUGGACCAUCCAUUGCGACGGUGCAUGGUGCCAUGCGGGGGCAGGCGUCGCUGCAGUCGUCACCUCACCAGCCGGAGUCAAACACAGAUAUGCAGCACGCCUCAACUUCGCUCUGGAAUCCGACAAAUGUACAAACAAUAUAGCAGAGUAUGAAGCGGUUAUCCUCGGCCUCCGCAAGCUAAGGGCCCUCGGAGUCACCACAUGUAUCAUCAAGACAGACUCCAAGAUAGUUGCCGGACAGGUCGAGAAAGACUAUGCAGCAAAAGACCCCGCCCUCAUGCAAUACCUCGCGGCUAUCCGGAGUCUCGAGAGACAAUUCAAGGGAUUCACCCUACAGCAUGUGGAUAGGGCCAAGAACGAGGAGGCCGAUGCCUUAGCCAAGGCCGCCGCCAGGGGCGAGCCCCUGCCCUCCGACGUGUUUUUCCACACCAUCGGCACUCCAGCCGUCCGGAGCCCCGAAGGGCUCCAGAUAACUAAUGAUAGCGAGGGCCACCGUAUAGUCAACCUAAUCAUGACCAAAGACUGGAGGGCACCAAUAACCCUGUUCCUACAGGGGUACUAUCAUCCAGCCGACGUCAGUGAGGCAAAGCGCCUCAGACAUCGAAGCCGGGACUUCGCUCUGAUCGAGGGCCAACUAUACAAGAAAGGGGUCAGUCAGCCAAUGCUCAAAUGCGUCACCGAAACCAAAGGCAUGCAGAUCCUACUCGAAGUCCACAGUGGCACGUGCGGCUCGCACGCAGGGCCAAGGGCCCUGGCAGCCAAGGUGAUCCGACAAGGGUUUUACUGGCCUGCAAUGAUCUGCGCCGCAAAUCGAGUCACAAGGUCCUGCGAAGCCUGCCAGAAGUUCUCUCCUCGGUCAGGCAACCCCUCGCAAUAUACAAAGCUGAUCGCCCAUACAUGGCCUCUCCAGCGCUGGGGCCUGGACAUUGUCGGGCCCCUGCCCACCGCUCAGGGGAACCUUAAGUUCGCCUUCGUAGCCGUCGAAUACUUCACCAAAUGGAUUGAAGCGAGGGCUGUUUCCACAAUCACAUCAAAGACUGCCCAAAAAUUCUUUUGGCAGAACGUUGUUUGCCGCUUCGGAGUGCCGUCCGAGCUAACAGUCGACAACGGCAAGCAGUUUGACAGCCAAGAUUUCAAGGAUUUUUGUUUCUCCAUCGGCACCAAGCUUGCCUUCGCUUCAGUCUAUCAUCCGCAGUCCAACGGGGUCGUGGAGCGUGCCAAUGGGAAAAUCUUCACAGCUGUCAAGAAGAUGCUCCUCGAUGAAAAAAAGGCAGAUGGACCGAUUUGUUACCGGAGGCAGUCUGGGCGCUAAACACAACUGAGUGCAGGGCGACCGGGUUCACUCCUUUCCGCCUUCUAUACGGAUCGGAGGCAAUGACCCCGCAAGAAAUAAAGCAUGGGUCCCCGCGUACAGUUCCGUCAGCCGUCCCUGACGUGGACGAGCCAACCUCAAAAGAUCUCAUUGACGGAGACCGGGUCUUCGCCCUACAGGCCCUAAACAAAUACCAAGCCCAGACCAAAGCAUGGCGCGACCACGCAGUCAUCCCGAGGGAGUUCAGCGAGGGGGACCUCGUACUCAUCCGAACAGCUCGGACGGAGUCUAAGGGCAAGUUGGAGCCCAAGUGGGAGGGCCCCUUCAUAGUCAAAACAAAAGCUUCCCCCAGCGCCUACAGGCUCACAACGCCAAAUGGCGAGGACCUGGAGCACUCCUGGAACAUCGACAACCUUCGCAAAUUUUUUGUUUGAUCCACUUAGGGCUGAUUUCGCCCUUGUAAUUCACCGCAAACACUCUUGUACCGGCCCGCACUCUUUUCCUCCCGGGGGUGAGGUUUUUAACGAGGCGGAGCCAUGUAAUAUAUGUGAGAAAAAUCCCCCGCAAAAACAUGUGUCGAAAAAAGACCGCGACACCGGUCUUCGGCAUUCGACCAAUUCGAAGUCACCGCGAGGCCAAGCGCUAGCCACCCUCGCGUGCGACAAGUCUGCGCAGAAGUCGCCUAAGGGUGCAGCCGAACUCAGCACAAUAAGUGCGAAAAAUUCCGACGUCUAUCGCGAAGACUAUCCGCGCAGAAGUCGCCUAAGGGUGCAGCCGGACUCAGCACAACAAGUGCGAAAAAUUCCGACGUCUAUCGCGAAGACUAUCCGCGCAGUAGUCGCCUAAGGGUGCAGCCGGACUCAGCACAACAAGUGCGAAAAAUUCCGACGUCUAUCGCGAAGACUAUCCGCGCAGAAGUCGCCUAAGGGUGCAGCCGGACUCAGCACAACAAGUGCGAAAAAUUCCGACGUCUAUCGCGAAGACUAUCCGCGCAGAAGUCGCCUAAAGGUGCAGCCGGAUUUAGCACAACAAGUGCGAAAAAUUCCGACGUCUAUCGCGAAGACCAUCCGCGCAGAAGUCACCUAAGGGUGCAGCCGGACUUAGCACAACAAGUGCGAGAAAUUCCGAUGUCUCUCACAAAGACUCCGCGCAGAAGCCGCCUCAGGGCGCGGUCAAACCAGUACAGCAAAAGCAGAAGCGACAGCAUAGCCAACCAUGCCACACAAAGUACACAGCGCCCUCGCAGGCACAGGCACGCGAGGGCACACAACUUCAUCUUACAACCCUUUACACAUAUACAAGCGAGGGCACCACACUCUACAUCGGCUCCACCUUAGGAAUAAUCCCCAUCUCCCUAUAAUUAAAUAACAUUAUCCUAAGCUCCUCACCCGCAAAAAGACUUCGCAGUUCCCCUUCCCCUGCGCUCGCUGUGGCCGGCAAAGACAACAGUUCCUGCCGACCAACCCUACUCACGCGAAGCCGAGCCCCUUCCUCCGCGCUAACCCUACGCUUUGCAACUGCCCUUCGUCGUCGGCGCCCGGUGCUAGGACCCGGCACAUCUGGCGCGUCCGCAGCGUGUGGCGAAGCCUCCGCCGCAGCCACGUCCAAGGCCGCAAAAUAAUCCAAGUCCUCCUCCGACGACUCCUCACUCCACUCAACCGAGCUCCCAGAGUCAGUAAAAUCAAAAAACUCAGAUACAGACCCACCAUAUUCAUUUCCACCUUCCGCGGUCGAAGCCGCCAAAAACUCAGUAGUAGCGGUUGCGUGCGCAGGCCCAAACUCUUGAACCUGCGCAGCAACCAAAGUUCAGUACAACAUCCAAAAAGUCCCCAACCCUAAACACCCACUACGCCACCUGCGAAGGCCCUGCCGCUGCGGGAGCCUCCGCUGUCGCCUCCGCCGCUGCUUCCGCCACCACCGCCGCGGAAUCUUCAGCGCUCGGCGCAGCAGCUGCGGGGGCGUCAGGCGCGCCUUCGGCCACCUUUGGGGGCAGGCCUUCGCCGGCCACAGCAGAGGUGGGGACGCCCGGCGCGUCUUCCGCAGUCUCCAGGGUUGUUUCCAGGGCGGCUACAGUCGCAGCCUCCGCGAGGGUCAGCUCCAGGUCCGGCAGCGCGCUGUUCAGGGCCCCGAAGUCGUCCACCCGCUCGCCGCGCUCCGCCUAGAACAAGACACAGAUUCAGCAAACACACGCACAGCCCGAAUACAGCAAACGCCAAACAAACGACGUUACCUGAGCCCUCGCAGCCUCGGCCCGCUCCCUGACCACCUCACGACCGUACAGGCCCCACAUCCGGUCAUAGAGGGCCCCGGCGGAUUCCUUCACCACGGGGUCUUCGACCUUAUAGAUAUCUCGAUCAAAAUCUUCAUCCGCCUGGUCGAAGGCCUCGAAGUGCCGGCACCCUUCGCGGGAGAGCGCAUUCAUCGCCCCCUCGCAGGUGACCAGGGAGGCGUACAACAUCAACCCCCCCACGACGGCGGGAAGUUCCAGCAGCUCCUCCUGCACCCAUUGCAGACAGCGAAGCCCGGACUCUCGGUCCGGCACUUCGAAGUCACCGGUCCGCGCACCCAGCUCACGAUAUGUAUCCAUAAGCUGCGUGCGCGUCCGUUCGGCCUCCGCAUGCGUUGCGGCCUCGGCCUCCUUAGCGCGGCUCUCCAGGGCGGUGAGCCGCUCCUGCAGAUGUUCGGCGAGCUCCUUGGCAAGAUUGCCCUCCGCCCGCGCCAGCUUGGCCUCCGCCUGCGCAGCCUGCCCCUUGGCGACGGCCUCGUUAGCUUCCCUCCUCUCCGCCGCCAGUUGGCGCCGGAGGUCAGCCUUCUCCCUCUCCAGGGCGGCCACCCUGUCCGUCAGCUUACGGCACUUGCUGUCGGAGGCCGACUUCUCACGGACAGCGUCAGCAUGUUGUGUCCGAAGUCUCUCGACUUCGGCAGACACAGCUGCCGUGAGGGCCCCCGACGCAGUACGGCUGGCGAAGUCAGCCACCUGCAGAGCCGCGACGCAGUACGUAAGGCCGUCGCCCCAAAAGAGGUGGGGGAGAGAGUAUGUGAAAGGGAAAUGUGCCUUUGGGCCAUUUCUAAGUAUUUUGGUGAUUAAGUGCCAACACAAGUGCUUAAAUGUAAAUCAAUGCCCAUGGAUGAACAAAGUGCAAAUCUUCAACAAAGGUAUGUUUCUAAGUCUUAGUACAUUGGUUUUGUGUACUAAUAUAUUUGUCUAAGUGUUAGAAACAGAAAGAAGAAGAGAAGAGAAGACUUGGCUGUGUGCAGCCAAGGGGCUGCUUCGGUCUAGGGCACCGGACUGUCCGGUGGUGCACCGGACAGUGUCCGGUGGUGCACCGGACAGUGUCCGGUGCGCCAGGCCGCCUCGGCCGAAGAGGCCGCUCUCGGGUUUUUCUCCGGCGACUUCGGCUAAAAUUCACCGGACUGUCCGGUGUGCACCGGACUGUCCGGUGAGCCAACGGUCGGCCGGGCCAACGGUCGGCCGCGUGAUCGGCGCGCGACACGUGGCCGAGCCAACGGUCGGAGGGAAGCACCGGACUGUCCGGUGUGCACCGGACUGUCCGGUGUGCACCGGACUGUCCGGUGCGCCAGAUCUGCAACGGUCGGCAACGGUCGGCUUCGCCAAUUAAGGAAAGGAAUCGGGCACCGGACACUGUCCGGUGUGCACCGGACUGUCCGGUGCGCCCGACGACAGAAGGCAAGAAUAGCCUUCCAGAUGUGCUCUCAACGGCUCCUAGGUGCCUUGGGGCUAUAAAAGGGACCCCUUGGCGCAUGGAGGAGGACAACCAAGCAUUCCUUGAGCACUCUUGAUUACUCACACAUCAAUCUCGCGCACUUGUUCGACAUUCUAGUGAUUUGAGCUCCGUUCUAGUGUGCUAGUCUUUUGGGCUCAAGUCUGGGUCUUGUGUGUGCGUAUUUGCUGUGAUCUUUGUGUCGUGUGUGAGUUGCUAAUCCCUCCCUUGCUCCGUGAUUCUCUGUGAACAUCUUUUGUAAGGGCGAGAGGCUCCAAGUUGUGGAGAUUCCUCGCAAACGGGAUUGAGAAAAGAAAAGCAAGAACACCGUGGUAUUCAAGUUGAUCAUUGGAUCACUUGAGAGGAGUUGAGUGCAACUCUCGUCCGUUGGGACGCCACAACGUGGAGUAGGCAAGUUUUGUACUUGGCCGAACCACGGGAUAACCACCGUGUCAUCUCUGUGAUUAAUUUCUUGUGGUUAUUGUGUUUUGACUCCUCCCUAGCCACUUGGCCAUAAUUGUGCUAACACUUAACAAGUUUUUGUGGCUUAAGUUUUGAAGUUUUACAGGAUCACCUAUUCACCCCCCCCCUCUAGGUGCACUCAAUUGGUAUCAGAGCCGUUCUCUUCAAGAAAGGGACUAACCGCCCGAAGAGAUGGAUCCUAAGGGGAAGGGAAUUGUGAUCAACGACAAGGAGAAGGAGUCCUUCGUCAACGAGCCAAGGGAUGACAAGUCCAACGACUCGGGCUCGGGCCACAGGCGCAAAGAUGGGAAGAAGAAGAAGACAAGGCGCAUCAAGGAGAUCAUCUACUACGACGAUAGUGAUGAAUCUACUUCUUCCCAAAAGGAUGGUGACAACGACUACAAAAAGACGGUCAAUUCGAACUUUUCAUUUGAUUAUUCUCGUAUUCAACAUAGUUCGAAUUCGCAUUUGCUUUCCAUUCCUCUUGGCAAACCCCCACACUUUGAUGGGGAGGACUACGGAUUUUGGAGUCACAAAAUGCGUAGUCACUUAUUCUCUCUCCAUCCAAGCAUAUGGGAGAUUGUGGAGAAUGGAAUGAAAUUUGAUAGCUCGGAUAGUCCUAUGCUUAUAAAUGAACAAAUUCAUAGAAAUGCACAAGCUACUACUGUUCUCUUAGCAUCUUUGUGCAGGGAAGAGUACAAUAAGGUGAGCGGCUUGGACAAUGCCAAGCAGAUAUGGGACACCCUCAAGAUCUCUCACGAGGGGAACGACAUCACCAUGCUCACCAAGAUGGAGUUGGUGGAGGGCGAGCUUGGACGAUUCGCCAUGAUAAGGGGAGAGGAGCCAACUCAAACUUACAACCGGCUCAAGACCCUUAUCAACAAAAUAAGGAGCUACGGAAGCACGCGUUGGACGGAUCACGACGUCGUCCGCCUACUACUCAGGUCCUUUACCGUUCUUGAUCCUCAUCUCGUGAACAAUAUUCGUGAGAAUCCCAGGUACACGAUGAUGACGCCCGAGGAAGUACUUGGAAAAUUCGUGAGCGGGCGAAUGAUGAUCAAGGAGGCAAGGUACGUCGAUGACGCGUUGAACGGUCCAAUCCACGAGCCUCAACCCAUUGCUCUCAAGGCAUCGAGAAGCAAGGAGGCACUACCAAGCAAGGUGGCGCAAAUUGAGGCGGCCGGGCUUAAUGAUGAAGAAAUGGCUCUCAUCAUUAAGCGCUUCAAGACGGCGUUAAGGGGUCGCAAGGAGCAUCCCAACAAGACCAAGACGAAGGGGAAGCGCUCAUGCUUCAAGUGUGGUAAGAUUGGUCACUUUAUCGCUAAUUGUCCCGAUAAUGAUAGUGACCAGGAAAAGAAGAGUGGAAAAUGGGAAAAGAAGAAGAAUUACAAGAAGGCAAAGGGCGAGGCUCAUAUUGGAAAGGAGUGGGAUUCGGAUUGCUCCUCGUCCGACUCCGACAACGAAGGACUUGCCGCCACCGCCUUCAACAAGUCAUCCCUCUUUCCCAACGAACAUCACACUUGCCUCAUGGCAAGGGAAAAGAAGGUAAUCACUCGUAAUGCUAAUACUUAUGAUUCUUCUAGUGAUGAUGAAUCUAGUGAGGAUGAAGUAGAUUAUUCAUGUUUAUUCAAGGGCUUAGAUAGAUCUAAGAUAGACAAAAUUAAUGAAUUAAUUGAUGCCUUGAAUGAAAAGAAUAUACUUUUAGAAAAGCAAGAGGAUUUGCUGUAUGAAGAACAUGAUAAGUUUGUAGAGGCUCAAAAAUCCCUUGCAUUAGAAAUUAAGAGGAAUGAAAUGCUUGCUUGUGAAGUGUCAUCAUGCCAUGAUUCUAUUUCUAACUUAAAGAGCAUAAAUGAUGAUUUAAAUGCUAAACUCGAAGAAGCAAAUAAAUCCAACUCCUGUGGUGAAACUGUUGUUAUUUGCAAUAGAUGUAAAGACUUUGAUAUUGAUGCUUGUAGUGAACACAUAGCUUCUAUUGCAAAGUUAAAUAAUGAAGUGGCUAGUCUUAAUGCCCAACUUAAGACUAGCAAAAGUGAAUUUGAUAAACUAAAAUUUGCAAGGGAUGCCUACACUAUUGGUAGACACCCCUCAAUUAAGGAUGGACUUGGCUUCAAGAGGGAAGUCAAGAACUUAACAAGCCAUAAGACUCCCAUUCCCACUAAGGAGAAAGGGAAGGCUCCUAUGGCUACUAGUGCUAAAAAGAACCAUGCCUUUUUAUAUCAUGAUAGGAGAUAUUCUAGAAAUGCUUUUAAAGGUCAUGAUGUUUUUGGUUCACAUGCUUAUGACUCUUAUGCUAUGACUGCUUCUAGUUCUCAUGUUAUGCCUGGUAGAAAUGUGCUUAGAAGAAAUGUUGUUCAUCAAAUGCCUAGGAGAAAUGAUGCUCAUAGUGCUCCUAGGAAAGUAGUAAAUGAAUCUUCUACAAUUUAUUGUGCUUUAAAUGCUUCCUUUGCUAUUUAUAGAAAGGAUAAGAAAAUUGUUGCUAGGAAGAUAGGGGCAAAAUGCAAGGGAGACAAAACUUGCAUUUGGGUCCCUAAGGAUAUUUGCACUAACCUUGUAGGACCCAACAUGAGUUGGGUACCUAAGUCCCAAGCCUAAAUUUGCCUUGCAGGUUUAUGCAUCCGGGGGUUCAAGCUGGAUUAUAGACAGCGGAUGCACAAACCAUAUGACGGGGGAGAAGAAGAUGUUCACCUCCUACGUCAAGAAUAAGGAUUCCCAAGAUUCAAUUAUAUUCGGUGAUGGGAAUCAAGGCAAGGUAAAAGGGCUAGGUAAAAUUGCAAUUUCUAAUGAGCACUCUAUAUCUAAUGUGUUUUUAGUAGAGUCUCUUGGUUAUAAUUUGCUAUCUGUUAGUCAAUUAUGCAACAUGGGGUAUAACUGUCUAUUUACAAAUGUAGAUGUGUCUGUCUUUAGAAGAAGUGAUGGUUCACUAGCUUUUAAGGGUGUAUUAGACGGCAAACUUUAUUUAGUUGAUUUUGCAAAAGAAGAGGCCGGUCUAGAUGCAUGCUUAAUAGCUAAGACUAGCAUGGGCUGGCUGUGGCAUCGCCGCUUAGCACAUGUGGGGAUGAAGAACCUUCACAAGCUUCUAAAGGGAGAACACGUGAUAGGUCUAACUAAUGUUCAAUUCGAAAAAGAUAGACCUUGUGCAGCUUGUCAAGCAGGGAAACAAGUGGGAGGCUCUCAUCACACCAAAAAUGUGAUGACGACAUCAAGACCCUUGGAGAUGCUGCAUAUGGACCUUUUUGGACCCGUCGCCUAUCUGAGCAUAAGAGGAAGUAAGUAUGGUUUAGUUAUUGUUGAUGACUUUUCCCGCUUCACUUGGGUGUUCUUUUUGCAGGAAAAGUCCGAAACCCAAGGGACCCUCAAACGCUUCCUCAGGAGAUCUCAAAAUGAGUUUGAGCUCAAAGUGAAGAAGAUAAGGAGCGACAACGGGUCCGAGUUCAAGAAUCUUCAAGUGGAGGAAUUCCUUGAAGAAGAAGGGAUCAAGCAUGAGUUCUCCGCUCCCUACACACCACAGCAAAAUGGUGUGGUAGAGAGGAAGAACAGGACGCUCAUCGACAUGGCGAGGACUAUGCUUGGAGAGUUCAAGACCCCCGAGCGUUUUUGGUCGGAAGCCGUGAACACGGCUUGCCACGCCAUCAACAGGGUCUACCUUCAUCGCCUCCUCAAGAAGACGUCGUAUGAGCUACUAACCGGUAACAAACCCAAUGUAUCUUACUUUCGUGUAUUUGGGAGCAAGUGCUACAUUCUAGUGAAGAAGGGUAGAAAUUCUAAGUUUGCUCCCAAAGCUGUAGAAGGGUUUUUGUUAGGUUAUGACUCAAAUACAAAGGCGUAUAGAGUCUUCAACAAAUCAUCGGGUUUGGUUGAAGUCUCUAGCGACGUUGUAUUUGAUGAGACUAAUGGCUCUCCAAGAGAGCAAGUUGUUGAUUGUGAUGAUGUAGAUGAAGAAGAUGUUCCAACGGCCGCUAUGCGCACCAUGGCGAUUGGUGAUGUGCGACCACAGGAACACUUGGAGCAAGAUCAGCCUUCUUCCUCAACCAUAGUGCAUCCCCCAACCCAAGAUGACGAACAGGUACCUCAAGUGGAGGCGGGUGAUCAAGGGGGAGCACAAGAUGAUCAUGUGAUGGAGGAAAAAGCGCAACCGGCACCUCCAACCCAAGUUCGAGCGAUGAUUCAAAGGGAUCAUCCCGUCGACCAAAUUCUGGGUGACAUCAGCAAGGGAGUAACUACUCGUUCUCGAUUAGUUAAUUUUUGUGAGCAUUACUCUUUUGUCUCUUCUAUUGAGCCUUUCAGGGUAGAGGAGGCCUUGCUAGAUCCGGACUGGGUGUUGGCCAUGCAGGAGGAGCUCAACAACUUCAAGAGAAAUGAAGUUUGGACGCUGGUGCCUCGUCCGAAGCAAAAUGUUGUGGGAACCAAGUGGGUGUUCCGCAACAAACAGGACGAGCACGGGGUGGUGACGAGAAACAAGGCUCGACUUGUGGCAAAAGGUUAUGCCCAAGUCGCAGGUUUGGAUUUUGAGGAGACUUUUGCUCCUGUGGCUAGGCUAGAGUCAAUUCGAAUCUUGCUAGCAUAUGCCGCUCACCAUUCUUUCAGGUUGUACCAAAUGGAUGUGAAGAGCGCUUUCCUCAACGGGCCACUCAAGGAGGAGGUGUACGUGGAGCAACCCCCUGGCUUCGAGGAUGAACGGUACCCCGACCACGUGUGUAAGCUCUCUAAGGCGCUCUAUGGACUUAAGCAAGCCCCAAGAGCAUGGUAUGAAUGCCUUAGAGAUUUCUUAAUUGCUAAUGCUUUCAAGGUUGGGAAAGCCGAUCCAACUCUUUUCACUAAGACAUGUGAUGGUGAUUUGUUCGUGUGCCAAAUUUAUGUCGAUGACAUAAUAUUUGGUUCUACUAACCAAAAGUCUUGUGAAGAGUUUAGCAGGGUGAUGACGCAAAAAUUCGAGAUGUCGAUGAUGGGCGAGUUGAACUACUUCCUUGGGUUCCAAGUGAAGCAACUCAAGGACGGCACCUUCAUCUCCCAAACGAAGUACACGCAAGAUCUGCUAAAGCGGUUUGGGAUGAAGGACGCCAAGCCCGCAAAGACUCCGAUGGGGACCGACGGACACACCGACCUCAACAAAGGAGGUAAGUCCGUUGAUCAAAAAGCAUACCGGUCAAUGAUAGGGUCAUUACUUUAUUUAUGUGCUAGUAGACCGGAUAUUAUGCUUAGCGUAUGCAUGUGUGCUAGAUUUCAAUCCGAUCCUAAGGAAUGUCACUUAGUGGCGGUGAAGCGGAUUCUUAGAUAUUUGGUUGCUACGCCUUGCUUCGGGCUCUGGUAUCCAAAGGGGUCUACCUUUGACUUGGUUGGAUACUCAGACUCCGACUAUGCUGGAUGUAAGGUCGAUAGGAAGAGUACAUCGGGGACGUGCCAAUUCUUAGGAAGGUCCCUGGUGUCAUGGAACUCUAAGAAACAAACAUCCGUUGCCCUAUCCACCGCUGAGGCCGAGUAUGUUGCCGCAGGACAGUGUUGCGCGCAACUACUUUGGAUGAGGCAAACUCUCCGGGACUUUGGCUACAAUCUGAGCAAAGUCCCACUCCUAUGUGAUAAUGAGAGUGCUAUCCGCAUGGCGGAGAAUCCUGUUGAGCACAGCCGCACAAAGCACAUAGACAUCCGGCAUCACUUUUUGAGAGACCACCAGCAAAAGGGAGAUAUCGAAGUGUUUCAUGUCAGCACCGAGAACCAGCUAGCCGAUAUCUUCACUAAACCUCUAGAUGAGAAGACCUUUUGCAGGUUGCGUAGUGAGCUAAAUGUCUUAGAUUCGCGGAACCUGGAUUGAAUUGUAGCAUACAUGUAUUUAUGCUUUUGAUCAUGUUCCUUUUUGCAUUUUGUUGCUUAUUGUGGUGCUCAAGUUGUACAAACACUUCCUGGACCUCACAAGUCUGUUGCAAAGUGAUGCACAUGUUAAGGGGGAGAUGUGUUACAACUUGACCCUUUGAGACUAACCAUGUGUUUGAGUUUGAUGAUUUAGUCUCAAAGGAGGCUUGAAAGGGAAAAGGUGGACUUGGACCAUGAAAGACUUCCACUGCACUCCGAUGAGAGGGUAACUUAUUCCAAGUCCAUCUCAUGAACUCUUAUUGCCAUUUGCUCUUAAUUGAAGAUUUUGGUGAGGCAAUGGGGUUAUAGAGCCAAGAUUGAUCCCGUUUUGGUGCUUGAUGCCAAAGGGGGAGAAAAUAAAGGCCAAAGUGAUAAAAUGGAUCAGCUACCACUUGAGAGAUUUUGAAAAUUUUGAAAAUAGUAGAAUAGUAGAAUAGAGUUUUUGUUUUGUCAAAAGCUUUUGUCUCUUAUUGUCUCUAUUGUCAAAAGUUGGUUUCUUGUGGGGAGAAGUAUUGAUUAUGGGAUUUAGGGGGAGUUUUUGAAAUCUUUGAUCAAUCUCGUUUGGAAUGACUCUCUUUAUGCCUCAACAUGUGUGGUUGACAUAGAAAUAGAGAUUUGAGUUUGAUUUGCAAAAACAAACCAAGUGGUGGCAAAGGAUGAUCCAUAUAUGCCAAAAUUGAAUCAAAACCAAUUUGAGUUUUUAUUUGAAGUGAUUUUGCACUUGUUCUAGUUGCUUUAUGUGGUGUUGGCAUAAAUCACCAAAAAGGGGGAGAUUGAAAGGAAAAUGUGCCUUUGGGCCAUUUCUAAGUAUUUUGGUGAUUAAGUGCCAACACAAGUGCUUAAAUGUAAAUCAAUGCCCAUGGAUGAACAAAGUGCAAAUCUUCAACAAAGGUAUGUUUCUAAGUCUUAGUACAUUGGUUUUGUGUACUAAUAUAUUUGUCUAAGUGUUAGAAACAGAAAGAAGAAGAGAAGAGAAGACUUGGCUGUGUGCAGCCAAGGGGCUGCUUCGGUCUAGGGCACCGGACUGUCCGGUGGUGCACCGGACAGUGUCCGGUGGUGCACCGGACAGUGUCCGGUGCGCCAGGUCGCCUCGGCCGAAGAGGCCGCUCUCGGGUUUUUCUCCGGCGACUUCGGCUAAAAUUCACCGGACUGUCCGGUGUGCACCGGACUGUCCGGUGAGCCAACGGUCGGCCGGGCCAACGGUCGGCCGCGUGAUCGGCGCGCGACACGUGGCCGAGCCAACGGUCGGAGGGAAGCACCGGACUGUCCGGUGUGCACCGGACUGUCCGGUGCGCCAGAUCGGCAACGGUCGGCUUCGCCAAUUAAGGAAAGGAAUCGGGCACCGGACACUGUCCGGUGUGCACCGGACUGUCCGGUGCGCCCGACGACAGAAGGCAAGAAUAGCCUUCCAGAUGUGCUCUCAACGGCUCCUAGGUGCCUUGGGGCUAUAAAAGGGACCCCUUGGCGCAUGGAGGAGGACAACCAAGCAUUCCUUGAGCACUCUUGAUUACUCACACAUCAAUCUCGCGCACUUGUUCGACAUUCUAGUGAUUUGAGCUCCGUUCUAGUGUGCUAGUCUUUUGGGCUCAAGUCUGGGUCUUGUGUGUGCGUAUUCGCUGUGAUCUUUGUGUCGUGUGUGAGUUGCUAAUCCCUCCCUUGCUCCGUGAUUCUCUGUGAACAUCUUUUGUAAGGGCGAGAGGCUCCAAGUUGUGGAGAUUCCUCGCAAACGGGAUUGAGAAAAGAAAAGCAAGAACACCGUGGUAUUCAAGUUGAUCAUUGGAUCACUUGAGAGGAGUUGAGUGCAACUCUCGUCCGUUGGGACGCCACAACGUGGAGUAGGCAAGUUUUGUACUUGGCCGAACCACGGGAUAACCACCGUGUCAUCUCUGUGAUUAAUUUCUUGUGGUUAUUGUGUUUUGACUCCUCCCUAGCCACUUGGCCAUAAUUGUGCUAACACUUAACAAGUUUUUGUGGCUUAAGUUUUGAAGUUUUACAGGAUCACCUAUUCACCCCCCCCUCUAGGUGCACUCAGUAUGGCUCAACGGACCUGACUCAGCGCCUCCGUCGCCUGACUCAGCGCCUCCGUCACCCCCUUCAGCCGGCGGGUCGCCGCGCCCGCCUCGUCCCUGACCAGCGCGAGGACCGACACCUCGCCUCCGGCGCCAAGCGCCUCGCCCCCCGCCUUCGGCGCCUUGGCGGCCGUCGCGAUCGCCGCGCCAGGCGCAACUAUAGCAAGCUGGCCCUCGUCCGGCCCUGCAACGCAUCCACAAAUUAAAAAAAAAACAACAAUAAUAGACCAGCGACUUACCACCAAGAUAGUCAUCCACAGUAAUGUCGGUGCCGAAGUCGGCAACGCGUUUGCCCGGCGGCAGCGACGUUCGGGCCGCCUUCGAAGCCUCCGCCACUCCGCUGGCCGCCAGCACCACCUUCGUCGGUCUGGAGCCUCCGGCGCCCGCCGUUGCCUCCGGCGCCUUGCUAGGCGCAGAGGCGCCCGCCUUCGCCGCCAGCGGCGGCUUGCCUCCGCCGGAGGCCGCAGCCUUCACAUUUCCCCACUGCCUUUUCGGCCGAGCUUCGUGAAUCCUGACAGUCGCCUGGCGCUUCUGCGCCGCCCCUUGGCGAUCCUUGUCCAUCACUGCCCACACAACAGCACCGAUAUUUCGCCCGUAAGGAAAAACUCUCCACUGAUGAACCAUGCGAGAUGUAAAACAGUCCUCCUCAGCCGCGCAGGGGAUAGGAACAUUUCUAGGCCAGCAACCCCCGGUAACCCUCAGCAUCCGAGCCGAAGACUCCCGGAGCUCGGGCGAAGACAUCCUUUCCCCCGGGGCCGCACACGUCCUCAUUAAAUCUCUAGCAAAACUAUCAGACACCCCAAUCCCUCCCAUCGCAGUACCUAAUUUUCUCUUUUUCGAGGGAGGGGCGACCGCCGGUGCUGGGUCGUCUCCUGUCUCCACCGCCGGUUUCUUCCCGCGGCGGUCGGCUUCGUCUUGACCAGGAUAUCCAUCGUACGGCAAUUGAUUUAAUUCGAAGACCCUGUUCAGACGGUCAUUUGACCCGCGGAUAUCAAAGCUGCGCUGGCCUUCCGUCCUCGGCACGUAACGCCCCACGAGCCGCACGGCCCCGUCCUCCGCGUCGCGCACAAAAGCAGCCGGGUCGCGGUUCCGCAGAUUCAGUGCGAAGGCAGGGCUUCUCACAACCCUUCCUCCGUGAAAAGGCAUCUGGUGAGGGCACACUUCGCCCAGCACCCAACCGUGCGCCAAGGGCCACACCCCAUACGCCACAAACUCUUCAACUAAAUCACGCCCACUGCUCUGACCGGCGGCGCCGAAGGGCCCCUUCGUCUGCAUCUUCCUCUGCCACUUCAAAAGGCGGAUACGCAGAGUAAUAAUGAGAGCACAUCUCAGACACAGGGAGACCUUUAUGGCCUUCGUCAGUACCCUCCGCAACAUAAAACCAAAAUUCAUUCCAAUUGCCCCACUUGUUGCGGGCGCACGGAACCAACUCCACUACUGGCAUUGUGGUCUUGCUGGUCUUCGGCAUAAAUGUGCAUGACCCGAACUGGGCAACUCCAUCCCCAACCAUCCUCUUCUGCCAAUGCAAGCAAUAAUUCUUCACAAAAACUUCAACAGACGGCUGCCCGCCGUACGAAGUCGUCGCCCAGACAUACUUCGCCAGCGCCACCAUGGCAUUCGGUGUCAGCUGAUGUAUCUGAACAUUGAAUCUACGCAGGACUUCGCCGACAAACCGGUGCGCAGGCAAGCGGAGACCGGCAGCGAAGAACGCCUCGAAAACGACCAACUCACCCUCCGGCUCGGGGACUUCCUCCGUCCCCGGAGCACGAGCAACCCCGCCACCAAAGUAGCCCAACCGCUGCAUAUCUUCAACGCGGGCUGACGUCAUCCGUGACACACCAAAAUCAACAGAGUCGCCGGCGCGCAACUCCUCCACCAUCAUGCUACUCAACGUCUCCUCAGACGAGGCGGCGGCCGGCGGCGUGGUGUCGGAGGAAGAAGAAGAGGACGUCAUUGCUACGUACCGUCGGCGGCGGCGGGCGGUUUGCUUCACUCGAGCCAGCACUCCGGCGAGCAAAAGGAGCAGCGGAAGAAGAAGAGCAGCAAGGCGGCGGGAGGCUAGGGUUUUUACGGAGCGCGGAAGACAAGGUUCAAACAGCGCCGACCCCCGCCCCCUUUUAUAGGCAGGGCGCGGCUCUUCGGGAAACGCGCAAUCUGACAGGGCGCGACGCUUCGGGAAACCCGCAAUCCAACAGUACGCCGUCCAUCAACGGUCACAUCAAAAACCCCCGCGGAACCACUUCGAGCGAGGGCAGCGUCUCCGCCAUCUAGCGACGUCUUCGGCACCAGGUGACUUUGUCGAACUGGUCCCUCGGAGGGCAAAUGUUGGGGCGAAGGCAGAGACGCCACCCUUCGCUCGUCGCCUUUCGCUGCAGUCGCUGGUUUGACGAAGACAAAACGGGCAGGAACACCCUUCGCUUCAUUCAGCACCAGGCGAAGGCCUGCGGUGACGUCUCCCCGCAGCGCGGCCUCGUCCUGCUCUGAGGCCCACGUGUGAUCUGGCCCAUUGUAACGGGCCCCGCGUGACCGCCUUUGUGUUACGGGCCUAGUUUGUAAAGGCAUUCUUGUAAGUACAGCUUGUAACCCUGCUUUAUGGGAAUAUUCUGGGGAUAAACUAGGUGUCCGAGGGCACAUGCGUCCUUAACACAAGGCGCUGGGCACUCGGAUACCUAUAAAUACCCCCGCACAGUGCCCGUGAGAGGCUAGACAUUAACAGAGCUAUUUGCCCCCGUGCACGUAUCCCUGUUGUCACCACCGUUCGUCCUUGUUGGCCUCCUUGCUACUGAGAGCAAGUUCCAACAAGCACAAUAAAGAGGAGUUCUUGCAAAACACAAUAACCAUAAGAAGAUCAACACAGAUAGGCACAGUGGUUUAUCCCGUGGUUCGGCCAAGUCCAACACUUGCCUACUCCAUGUUGUGGCGUCCCAACGGACGAGGGUUGCAAUCAACCCCUCUCAAGCGGUCCAACGACCCACUUGAAUACCACAGUGCUUUGCUUUGCUUUACUAUAUCCCGCUUGCGAGGAAUCUCCACAACUUGGAGCCUCUCGCCCUUACAAAGAUGUUCACAAAGAAUCACGGAAGUAAGGUUGGGAUGAGCAACGCACACAAGACACAAAACCAGAGCAGCAACACGCACACAAGUCACAACAAGAGCUCUCAACACAACCCGAAGAGUACACUACUCAAUUGGAGCUCUAGUUGCUAUCACAAAGAAUCCAAUGCGCGGAAUUGAAGUCUUGGUGCUUAGGAAUGCUUAGAGAAUGCUUGGUGUUCUCCUCCACGCGCCUAGGGUCCCUUUUAUAGCCCCAAGGCAGCUAGGAGCCGUUGAGAGCAUUCCAGGAAUGCAAUUCUUCCUUCUGUCGCCUGGCGCACCGGACAGUCCGAUGCACCACUGGACAGUCCGAUGCACCACCAGACCCUGUCCGGUGCGGAUUUCUUUCCUUCCGUGGCGCAGCCGACCGUUGAAGAUCCAGAGCUGUUGGCGCACCGGACACUGUCCGAUGCACACCGGACAGUCCGGUGCCCCUUUCUGACCGUUGGCUCGGCCACGCGUCGCGCACGGAUUACUCGGCCUACCGUUGGCCCGGCCGACCGUUGGCUCACCGGACAGUCCGGUGCACCACCGGACAGUCCAGUGAAUUAUAGCCGUACGCCGUUAAUCGCUUCCCGAGAGCGACGACUUCGCCUAUGAAUGGCUCACCGGACAGUCCGGUGCACCACUAGAUAGUCCGGUGAUUUAUAGUCGUACGCCGUUGAUCGCUUCCCAAGAGCAGCCAGUUGACAGUCGCCAGCCUGGCGCACCGGACACUGUCCGGUGCACCCAGACUGCGCAGAGUCUUGGCUGCAUAGCCAAGUCUUUUCCAAAUUGAUCUUUUCCUGUUUCUAGCACUUAGACACAAUACAUUAGUCUCUAAAACAAUGUACUAAGUCUUAGAAAACAUACCUUUACUCUUGAUUUGCACUUUGUCCAUCAAUUGGCAUAGAUUAACACUUAAGCACUUGUGUUGGACACUAAAUCACCAAAAUACUUAGAAAUGGCCCAAAGGCACAUUUCCCUUUCCAAAACCCAAGUGAAGCGGGAAAAAUCAUCUACAAUAACAAGACCAUACUUACUUCCCCCGAUGCUGAGAUAAGCAACAGGCCCGAAGAGAUCCAUAUGUAGGAGUUCCAGUGGUCUUGAUGUUGUCAUAACAUUCUUGCUUUGAUGAGUACUUCCCACCUGCUUCCCUGCUUGGCACGCUGCACAAGGUCUGUCUUUCUUAAAACAUACAUCGGUUAGUCCUAACACAUGUUCUCCCUUUAGAAGUUUAUGAAGGUUCUUCAUCCCAACAUUUGCUAGACGGCGGUGCUAGAGCCAGCCAUAUUAGUAUUAGUGAUUAAGCAUGCAUCUAGAUCGGCAUUCUCUUUUGAGAAAUCAACUAAGUAGAGCUUGUCGUCUAAUACACCCUUAAAAGCUAAUGAACCAUCACUUCUUCUAAGGACAGAUACAUCAAUAUUUGUAAAUAAACAAUUGUAACCCAUAUGACAUAAUUGGCUUACAGACAACAAAUUGUAUCCGAGCGAUUCUACUAGAAACACAUUUGAAAUUGAAUGCUCGGUUGUGAUGGCUAUUUUUUCCUAAGCCCUUGACCUUGCCUUGGUUCCCAUCUCCAAAGAUGAUAGUGUCAUGGGAAUCCCUGUUCUUGACAUAGGAGGUGAACAUUUUCUUCUCCCCUGUCAUGUGGUUUGUACAUCCGCUAUAAUAAUCUAGCUUGAACCCCUAGAUGCAUAAACCUGCAAGAUAAUUAAGCUUGGGUUUUAGGUACCCAGCUCUUGUUGGGUCCUAUAAGGUUAGUCACAAUAGACUUUGGAACCCAGAUGCAAGUUUUGUCUCUCUUGCACUUAGGUCCCAAACUUCUAGCAACUACUUUAUCAUUUUGGCAUACAAUGACAAAUGAAGCAUCACAUGUUUGAUAAAGCAUAGUUGGUCCAGUUGAUGCUCUCCUAGGUGCAUGAGAAGCAAUAUGAUGGCGCCUAGGCCUAUUUCUACCAUGAGCAUAUGAAGAGCUAGAUGCAAACAUGGCAUGAGAAUUAAAUGCAACAUCAUGACAUACAAGAGAAACAACAUGAUUAUGACACCUAUCAUGAUGAGCAAUGCUGGUAACUUUCUUAUCAUAAAGAUAGGCAUGAUUCUUUUAAGAGCUACCAGCCAUGGGAGCCUUCCCUUUCUCUUUGUUGAGAUUGGAAGUCCUUUGUCUUGUUAAGUUCUUGGUUCCCUUUUGGAAACCAAGUCCAUCCUUAAUAGAGGGGUGUCUACCAUUGGUGUAGGCAUCCCUAGCAAAUUUUAAUUUCUCAUAAUUAUCCUUGCAAGUCUUAAGUUGAGCAUUAAGACUUGCGACAUCACUAUUUAAAUUGAGAAUGGUAGAGCCAUGUUCAUUGCAAGCAUCAAUAUUAAAAUCUUUACACCUAUUGCAGAUUACAACAUGCUCUACACAUGAACUAGCCACAUUAAAUUUUUUCUAGCUUAGUAUUUAAAUCAUCAUUCAAAAUUUUGAGACUAGAAAUAGAAUCAUGGCAGGUAGACAACUCAGAAGACAAUAUUUCAUUUUUCUUAAUUUCUAGAGCAAGUUAUUUUUGAACAUUAAUAAUUUUUUCAUGUUCGUCAUAAAUAAUAUCUUCUUGCUUUUCUAGCAACCUAUCCUUUUCAUUAAGAGCAUCAAUCAAUUCAUUUAUUUUAUUUACCUUAGAUCUAUCUAAUCCUUUAAAUAAAUCACUAUAAUAUACUUCAUCGUCAGAAGAUUCCUCAUCACUAGAAGUGUACUUAGGUGUAUCUUGUAUACGUACCUUCUCCUUAGCCAUAAGGCACGUGUGGCAUUCGUUGGGGAAGAGGAAGGAUUUGUUGAAGGCCGAGGCAGCUAGUCCUUCAUCAUCGGAGUCGGAUGAAGAACAGUCGGAGUCCCAUUCUUUUCCAAUGUGUGCCUCGCCCUGUGCCUUCCUGUAGUUCUUCUUCCUUUCCUUCUUCCCAUUGUUUUCUUGUGCCUGGUCAUUGUUAUUAUCGAGACAUUGUGCUAUGAAAUGACCAGACUUACCACACUUGAAGCCGGAGUGCUUUCCCCUUGAUUUGUUCUUGUUGGGGUACUCCUUGCGUCCCUUCAAGGCGGUCUUGAAGCGCUUGAUUAUAAGCGCCAUUUCGUCAUCAUUGAGCCCGGCAGCCUCCACUUGUGCUACCUUGCUAGGUAGCGCCUCCUUGCUACUAGUUGCUUUGAGAGCAACGAGCUGUGGUUCAUAGAGAGGAAGCAGUCCGUUUGUAGCAUCGUCCACGUAUCUCGCUUCCUUCACCAUCAUGCGCCCGCUUACAAAUUUUCCGAGAAUUUCCUCAGGCGUCAUCUUGGUGUACCUGGGAUUCUCACGGAUAAGAUUCACAAGAUGAGGAUCAAUAACGGUAAAAGACCUUAGCAUGAGUCGGACGACGUCAUGAUCCGUCCAUCUUGUACUCUCAUAGCUUCGAAUCUUGUUGACUAGGGUCUUGAGCCUGUUUAAGUUUGAGUUGGCUCCUCUCCCCUUAUCAUGUCGAACCUCCCCAACUCACCUUCCACCAGUUCCAUCUUGGUAAUCAUGGUGGCAUCAUUACCCUUGUGAGAGAUCUUGAGGGUAUCCCAUAUUUGCUUGGCAUUGUCCAAGCCGCUCACUUUGUUGUAUUCAUCCCUGCAUAGAGAUGCUAGCAAAAUAGUAGUAGCUUGGGCAUUUUUAUGUAUUUGCUCAUUAAUAAAUACAUGACUGCCAGUGCUAUCAAAAUGCAUUCCAUUUUUAACAAUUUCCCAAAUACUAGGAUGGAGGGAAAAUAAGUGACUACGCAUUUUAUGACUCCAAAAUGAAUAGUCCUCUCCAUCAAAGUGUGGGGGUUUUCCAAGUGGAAUAGAUAGUAAAUGGGCAUUCAAAUUAUAAGGGAUACGAGAAUAAUCAAAAGAAUAGUUUUGAUUAACCGUUUUCUUUUUCGACAAAGUGUCUUCAUCGUCGUCGUCCCUUGGCGAAGAGGAGGAGGCGUCACUGUCGUAGUAGAUGAUCUUAUUUAUGCGCCUCUUCUUCUUUCCAUCCCUCUUCUUGUGACUUGAGCCUGAGUUAGUGGGCUUGUCGUCUUUUGGCUCGUUGAUGUAGAGGGUCUCCUCCUCCUUAUCGUUGAUCACCAUCCCCUUACCUUUAGGAUCCAUCUCUUUGGGCGGUUAGUCCCUUAAUAAAGAGUACGACUCUGAUACCAAUUGAGAGCACCUAGGGGUGAAUAGGUAAUCCUAUAAAAAUCAACACUAAAUGCCACAAACUUGGUUAUGAAAUGUUAGUGGAAUCAAAACCAGGGUGCUAUGUCUAGGGAGAAAGAGAUGACUUCUUCACUUAAUUGCUCUUCACAAGGUGAUUAUUAAACUUAGAGCAAUUAUGAAGUGAGUAGAAGCAGAGAGAUAAUCACACACGAAUAACAACAGAUGACACAUCGAUUUUAUCCCGUGAUUCGGCCAAGUAGAACACUUGCCUACUUCCACGUUGUGGCGUCCCAAUGGACAAGGGUUGCACUCAACCCCUUUCAAGUGAUCCAAUGAUCCACUUGAAUACCACAGUUUUCUUUCUUAGCAGAUGUUUCCCUUUGUGAGGAAUCUUUACAAGUUAGAGUCUCUUUCCCUUACAAAGUUGAUCACAAUGAAAACCACAAGAGUAAGGGAGGGAAAGAAACACACGCAAAAGCUAGAGUCGCAGCAAUGACACACACACAAGUCAAGAAACGAGCACACAAACACAGCGCAACGAGUUCAUAACUUAACAAGUGCUCAAAUCUCAAUGACAAUGAUCCGGUUGCGUGCUUGCGGAGUCUAGGCGUUUUAGGAUGUUUAAUGGAGGCUUGGUAUUCUGCUCCAUGCGCCUAGGGGACCCUUUUAUAGCCCCAAGGCAGCUAGGAGCCGUUGGAGCUCAAUUUGGUAGGAAAUUCUUGCCUUCUGUCCGUGAGCACACCGGACAGUGAACAGUGCAAGCAUAGGACACGACAAAGAAUCGCCUGAUUGGUUGAUUUCCUUUUCUAUGGGGCACCAGACGGUUCGGUGCGCCAUAUGACCGUUGACUCUUGGUCGACGUGGCAGGUAGCCGUUGCACGAUUGGUACACCGGACUGUCCGAUGAAUUAUAGCCGACGUAGCUAGGAAAACCCGAGAGCAGUGAGUUUGGCAGACCGUGCACCGGACUGUCCGGUGGGUGGCACCGGACCGUCCGGUGCUGCGUAGUCCAGCACCUUUUCUACGUUCCUUCCUUUAUUUUCCUUUGAUUCUUUUGGACUUCACUUAGCUGAGUCUCUGACACUUAGACAAGUAUGUUUAGCACAUAAAACAAUUGACUAAGCAUCUAGAACUUACCUUCACACUUGAUUCAACUAGAUAUUCCUUUGCUCAACAUUAUGUUAGUUCACACAGAGUGUGUUGUGCAUCUAAUCACCAAAACAAUAUAGAAAUAGCCCAAGGGCACAUUUACCUUUCAGACCUGUACAAUCUCGUCGACCUCCCUUAAUGUGGUGGUGUGAUGUUGUGUGGCCUCGGAAAUGUUCUCUACACUGGAUACAUGCACACCAGCAUCUGCAAUGUGAAAGGGAAUUAGUCUUACACCUAUCUCCUAAUUGAUUUUGGUGGUUGAAUUGCACAACACAAAUAUUUGGACUAACUAGUUUGCUCUAGUCUAUAAGUUCUACAGGUGCCAAAGGUUCACAAUAAGUCAAUAAAAAGAACAAGAAUGAGUUCAAUCAAAGAGAGCAAGGGACAACCGAAGUGUGCCCUGGUCUGGCGCACCGGACUGUCCGGUGCACCACCGGACAGUGUCUGAUGCACCAGGGGACUCCAAGCUGAACUCAACACCUUCGGGAAAUUCAGAAGCGCUCCGCUAUAAUUCACCGGACUGUCCGGCGUACCAUCGGACAGUGUCUGGUGCCCCAGAGGAGAGCGACUCUGAACUCGCCAGCUUCGGGAAUCAGAUCCGCUAUAAUUCACCGGACUGUCCGGUGAGUCACCGGACAAUGUCCGGUGCACACCGGACUGUCCGGUGUGACAGCGGAGCAACGGCUACUUCGCGCGCAACGGUCGACUGCAACGCAUUAAAUGCGCGCCUGCGCGCGCAGAGGAGCAGAGCACGCGCGGGUGGCACACCGGACAGCCUACAGGGCCUGUCCGGUGCGCCACUGGAUAGCCAGGCGGGCCCACAAGACAGAGCUCCAACGGUCGGAACCCAACGGCCUGGUGACGUGGCUGGCGCACCGGACAGUGUCCGGUGGCGCACCGGACUGUCCGGUGCGCCAUGCGACUACAGCCUUCCAACGGCCACUUUUGUUGGUUGGGGUUAUAAAUACCCCCAACCACCCCACAUUCAAGUCAUCCAAGUUUUCCACCUUCCAACUUCUUACAAGAGCUCUAGCAUUCAAUUCUAGACACACAAAAGAGAUCAAAUCCUCUCCCAAUUCCACUCAAAGCUUUAGUGAUUAGAGAGAGUGAUUGUUGUGUUCAUUUGAGCUCUUGCGCUUGGAUUGCUUCUUUUUCUCAUUCUUUCUUGCGAUCAUCUCAAUUGUAAUCAAGUCAAGAGACACCAAUUGUGUGGUGGUCCUUGCGGGGAAGUUUGGUUCCCGUUUGGUUGAGAAGAGAAGCUCACUCGGUUGGAGGGACCGUUUGAGAGAGGGAAAGGGUUGAAAGAGACCCGGUCUUUGUGACCACCUCAACGGGGAGUAGGUUUGCGAGAACCGAACCUCGGUAAAACAAAUCCUUGUGUCUCACUUCUCUAUUCGCUUGCGAUUUGUUUUACGCCCUCUCUCGGACUCGAUUAUAUUUCUAACGCUAACCCGGCUUGUAGUUGUGAUUAACUUUGUAAAUUUCAGUUUCGCCCUAUUCACCCCCCUCUAGGCGACUUUCACAAUGUCUUCGUCAACCCCUGCAUUGGCAUCCUGUGUGGAAACCUCCUUCCUGGUGAGUUCUACUGUCUCCAUGUGGGUUCACUCCCUUGAAAGUCACAUGUAUUGACUGGUGAGUAAGAAUCUUAGAUCGAUUAGCAUACCCCAUCGCUGGCUAGUUUUAUAAAUUGAUCCUUUUUAGUAAGACAAUGAUAUGAACAUGUAUUAAAAAAUAUUUAAGGCAGAAGUCUCCAAAAGCUCUUGCCAUUGCCAUUCUAGGAGAUUCAUUAUUUGACAACCAUACUGUAACACCCUAAAUUUGGAGGUAUAAAGUUUCUUUCCUAAUAUCCACCAAAUUCAGGUGUUACUCUCUCAUUUCUCUACUUUCCUUCUCUUUUUCCUAAAAAUGGAGAAUUAUUUUUGUUUUAUAUUGACGUAAACCAAGUGGAAUAAGCUCUAGAGGUGCUUUGGUUGUUGCAUUCAUGCUGUUGCACGGUGUUUCUAAGUGCAAAAUGUGUUUGACACAUGUUAGUAUAUCCUAUAGAAGCUCUCGAUAGAUUUUCAUAUUUUUGGAAUAUUUGUCUAUUUUCCGGAAACCAAAAUCUAUUUAUUUAAGGUACUUAAAAAUGUUUUCAGAAACUCUAAGUAUGUUUUUUGAGUUUAUUAAGUGCCAAAACAUUUCUAGGAAUUUUUCUGGAGUUUUUGGAAACAUCUAUAAUAUUUUGAGUACAAAAUAUGGAUUUCUAGAUUUUUCUGAAUUUUAUAAAUGGUAAAAUCCGAAUUUGACCCGGGUUUUUAAUCUCGUCCGAACUCCAACUAUAUAUAUACGCUCGGCUUCUCCUCGUCGAGCAUGUUCCAGAGCACGAAACCGUUCUCUCAGAUUCAAUUCCCAGCUCCCGUAAUUGCUCGCUGAAGUUCAGAGCGGUUCCAACUCUAGCGAGCAAUUAGUCCCAUUCCGUGCAUCGUCUGCGGAAUCCGAGGAUAUCGUUGCGUUCGUCUCAUUGAGGGCUUUGUCGCAGUGCAUCCGAUUCGUCGAUCGGACCUCCAAAUCUCCAUCAAUCGACGAUUUCCUCCUUGACUCCGGCAAGGGUCUUCUUCCCCGGUGAGCAACCUCCAUUAUCCGUCAUCUUUUUUUCUUCGUUUUCGCUGUGUAGCCGUAGCCCCCUCCCCUCUCCUCUCUCCCCACCCCUGCGUAGCAUGCACCCUCCCCCUAGCCCCUAGCACCUACCCCACAGCCCCUGCGCCCCGGCGGCCUAGCACGGCCAGAUCCGACGGCCAGCGGAGCGGCCAGGGCAGGGUGCGCUUGCCCCCGCGUGAGCCCCGGCACAGCCGGUGGCCCCCCAGGCGUGGCCCCUACUCGUGGGCGCGCGCGCCUUGCGCGGCACAGCCAGCCCUCAGCGGCGCGGCCCCUGCUUCCCCAUAGCCAUGACGGUUCCUGCGUGAGAGAAUGAGAGGUGGAGGGAGGAAGAAGAAGACCUUUUUGUGAAAAACGCCCUGUGCGAAAUUAAAACAGUACGCUGGAAUUUAGUUUAGUUUAAAAUAGUGAUAACUUUUGCGUUUUAAACCUGAUUCAAUUCGUUCAAGUUUCAUUAGAUUCGUAUUAAAAUUGUCUACAUGUUAGAAGUAUUUUUCCCUACUGUUGCAUAUUUUAUUUAAUUUAUUUAAACGUUUGUUUGACUGAUGGCUACUAGAACAUCGUUUCAAUUUGAAAAUCUAAUUUAGGAAUUCGAUUUGUGCAUUUAUAAUUAUACACUAACAUGAUUAACCUUAACUGAAAUAUUCUUUAUUAAUAAUUGUUUAGAUUAAUCAUGCUAUUUAUUUAUUAGUUUUCGCGUAUCGUGUUGGCUCGCGCGCCGUACGCGUGCUGUGCGCGUACAGCAGUACUGUUUCACGUGCAUCGUCGUGUGUCGUUCGCGCGUAUCGCGAUUGCGGUUCGCACGCGUUGUCGUGUGCCAUUCACGUAUAUCGCGUGCCUUGCCGCGCAUAGUUCGCGCAUAUCGCGCGUUAUCCGCGCGCAAGAUUAAACCGUUUGCUUAUAAUAACUCAUGUCAGUUAAUUAGUUCUUUAUUUAAUCAUCCACAAUUAAAUAGUAAGUUAGUCAAAUCUAAGUAGUAGUUUUGAUUUACAAUUAAUAAAUGUGAAUUAACCUAACCAUGUCGGACUGAACAUUCUAACUAAUAUUUGCUUAGUGUAAACACGCUAACUUCUCGACCAUAGCUCCGACUAUCGCGUCUCCCAACCUCGCGUGCCCAUAGAAGUGAGCUCUAUUUUAUAGUGUAAGUUUUUAUAAUAUUUUAUCUUAUAUGGUGUAAUGUUCUUAUGCAUAUAUGUGUUUGUUUGCUUGUACAUAUUUGUCUUCGCUUUGCGUUGCGAUUAGAGCGUCGUUCUCGAGCUUCGAGGAAUCGAAGAUCAAGCGUUGGUGACCAAGUGAUCUAGCUCUUCGAGUUCUAUGAGAUUGAAGACCCUAAGCAUCUUUUUGGUGAAGGCAAGUGUCCUCUGACCCAUUAUAUCCCAUUUACUUUAUAAUUUAUGGUCCUGCGUACCAUGAAUAACCUAAGAAUUGACUAAUAUUUUGUUUUCCUGUUCUUGUUUACCAUUUGGGAAUUGGUUACUAUGAUUAGUAUUAUCCUACUGCUUUACUUUAACACCCUGAAUUUGGGGGUAUAAAAUUUCUUUCCUAAUAUUCACCAAAUUUAGGUGUUACUCUCUCAUUUCUUUGCUUUCCUUCUCUUUUUUUCCUAAAAAUGGAGAAUUAUUUUGUUUUAUAUUGACGUAAAUAUAGCGGAAUAAGCCCUAGAGGUGCUUUGGUUGUUACAUUCAUGCCGCUACAUGGUGUUUCUAAGUGCAAAAUGUGUUUGAAACAUGUUAGUAUAUCCUAUAGAAGCUCUCGGUAAAUUUUCAUAUUUUUUGGAAUAUUUGUCUAUUUUCCGGUUGGAGAGGAACAGGGGGAGGUUGCGGAUGAUGAGGUUGUCAUCGUCCGUUCCGCCCAGCUAGCAGGCCAGCCGGUAGUCCGCGAGCCACAGUUCCGGCCUUGUCUCCCCUGAGUACUUGGUGAUGGUAGUCGAGGCCCAGAACCGGGUCGGGAACGGCGCCCGUCGUAUGGCCCGGCUGAAAGCUUGCGGACCGGGUGGUUCGGGCGAGGGGCUCCGAUCCUCCCCGCUGUCGUAGCGUCCCCCACGCCUGGGGUGGUAGCCUCGGCGCACCCUCUCGUCGAGGUGGGCUCGACAGUCGCGGCGAUGGUGCUCGUUGCUGAGGCGGCCCGGGGCCGCAGGCGUUGUGUCCCGCGUGCGCCCGGUGUGGACCGAGGCUUCCUGCAUGAAUCGGGAAGUCGCGGCGCGAUGCUCUGGGGGGUAUCCCUGCCUUCGGGAGGCAGAGCUUUCGGCCCGUCGGACCGUGGCAUCCUCCAGGAGAUUCUUGAGUUCUCCCUGGAUACGCCGUCCCUCGGUUGUGGAUGGUUCCGGCAUUGCUCGGAGUAGUAUUGCUGCUGCAGCCAGGUUCUGGCCGACCCCACUGGAAGCCGGGGGCAGCCUUGCCCUGGCAUCAUCGGUGAUGCGGUGCUGGAUGUCCUGAGCCAGAUGACGCGCUUCUCCGGCCGGUGCUCGGCCUGCCCGCUCUUGCCCUAUGUUCUGCCGGAGCUGCACAAGUUGCCCUGCUCCCUCGUCGAGCCUGGCCUGCAUCUCGCGGAUUUGCUCGAGCUGUGUGUCCUGACCCCCCGCAGGGACUGGGACCACAGCUAGCUCCCGAAGGAUGUCAAUGCGAGGCGCAGGCCUAGAGGGAUCGCCGUCCUCCGGCAUACCAAGGUGGUUGCCUUCGUCGAGACCCCCUAGAUCGACGUGGAAACAUUCGCGACUUGGGCCACAGUCCUCGUCGCCGAGGCUGUGGCUAUCAUCGGAGCAAUCGGAGAGGCAGUAGUCACAUGCGGUCAUGAAGUCCCGCAUGGCACUGGGGUUAUCGAGCCCGGAGAAAUCCCAACCAGAGUCGGGCUCGUCGUCUUCCUCGGAACCCGGGGACCCGUAGGUCGAGACGGCUGUCAAUCUGUCCCAGGUUGACCACAUAUGGUACCCCGGAAGGUUUGGAUAUGCCUUUAUGAAAGCGUCCACUGAAGCGGGGUUGCUUGGCGGGUCGAAGCUGAAUCUAAAAGGCAUAGGAUGGGAAACGGACGGUACCUCUUGAUCGACGGAUGGUGACGAAGUCGCGUCGGGGACGGACUGCACCGUUAUCUCAGGUACGAGGCUAACGCCCAGCAAGUCCUUCGCGAGCGUGCUGGCGUCGCCCGUCUGCUCGGGGUUGGCGUGUCGCGGGGAAACAACGCUCAUCUUCGUCUCAGACGCGAGGUCAACGCCCGAUGUGUCCCCAGCUGGGGCGCCGGCGUCGUCGACUCACUCGACAGCCGACGAGGCGCUGCCUCCUGCUUGGCCAUGAUUGCCCUGCCUCCUUCCCCAUCGACGAGGAAGGUGACGGGACAGAUUCGGAUGCUGUUCUUCCGCCACGCUGGGAAGACGUCGUCGAUUCCGCCGCCGGCGGGCGGGCUGAUGGCCGCCAUUGUUGUUGUCGCGCGGCGGAGGAAGGAGUAUCAUGUCGUAGCUGCCAUCGAAGGACAUGAACUCGAGACUCCCGAAACGGAGCUUCGUCCCGGGUUGGAGAGGUUGCUGGAGACUCCCCAUCUGGAGUUUGACGGGAAGCUGUUCGUCAACACGCAGCAGGCCCCUACCUGGCGCGCCAACUGUCGGCGUUUCGACCCCGGGGGGGUCCCUGGACCGACGAGUAAAUUGUCGCUGCGUGUCCUAGCCCAGAUGGGUCGGCACGAGACGGAGACACAAGGGGGAAAACAGUAAGGGGAACCGCGGCCUCGUGUUGUCCUGCGCCUAGGGCGGAUGCGCUUGCAGUAGGGGGUUACAAGCGUUCGCGAGGGAGAGAGAGGGAGAGGGCGUGAGACUGUGCGUCAGCCCGUUCUCCCGUGCGGCCAACCUUUCGUACAAGGGCACUGGACCUUCCUUUUAUAGACGUAAGGAGAGGGUCCAGGUGUACAACGGGGGGUGUAGCAGUGUGCUAACGUGUCUAGCAGAGGGGAGCCAGAGCCCCAUGUACAUGCCGACGUGGCUGUCGGAGAGGUGUUGGAGCCCUGUUCAUGUGGCAUCGUGGCCGUCGGAGGAGCGCUUGAGCCCUGUAGAAGCACAGUUGUCGGGGCUGUCGGAUCCUUGCUGACGUCUCCUUGCUUCCGUAGGGGGCUGAGAACCGCCGUCGUCAUGGAGCACGUGGGGUGCCAUCAUUACUUGUUUUACCGGUGCGAGCCAGAUGGGACGCCGGUCUUGUUCCCCGUAGCCUGGGCUAGCUAGGGGUAGGGUAAUGAUGGCCCCGCUUGUGGCGUGGUCAGUCCGAGCCCAAGGUCGGGCGAGGCAGUGGCUCCUUUGAGGUCGAGGCUGAGUCCGUGCCCUGGGGUCGGGCGAGGCGGAGACCGUCGUCCGAGGUCGAGGUGGAGUCCGAGCCCUGGGGUCGGGCGAGGCGGAGACCGUCGUCCGAGGUCGAGGUGGAGUCCGAGCACUCGGUCGGGCGAGGUGGAGACCGUCGUCCGAGGUCAAGGUUGAGUCCGAGCACUCGGGUCAGGCGAGGCGGAGACCGUCGUCCGAGGUCGAGGUUGAGUCCGAGCCCUAGGGUCGGGCGAGGCGGAGACCGUCGUCUGAGGUCGAGGUUGAGCCCGAGCCCUAGGGUCGGGUGAGGCGGAGACCGUCGUCCGAGGUCGAGGUGGAGUCCGAGCCCUGGGGUUGGGUGAGGCAGAGACUGUCUUCCAGAGUCGAGGUGGAGUCCAAGCCCUGGGGUCGCGCAAGGCGGAGAUUCCUAUGGCGCCCGAGGCUGGACUUGGCUGCUGUCAGCCUCACCCUGGUGGGUGGCACAGAAGUCGGAGCAGCGCAGGCGGCGCUGUUUUCCUGUCAGGUCAGUCAGUGGAGGGGCGAAGUGACUGCGGUCACUUCGGCCUUGUCGACUGGAAAGCGCGCGUCAGGAUAAGGUGUCAGGCGAUCCUUGCAUUGAAUGCUCCUGCGAUCCGGUCGGCUGGCGAGGCGAUCUUGCCAAGGUUGCUUCUCCGUGAAGCUUGCCCGAGCUGGGCCUCGGGCGAGUCGAAGGUGCGCCCGUUGCUUGAGAAGACCCUCGGGCGAGGCGCGAAUCAGCCUUGGUCUACCGUUCCUGCCCGAGGCUGGGCUCGGGCGAGGCGAGAUCAUGUCCCUUGAGUGGACGGAGCCUUGACCGGAAUUGCGCCCAUCAGGCCUUUGCAGCUUUGUGCUGAUGGGGGUUACCAGCUGAGAUUAGGAGUCUUGGGGGUACCCCUAAUUACGGUCCCCGACAAGUAGUAUCUUCAAAAUUUGUAAAACCCUCUUGAACACUAAGAGGAGAAUUUCAUUAAGGGGGAGUUUUGUUUAAGUCAAAGGAAAAACAUUUGAAACAAGGGGAGAAAAUUUCAAAACUUUAAAAUGCUUCUCAAACUCUUAUUCAUAUAUCUUUGACUAGUUGCAAAAAGGAUUUUGAAAAGAAUUUUAGAAAAGGUUUGCAAAAACAAAACUAAGUGGUGCAAGCGUGGUCCAAAAUGUUAAAUAAGAAGAAAAUCAUCCAUGCAUAUCUAUUAGAAAUUAUAUAUUGGUUCUAAUUCCAAGCAACCUUUUGCACUUACAUUAUGCAAACUAGUUCAAUUCUGCACUUAUAUAUUUGCUUUGGUUUGUGUUGGCAUCAAUCACCAAAAAGGGGGAGAUUGAAAGGGAAAUAGGCUUUAAACCUUUUCCUAAAUGAUUUUGGUGGUUGAAUUGCCCAACACAAAUAUUUGGACUAACUAGUUUGCUCUAGAUUAAAUGUUCUACAGGUGCCAAAGGUUCACAACAAACCAAUACAAAAGAAAAAGAAAAGGUUCAAAAAGACAAGGAGCAAGAAACCCAAGGCAGCCCUGGUCUAGCGCACCGGACAGUGUCCGGUGCACCAGGGAGCUCAACUCUGAACUUGCCACUCUCGGGUUUCAGAAAACGCCUCUCCGCUAAAAUUCAUUGGACUGUCCGGUGUAACACCGGACUGUCCGGUGUGCCAGCGGAGCAUUGGCUACUUCGCACCAACGGUCAUCUGCAGUGAACAUUAAAUGCGCUACAGUGCGCGCCUGCGCGCGCAAAAGUCAAAGCAGCGCCAGAAGGCGCAACGGACAGUGAACAGUGACUAUCUGGUGCAUCACCGCACUGUCCGGUGGCCCCACAAGUCAGCGCUCCAAUGGUCGAACCCUAACGGUUGGGUGACAUGGCUGGCGCACCGGACUGUCUGGUGCGCCAUACGACAGCAGCCAUCCCCAACGGCCACUUUGGUGGUUGGGGCUAUAAAUACCCCCAACCACCACACAUUCAAGGCAUCCAAGUUUCAGCCAUUUGCAUUCAAUACAAUAGCUCUAGACUUCACUCCAAGACAUAAACAAAAAGAUCAAAUCCUCUCCCAAGUCCAAAGUUCAUUCCAAUUAAAUAGUGACUAGAGAGAGAGACAAUUGUGUUCAUUUGAGUUCUUGCGCUUGGAUCGCUUUUCUUCUUCUUUCUUUCUUGUUCCCAACUCAAUUGUAAUCAAGGCAAGAGACACCAAUUGUGUGGUGGUCCUUGUGGGGACUUAGUGUCCCGAUUGAUUGAGAAGAGAAGCUCACUCGGUCUAAGUGACCGUUUGAGAGAGGGAAAGGGUUGAAAGAGACCCGGUCUUUGUGACCACCUCAACGGGAGUAGGUUUGCAAGAACCGAACCUCGGUAAAACAAAUCACCGUGUCUCACUUACCUUAUCACUUGUGAUUUGUUUUCGCCCUCUCUUUCGACUCGAUUAUAUUUCUAACGCUAACCUCGGCUUGUAGUUGUGCUUAAACUUUAUAAAUUUCAUAUUUGCCUAUUCACCCCCCCCUCUAGGCGACUUUCAACAACGACGGUGGUGAAUUUGCAAGGCCACGCUGGCGACAAUCCUCUCUCUCUCAUCGUCGUUUCUUUGUUCAUUUGGGCGCUCGGUUCUUCGGUGUUGAGUUAGGAUGGGGACGGUAGGGGUAGCGACGCGUAUUUAUGCACCGGAGUGUAGCUAUCUUGUGCGAUUACCGAGAGUUCGUUGAGGAGGAGAUCCCGGCGCACGCACGGGUUUGUUACGAAGUCCCAGCGAUGGAGAUUCUGACAAACGGGCCCCACCUGUCUGUCCCACGGUACCUAGGGUAAGGGAGGGGACAGCGCGCGGGCCUACUUGUCACCCGCACCGGCCGUGGAAGCGCUCCGCUGACCCAGGGGGCCCACAUGUCGGCGAACAAGCAGAUGCGCGCGCGGGUCUGAGAGUGUAAUCGGGUCUGCUGCUGACCGGUGGGUCCUGUCGGCUAGUGCACGGAGUUGGGCUGGCGUGGUUUGUGGGCCGGUCGGUGGAAAUCAGCCCAGACGGUGGUUUCCUUUUUCUUUUAUUUUUUAUUUUCUGUUUUCCUAUUUCAUUUUAUUUUAUUUCAAGUUUCAAUUUCAAUCUUCAAACAAAUUCAAUUCUGAGUUUUAACCCACAAAAAAAUCCUAGUAUGAAGUGAUGGUAAUUUAUUAUUUAUUAUUUUUGUGAAUAAUAUUGAUGCCUAAUUCAUGAGAGAGAAAAGAAUAAUUCACUUAUCUGAAAUUAGAAAUGUUUACGUUUAUUAAAAGAUUUUCAAAGUUGACUUUUAGUUUUGAGACCCGAAUCUCACUUUUAUAAACUAAAAAUAAUAUUGCCAUUUACUUAUUUCCAAGAAAUAUUUACUAAGCUAAUAAAAUUCUUAUUCAUUUGUUUUCUAGUUUCAAGUUGAAUCCCAAUAAUAUCCAAAGGUUUCAAAAAUCCCUUAAAACACUAUCUUAAAUAUAUAUAUUUAUUUAUUUCAUCAUUAUUAUUUUUUCACCAAUUUUGGGCUUUACAGAAAUGAGAAAAUACCACUAGUAGUAUGGAAAAUAGAUUUUUACUAGCAAAAAUAAACGUGUUCGCGAGUAUAGCACUUAAAUUUUUAGAGUUAGUAAAAUACUUGUUUAUGUCAAAAUAACCCCCUGCUUAUGUUAUAAAAAGUCCAAUUAGUUAUUUAUAUGGAUUUUUAGAAUAUUAAUAUUAAUAGAUUCAUUUUUAGCUAUACUCAAUAAUUCAAGUUAGAAAUAAAAAGAAUAAAAUCUAUUAGUCUAUUUAUUAGUAUUAAAGACAAUAAUUACCAUUUACUUUCAUUGACGAUGUUAAUACGUAUUAAUACUAGUUAAAAUUAUAUUUAUAACACCUACUCAUAAUUGCACCAUUUAUGACUCGCAAUAAUAUCUAUAAUUGAAUUAAUAAUUAUUUACACGUUUAGGACGUAUUUAUAGUGUGAUAAGUGUGAUGUGUUAAUGUGUAUGUAGUGGUGAAUGAUUACCCUAUACUGGUGUAUGUUUAUUUAUUUGGCGUACGUAUUCUUUUGUAUGUGGGAUACGCGAAUCGAUGCUAGAAGUGGACUGUGAGGUAGACGAGCCAAACGUGUUUGAGGACGACCCACAGGACACGCUUGAACAAGACAAGUGGAUUCCCCCUCUGCAUAUUCUAUUUGUACCCAAUUGAUGCAUAUAAUGAAGUUUACUUUUUGAUAUACUGCAUAAUUUGAUGGGAUUUACCUAAUUAAGGAUUUCCUAGAUCUACCAAUUGUAUUCCUUGAUUACCCUGAGAAAUUAUUAAGCUUUGCAAAUUUGUGCUACCGCUCAACUUAAUAAUUUUGAUGUCACUCAUUAUUUGAUAUUAAUGUUCCAAAAAUGAAAUUGGCUUUAUGAUAUUAACCCGAUGGUUAAAACAAUAUUAUUUCAUAUUAAUUGGAACAUGGAGUGACCACCCAGGAUAACAGUGCAACCACGAGUGCUAUCAUGGCUCUGGCUUUGGUAAUUAGCUUUAUAUGCUUAGUGCCUAGCAACCUUACCUGAAAUAUGGGCAAGAGGGGGAGCGGCAGUGGUGGCAGCUCACGUUAACAUGGGGACAUAUUCUUGGCUAAGGUACCUCACCCAGAGGGCCUCCACACCGACUUUGGAAACGUAGCGGGUUGCUUUGUAUUAAGUGUAUUUUGUGAAAGCCUCAUAAUGGAUCCCUAGCCAUUCACCUUGGUAGUGUUUAUGGUUCCGAUCAACCCAGGCUAGAUGGGAUACAUGGCUUAUGGGUAAAGUUGUUUCACCUCUACAGAGUGUAAAACUGAUAUAUCAGUCGUGCUCCCGGUUAUGAGCAGCCUGGACUCCUCACAUGAUAAUUAAACUUAAAGAUGGACAAUAACUUGAGAUCCGAUGAUCUGCCAAUGGUUUGCUUAAGUGGUUUCACUUAAGUGUUUUUGUUAUACUCAUAUUCCUUUGUUUAAAUGGGAUACUUGGGAUUCACACUUAUUAGUAAGACAGGUGUUGUUAAUAAAAUGUUGACCAACUAAAAUGCUUACUGCUCAACUUUAGCCUCACCUUGUUAUACCUGCAUUAAUUUUCCCCAACUUGCUGAGCCCCGACCAUAAGUGAGCUCACCCUUGCUAAUAUUUUGAUCAGAGGGUGGUGCUGGAGACUUUGAUGGAGAUUUCGACGAUGAAUUCUAAGUCUAACGAUGCGUCGAUCAUCUUCCUAUGGGAGAUUGCCCAUGUUAUUUAAUUCUGCCUUACUUUGAUGUGAUACUUGUUAUAGAUACAAUGAUUAAGAUGAUGUAAUAAAGUAUUCUACUCUCUUUACGCCUUUAUUGCAUUGUCUUUUGAUAUACUACACUUGUGACGUCAACAUAUGUGUGGACAUGGAUCUUGGCACACAUAUGCUAUGCGCUCGGUUCUGCCCCCUGGAACCGGGUGUGACACAACCUCUACUGUCUGGUCAUAGUUGAUGAUUUCUCAAGAUACACUUGGGUGUUCUUUCUCCAUGAUAAAUCUGAAGUUGCAUCUAUAUUCAAGAAGUUUACCAAGAAAGCUCAAAACGAAUUUGAUUGCAAAAUCAAGAAGAUUAGAAGUGAUAAUGGAAAAGAAUUUGAUAACACCAACAUACAUGAAUACUGUGAUGAUAUUGGGAUCGAACAUGAAGUAUCAGCAACAUAUACACCUCAACAAAAUGGAGUUGUUGAAAGGAAAAAUAGGACCUUGAUCACACUUGCUAGGACAAUGAUUGAUGAGUAUAACACACCAGAGAGGUUUUGGGCCGAAGCCGUCAACACUGCAUGUUAUGCAUCAAACAGGAUAUUUCCUCACUGGCUACUUGAGAAGACUCCCUAUGAACUGCUAAAUGGGAAAAGCCAGACGUCUCCUUCUUUUGGGUGUUUGGAUGCAAAUGCUACAUCUACAAGAAACGCCAUCACCUAGGGAAGUUUCAAAGACGUUGUGAUAUUAGUUUUCUACUGGGUUAUUCAUCAAAGUCCAAAGCAUAUUGAGUAUUCAAUCAUGCCACUGGCGUGGUAGAAGAGACAUAUGAUGUGGAGUUUGAUGAGACUAAUGGCUCCCAAGGAGCACUUGAAAAUCUUGAUGAUGUAGGUGAUGAGCCACUUAGGGAAGCCAUGAAGAACAUGCCAAUUGGAGCUAUCAAACCAAAAGAAGAUGAAGAAGAGAUGCAAAACAUUGGCAGGCCUUAUUCAUCAAGUGUACCACAAGAUGAUGAAAAAGAUGAGAGGCAUGCAAAUGAAGAUACAUUUGUCUCUCAUGAACAAGCAAGGGUACAAGCCGAAGAUGUUGAUGCUCCAGGAUCUUCUUCCCAAGUGGUUGACAGGAGAAACUCAUCACUACUUCAAGCACACCCACAAGAUCAAAUCAUUGGGAGUCCUUCACAAGGGGUUAUUACUCGAUCACAUAGACAUGCUUCAUUUAUUGAACAUCACUCUUUUGUUUCUUGUGUUGAGCCUACAUGUAUAGAUGAGGUGCUACAGGAUCCGGACUGGGUGAAUGCCAUGCAUGAAGAACUAAACAACUUCACCCAUAACUAAGUUUGGACCCUGGAGAAGCCUCCACAAGAUGCAAGGAUCAUAGGAACAAAGUGGGUGUUCAGAAACAAACAAGAUAAUCAAGGCGUGAUUGUGCGAAACAAGGCAAGACUUGUUGCAAAGGGCUUCUCUCAAGUUGAAGGCUUAGAUUUUGGAGAGACCUUUGCACCGGUUGCUCGACUUGAAGCCAUCCGUAUCCUACUAGCAUAUGCAUCAUGCUAUGACAUAAAACUUUAUCAAAUGGAUGUGAAAAGUGCAUUUUUAAAUGGCUUUAUAAAUGAACUUGUAUAUGUUGAACAACCACCCGGGUUUGAAGACCCUAGAUAUCCUAACCAUGCUUACAGGUUGUCCAAGGCGCUAUAUGGGUUAAAGCAAGCUCUAAGGGCUUGGUAUGAGCGUCUUCGUGGCUUCCUCAUCGAAAAGGGCUUCAAGAUCGGGACCGUCGACACAACCUUAUUCACAAAGAAACAUAACGGUGAUAUUUUCAUUUGUCAAGUAUAUGUUGAUGACAUAAUCUUUGGCUCGACAAAUGAUUAUCAUUGCAAGGAAUUUGGUGAGUUGAUGUCAAAGGAGUUCGAGAUGUCUAUGAUUGGUGAGCUGACGUACUUCCUCGGAUUUCAAGUCAAGCAAAUGAAAGAUGGUAACUUCCUCUCACAAGUGAAGUAUACCAAAGACUUGUUGAAAAGAUUCAACAUGGAGAAGUGCAAACCAAUCAAGACACCUAUGCCAACAAAUGGACAUCUUGACCUAGAUGAGGGAGGUAACCCGAUUGAUCAAACUCUCUACGGUUCUAUGAUUGGUAGUUUAUUGUAUCUUACCGCAUCUAGGCCUGCUAUCAUGUUUAGUGUUUGUAUGUGUGCUAGAUUUCAAUCAAAUCCUAAGAAAGCUCAUAUUCGCUGUUAAAAGAAUUCUUAGGUAUCUCAAGCACACCCCAAGUGUUGGCCUUUGGUAUCCCAAAGAGCUACUUUUGACUUAAUUGGCUAUUCUGAUUCGGAUUACGCCAGUUGCAAAAUUGAUAGAAAAAGUACUUCUGGGGGUGCCAUUUGCUUGGGAGAUCACUAGUAUCAUGGACUUCAAAGAAGCAAAUUAGUGUUGCCUUGUCAACCGCCAAAGCAGAAUACAUUGCUGCGGGUGCUUGUUGCACACAGAUUUUAUAUAUGAAACAAACUCUUCUAGACUAUGAUGUAGUCCUAGAAAAGGUACCUUUGUUGUGUGACAAUGAGAGUGCUGUUAAAAUUGCUAAUAAUCCUGUACAACACUCUCGCACCAAGCACAUUGAUAUCCGUCAUCACUUCCUUAGAGAUCAUGUUGCUAAAGGAGACAUUAUUUUAGAAGGAGUGAGGUCGGAAGAUCAAUUAGCGGAUAUUUUCACUAAGCCACUAGAUAAAACCCGCUUUUGCAUGUUGAGGAAUGAAUUAAACAUACUUGAUCUGAGAAAUUUUAUUUAAGAUCUCAAAAUGGUGUUGUCAAGCCUGCAUUGCAUAUUUAAAUUUCUUGUAUUGCAUCAAGGGCUUGUCUAACCUAGUUAAGAUAACUGCCAAUAAAGCGAGUGAAAAAGCUUAACUCGGGCUCAAACUUGACAAGUCUUAGCUUUAAGCUUUUAGUACUUAAAUUCUUAUUUACUAUGCCAUUGUUGGUUCUUGAGAUAUGCAUGUGGUACUACACUUAGGGGGAGUAUUCAAAACUCAAAUUGUUCAUAAAAACCCCUAGUGCAAAACCAAAAUCCAAAUCUCACCAUUUGGAUAUUUUCUCUAAAAAUUAUCUAGCCUAUGGCAAAUAUUUUGAAAAUUAUGGGAAAAUAUAUGAGAGUACCAAUACAUGUCCCAACAAGUGUUCUCUUGUGUGAUUAUAAGAUGGGAUUUGGUUUGGUUAAAAUUUAGAUAGAAAUUUUGAAAAUUUUCAAAAUUCCCUCUGUCUGGGCUCACCGGAUAGUCCGGUGUGCACCGAACACUACACUGUGCACUAUCUGGUGCACCGGCCGCGCGUGCGCAGAUCCCCUUUCUACUAUGUGCUGUCCGGUGGCUCACCGGACAGCUACUGUGCGCUGUCCGAUGUGCACCGUACAGGCACUGUAGACUGUCUGGUGUGCCCAUAACUCAUUUUAAAAAAAGGCCGCUAGCCCGAGCCCGAGCCAGAGGCCACUCCUUUCUAUUGGUUCUCUGGCUCUCCUCUCUCUCUCGGUGAUCUCACCACCUCUCUAACGAUCUCCCUCACCAGCGGCCGUACUCCGGUGGUUGUGCUCCAGCUGUGCCUGCCCUCCUCCCUGGUGAGCUGGCAUUCCCCCUCUCUCUCUCUCUGUCUCUCUGUGCAGACUUUACCUCUCACCACCCCUUUGUGCAAAUUCUUCAAUCUUUGUCAAAUUUGUGAAUCCAAGUGCAUUAAUAGGUUCCUAUGUGCUUCUUGAAUACCCCUGUAGGUUCCUAGCUCCUUAGGGAGGGUUUCACCACCUCAAAUAGCCUUUUCACCGAAACCCUAAACCUCCGCACGCCACGUGCUCGGUGAAAUGCCCAAACCAACCAAAUUUGCUCCAAUCGAUCCCAAAUUUUUCAGGCACCUUCAUGAUACCUCUAGUAACAUAUUCGCCAAAUUUGACACCAAUCCGAAAUCCCAAGCUCCAAAUUUCCACAAAUUCCCAUAUCUAGCGAUCGAUUCCGAGCCGAGUGCCCAAAUUCCACUUUCUUCGCCUAAAAUCCAACCAAGCGCACACUUCACUCAUAUUUACCCAUAUAAACCUAUUCGUGAAUUAUUGGCUCAAUUCCAAGUCAUUUCAUGCCUCAAUUCCAAUUUCAAACCUCAUAUGGCACAAUUCCUCGUUGAAACGCCGUUUUGCGUCGUUUGACCUCUCUAUCGCCAAAUCACUCAUUUUCUGUGUCAUAAUUCUCUGUGUAUGUAUUUAUUCACAUUUCAUAUACUUAUGACUAUGUGACUAAUACAUACUCACCUCUUCUGUCAUUUCAGUGACCUCGCCUGACCAUGAGCCCGUCUCCUGUCCUGCCUAGAUUCUCCCUCUCUCGUGAGGUUUCUAGGUACUUAUCACUUCCAUCAUAAUCUUUUCAUCUGCUAUCUUCUCGUACUUAGUUUUUCUCUCUCCUAUGCAGUCUUUAGGUCAGGAUGGUGCGCACGAAGAAUGUGUUAGCACCAGGGGGAGGAGACGACGAGGACCCUCCUCGCCCCUUCAGGCAGGUCAAGGGGAAGACCGUCUAUUUAGAGCAGAAGGAAGGCCACAAGAAGUGGCGUUUGGAUAGAGCAGCCCGAGCAGCAAUAGCAGCAGCUGAGCAGGCAGAGAGAGGUGGUCAGCUGCAGAUUUCAUCUGAUCAGAUUGCAUACAGAGUUCGUUGACUCGCCUCUCGGCCUCGCUCCUCCGCUCCCUCUACACCCGCCACUGCUACCACUCCACCUCCCACUUCGCCCGCUCCAGUCACUCCUGCGCCAUCCACCACCUCAGCCAUACCUACCACCUCCACCACUCCCACUUCCACUGCUCCUCCUCCCGCUCCCUUUUCCGCUCCACCCAUCCCACCUGCCCGCUUCCGGGAGCGCGAUGAGACCGAGGUGCGACCACUGGCUGCCGAUCCUCGUUUGAUCGAUCUUCAGCAUGCUACAGUGGCCCGGGUACAUCGGUUCAGACACUACCCGUGGAGUCAUGGCUACCUGCUCAGAGAGACCCUACAGCGGCAGAUCUUUUCAGCACUAGGAUCCAAGAGUCAUUCUUUCGGGCACAGAUGUUAGCCCAGAUAGCUCUAUGAGCGCACCGGCUAUUGGAUCUCCCUGCUUUCCUGCUAGCAGCCGGUGCAGACUCUGAGGUGCACCUCUCAUAUUUGCCUAGAAUUCUCACUCUUCUGACUACUAGCGGCAGAUAUGUUGAGGAGUGGGUCUGAGUGUUCUAUGCGUCAGUAUGGAUCGACCCCGAUCACCAGUGGAUGAGGUUCCACUUUGAGCGACAGGAUGUUACUAUUCAUGGUAGCCAGAUUCGCCAGCUGUUUGGAUUCACCGAGUCAUCGAGUCGCCUUCACAGCUUGUGUUAUGGUACUUCUGAUCCUCCUCGGCACCCUCACGGCGGAGUUGCUCCAGCUACAGCUCACGUCAUGGCCCUGUUCCGACCGCCUUUCACAGAUGGGUCGCGACGCUCUCCUGCAGAUUUCACUCCAGCGGCCAAGUACUUAUAUCAGCUUAUGAGACUAACGCCACUGCCCCGGAUGGGUUAUAGAGAGGCUACCACUCAUAUCCAGCUCUGGCUACUUGGUGCCCUGAUCUCUCAUUCAGAGUUUGAUGUUGUUGACUUUCUUAUAUGUGAGAUCGAGGACACGAUAUUGGAUGGUCUUCGUACCCGGCGACAGCUGUCAUAUGCUCAUUAUCUCUGCUACAUCUUCACAUAGCUGAUCCGGCCACCGUAGUUCCAGGGCACUCUUGAGGCCUCUCGCCUCCACUUUGGCUCCUACUGUCCAACCCCUGAGGACCCAGUGCUAGUACCUGAUCUAAUGACAGACACUCAGGCAGAGGAUGCGGCGUUCCAUCAGUUCGAGACUCAGAGCAUAGUGGUUCCUGAUGAUGAUGAUUUUGGGAUUCCGCCUCCGCCUCCUGUGCCUCCACGCUCACAUGACCAUGAGGCCGGGAGUUCCCGUGCUGCCCCUGUAGCUCCUCCUGCCAUUGACCCUGCUCUGGCUACGAUCUUCCAGACCCUUACUCAGCAGCAGGCUCAUCUGGCAGCGGUUCAGCAGCAGAUGUCCGAGAGAAUGCUAUCCAUGUUUCAGACUAUUCAGGAUAGACAGGACACUCUGCAGCAGUAGCUUCUGGUAGAUAGGGCUGAGAAUCGGGCCUUCAUGACUCACAUACUUUAGCAUACCGGUGUUCAGAUCCCUCCUGUUCAGUCUGCACCCCCUCCUAGGCAGUGAUUGUGCCAGCCCUUCAGGCAGGACCCCCUCUUCCUUCGUUUGGUCCUUCUUCCUCUCCGCUCUGGCUAGUCACCCUGGUUUUCUCGUCGCCGGUCAUCAGCUCCGUCAGCGCUCAGCUGCCAGUGCCACCAGCUCCUGCUGUUACCACUGCUACUGUGGCGGUGUCUGUGACCUCUUCAGCUCCGGCAGCUCCUACAGCGCAGCCUCCGUCUGAGUUAGUACUAGCUCCAGCUUCUAUGGCAGAUCCUGGAUCCAAGACUGACUCUAACACUUAGCUAGCGUUUGCUCUUCUGCCACGACCGCGACCAGAUGUGCCCCAGCCUCCUCCUUCCUCUUCUGGUCUAUAGGUUCGGGUUCCCUUUUGGUGUUUGACGCCAAAGGGGGGAGAUAUGAGAGUUGUGAGAGCUAGAUGGAGUUACGGAGUUAGUAGAGAGUCAUGUGUAUUUUGAUGUAAUAUAUGUGCUUGAUACUCUCUGUACUAGCUCCACAUUUGUAUGACGAUGUUGGCUCACAAACUCUAUUAUAUGCUCUCGAUGCUUAUGUUGACUGUGUGUGUAUUGUGUUUUCACUUAAUAUGUUAUCACGAGUCUUCUAGUUCUUGUUUAUCGAUUUCAUUUCAUAUUUAUAUGAACAAAAAACUUACGUUGUGUAUGCGCUCAUUCUUAUUAUUAUGUUACACACUCUUUCUGUCAAAAAUUAUUGAGUAUAACUAACCAUCUUCUCUAUUGACAUAAAUUUCAAACAAACUACUCUCACAAUCUUGUAGGGUUGUCAUCAAUCACCACAAAGGGGGAGAUUAAAAGCAUCUAGGCCCCUAGUUGGUUUUAGUGAUUAAUGACAACAUAAUAUUAUAUGUGACUAACGUGUGUUUUGCAGAGACAAAUGGUAAGUUAGGUCGCAUUACAGGUAGAUGUACUACAACAGUGAAAAUAAUCUCGGAGAUAAGAACUUGAAGCGACGGCUAAAGCGAUGAAACAAAAAGUGAAGUUCUUCGUAUUCCGAGUGUCAAGGAGUUGCGGACACUUGUUAUAUAGUUAGGUCUUUUAUUUUGUUUUAGCCGUACUAUAAAGAGGGGUUGUCGAUGAGUAGUUUGACUAAGAGAGUUCUAGUGUAGUGUUGGUGCAUAUUCACACUCACAUAUAGUGCUAGGUGUCACUCUAGAACAUACUCACGAGUUAGAACGAAAACCGAUUUGAAAAAGAGAAGAAAAUGGAAACUAGGGUUUCUGACUUUGGGGCACCGGACUGUCCGAUGUGCAUCGGACUGUCCGGUGCGCCCUCUGUCAAGUGGGGUCAGGUUGGCCCGGGGAAAGCCCUUCCCUUGCGCAGAAACCCGAGAGCGCAGAGUUCAGUAGAUGAAUUUUAGUGGCACACCGGACAGCGCACCGGACUGUCUGGUGUGCCAUCUGCCCAACAGCUAGCUGUCAAAACUAGUCGUUGGAGUCGACCGUUGGCGCACCAGUGGCGCACCGGUGGCACACCGGACUGUCCGGUGCGCCCAUGCGCAGCAGAUUCAUUUAACGACUGGUUGGUGGGUGAGGGCUAUUUAUACCCCCUCCACCCACCAUAUUGAUGGUCUUGUUGCCCACAUUUACUCCUACACUUUGGUAGAGCAUUGCAAGCACCACAAAGCCUAGUGAGGUGAUUAGAGAAUCUUAAUCCCGCAUUUGGACCUCAUUAGCGCUAGCGAGAGCCACCUAGAGCACACACACCGUAUGCAUUAGGCUUCUCUUGGUCAAGUGAAAGUCUACGGCUUGUUACUCUUGGUGAUCGGCAUCACCUAGACGGCUUGGUGGCGUUGGGAGCUCGAUGAUCACCUUGGAGAUCUUGUUGGUUACCCGGCUCAAGUUUGUAAGCGGUCGUGAGGGAUCCACCGUGCCAGAGUGGCAAAGGAUCAUAUCAUAGUUAGCACUUGGUUCUUGCGAGGACCAAGGGGAGCGAUACCCUUGCGCGGGUGCUUCAACGAGGACUAGGGGAGAGUGCCAACUCUUCGAUACCUCAGGAAAAAUUGGAGGAGUCUUCUAAACCUUGUUUUACAUUCCGCACUUAAUUCAAGCAUUUUACAUUGUGUAUUUGUUUAGCAAGUAUUUGAAGUAUUGUAUUAGCAUUGUUGUAUUUCUAGUAGUAUUCCCUCAUUACUAGUUGUUGGGGUGAAGUUGGGCUCUUGCUUAGGGUUUAAUUGUUGUUGAAUUUUAGAAAAGCCCAAUUCACCCCCCUCUUGGGCAUCGUGAUCCUUUCAGAUGCCAUUUACCGUGAGAAAGCUGAAGAGGCUCAUAAUGUAUGUGCUAUGCUGGCCAUAGAUGGGUUCAAUCCCUAUGGAAUGAGCAUUGCCCCAUACACAUGUUCGACUGUGUUUGUUAUUCCAACCAAUCCCCCCAGCGUGUGCUUUCAAAGGCAAAAUAUAUUCGUGUCGUUGAUAAUUCCCAAACACCCGGGGAAUAAAAUGGGCAUGUACAUGGAGCCUUAGAUUGAUGAACUGGUAUGUGCUUGGGAGGAAGGGGUAUGGACGUACGAUCGAGCUACGAAGGCAAACUUCAAAAUGCAUGUUUGGUACCAGUCCCUCCCACCACCAAGGUAGCCCCAGCCCAUCGCCGCACCAGUUCAGGCGCCCACCUCUUUAGCUUAGUUGUGAUACUUAUGUUGGUGAACUUGUGUGAACUUAUGUUGGUGAAACUUGUCCUGAACUUAUGUUUUAGUUGGUAAUACUUAUGUUGGUGAAACUUGUCCUAAACUUAUGUUUGAGUUGGUAAUACUUAUGUUGGUGAAACUUGGUAUGAACAUAGACAUGUUUGUGAAAAACUUGUUAGAUUUGUGAAAUAUAUGGUCUCUAUUAUGUAUGUGAUGAUUAUUUGAUAUCUGUGAUGUAUAUGUGAUAUAUCUUUUGUUUGUUUGGAUGGAAUAGCAAAAACAAAUAAAAAAGGGGUAUACUGGUCACUUUGCCAAGUGUAACACUUAGCAAAUAGGUGAUUUGUCGAGUGUCAAGGUCAUAGAACUCAACAAAGAAGAAAUAUCUGGGCACCGGUAAAGCUUCUUUGCCGAGUGCUACGACCCUGGCAUUCGGCAAAGAAGCAAGCUUUGUCGAGUGCCUCCUAGCGCACUCGGCAAAGAAACUAACAAUGGGGCCCGAUGGUGGCCUCUUUGUGAGAGCACCUAGAGGGGGGGUGAAUAGGUGAUCCUGUAAAACUUGAAACUUAAGCCACAAAAACUUGGUUAAGUGUUAGCACAAUAAUCGCCAAGUGGCUAGAGAGGAGUCAAAACACAAUAACCACAAGAGAUCAAUCACAGAGAUGGCACGGUGGUUAUCCCGUGGUUCGGCCAAGACCAACGCUUGCCUACUCCACGUUGUGGCGUCCCAACGGACGAGGGUUGCAAUCAACCCCUCUCAAGCGGUCCAAAGACCCACUUGAAUACCACUGUGUUUUGCUUGCUUUUCUUAAUCCCGUUUGCGAGGAAUCUCCACAACUUGGAGCCUCUCGCCCUUACACUUGAAGUUCACAAAGAAGCACGGAGCAAGGGAGGGAUUAGCAACGCACACAAGACACAAAAAUCAGAGUGUCGACACGCACACAAGUCGCAACAAGAGCUCGCAACACAACCCAAUGAGUUCACAACUCCACUAGAGCUCUAUAUGCUAUCACAAAGAAACAAAUGCGCGGAAUCGGGGUCUUGGUGCUUAGGAAUGUUGUAAGAAUGCUUGGUGUCCUCCUCCAUGCGCCUAGGGGUCCCUUUUAUAGCCCCAAGGCAGCUAGGAGCCGUUGAGAGCAAUCCUGGAAGGCAGAUCUUGCCUUCUGUCGACUGGCGCACCGGACAGUCCGGUGCACCACCGGACACUGUCCGGUGCAGAUCUCCUUCCUUAUUUGGCGAAGCCGACCGUUGGAGUCUGAGAGCCGUUGGCGCACCGGACACUGUCCGGUGCACACCGGACAGUCCGGUGCACCAAUGUGACCGUUGGCUCGCCCACGCGUCACGCGCGGAAUCCUCGGCCGACUGUUGCCCCGGCUGACCGUUGACUCACCGGACAGUCCGGUGCGCCACCGGACAGACCGGUGAAUUUUAGCCGUACGCCGUUGAUGGUUUACCGAGAGCGACGAGUUCGCCUAUGAACGGCUCACCGGACAGUCCGGUGCACCACCGGACAGUCCGGUGCACCACCGGACAGACCGGUGAAUUUUAGUCGUACACCGCCGUCGAAGUCCCGAGAGCAGCCUGUUCGCCAGAGCCAGCCUGGCGCACCGGACACUGUCUGGUGCACCACCGGACAGUCCGGUGAACCCAGACUGAGCAGUCUUUGGCUGAACUUAGCCAUCACUUCUCCAACUCGAUUUUUUCUGUUUCCAGCACUUAGACACAAUACAUUAGUCCAUAAAAUAAUGUACUAAGUCUAGAAACAUACCUUUUGACAUGAUUUGCACUUUGUCCACACCUUUGCAUAGAUUAGCACAAAAGCAUUUGUGUUGGCACUCAAUCACCAAAAUACUUAGAAAUGGCCCAAGGGCACAUUUCCCUUUCAAUCUCCCCCGUUUUGGUGAUUUAUGCCAACACAACAUAAAGCAACUAGAACAAGUGCAAAAUCAAAGCAGAUGAACACUCAAUAUUGUUUUGUUUCAAUUUUGGCAUAUAUGGAUCAUACUUUGCCACCACUUGGUUUGUUUUUGCAAAUCAAACUCAAAUUCCUAUCUCUAAGUCAAAUCCACUUGUAGAGACAUAAAGAGAGGUAUUCCAAAGAAAAUUGAUCAAGGAAACCAAAAACUCCCCCUUUUUCCCAUAAUCAAUACUUCUCCCCACAAGAGGCCAACUUUUGACAAAAGAGACAAUGAAAGAGUUUUGACAAACCAAAAGCUCUAUUCUACCUCUAUUCUACUAUUUUCAAAAUUUCUCAAGUGGUAGCUGAUCCAUCUAUUGCUUUGGCCUUUAUUUUCUCCCCCUUUGGCAUCAAGCACCAAAACAGGAUCAAUCUUGGCCCCUUAACCCCAUUGCCUCACCAAAAUCUUCAAAUGAGAACACAAAGGCAAUAAGAGUACGUGAGAUGAACUUGGAAUAAGUUACCCUCUCAUCAGAGUGCAGUGGAAGUCUUUCAUGGUCCAAGUCCACCUUUUCCCUUUCAAAACUCGUUUGAGACUAAAUCAAGCAAACUCAAGCAAACAGUUAGUCUCAAAGGGUCAAGUUGUAGCACAACUCCCCCUAAAUAUGUGCAUCACUUGCACAAGGACACCUUUGUUGAGGUCGGUGUGUCCGUCGGUUCCCAUCGGCGUCUUGGCGGGCUUGGCGUCCUUCAUCCCAAACCGUUUUAGCAAAUUUUGCGUGUACUUCGUUUGGGAGAUGAAGGUGCCGUCCUUGAGUUGCUUCACUUGGAACCCAAGGAAGUAGUUCAACUCGCCCAUCAUCGACAUCUCGAAUUUCUGCGUCAUCACCCUGCUAAACUCUUCACAAGACUUUUGGUUAGUAGAAGCAAAUAUUAUGUCAUCGACAUAAAUUUGACACACAAAAAGAUCACCAUCGCAAGUCUUAGUGAAAAGAGUUGGAUCGGCUUUCCCAACCUUGAAAGCAUUAGCAAUUAAGAAGUCUCUAAGGCAUUCAUACCAUGCUCUUGGGGCUUGCUUAAGUCCAUAGAGCGCCUUAGAGAGCUUACACACGUGGUCGGGGUACCGUUCAUCCUCGAAGCCAGGGGGUUGCUCCACGUACACCUCCUCCUUGAUCGGCCCAUUGAGGAAAGCGCUCUUCACAUCCAUUUGGUACAACCUGAAAGAAUGGUGAGCGACAUAUGCUAGCAAAAUAUGAAUUGAUUCUAGCCUAGCCACAGGAGCGAAAGUCUCCUCAAAGUCCAAACCUGCGACUUGGGCAUAACCUUUUGCCACAAGUCGAGCCUUGUUCCUUGUCACCACCCCAUGCUCGUCCUGUUUGUUGCGGAACACCCACUUGGUUCCCACAACAUUUUGCUUGGGGCGAGGCACCAGUGUCCAAACUUCAUUGCGCUUGAAGUUGUUUAGUUCCUCUUGCAUGGCCAACACCCAGUCCGGAUCCAGCAAGGCCUCUUCUACCCUGAAAGGCUCAAUAGAAGAGACAAAGGAGUAAUGCUCACAAAAAUUAACUAAUCUUGAAUGAGUAGUUACUCCCUUGCUAAUAUCACCCAAAAUUUGGUUGACGGGAUGAUUCCUUUGAAUCGUCGCUCGAACUUGGGUUGGAGGUGCCUGAGGUGCUUCUUCCUCUUCAACUCGAUCAUCCUGUGCUCCCCCUUGAUCAUGCGCCUCCACUUGAGGUACCUGUUCGUCAUCUUGGGUUGGGGGAUGCACCAUAGUUGAGGAAGACGGUUGAUCUUGCUCCAAUUGUUCCUGAGGCCGCACAUCUCCAAUCGCCAUGGUGCGUAUCGCGGCCGUUGGAACGUCUUCUUCAUCUACAUCAUCAAGAUCAACAACUUGCUCUCUUGGAGAGCCAUUAGUCUCAUCAAAUACAACGUCGCUAGAGACUUCAACCAAACCCGAUGAUUUGUUGAAGACCCUAUACGCCUUUGUAUUUGAAUCAUAACCUAAUAAAAACCCUUCUACAGCUUUGGGAGCAAAUUUAGAGGUUCUACCUUUCUUCACAAGAAUAUAACACUUGCUCCCAAAUACACGAAAAUAAGACACAUUGGGUUUGUUACCAGUUAGCAGCUCGUAUGAAGUCUUCUUGAGGAGGCGGUGAAGAUAGACCCUGUUGAUGGCGUGGCAAGCCAUGUUCACGGCUUCCGACCAAAAACGCUCGGGGGUCUUGAACUCUCCAAGCAUAGUCCUCGCCAUAUCGAUGAGCGUCCUGUUCUUUCUCUCUACCACACCAUUUUGCUGAGGUGUGUAGGGAGCGGAGAACUCGUGCUUGAUCGCCUCCUCCUCAAGGAACUCCUCCACUUGAAGAUUCUUGAAUUCGGACCCAUUGUCGCUCCUUAUCUUCUUCACCUUGAGCUCAAACUCAUUUUGAGCUCUCCUGAGGAAGCGCUUGAGGGUCCCUUGGGUUUCAGUUUUAUCCUGCAAAAAGAAUACCCAAGUGAAGCGGGAAAAAUCAUCAACUAUAACAAGACCAUACUUACUUCCUCCUAUACUUAGAUAGGCGACGGGUCCGAAGAGGUCCAUAUGAAGCAUCUCCAAGGGUCUUGAUGUUGUCAUCACAUUUUUGGUGUGAUGAGAGCCUCCCACCUGUUUCCCUGCUUGACAAGCUGCACAAGGUCUAUCUUUUUCGAAAUGUACAUUAGUUAGACCUAUCACGUGUUCUCCCUUUAGAAGCUUGUGGAGGUUCUUCAUCCCCACAUGUGCUAAGCGGCGAUGCCACAACCAGCCCAUGCAAGUCUUAGCCAUUAAGCAUGCAUCUAGACCGGCCUCUUCUUUUGCAAAAUCAACCAAAUAAAGUUUGUCGUCUAGUACACCCUUAAAAGCUAGUGAACCAUCACAUCUUCUAAAGACAGACACAUCUACAUUUGUAAAUACACAAUUAUAUCCCAUUUUGCAUAAUUGACUAACAGACAACAAAUUAUAUCCAAGCGACUCAACUAAAAACACAUUAGAAAUAGAGUGCUCAGAUGAAAUAGCAAUUUUACCUAACCCUUUUACCUUGCCUUGGUUCCCAUCACCGAAUAUUAUUGAAUCAUGGGAAUCCUCAUUUUUGACGUAGGAGGUGAACAUCUUCUUCUCCCCCGUCAUAUGGUUUGUGCAUCCGCUGUCGAUAAUCCAGCUUGAACCCCCGGAUGCAUAAACCUGCAAGGCAAAUUUAGGCUUGGGUCUUAGGUACCCAACUCUUGUUGGGUCCUACAAGGUUAGUCACAAUUGUCUUAGGGACCCAAAUGCAAGUUUUGUCACCCUUGCAUUUUGCCCCUAACUUCCUAGCCAAUACCUUCUUACCCUUUCUACAAAUGGCAAAUGAAGCAUUGCAAGCAUGAUAUAUUGUAGAUGGUUCAUUAACUUUCCUAGGAAUAUUAACAACAUUUCUCCUAGGCAUAUUAUGAACAACAUUUCUCCUAGGCAUAUUAUGAACAACAUUUCUCCUACCAACAUUUCUAUCAUGCACAUAGGAAGAACUAGAAGCAAACAUGGCAUGAGAAUCAAAAGCAUCAUAUGCAUUAUAACUCAUAUAAGCAUUUCUAUAUUGUCUCUUGUCAUGAUACAUAAAAGCAUGGUUCUUUUUAGCACUAAUAGCCAUAGGGGCCUUCCCUUUCUCCUUGGUGGAGAUGGGAGCCUUAUGGCUUGUUAAGUCCUUGGCUUCCCUCUUGAAGCCAAGUCCAUCCUUAAUUGAGGGGUGUCUACCAAUCGUGUAGGCAUCCCUUGCAAAUUUUAGCUUAUCAAAAUCACUUUUGCUAGUCUUAAGUUGGGCAUUAAGACUAGCUACUUCAUCAUUUAAUCUAGAAAUUGAAACUAGGUGUUCACUACAAGCAUCAAUAUCAACAUCCUUACACCUAGUGCAAAUCAUAACAUGUUAUACACAUGAAUUAGAUUUAUUUGCUACUUCUAAUUUAGCAUUUAAAUCAUUGUUAACACCUUUUAAAGUAGAAAUGGUUUCAUGACAAGUAGAUAGUUCAUAAGAAAGUAUUUCAUUUCUUUUAACUUCUAAAGCAUAGGAUUUUUGUGCCUCUACAAAUUUAUCAUGUUCUUCAUACAACAAAUCCUCUUGCUUUUCUAAAAGCCUAUCCUUUUCAUUCAAGGCAUCAAUCAAUUCAUUGAUUUUAUCAAUUUUAUUUCUAUCCAAUCCCUUGAACAAGCUAGAGUAAUCUAUUUCCUCAUCGCUAGAAUCAUCAUCACUUGAAGAAGAGUAAGUGGUAUCCCGAGUACAUACCUUCUUCUCCUUCGCCAUGAGGCAUGUGUGAUGCUCGUUGGGAAAGAGGGAUGACUUGUUGAAGGCAGUGGCGGCGAGUCCUUCAUUGUCGGAGUCGGAUGAGGAGCAAUCCGAAUCCCACUCCUUUCCGAUAUGUGCCUCGCCCUUGGCCUUCUUGUAGCUCUUCUUCUUCUCCUUCUUGUUUCCCUUUUCCUGGUCACUAUCAUUGUCGGGACAGUUAGCGAUAAAAUGACCAAGCUUACCACAUUUGAAGCAUGAGCGCUUCCCCUUUGACUUGGUCUUGCUUGGCUGUCCCUUGCGACCCUUAAGCGCCGUCUUGAAACACUUGAUGAUGAGGGCCAUCUCUUCAUCAUUGAGACCUGCCGCCUCAACUUGCGCCACCUUGCUAGGUAACGCCUCCUUGCUUCUCGUUGCCUUGAGAGCAACGGGUUGAGACUCAUUGAUUGGACCAUUCAGUGCGUCGUCCACGUACCUCGCCUCCUUGAUCAUCAUUCGCCCGCUUACGAAUUUUCCAAGAACUUCUUCGGGCGACAUUUUGGUGUACCUGGGAUUCUCACGAAUAUUAUUCACCAAAUGAGGAUCAAGAACGGUAAAGGACCUUAGCAUCAGUCGAACGACGUCGUGGUCCGUCCAUCGCAUGCUUCUGUAGCUCCUUAUUUUGUUGAUAAGGGUCUUGAGCCGGUUGUAUGUUUGGGUCGGCUCCUCGCCCCUUAUCAUCGCGAAUCGUCCAAGCUCGCCCUCCACCAAUUCCAUCUUGGUGAGCAAGGUGACGUCGUUCCCCUCAUGAGAAAUCUUGAGGGUGUCCCAGAUCUACUUGGCAUUGUCCAAGCCGCUCACUUUAUGGUACUCGUCCCUGCACAAGGAGGCUAACAACACAGUAGUGGCUUGUGCAUUUCUAUGAAUUUGUUCGUUAAUAAAAAUAGGACUAUCCGAGCUAUCGAACUUCAUUCCACUUUCCACAAUCUCCCAUAUGCUCGGAUGGAGAGAGAACAGGUGACUACGCAUUUUGUGGCUCCAAAAUCCGUAGUCCUCUCCAUCAAAGUGAGGAGGUUUGCCAAGUGGAAUGGAGAGCAAAUGAGUAUUUGUACUUUGCGGAAUACGAGAGUAGUCAAAAGAAAAGUUCGAAUUAACCGGUUUCCAUCUCUCGUAGUCGUUGUCGUCGUUGUCCUUUUGGGAAGAAGAUGACUCGUCGCUAUCGUCGUAGUAGACAAUCUCCUUGAUGCGCCUUGUCUUCUUCUUCUUCCCAUCUUUCCGUCUAUGGCCCGAGCCCGAGUCGGUAGGCUUGUCAUCCUUCGGCUCGUUGACGAAAGAUUCCUUCUCUUUAUCGUUGAUCACGAUACCCUUCCCCUUAGGAUCCAUCUCUUCGGGCGGUUAGUCCCUUUGUGAAGAGAACGGCUCUGAUACCAAUUGAGAGCACCUAGAGGGGGGGUGAAUAGGUGAUCCUGUAAAACUUGAAACUUAAGCCACAAAAACUUGGUUAAGUGUUAGCACAAUAAUCGCCAAGUGGCUAGAGAGGAGUCAAAACACAAUAACCACAAGAGAUCAAUCACAGAGAUGGCACGGUGGUUAUCCCGUGGUUCGGCCAAGACCAACGCUUGCCUACUCCACGUUGUGGCGUCCCAACGGACGAGGGUUGCAAUCAACCCCUCUCAAGCGGUCCAAAGACCCACUUGAAUACCACUGUGUUUUGCUUGCUUUUCUUAAUCCCGUUUGCGAGGAAUCUCCACAACUUGGAGCCUCUCGCCCUUACACUUGAAGUUCACAAAGAAGCACGGAGCAAGGGAGGGAUUAGCAACGCACACAAGACACAAAAAUCAGAGUGUCGACACGCACACAAGUCGCAACAAGAGCUCGCAACACAACCCAAUGAGUUCACAACUCCACUAGAGCUCUAUAUGCUAUCACAAAGAAACAAAUGCGCAGAAUCAGGGUCUUGGUGCUUAGGAAUGUUGUAAGAAUGCUUGGUGUCCUCCUCCAUGCGCCUAGGGGUCCCUUUUAUAGCCCCAAGGCAGCUAGGAGCCGUUGAGAGCAAUCCUGGAAGGCAGAUCUUGCCUUCUGUCAACUGGCGCACCGGACAGUCCGGUGCACCACCGGACACUGUCUGGUGCAGAUCUCCUUCCUUAUUUGGCGAAGCCGACCGUUGGAGUCUGAGAGCCGUUGGCGCACCGGACACUGUCCGGUGCACACCGGACAGUCCGGUGCACACCGGACAGUCCGGUGCACACCGGACAGUCCGGUGCACCAAUGUGACCGUUGGCUCGCCCACGCGUCACGCGCGGAAUCCUCGGCCGACCGUUGCCCCGGCUGACCGUUGACUCACCGGACAGUCCGGUGCGCCACCGGACAGACCGGUGAAUUUUAGCCGUACGCCGUUGAUGGUUUACCGAGAGCGACGAGUUCGCCUAUGAACGGCUCACCGGACAGUCCGGUGCACCACCGGACAGACCGGUGAAUUUUAGCCGUACACCGCCGUCGAAGUCCCGAGAGCAGCCUGUUCGCCAGAGCCAGCCUGGCGCACCGGACACUGUCCGGUGCACCACCGGACAGUCCGGUGAACCCAGACUGAGCAGUCUUUGGCUGAACUUAGCCAUCACUUCUCCAACUUGAUUUUUUCUGUUUCCAGCACUUAGACACAAUACAUUAGUCCAUAAAAUAAUGUACUAAGUCUAGAAACAUACCUUUUGACAUGAUUUGCACUUUGUCCACACCUUUGCAUAGAUUAGCACAAAAGCAUUUGUGUUGGCACUCAAUCACCAAAAUACUUAGAAAUGGCCCAAGGGCACAUUUCCCUUUCACUUUGCCGAGUACUAGUCUGGCGAACACUCGGGAAAAAGGGAAACUCUUUGCCGGUGUCACCUAAUACACUCAGCAAAGGAAUACUCUUUGCUGAGAGUCACACAUUACACUCGGCAAAGGCGCCGUCUCCGUUACCAGCCGCCGUGACGAUGACUUUUCUUUGUCGAGUACCGAGCGACACUCGGCAAAGGCUUUACCAAGUGCCCGAUAAAAAGUACUCGGCAAAGAAGCCGUUGCCGAUGUACAGUUCGUCGAGCUCUCUUUGCCGAGUGUCACACUCGGUAAAGCCUUCGCCGAGUGUUUUCCAGGCUUUGCCAAGUGCUUCAGACACUUGACAAAGAGGUCGAUUCUAGUAGUGUUGGCCGAACCAUGGGAAAAUCGCAUAUGUAUUUAUCUCUUCUUCUAUUUCUAUUUGCACUUCUACUCCUAUCUUUGGUAUAAGUUGUCUGUGAAGUGCAGGAUCUUUUUGAGACAAGGACCCCAUUCCGCUGCGACCAACUCUACUCAUCUAGAUUCCACUGCAUAUAUUUCUAUGAGUAGAGUAAGAAAAGUUUUAAUUUUGGUCCUUAGUACCCAUCUAUUCACCUCCCUUUAGGCGACAUCUAGGUCCUUAGUACCACCAAAGGGAGAAUUAUCUACAAGGUGGGGGAAUCCCUCUUUUUGUAGGGGUCCCUAACCCAUCUUAUAUAGACGACGAGUUUAGAGUUAGAAGUCGGUGAUCUGCCUUAUCACUAGCCUACACUCUCAGAAGGCGGUUUCCAAGUCGUAUGUGAGCUGUUGCACUGCCUUAUCUUCUAAACAGUCAAAUCGUUAUUGUGUUGCCUAGGUCUUCAAGUCUUCCCACCGUCUUUGGGCCUAAGUCAACCGGUCGACCCAUGAAAUUAGUCACCUGACCUACUUGGGGCCCUUCAAUGGCCCACACUCUGGAUCCUCGGUAUGAGAAUCUAGGGGAUAUCUAUCCCCCACAAUAGGUAUACAAUUAUAAAAUAUUUUUGAACUUUUUUACAUCGGGGUCCCUUAGGGCCUGCAUCCCAAUGGAGGGGUAGUAGGCCCCUAUUCCUCUAUACUACCAUUUGCUCAUAUUAUAUAUGGUUUCUGGUAUAUUCCAUACGAGGAAUUGUCAUAAGAGGACUAAUUAGCUUGGGAAGGUGCAUCACAUUUUUUGGUUUACACUUAGAUCUUUCCUUGCACCUCCCCUCACUAGCCAAUCCACUUGCGACAAUUUUCCAGACACCCUAUAAUAAGAACAAACUAGAGUAUAGGGGGAAGGGGGCCUGCCACCCCUCCACUUGGUGGCAAGCAUCUAUCGUGCCCCUCUAGCGGGCGACAGGUCCCCAGGGACCCUGGUGCGGAACAAAAUUUAAAAGUGUUUACAACUAGGUCUCUGCCACCCAUUGACAGGGCGAUAGACACCCAUUUCUGCAAUAUUUCAGUUAUGGGGUAUAGAUUUGAACUUUUAGAAUAUUUUUAAAUGUAAAAUGGCAAGGCUUCAUGAGCUAGCACAUGCACUCUCGUCAAACUUGAAUUUUAGCUCAAUCUUAUGAAUCUUGUAGAUAAUAUAUUUUUUCGUAUGUAGUGUGUUGGAUUUUGUAAUGGUCAAGGCAUAUAGCUAAAUAAUCGUUUGGUUAUUUGAUUUGCACUAUCAAAUGUCAUCAUAGUAGUUAGCAUGGGGUAUUAUAUAUAUGAAAUGAAUAACCUUUUGGCUAUUUGAUUUGUAUAACCAACUAUUGUUGCAUUAUUAGAGAGGCAAUAUACUAGUUUACUUAGUUUAUUAUGCAUAGCAUAGAAAAUUGUACACUAAGGGAUUGUUUGGUUAGAAAGGGAUUGAAGGGGAUGGGAGGAAAUUGAGGGGGGAAUGAACUAAUUUUCCUCUCAAUCCCCUCUGAUCUCCUUCAAUCCUCUUCUAACUAAACAAUCCUUAAGCCUUCGCACGGAUGCGUAUACAGGAAGUGCAGCCCUCUAGAAGAAUACAAUGGCUAGGACUAUGAUCCUCUACUUAUAGGCAAACAAAAUUUUCUUGAGGAGUUCUUUGUAAAAAACUUCAUGGAGGUAUUUAAUAUGACAUCACAUUAUCACACACUCAAUUAAAGUAUACAACCUGUACCUUAGCUUAUGACAAUCUUGCAAUCAUAGUAGUCUGAUAAAUUAAGAGCACAUAAACACAAGUGUAUUUUACUACUAAUCUUCUAUUGUAUUCAGUUUAGAGAUUGCGGAAUAAGAACUAUCACCCUCGCCAACGCAAAAGAACCUUGGAGGCAUUUGGAUGCCAUCGACACAAGUUUCAAGCAUCUCUAUGACUUCGCUCAUUGUCGACCAACAUCAUCUAGAUGCACCAAAGUCCAAUGAUACAUAGCUUCUUCUCUAACUCGUGCAUAUCAAGAACUUCAUGGAUCCCAUCCAUAUCUCCUCCGCUCAGCCGACUGUACACCAAGGAUGGGUAGUAUGCUUGACUGAAGCUUCUUGCAUGAGGAUCCCGUCAGACUGAGUGGUAUUACCAACAACUCAUAGUCCUAUUUGUUGGACUUAGUGUUAUAUUUGACGGCCCAUAGUUGUAGUUCUUAGAAAUAAAUUAGAUUAGGUAAUGGCCCCGACGCCGUUCCAUUUCUAUCUCGCGUUCUCUCUCCCUCUCUUUCCUAUCUCUGCUCCUCUCUCUUGCUGCUGCCGCAAACCGUCUACGCCCCGUUGCCACGACCUGGUACCGUCCAUCACCCUGAUGAUGUAUUGAUAUUUGGUGUGUUUUUCUCCAGGAAGCAUAUGGGGAGCAGAUGGUUGAGCGCCAUGGGUAGGACUAUGAUUGGAGGAGCCAACCAAGUGACCUAGAGGCAACAUAUGCUAGCAUAGGGAGACAAGCCCAUGGACGGUGAACGUAUUUCAUUUUGAUUUUUAAGUUAUGCCCAUAUGCUUGUUAUUGUACCGAGUCUAUGGUUCACUACUAUAGGUAGGGUAUAUUUGAUUCUUCGAUUGAUUCUAGGGAGCUAAGACAUUGAGAAUGACAGUCUGUAUCAUCAUCCUCGCAAUCAUCUCGUUCUUGUGCCUCUACACAGGACAUGGAGAUUACCAGUCUACAAGAAGUGUUGAGGCAACAUGUAGGCUUUCUUCUAGGUAAGUUGAAGUAAUAUGUUAUUCAUAACUUCAAACUUGUUUCGUUUGGUACUUCGUCAAUAGUUACCUGCAUCUAAUUUGUAGCAAGUGUCACAACAGACGAAUGCCUAGUUAUUAGCCUUUGGGAUGCCACUUCUAUCACUUGCACGGUCGCCACAUGUUGUAACACCCAUUUGUAACAUAUAAUAAAUGAGGAGAAAUUAAUUCCUUUAUCUAUAUGUAUGUGUUAUUUCCACUCACCAUCACAUGUGGACACCUCACUUAUACAAAUGAAUAAGUAACAAAAGGCACUCAAACAAAUUAUGCAUCAUGCUGGCAUCUUCUUUUAUGUGCAUUUUGGUGACAAUAUAAAAAUAAUAUGACAGGAAAUAUAUUAAAGUUCAAAAAGUGGAAUGUAAUAUCUAAAAGAAAUUUUGGGAAUAUGAGAAAAGAGAAGAAAAGUACUAUAAAUAUAAAUAUAUAUAUAAGUUUAAUUAGAUAAUUGUACUUGAGAAUAAUAGAUUGUGAACCUACAUUUUUGGUUCAUGAGUAAACUUCACCAUAACACUUGAAAUUCAAAAUUUGAAGGCAUAAACUUUGGGAAGAAAAGAAAAAAGAAAAGAGACCUUACCUGGGCCUCGGUCCCUCAAUUUGGCCCAUUUCCUGUUUACUAGUCGCGCGGCCCAUCCACGCACCGCUCGCACUGGUCACGCUACGGCUGACCGUGCGGGCCCUUCUGUCAGUGAGUUCACGUGGGUGUGACGUGCGCUAGCUUCCACCGAGCCGUGGGCCCCAUUUGCCAGCCAGAGACCCGCUCGUCGUCCCCUUUCUUCGCCGCGCCGCUCGGACAAGCUCGACCAUGGGACCCUGACGCAAUUCGUGGAAUCGGUUGGGGAGCCCUGGGUCCCAGCAGCUACAAAUUGGAACCUUCCACAGACCCUCAUCGCCAGAACCAGAGCCUUGCCACGACUCGCAGACCCGCCGCCGUGCAAGCUUACUAAUCGCGAGAGAGAAGAGAGGAGCGGCCGCCGCUCACCAUCUUCGCCCUGCGGCCGGUUCAAUCCUCGGGGAAGGCGCUCUAGGCGUGGACAAUAGACUGUGGUAGCGCACCCGGGACUCGCCUGCGCCGGGGCGAUUCGCACAUCACCGGAAUUUCUCAUCGGAGUGGACCUCCGCUCCGUCAUCCGCCUUCUCCGUGGGCGGGUGUUUCUCGCGACCUAAUCCUCGGGUAAGGAGCCCUCAUCCAGUUCCCCUAUGUCUUACCUACGUAUAUCACACCUCAGAUUUGUGUUUCGGGCCCGAGAUCGGCGAACGGUGUGGCCUGGCCAUGGCCUCCGCCGUGGGGGAACGCGUGCGCCGCCGUUUUGGCCGCCAGGGUGGGUGAUAACCUGGAAGCCGUUGAUUUCUAGUGAACGGUGUAGAUUAAAACAUGUGGCGGAUCGUUAUGGGCCGUUGAUCACUGCGUAGACGGGCUAGAUUGGAAGAGGGAUAAUGAUUCACGUGAGUUGAUCGUGGCCGUCGAUCUGUGAUCUCACGGUCACUGUCCCGUACCCCUUCGGAUCUAAUCUGGGCCGUCAACACUUGAUCGGAUGUCCGUCCGCGCACCGUACCCCUUCACCGAGCCAUAAUUGCAAAAGAGACCCUGGAAAAUGUUUGAAUCAACCCGCCGUCCUACUACAUAGUAUUCUGAGUCGUAGGAUCUUUUGCGCCUGGGCCCCUGCUGUUCUCAGAAAUGAAGGCCCAGUCCAGUGCUGUUUUAAAGUGAUUAAAUGAAUUAGAAAUUAGAUUUUUAAUAUAAAAAUAAACCCUAGAACUUGUAUAAUUCAUAGAAUAUUCAUAUGGGCUCCAAAAUAAUCCAUUCCACUUUCUAAAUUUUUGUAAUUUUAUUCUUUAUCACUUAGAGCCUCUGUUUGGUCAUGAAAACAGUAAGAAAUUUAAUUCCUCACUUAAUCUAUUUUAAACACAUAAAACCUUUAAAAAUCCAUAACUUAAAUUCUAUAACUCCAAAAAUUAUGAUUCCUGUUCCUAGAAUUUUAUUUUAAUGUGUAGAUUAUUACUGUGUAUUUUAUUUAUAUGUUUGGUGUAAUGUUAAUUUCUCUAUAUACACUGUGCUUGUUUGUAUUGUGGCGAGUAGAAGAGCCCGUUGCUGAGGAUACUGGUGAGCAGCAGGUGGAAGUAGCUGAGCAGGAGCUCAUUGAAGGCAAGUUGUGCCCUUGACCACUUUUUACCCAAUAAUGUCCUCUAAUUAUCAUUCACUCAUGCAUAGGUUAAUUUUGAUGGGACCCAAUAGGUCACCCUAGAUUGUUUAUCUCAUUACCUUGUUUACCCCUGAAUCACUUGGGUAGUUUGCUAUUGCUUUACAUGGUUUUGGGAUAAUCAUUUAUUACAUCUAUGUUCCAAUUCUUUUUGUUAUUCUAUUUAUAUUCAUGUCAAGUUCAUUAAUGUUAAUUGGAACAUAGAGCUUAACUUGAGAACCACGUGCCACCACAAGGGUUUAAUGGGACGCCCUUGGCUGACUAAUUAGGAAAGCUAGUGGAAGACUACCUUACCUGAAAGGGGCAAGGGCAGUAGGGGAGUGGUCAGUGUAGGGAGGUCCUUGGUUGAUUUUGCUGCGAUGGCGGUCAGACAAGAACCCUGCAUUGGAACUUCCUAUAAACUGUAGCGGGUUUUCGGAAGCUAGUAGAACUUUGUAAAGGCCUCGUAGUGUUGCCCUGCCGCACUUCCUAGGUAGAGGUGUAUGGGAUUCGCGACCCCUUGGCAGAUGGGUAGCAUGACUUGUGGGUAAAGGGUACAACCUCUGCAGAGUGUAAAACUGGUAUACUAGCCGAGCUCACGGUCAUGAGCAGCUCAGGACUCUCUGAUGUUUAAAUUAUGGAACUUAAAUUCAAUUUUGUCAUUUGCAUUGCAUGGGUUUAUUAUUAAUUUUGUUCAAUUACUUUACUUAUGGUUUGGUAUUUACUUACACUUAGUAACUGCUAAUAAAAUUUUGACCAACUACUUAAAAGCAAUGCUCAGCCUUAACCCCUAUCAUUGAUUAGCCUUACACAUCACAUGAGCUCACACCUUUGUGAGUUUAUGUUCACUGGUUCCCCACAACUUGUUGAGCUAUGAUCAUGUGUGAGCUCACCCUUGCUGUCUCACACCCACCACAGGAGAAGAGCAGGUGGUUCAGGAGGAGCCACAAGGCGAGGAGUAUGAUCUGAUCUAGGUGGCGUUUCUCAGUUGACAUUGGCGCCAAUGAUCCUUAGUUCGUUUUAUCUUUAUUACUUUAUUUUGUAAUAAGUCUUCCGCUAUGUAAUAAAUACUCUGAUGUUUUAUGACAUUUAUCUCUAUACACUCUGUUAUUAUAUAUGUUGUCUUCUUGGUGCAUGUAUGAGAUGCACCUGGCUUUGUUCCUUAAAGCCGGGUGUGACACAUGUCACUUUGGUUUGUCUAGAUUAGGUAUUCAUUCAUAUGUACAUGUGUGUGUGUUACAAAUGAAUAAUUUAGUGUUCAAUAUAAAAAUAUGUGUUAUAUGGCUUCCAGACACCUUCCCCUUCGAUUGCAGCACCGGGAGAUGGAUCUGUCCAAGACGACGACACGACUUCAUGGCAAAACAACCUCUUUGCCAGCCAUAGUCCAACCAGAGGAAGUGGUCACAACUCAAACCAACCAGGUGAUGGUUGGUUGGCUUAGUUAGUUUGGAGUCCAUUGCACUUUAGAACUUUAGUAGUUUUAUGACGACAUUUUAGUGACUUCAAACUAUGUGAAUGUGGAUCAACCUUAAACUAUGUCAAUGUGAUGUAUAUGUGAUGUUGAACUAUAUGUGAAUGUGGUUUGUGGUUGUGAAUGUCGUUUUUGUGAGUGGAAAUGUGAAUGUCGUUUUUGUGGAUUGUGGUUGUCAAUGUGUCGCAAAUGAGAAUGUGAAUGUGUGGAUUGAUAUAUGUGAGAAUGUGGAUGUAUAUAUUGAUAUUCCAGAUGAAUCUGAUGUGUAUGAAAUCUGUUAUCUUGUGAAUUGUGGGAAUUGACAAAAACAAGGAGAAUUUUUACCUCUAUAGAAUUCAUUAAGUCCGAUGACCUAGCUGUGGCCAUUGGAUAUAAUGGUAUAAGGUCCGAUGAUUGCCUGUGGGCCAUCGAACAUACCACCAACUUAAGUUCGAUGACGAGCAUGUAGCGUGGAUAUAAGCUUGUUAUCUUCGACGGCCCGCAUGCAGACCAUUGGACAUAACCCUAUGGGGCCCACUGGAUGCCAUCAUGACUGUUACCCGAUUUAACUGUGAAUAGACCAAAGCGGUUGUCGGACUUAUCGUAUCCCCGAUGGCUGCCAUCCAACAAAACCAUAUUUUGACCUUUUAGAACUAAUGGACCCUUGCUGUUGGACAUAGGCUCUAAGCCAUUGGAAAUAAGUAAUGUUCGAUGGUAUAGGGCUUACGACUGACGGCUUAGGCCAUCAAACAUUUCCUUGUUUACUGUAGUGACUCUAUAGCUUUUCUGCAAUUAUUUUGUUCAUGUGUGUGGACCAUUGUCGAAAAUUGUAUACUGAGAUUUACACAUACAAACACAAAUGAUAUGUUCAGAUAUAUGGGCUUAUUAUUACAGGCAAAGCAUGAGACAUAAGGCUUCACAUAGUUUUUUCAUUUUUUACAUUUAGAAUAUUCAAAAUAUACCUUAGAACUGAAAUAUUUCAAAAAUGGUGCCUACCAUCCCACAAAUGAUGACACAGACCCAGUUAUAAAUAUUCUUGAACUUUUUUUGCACCACGGUCCCGAGGGGGCCUGCUGCUUAGUGUAGGGGUACUAGGUCCUCUCCCACCACACUACUAUUUGCCUUUAUCUCACCAAUGAGAGUAGGGAUCGAAUUGUAAAUAUUUUUGAACUUUUUUGUACUGAGGUCCCUAGGGGGCCUAUCGCCUGGUAUGUUCCAUAUGAGAAGUUAUCAUAGUUGGACUGGUUAGCUCGGGUAGGUGUAGGGCAAGUCAUCCUAGGUUUGAUCCCUCCUCAGCGCAAUCAUUUUUUUGCUUAGAUUUUGCAACGCCCGCAAAUCAGCCAAACAAAAUCCAAAAAAUUGUAGUAAGGAGGGAUCAAACCUGUGACAUAUUGACUUCAGCUUCCCUCGCUAGCCAAUCCACCUAUGCAUUUUUUCAUAUAGAACAUAGCAGACAUUCUUGUUGGCACUGAUCUAGGCGCCAAUCACUGCGAUGAGAACCGCGGUGGUGCUCUCUGUAGAGGCGCGAACGUUCCACGACCUGGCGCAGGGGCUGGUGUUCCUACCUGACGAGCCAGACGGACCGCGAAUGGUGGUUGGACGGUCCGCGCCUGCGCAGGGGUGGCAGAGUUUGCCAACAACGCCUAAAUCUUGCUCCUAGGAGGGACCCCGUCGGGGAGGAGAGAUCCUAGGCUUUGUCUUGAGAUUGGCAUGCCACCCAAGACACCUCUAAUCGACAUAGAGCCAGAAAGAGGUGAAGAUUUAGAUAGAGGAAUCUAAGUUAUUGUCUACUCCUAGGGAAAAAGGUAAAGAAUUAGAUGUAUAUUGAUUAUUUGAUCGAUUGUUCGUGUUCCAAUCGGUCGUAGUCCUUCAUAUAUAUAGAGGGGGAGGUCUGAACUCGUUACUAGCCAUCUCCCGAGCAAAUUCCACGGAUUUAGCUAACAAAUCCCUCAAUAAACUCGGAACCCUAACUGGCUCUACGCGUGCACGAACGAUCUGUGCCACAACGGCGGACCGUCUAGACCACGAACCAUCUGGCCUCAGGGCCGAACCGUCUGCCUGGUCAAUUUGGUGCUCAACACAUGCCCCCUACCUUUUGGCGGAGCUUGAGCGAACCAAAAGCACUAACUCAGGCUGAAACUAACCUGAUGUGAACACAUUGGUUUUCUUAGGCAUCUUUGCCACAUACUAGGAUGGUACUGCUUGAGGAAAUGCUCGUUUAGCACCUUGGGUAAGUCUUUGCCUUGCAGCAUUUGCAACAAGUAGGUGUUACCAGAUAUUACCUGUAUGAUCUUGUAAGGGCCUUCCCAGCCUGGCGACCAUUUCCCAAACUUUUGGUCUUUGCUCCUUAGUGGCAAGAUGGUCUUCCAUACCAGGUGCCCUACCUGGAAUGACUUAGCCUUGACCUUCUUAUUGUAAGGUUUGGCAACCAUGAUUUUGUCCUUUUCUAUUUCUCCUAGAGCUAUCACUCUCUUGUCGGUCACUUCAUCAAUAUUGUCCAUCAUUGAAUUAUAAUAAUCACCGACAGUUAGAUCAUUUUACUUGGCGAACCUUACAUCAUUUAAACUUAUCUCUACAGGCAACACUGCUUCCUACCCAUAAACAAGCUCAAAUGGAGACACUUUAGUAGCAUAGUGCUUAGAUAUUCUAUGAGCCUAUAAAGCUUCGGACAAAAUCUUAUGCCAAUUCUUAGGGCGAUCAGAUAUCUUAUUUUUUACUAGGCUAAUCAAUGUCCUAUUACUAGACUUGGCCUGCCCAUUGGCCUUAGCAUAAUAUGGAGAUAAAUUGAGCAACUUAAUUCUAUAUAAUUUAGCAAACUAACGUACCUCCUUUGACAUAAAAGAAGCCCCCUAAUCUGUGGUCAAAGUCUAGGGAAUGCCAAAUCUAUGAAUAAUAUGCUCAGUGAUGAACUCAAUUACCUCCCUAUGUGUCAUAUUCUUCCAAGCAACGGCUUCAGUCCAUUUGGUAAAAUAGUCUGUGGCAACCAACAUGAAUCGAUGCCCUUUUGAUGAUGAAGGAUUAAUCUCUCCUAUAAUGUCCAAUCCCCAUCCUCUAUAAGAAUAAGGUUUGAUGAUAUGAUGUAAUUCGGUUGCAGGGACCAACUGUAAGACGACGAAAUUCUAACAUACUUGGCAUCCUUUGUAGUACUUGAAACAAUCAGCUAUCAUGUUAGGCCAAUAGAAGCCAGAUCUUCGCAAUAACCACUUCAUCUUUGGAGUCGAUUGAUGAGUACCACAAAUCCUCUCAUGUACUUCGGCCAUGGCUAAUAUGGCAUCAUCUGGGCCCAAGCAUUUAAGCAGGACGCCGUUGACCGUUCGGCAGUAGAGUUCAUCACUCAUUAAAAUAUACUUGAAAGUUGUACGCCUAACGUUCCUGUCCGUUCUAGCACUAGGAUUUCGUAGAUAAUUAAUUAUAUGCAUCCUCCAAUCAAUCGCAUCGGCUUUGUUAUCAGUCGACUCAAUCAGGAGAACUUUCUUAGCAAUGUCGCACAGUCCGGAUUCCGCACCCGGACGUUCCGAACGUGCUGCGGACGGUCCGUGCUAGCAGCCCGGACGUUCCGUGACCUGAGAAUCUGGUGCAACACUGGUUAUUGGAUUUUCGGUGUUGUGAAAUCUCCCUCGCUUUAUCUGAUAUCUUGAUGCAUCCUGCGCCAAAUUGUUAGUUAUGCUAUUCUCAAUCCUGGAUAUGUGCUAAAUGCUGAAUUCAUCAAAACAAUGAAUUAUGUCCCAACACUUUUCAUGGUAACCAUUUAGAGUACCAUCUAAGCAUGAAUACUCUUCUAAUACUUGUUGGGCAACCAGCUGAGAAUCGCCAAAUGCUUUCACAUGUUUUACUCCCAUACAAUUUAAAAGCUCCAAGCCGAAUAAGAGGGCCUCAUAUUCGGCUUGAUUGUUAGUGCAAUAAGUUUUUAAUUGGCUAGCGAAGUCAAAGUAGGCGUUACUUGGUGAAACAAGCACGAUACCAAACCCUUGUCCUUCACUGCAAACUGAUCCAUCAAAGUACAGAGUCUAGGGAGUAACAGUGAGGUACGAUAUAUCUAGUUUAUAAGUAUCAUCAAUCCGACGUUCCACAAUAAAAUCCGCUACGACCUGGCCUUUCACAGCUUUUAAUGGUUCAUAGGCCAAGUCAUAUUCUAUAAGUGCAUAAGCCCAUUUACGAAUUCUACCACUCAUGAUCGGGUUUUGCAACAUGUAUUUGAUCACAUCGAUUUGACCAGAUACGGUGCAAUGACUAGAUAAUAAAUAACACAUACACUUGGUGCAUGCAUAAAACAGGCAUAAGCAUAACUUCUCGAUGAAAGUGUACCUUGUUUCAGCAUCCACCAGCCUUCAGCUUAGGUAGGUUACCACAUGCUCCUUUCCUUCAGUCUCUUGUGUCAGAACAACUCCAAUGACUUUAUCUUCGACUGUAAUGUAUAACCUGAAUGGCACUCCUGCUUAUGGCGCUUUUAACACGGGAGCCGAAGACAAAUAUCUUCUAAUAAGAUUAAAUGCUUCCUAUUGUUCUGCCUCCCAGGUGAAUUCAACAUCAUUUUAAGCCAAAUGAUAGGAGUGAAGGCAUCAAUCUUCCCGGCUAGGUUAGAAAUAAACCUUCAUAAAUAAUUUACCUUACCGAGAAACUUCUACAUUUCAAGCUUACAGGUCGGAGGUCCCACAUUCCGAAUGGAUUUAAUUCGGUCAGGGUCUAUUUUUGUACCAUGUUUAUGAAUGAUAAAUCCUAAGAACUUACCAGCCGACACUCCAAAAGCACAUUUACGUGGGUUCAUCUUUAGAUCGUUCCGACGUAUUUUAUCAAAGGCUUUGCGCAAAUCAGUUAUAUGAGACCUAAACUCAGCCGAUUUGACUAUAAUAUCAUCGAUGUAAACUUCCAUAGUGUUUCCCAACAACUCUUUUUUGAAAGGUCAAAUUUAUAGCCCUCUGAUAAGUAGCGCCGGCAUUUUUCAGACCAAAAGUCAUGACAACCCUCUCAAAUAAACCAGUGAAGCCUGGACAUAUAAAGGCCAUUUUAGACGCAUCUUCUUUGGCCAUAAAAAUCUGAUUAUAUCCGGGAUUACCAUCAAGAAAAACUAGUCGGUUGCCCGUGCGUUGCGAUGGCUUACAACAAUACCCAUAUAAACAAUCCACAAAAAAAUCAAUAUGUUUUUAUUAAUUGUCUCCGCUCUCUGUAUAAUAUUUCUUGAUUUGGCUAGCUGAUGUUAUUGUUUACUCCAUGCAAUAUGUCUUGGUACAACACGGCCAAUGAAGUGAGCGAUUAGAAGAGAGUUCACAACGACUGACUAAACGAAUAGAGAUUAUAAAAUGACAUAAUUCCACCACACAGAGACCAAAUAAGAGAAAGUUUGUGAACUCAAGUUUCUAAAAUAAGUCACAUGAACUCAAACUUAUAAAAAAGAUAGAUCAAAUAUGGAGUGAUUGAUAAAAUCAAGCAUCAAUAAAAACUGGAUGCGCUCCAUAUAAAUAUGCUACUUCGUAGCAAUUACUAACAUUUAAAACCAAUAAAUAACCUUUCAUUUUACUGUUAGUGUGACAAAUCAUUGUUGCUCCAUCCAAUUCAGCAACCUCAAACACCAUGGAGUCCAUUGCGCCAAUGUGGUCUCAGAAAUGACCUAAUGCUUGCGAGAGCCAAGAACGUCGUGUCGUGCUUGGGCUGUAGCGAGUCGUAGUGCUGGCCCGGCCCGACAAGAUUAUAUAAUUUUUAUUUUACAAAAAAUGUAUAUACAUAUAUACAAUUUAUAUUCAAUAUUAAAAACAUUUGAGCAUGAUGUUCUACUGGUUAGACAGCUUCAUCCAGUAUCUCUCGCUCUUCUUCCAUCAGGGUAUGGGUUCCAACCCCGCCUCCUGCACCAUUUUUUAAUAUUUUACGCUGAUUUAAUCAAAUGGGCUGACGGGCUAACGGGCUGGCUCGGCACAGUCAGCAGGACAACAUGACGUGCCUAGGCCAGAGUUGUGGCCCGUGGGCGUCUGGCCCGUGCCAGGCCGUGGUUUGGCCAUCUAUAGGCGUGCAACGGAUUAUGCCUGGGCCAGAGUUGUGGCCCGCGAGCGUCUGGUCCGUGCCGGGCCGCCGUUUGGCCAUCUAUAGGCGUGCAACGAAUUAAUUUGAAAUAACUGUGAGGGGUUAUUUGUAAAAAGAUGACGCGAGACGACCGUUGAAACUGGUGCUUUAAGUAUAUUAUAGAUAAUAAUUCCAUUUCCUGACGCACUAUUAAUCAAUGUGUCGGCUAUAGCCAUAUGAUAUUCAUCUUUAGGAGUUGUUGUAUUUAAAUUGCGGAAAUCAAUGCAUACUCUGAGCUUACCUGAUUCUUUCUUUUCCACCAACACAAUAUUGGAGACCCACUGUGCGUAUCUGCAAGGUCUAACAAAAUUUGCUUCUAGCAGCCGGUGAAUUUCGUCCUUUAUUCGUGGGAGUAACUCUCGAUGAAAUGUUCUGGGUUUCUAAUUGAAAGGUUUGAAAUCAGACUUAAUAGCCAGUCCAUGCUCUACUAUCUCUCGGCUUAAUCCUGGCAUCUCAGUGUAAUUCCAAGCAAAGCAAUCAAAAUAUUCUUUUGAUAGACCGAUCAUUUCCUCUCUAGGAUCGGUCUCCAAUGUCUUAUUUACAAAAGUCGGACUCAGAGUUUUGCCAUCUCCUAUGUCGAUCUCCUCCAAAGGAUCGGUCGAUGUAAACCCCUGUCUUGACUUGUCGAGAUCCUUGAAUUCCUCUAUUAUACCUCCCUCAGAAAACUUAGGCUGUCUCUAUGUGGCUGCGAACCGUCUGGUUUCGAAGGCCGGACCGUACGUGACACCAGAUCCAUGUUGCAGCGACUGCCCAGCCUUAAGGCACAAACUGUCCUGCGGAAGACAGAACCGUUCAGCCUCAGGGCCGGACUGUCUACGACCUAGGAUGAACCCUGAGAAUCUACUUGCCUUUCCUCGGAUCGUCCGGCCUCAGGGGCCGGACCGUCCAUGACUUGUGACAUGUUCCUUAUGGGUGUACUCAUCAUUUAAACUUUAUUUAGGAUUCAACUGAUUCUCCAUUAGCUCUAGCAUUAUAGGAAUGAAACCUUUACUAUCUAUACUUAUGAACUGAUAAUCAGAAAAGUCUACUCCUGUGAGACAUGUAGCAGUCUCAUAGGUCCAAAGUACAGGGGCAUUGGCCACGACGAUGCAGGUCGAUGCAUCAACAUGCACUUGUUCUAUAUCAUCGCCUACCCAUUGUAGCAACAUUUGAUGUAAAGUAGAAGGUACGCAUUGAUUAGCAUGAAUCUAAUCUCUGCCUAAGAUUAGACUAUAAUUUCCUUCUACAUCAGCGACGAUGAAUGCGAGAGCAAGGGUCUUGGUCCCGAUGGUUAAUUCAACGGACGUGACUCCCUUAGCUUUGAUCGAACUAUCAGUCCCAACACCGCUGAGCGUCAUAUUGGUCUUGACCAAUUCGUCAUCUUGCUUUCCUAAUUUUCUGUACAAUGAAUAAGGCAUUAAAUUUACGGCUGCCCCUCAGUCUACCAACAACUUAGCAAUCGGUAUUCCAUCAAUAUGACCUUGCUCUCCUUUGCUCUCAAGCGUUGCAAUUUUCGCUUUUGAGACCGUGUCAGUCCUGAUGGGCACCAUAUGGGCAUGGAGUAUUUUGGGUCAGCUACUUUGCUGGCAGUCAUGUCUUCUUUUUCGACUGUAUUGGAUGAUUUACAAAAAAUCAUCGGCCCUUCGUUAUUUUCCUGUAUGACGACAUCUGUUGUGCCUAUCUUGAUGACGUCCCCUUUUGUCGUCCUCUUGGAGGUUGUAGAUAUAUGCCCCCUGCCGGGUCAGUCGGCCUUUAGGGCCGAGUGGUUCGGCAAUUUUGCUAGGCCUAUGCCUGGUGACUAGAUUGAGUGGCACUCAAUCGGUCUAGUACUGGAGGUGCCAACCUAUCAAAAACAGAUGUUUGGGUUGCCCCCAAGCAGGGUAUUGUGGCAUCCCAAAUGGAUAUGGUGGCAUGCUCCACAUUUGAUUUAGGACAUGGCAGUGGUGGUAUGUACGCAUAAUGAUAUGGCACAGGUGCGUAUGGGGGUGGAGGUAUCCAUGUAGGCACGUUAGGUCUUAAUUGGACAUUAUGACAUAUCGACCUUUCCAAUUGGUGAAGUGGUCCAAUUGGUCUUAACUAUUAUCGCUCUUGAGUGGGCGAGGGAGGUCGCUUUGGUGGCUAGUCACUUGGGCCGACCUUCUUUUUCACAUAUUUCGAUAAUAAUUGAUCAAAGGUCGGGCCAGAUUUGACCAAUCGCCCAGCUACCUUGAAUGAGUUAGUUUUCCACGUACCUAUUUCUGGUCAUUGUGGUUUGAAGGUAUGUAGUCGUCACGGCUCUUAGCAUUGCCGGACCAUUCGCUUAAAUGAUCUGGACUAUUCCAUGAUGUCCCGGAUCGUCCGUGUCUAUGUGUCGGAUCGUCCGCAAUGCGCAGAACAGGGACCCACACCUGGUUACCUACAUGCGCCUGCCCCUUGGCGUUCGAGGUAGUGAUGGUAACUUUCAGAGUCUCCCCUCCAUCAGGAGUCCUUUUUGUCAUCACUUUCCUACUAGAGUUUUUUGUAAUUUCAUUGGCCUCUCACGCAUUGCCAAUGAUGACCUCCUUGCCUUUGCCCUUAUCGGUCACGCUGGGCGGAAUCAGGACUUUUUUGGCAUCAAAGUUGAUCAUAUUUAUUGGGAAGGGCUCUAUGUCCACCUGUAUUUCUAGAAAUUUCAACCGUCCCCGUUAAUGGACAAUUAGAUUUGUCAUAAGAAUAUAUUACAAUCAUUAGUGGCAUGAGAAAAUGAGUUGUGCCACUUGCAGUAUGUGCAAUGUUUUAGUUCGUCAGCGGGUGGAACAAUAUGGUUUAUUUUAAUGUUGCCAUGUUUGAGUAAUUCAUCAAAUAUAUUAUCACAUUUGCCAACAUUAAAUGUAAACUUAACCUCCUCCUGUUGUUUCUUUUGAAUCGACUGCAUGGAAGAACAAGCUGAAGAUUUGUCCUUCUUGGGCCAAACCAUUUCGGCAGCGUAAACCUUUUUUGAUUCGUCGUCCAAGCUACUCUGGUCGCAUUCUACUAUAUGGACGUUGUGACGGAUCAUUUUGGCAAUUUCUUUGCUUCGGCUUUCACAAGCCAAAGCUCUUUGAUGUAAUUGUGCUAGCGUGCAAAAUUGGAUGCCUUCUAAUUUUUCUUUUAAAUAAUAGCACAAUCCAUUAAAGGCUAACCCCGCUAGCUGUUUUUCUGCCAACUGAAUUUGGAAACAUCAGUUUCUUGUAUCCCAGAAUCUCCAAAUGUAAUCAUUAACCGAUUCAUCUUUCACUUGUCGUAGGGCCACUAGGUCUACUAAAUCUAGCUCAUAAUCGCCAGAGAAGAAAUGAUCAUGAAAAAUUUGUUCUAGAUCUCCCCACGACAAUAGAAUUAGGAGAGUGUGGCAUACCAUGCGAAUGCAGUUCCUGUUAAUGAUAAUGAAAAUAGACGAACACGGAACGCCUCUGUGUCAGCAAUUCUCCUAAUUGUGCUAAGAACUGGCAUAUAUGCUCGCGCGUGCUCUUUCCUUGAUCACCCAAAAACUUCACAAAUUCGGGUAUCCUAGUUCCUUGUGGAUAUGGAUGAUAGUCGAAUCGGCUAUCAUAAUGUUUCCAAUACGACUUCCCCCCAGGGACCAUGCUAACUCCGAGCAUAUCUCAUAAUACCCCGGCUAUCUCUUCUCUCACUAUAUCAAUGGCAGCUAGUGGGAGUCCACCGGCUCUUUGGUCCAACAUGGGUGAGGUUGUUUGGAUAUUAGUAUGUUGUCUUCCCUCCAUUGGUUUGGGUUUUGUAGUGCAUUACUAUUUGCUAUAUGCGGCUCAUAGGACUAGCCAUUCCUUUCUAGCCUUCUAGGAGGGGCCAGAAAGUACUCGCCCCUACGGGUUUGGGAUGCUAUAUUUUGAUGCUGGGACGUGCAUGGUGUGAUGGGAAGUUUAGCUAGGACAAAUGCGGAUUCAGAUAUACUCCUCAAAAAAAACUCUGCGCAAGACCGUCCGGUUAGGUACAUGGACCGUCCGGCUAUGUGCGCGGACUGUCCGAUUAUGUGGCCGGACCGUCCAAGGUUGUAUUCAGACUGUCCGGUGCUAUAUGCGGACGGUCUGAAUUGGUCGUUUAGGUUUUGCACAGUACAUGGCAGCUCGGGUUUAGGUCUCGGUAAUUCAUUUCUAAAAAUAGUGCCGGUCACCGCUGGCCCAGACGGUCCAUGCUCACGUGCGGACGGUUCGGACAUGUGCAGAUCAGCAAUUUUACCGCUGAUGUGCAUAGGAGGCUGUGGUUGCCUAGGGUACGUGUCUACCGGCAUCCCAUAAAGGGGUUGUGACUGGUCGUGACAACUUGUAGCCAAUGAAUCACGCGUGUUUUCCCCCAAUUCAACCUCGUGUGAAGGAAAAUUUGCAAUGAUAGAUUUAUCAAACGCACGCACUAGCCUCUUAUAAUCAUUUUGCAUACCCCCUAUAAUAUGUUGCAUUUGGUCUCGCUGCUCAUCUAGUUAAGCUUUAAGAGAUUGGAGUUCGUUCGUGUCUCUUACCUUGGAGGUAACCAUAGUGGGUCAGAGCGAAGCCAGAUCUGUCGCCCGUUGCUGAACGACUUUGUUGUUCAUGUCCACUUUGAAGUUGGCUAGGAAUUUCACCUUCGCUUCCUUGAUCAGCUGCUCCUGAUGCUCCUCGAACUCGAUCUGUUCUUUAGCUGACAAGGUUUCCCAAGUCGGCUCUAUGAUAUUGCUGGUGGAAACGUCAGAGCUAUCUUUUAAACCAGCCAUUGAGGGCCGAUCUAAUAGGUGUGCACGCGGAGUCCCCAGCGGAGUCACCAAAAAGUGUGUUGGCGUCGAUCCGGGCGCCAAUCAGUGCAAUGAGAACCAGUGGUGGUGCUCUCUACGCAGGCGAGGACGGUCUGCGGCUAGGGGCCGGACGGUUUGUGCCUCGUGGCUGGACGAUCCUCGCAUGUGCAGGGGCGGUGGAGUUCGCCGGCAGUGCCUAAAUCUCGCUCCCGAGAAGGACCCCGUCAGGGAGAAGAGAUCCUAGGUUUUGUCUUGGGAUCGGCAGGCCACCCAAGACGCCUCUAAUCGACGUAGAGCAGGAGAGAGGUGAAGAUUUAGAGAGAGGAAUCUAAGUUACUGUCUACUCCUAGGGCAAAAGGUAAAGAACUAGAUGUAUAUUGAUUAUUUGAUCGAUUGUUCGUGUUCCAAUCGGUCGUAGUCCUCCAUAUAUAGACGGGGAGGUCUGGACCCGUUAUAAACAGUCUCCCGAGCUAAUUCCACAGAUUUAGCUAACAAAUCCACAAGAAACUCAGAACCCUAACUGACCCUGCGCGCACGGAUAAUCUGUGCCACAAUGACGGACCGUCUGGGCCGCGGACCGUCUAGCUUAGGGCCGGAUCGUCCGCCUAGUCAAUUUAGUGCUCAAUAAUUCUAUUUAAAAACUUGACUAUAGAGGAAGGGGACCUGCUGCCCCUCCACUUAAUUGAAGGGUGGCAGACAUCCAUUUCUGCAACAUUUCAGUUCUAGGGCAUUGUUUUGGAAUUUUGAAUAUUUUUAAAUGUAAAAAUAAAAAGUGACAAGGCUUUACGAGCUAGCACAUACACUUUCAUCAAACCUGAAUUUUAGCUCACUCCUAUCAAAUGUGUAGAUAAUAUGUUUGUUUGCAUGUAGUGUGUUGGAUUUCAUAACGAUCUAGGUACAUAUAUAGCUGAAUAAUCGUUUGGUUAUUUGCUAGGGCGGAUGUAGGGGAGGGGUUGUCGGGGCUGUAGUAAUGGUUGUCGUUAAAAAUUAUAGCAGCAUGUCUAUAGACUAGCCUAAAUACCUUUCUCCAUAACCCACCAUGAAACAAUCACGUCGACAUCUGAUACAGGCAAGGCAACCCACCACGACAACAAUAUUGUUACUAUCUAUGUCCUAAUUCUAGUCGCUCGAUGUUUUAUGUUGUGCUCCCUGUCAAUCGUCACUGUUUGUCUGGCGGCUGCCCUCUAUCUCCUCCAUGGUGCAGCCAUACGCCUAGGUGUUGGAACUAGUUCUCCUGGGCUAGUUGAUCCAACGGAAAAGUAGAAAGAGUGUUUGCAAAGUUUGACAAGAAAUGCCAAAAGCCUCAUUAAUCCCGCGUGUGAGGGCACUGUACAGGGGUAUUUAUAGGUACUCGAGGGGCCGCCUAUCCCUGUCAAAGACGUUUAUACCCUCGAGUACCCGGUUUAUCCCCAGAAUAUUCCCACGAGGGGAGGUUACAGACAGUCAUUAAAGUAAACCCUAUUACAGACACGGCCUAAUCAGACCUGAACUCGUGGGGCCCAUCAUCAUGGGCCAAAUCACACAUAGGCCUUCCCUGACGGUGCGGACGCGGGAAGCCCGCCAACAUCAUGCGGGGCCUUCGUCUGUGACACCGGAGCAAAAGGGGUCGCACCGGUCUUCGUUCGGGUCGCGCCCUUGUCUUGUUCCGACGUGUCGUGGAUGCAGCCUUCGUCUGAGUGAUGAAGAGACAGGCGUAGAGCGAAGGGUAGCGUGUUCGCCUUCGCCCCAACAUUUGCCCUCCGAGGGACUAGUUCGACUAAGUCAGCUGGUGCCGAAGACUCCGCUGGAUGGUGAAGACGCUGCCCUCGCUCAAAGUGGUCCCGCGGGGGUUUUUGAAAUGUGACCAUUGAUGGAUAUGUUACUGUUGGACUGUGGGUUGCCCGAGGCGUCGCUUCCUGCCUAUAAAAAGGUGAACACGGCCGGCCUGGUCCCGUCUUCCGCUCGCGCUGAAAAAACCCUAGCUUUCCUGAACUGCUCGCUUGCCCUCCUUGCUCCCCCGCUUCGGAAUUCUGGCCUAUGUAACACUCCAGGUGUUUAUAUUCCGCUCGACAACGAGUAUGGAUUUAAGCACGUAAUAUCUGUGGAUAAAACAGAUGCUAAAUUUUAAUCAUCUUUGUCUAUCGCUAUUUUAAUAUCGCAUCUGUUUCUGUCUAUUUAGACUCCUAAAAUUUUCGCGAAUUUCAGAACGUAAUUGUUCUGAAAACUUGCGAGCUUGUGCCCAAUUAAAAUCGCAUAUGUUUCGUUGUCGCGAGUGCGACAUCGUGUUUAUUUUUAUAUAUCAGGGUUCUUCCUAAAUUUUCGUGAUGUUCGGAACAUAUGUGUUCUGAAAAUCGGUGCGUCGGAUGAUUAAUUAAAAUUCAUCGUUCGCGCGAAUACGAAUUCGGAAGCUCGACCCACUCGGAUGAUUUUUAUCCCGGGCAAUUAAAUUGAACUCGGCGACAAAAGUGUUAAUACAAAAUUAAAUCGGACUACACUCGGAAUCCAAGAAAAACCAGGCGUAGAAUUAUAAGUUGAGUCGUUUCCUAGUCGAAUCUGAUAUCGUUUAGCUUGAUCCGUUAACAUCAGGCUAAAACUCAAACCCUGGUAAUUUAAUCUAUUCCCUACCAGAUAUAUUUUUGUCUGACUUCUGCGUAAACCAAAGCUGAAUACAAUAUCGAAGUUGAAAUCAGUCAAUUCGGUCUGUUGUUUCUCGCCCCGAUUUAAAUUUUCAAAUAUAAAUAAUAGGUAAAAAUUUAUCUGAAUUUAGAGUAUUCACCAAAUCUAAUCAAGCGUAGUUUGUAAUAGUUUGAGCGGUAUCAUUUGUUUUGUCCUGUUUGCAUCCUGUUUAGACUUAAAUCGUAGAACUAAAUCAUCUGUGUAUCAUUUGGUUAAAAAAAUAUAGAUUUUUUUCCACCGCUUACUAGGAAGCUUAUUCUUCACGUCACUUGGAUCUCACGUGUCCUCCUAUCCCUGGAUAUUAUCUUCUCAUCGCUGCUCAUUUGGUGGAUAAUUAACUUGUUCCUGAUCGACACCGAACGCUGCUCCUAGGACCUUCUCUGCUUGCAAUGUUCCUCUCCUGCGCGCUGCUGAUAUUUUCUCCCCUGCGCGCUGCUUAUAUUUUCUGCGCGCUCGUCUUCUUCAGGUUGCGCGCCGUUCCUGCUCGCUCUGGCGUCUGCGCCGUGGAGCUGCGUCCAUCCAGCUCGCUCCUGCGCCUAGCCAUGGACACCAGCGCCCUCACCUCUGCUCCUCCCUACGCACGCCCAGCUAGCCGCGAGCUCUCUCUCUCUCGCGCGCUUACUCUGUCCGGCCCCUGCUCGACCGCGCGUGCUCUUGCGCCCAGACGUCUUCUUUCUCCCUCAGCUCUCCCUCGCAUCUUCAUCUCUCUGCUGAGCUCGGAUUUCCCUGCGCUCUGCUCGCCCAUGGAGUUUGCCGAGCUCCAUUUCUGCUCGGCCGUGCCCCUAACGAGUCUCCCAUGGCCACGCCCUGGGAUUUGCCGGAGUCUGUUUCCCUCGCCGCGCGCUGCUUCUUUCCCAUGGCAUGACUGCCCUGCUCUGCUUGACGGACGCGUAGUCGCCCAGCUCGCGGAGCUUCCUUGCCGUGGCCGUCGCGUGCCUGCACGCAGCUCGGCGCCUGCUGCACGCCCUUGCUGCGCGUGUCGAACUCUUCUAGUGCGCGCGCGAAGUUCUCCGCUCGCCUCGGCGUGUCAAGUUUCCGUGUCGAGUUUCUCUCUUCCGUGUCGGUUGUCCGUCUUUGAUCCUCGCCUCGACGUCAUCUUGCCCGUGCAACGCUUGCUUGGUGCUCGACAAAACGCCUGAAUCAGGACCAUCGUCGUUCUCGCGAUCAUCGAAUUGGUUUAGGUCGGUAAGCUGACCUAUGAUUCCUGUCAUCUAAAUUGUUAGAUGGAUGAAACGAAUGAUGUGUUUAGUGGGAUCCGUCGGUGUCGCUUGUGCUUAGCUGAUUUUUGAUUGUGUAGUAAAAAUUAGCUCUAGCGUAGGACUCUUCGGAUGUUCGGUAAAAUGGGUGAACUGUAGAUCGUCGUCGAUAUCGUGAAUUUGAGUUCAGUUUAGUGUGGUAAGCCAAUUCAUUGUUAUUGGUCCUAUGCCCGGAGUAGUUAUAUAUACAAGUCGAUAAUGAUCUUGUCUGUAGCAUGCGUGUUGUGGUGUAUUAGAUGUUUGUGAAGUGCUUGUGAUCACGGUCAUAGAUUAAUCGUCAUGCGAAGGUUAGGUUUAGAUGUUUAUUAUGCGAUAAAUAUGUGGGUAAACCUAAGUGAAAUAGGAUUGAAUCGUUUCUAUAUUAGCGACAUGGUGUAUUAGUAAGACGAAGGAUAAGUUUUGUGUUUCGAAUGUUUUACUGGUAGGCGUGGUCAGUAUUGCCUGUGAUGAAUGAUGUUUGUUUAAAAAAGUCGAUGCUUUGCUCUAGUAGUCGUAUUCUAUGUUGGGUGAUCGGUAAAGUCACAGAGAGGAAUAUUGAUCGUUUAAAUUAAUAAUCUUGAAUAACUAUUUAUCGUGGUCCAAAUCAGUUGGAGGUAAGCAGCAUCGGUUGGUCCGCUUUAGUUAAAAUCCAAAAGCUACUUAGUGGUCAUCAUCCAUUAGUGUUUUAGGUCUUUAGAUUUUAAAUUGUGGACUUGUGAAAACUCUUGCGGUUUGAUAAGGCUCUACUUGUUAGAAUAAGUGGCGUGAUGCUUGAUUUAGUUGAUGUGCUAUACAUGAUAAUCUAGAUUAGUAGUUCUAAAAGCUAAUUAAAGUAUUUCUAUUCGUUACCUUAAACUAUAGGUAUCCGUGGUUGAUGUGUCUAAGUAUUGUUUGCCUUCAGUGUUAUGCUUUAGCUAAGUAAAGCAUAGAUCUUGUGAUAAAUUAUUGUUUCGUGAUGUUGAGUUAGAUCCGGAUAAGCUAGAGAAGCGAGAUUAUGGUGUUUAGUCAUUUAUCGACGUCUAGAGUUUACUCAUGGGUGUUGUAAUGCCUCGCCAUUAAGUGUUUUUAUUUCUCUUUUGUGUAGCAUCGUAUUAUCUCGCGCCAUUUCUCUGAAUGUUCAUUCAUGUGCAUUAUGCAUCUCAUUAGGUACGCUAGUUGGUCAUGUGAUGCAAAGGUCAAGAGCCAAGUAUUCCCCAAGAGGAUGCAAAGAGUGGACAUCUCCGCAAGACGAUGUCAUCAGCUGGGCCAACCUGAAGAUGGACAGACGGAGCAAGUAUCGGAACAAAAGCUGAUCGCCAAGUGGUCGUCGUCUAACAAACACUAACCUAGUGUUAUCCAGGCAAGCCCCGGUGCAUGCAACACCUUCCUUGUGUUUUUAAAUAAUUUUCGCACACUUUAAGUCUAGUGAAAUGUGCAUUAGGUUUAUAGGAGUUGCUUGGAACCCUUUGAUGCAUUGCCUUCCUUGAUAUCCGUACCUUUAUAGAUACUUCUGGUGAAGUAUCAAAAUAUGAUUUACAAAAAAUGCUUAGCCCUGCUCAGAUCUUGUGGAUAGAGGUUGUCUUUUGCGUUAAGGCCUUGCUCAGGGGUUAUCCUGAGGAAAGAUGGCUUCUACCUGCAAGAAUAUAUUUUCAUUGGGAGCAUGGUGGGAUCUUACUGCAAAGUUCCCUGUGAUGCUCUUUUCAUCCUAAGGAACACAAACAAUCCUAAGGAUGGAAGUACUUAAAUCGGGACUUGGGCUAGGAACAGGUGAUGUUCUACCUAGGUUGAUUAAGGAUUGGAUGCGUAUGUAGGCUUGAUGAUCGAGGACCCUUUAACUGGUCACAUGCCUCGUCAUGGGUAAGCCUUGCCUCGGGCAGACUAAGGCCAGAAUAAGAUAACACAGAAUGGGCGUGGAGCGGUGGCGAGAGUAGCGUGUACCCUCCGUGGCAAGAGGCUGGACGGUGGUGUAUCUGUGCUCUCGGUUGGCGUGAACCUGAUCUGGUUUUAAGAACCCCGGUGGCGGGUUGACAUAUGCAAGGGUUAAGUGCUACAUAUGUCGUGUGAUUGGAGAUCCUCAGCUGAGUACAAUCGAUUCGGAUCGCCGUACCUUCGCGGUUAUGAAGACUUGGUCACUGCCCUGCAACCUAAGUCAGGAUGUGAACCUCAUGAAUAAAAAUGAUGUUGUAUUGAUGAGAUGGUGAAAUUAGACCAGAUGCAAACAAAGUCUAUUGAUAUUUAAUCUAGCGUUAAAAUAUUGAAAGUAAGGACUCACUUUAGUAAGUUAUUUCUGCAAAAGUAUCUAAGUUGAUUCUUGCUAAAGCCUCUCCUUGAUUCCCAAAUCCAGCAUACCCUUGAGAGUCUUUUCUUUAGUCGGGUAAGUCUUGCUGAAUAAUUCCAUACUCAGGGUUUUAUUCCCUGUUGUUUUUCAGGAUAUAACUUUGUGCUGCUGUGAUGGUGUUAAGUGCCGGUGGGCUCGGCCUUCUUAUAAGUCUAAGUACUUCUUCUAUACUUCUUAUUGAGGAUGGUCACUUGAGCUAGCAUUUAUUUCAAACUUAUACUUUUGUAAUCACUCCGAUAAAAUAAUGUAAAAUUUUGUAACCUGUAAAAUUUGGUACUAAGAUUUCCGCUGCAAAAAUGUUGUGUGUGUGAUUUGUGUUACUUAAUCCCGCGGUUCUGGUUGUAAGUGGUUUAUCCGAUGUCCUUGGGGCAAUCGGACGGAUCCUGUUAAGUUAUCUGGUGCACAUGCAUGGUCGUCUGAAGUCUUUGAGACAAGGACAGGUGCAUGUGGGCCCAAUAACUUGGAGGUUCUGCCACAGCCUGCAUCAAGCAGACCGCGCGCCACCGCCGACGGUAUGUUCCGAUGCCUUCUUCUUCGUCUGCGCGAGUGCAUCAUCGGCCGCGCCAUCGUCCAAGGAUAUGUUGAGCGAUUUGGUGGAGUUGCAUCUUGGCCAUACCGUAGAGUUUGGCAGCACGAGGAUUUCCUCGGUCUGCGUGCUGGAGAUGCAGCGGCUUAGGUACUUUGGCGAUGGUGUCGGGCGAGUGUCGGGUGCAGAGGAGAUCCCCGAGCCUGAAGGCGAGUUGGUUGUUUUUGAGUCUUUUUUCGUCGCCGGCCUUCGCCUCCCGGCACAUCGCUUUAUGGCAGAGGUGUUGCGAAGGUUCGAAGUGCAGGUUCACGAGUUGACGCCUAACGUCGUGGUUGUGUUGGCAAAGUUUGUUUGGGUGGUUGCUUCUUACGGCGGGCGGCCGUCUGUGGAGGUCUUCGCUAAGAAUUAUUGCCUGCAUUGGCAGAAGAGGAAUAUAGGGAAUAAGAUUGCUCAAUUUGGAUCGUGCACCUUCACGCCGAGGACUGGAAAGCUUCGGCGGAGGUCGUUGAGAUAGUUCCUUGUGCCAGGAACAAGUGGGGCAACUGGUGGGAUUACUGGUUCUAUGUUUCUCCUAGUGAUGUCGAAGACCUGCCUGGCCUGCCUCCGACCAUUCUUUGUUCACAUUGUUAUGUGGCGUUCCCUCAAUUCGAGGUAGCGAAAGAUGACGAGGACGAGGGGGCCCUUCGCUAUGCUGCCCGCUUGAGUAGCGGGCGCGAUUUGGUGGAAAAAUUCAUGGGGUAUGGGGUGUGGCCCUUGGCGCAUGGAUGGGUGCUGGGCAAAGUAUGCCCUCGGCAGAUGCCGACACUGGGCGACCGGUUGGUGCGAAGUCCUGCCUUCGCUGUGGAUCUGCAUGGUCGGAACUCGGCCGCAUUUGUUCGUGAAGUGGAGGCCGAGGCCAUGAAGAUUGUGGGAAAGUAUGUUCCAAAGACGGAGACCUUAAGGAGUUGGGAUAUCCGCGGUUCAAACGUUCGGUUGAACCACGUCUUUGAGUAGAACCGUUUGCCGUAUGCCGGCUACCCUAGGGAUGACGACGCUGAUGCUGCUGUACGCUGGGGGAAAAAGGCGGUGGCGACGGCUGACGAAUGCCCGUCGUGGGGAACAGCGCCGAGCGCGACCGCCAAGAAGAGGAAAUUAGGUACAACGACCGAAGGGUUGGGGGCUUUUGAACGUUUUGCUACGGAAUUAUUGGAGACCUGCGCGGUUCUCGGGGAGAGGAUGUCUUCGCCCGAGCUCCAGGAAUCUUCUGCGCGAAUGCUGAAAGUCACCGGAGGUCGCUGGCCUAGAAAUGUUCUGAUUCCCCGGGCGACUGGCGAGGACAUGUUUACAUCUCGAUUAGCUUGUGAGAUGAAAAUUUUUCCUUACGGACAGAAUGUUGCUACUGUUGUGAUGGCAGUGAUGGAGAAGGACCGCCAAGACGCGCCGCGGAAACGUCGGGCUUUCGCGAGGAUUGGUGACCCGUGGCGCGAGGUCAAAAUGGCACGGGCGAGUGCGAAGCCUGCCGCCCCUGGCAUCAACAUGCCUCCGCCUAGCGCGCCGGGCCCCAGCGCGUCGCUGCCUGCCCUGCCCACGCAAGAACGACGGCCUGCGUCGCCAACUCAUGCUGUCGAGGCGGCGGUGAGCGGUGCCGAAGUCUCCUUGGAUAUUUCCGUGGGAGACUACACGAUGGGCGGGGUCACGAUAUUCGACGCCCACACAGGACGGGGACCUGCUGGUGAGUUUUUUUGUUUUUUGAAUGAAGUCUUACUUGACCGUGGUGCAGGAGCGGAGACUGGGCAACUGGCUGUUGUCCCGGCACCGGCGGCGGCUAGCGCUGUGGCUGUGGGUGCGAAGGGUCCUACGCAGGAUCCGUGGGCCAGGUUUUGUGCCAGCGAAGAGAUUGCCUCGGCCGCCGCCGCGAAGGAUUUGGCCGGCUCAGCUGUGCAGCAGCUGAAGCACGUGAGUAAUCUUUGCCUCUGGGAAUGUUUUUUAUAUUUUGACUUUGAAUUUGACAGUCCUUUAUGCCAGGUUACCGCCUUCACCGAGCGUAUUGCGUCGGGGGCGCUGACCUCGGAGUUUGCUGCCGAGAGGCGGUGACUCGAGGGGAGGAUUGAGCGCCUCCGAACGCAGCAUACCGAGCUGGUGCGAGAUAAAUCAGCAGUAGAGAAUAAAAGCCGCAACCUGCUUGAGAAGCUGUCGGCGGCAGAGGCUGAAAAGGAGGACCUCGGCUGCCAGCUUACCGCGGAAAAGGAGAACGCGGAGAGGGCCCGUGCGGAGGCCCAGGCCGCCCGUGACAGGGCCCACGCGGAGACCCAGGCUGCCCGUAACGAGGCCAACCUCGCUCUCCAGUGCGCUGUCGACGCGGAGUCGGGGCACAGGAGUCUUCGUAGCUAUCUGGACAGGGCGGAGACCUCCACCCGCACAAGCGUCGACUGAGCACAUAAACUGCUUGUGGACGCGUACUGCGAGCUUGGUGCGCGCACCGCCCCUUUUGACUCGUCUGGCGAUGAGGUGGGCCUUUGCUUCCUCACGUGGUUGUAGGAGGAACUGGAGAUCCUCGCGGCUAUCGUGAUGGGUCUCAUGUCUUUUGCCUCGCUCAUCACCUGUGAAGGCACUGCGAAUGCCUUUUCCUGCGAGGGGUGCAGGCACAUCGAAGUGUUCGACCGAUCCAACGAGGACUUCGAUCGUGAGAUCUUCCAGGUUGAAGACGAGGUGUUAAAGCGGUCCGCUGGGGCGCUUUACGACAGGAUGUGGGGCCCGCACGGCCGCGAUACUGUUCGGGAGAGGUCAGACCGGGCGCUUGAGCAGGUGCGUGAUGUGUGUAUGUGCGUUGUUUUUUAAUGGAUAUUUGUAUUUGGUGAUAUUUUUGUAGAUGGCGAAUGAUGAAGAAGUCAACGACUUUGGAGGCCCGGAGAGCUCGGUUACCCAGGUAGAAGAUGUGAGGACGGAGGCUAGGGAACAACCGGUGCCUCCGACCGGCCCUCGCGAGGAUCCUGCGGCGGAGACCGUCCUGCCUGGCGGAGACGCUCCAGCGGCUGCUGCGACGGCCACCGAAGACCCUGCGGUGCCGACCGCUCCUUCGCAGGUGGCGGGGUCGUGUUAGGCAUGUUGUGUUUAGGGCCUUUUUUGUGUGGUACUGAAAGUCGGUUGCUGCGCAGGUUCCGAUGUCUGGGCCUGCGCAAGCAACCCCUACUGAUACUAAUUUUGUGGUGAUCGCAAACGCAGUGCCUGCUAAUGAUAGUUUGUCUGGUUUUGAAUCUGGGUCUUGGUCAUCUGAUGGUGGUGAGUUUGGGAGCCCGUUUUCCUGGACUGAGUCUUCGGAUGAAGAUUUGGAUUAUUUUCCUGUGUUAGAUGUGGCUGCGGUGGAGUCCUCGCCGCGGCCGGAGGUGUGCGAAGCGUUUGAUCCCCCGGCUGGUGUGAGGACCGAACGUCGACGACAAAAAGUAGUGUCGAAGCAUAGCGUUGGCGAGAUGUAGCGAAGUGGUAGGCGCCGUCAGAUGGGGAUGGAGCGAACCCGCCUUCGUGUAGAUCGAGGUGGCCAACGAGAUUUGUUGUCCUCGUUGUUCGGGACGAGUAUUGGUGAGGGGGAUUUGCGUAAUCUUUUUGAGGGUGAUGAGUUGAAAAUAAUGUUGUUUAAUUUUUGGGAGGUGGACCUUAUCCCGAAGGUUGAGCCGAUGUAGUAUGUUUGCUGCCCUCGUUUGUCUUGCGGUAGUGAGUAAAAACGCUGCCCUCCCCCGGCUCGCAAUAAAGAGGGAAGGGCGACAAAAUGCGAUUUGUACUUAUUCGUGUGGUGUGGUUGGCGACCCUUCGCUAUGUGUAUGUAAUCUGUGACAACAUUGUUGUUUGUGUAAUGUGGUCGGUGACUCUUCGCUUGUUCAUGCGAUGUUGUUGAAUGAGAUGGGGACUUCGUGCUUGCUAUGAUUGUCCGGCUGCACCCUUGGGCGACUUUUGCACGGAUUUGUCUUUUAGUAAAGACUUCGUAUCGUGCAACUUAUUGCGCUUGUCCGAAUGCACCCUUAGGCGACUUUUGCGCGGAUUUGUCUUUUAGUAAAGACUUCGUAUUGUGCACUUAUUGUGCUUGUCCCGCUGCACCCUUAGGCGACUUUUGCGCGGAUUUUGUCGCACACGAGGGUAGUACGCUACCUGCCGCGGUGACUUCGAAUUGGUCGAAUGCCGAAGGCCGUCGGAGCGGUCUUUUUCAACAUUGAGGUGAUUCUUGCAAAUUUUUGUGGGGGCUUUUCACAGGUGUAUUACAUGGCGCUGCCUCGUUAAAAACCUCACCCCCGGGAGGAAAAGAAUGCGGGCCUGAAUAGCAUUGUUUGCAGAAUUACAAAGGCGCGUAGGCCAUGGGACUUAAACAAAAAAUUUCCGGAGAUUAUCGAUGUUCCAGGAACGUUCUAAGUCUUCGCCAAAUGAUGUUACCAACCUAUAAGCACUGGGGGAUGCCUUUGUCUUGACUAUGAAUGGACCUUCCCACUUCGGCUCUAGCUUGCCCCGUGACUUUGUCCGGGUGGGUCUUACGAGUACGAGGUCCCCUUCGUUGAAUGCUCUUGGGAUGACUGUUUUGUCGCGCCAGGCCUUGGUCUGAACCUGAUAUUUGACAAGGGCCUGCAGGGCGAGGACACGGUCUCCGUCGAUGAGAUCUUUGGAAGUUGGUUCGUCGACAUCGGGUACAACUGAUUUGUUUGUUCGGGGGGACCCAUGCUUUAACUCUUGCGGCGUCAUGGCCUCAGAUCCAUACAUUAGGCGGAAGGGUGUGAACCCGGUUGCCCGGCACUCUGUCGUGUUCAAGGCCCAUACGACUUCGGGUAAUUGGUCGGCCCAUUUGCCCUUUUUGUCGUCGAGGAGCCUUUUCUUGAUGGCGCUAAAAAUCUUGCCAUUGGCACGCUCGACCGCACCGUUGGAUUGUGGGUGGUACACAGAGGCGAAGACAGGCUUGGUGCCGAUGGAAAAGCAGAAUUCCCUGAAGUCUUGGCUGUCGAACUGUUUGCCGUUGUCGACUAUGAGUUUGGACGGGACUCUGAAGCGGCAAAUAAUGUUUUGCCAGAAGAAUUUUUGGGCGGUCUUUGAUGUUAUUGUGGAGACUGCUUGGCCUCAAUCCACUUGGUGAAAUAUUCAACGGCGACGAAGGUGAACAUGAGAUUCCCUUGAGUUGUGGGCAGUGGUCCGACGAUGUCCAACCCCCAUCGUUGGAGUGGCCAUGUAUGGGCGAUGAGCUUGGUGAAUUGCGAAGGGUGGCCUGAGAGAGGGGUGAACUUCUAGCAUGCUUCACAUGACCUUGUGACUCGAUUGGUAGUGCAAAUUAUUGCGGGCCAGUAAAAUCCCUGACGAAUCACCUUGGCAGCGAGGGCCCUGGUUCUUGAGUGGGAGCCGCAAGUUCCGCUGUGGACUUCGUGGAGGAUUUCUAUGCCUUCGAUUUCAGUUAUGCACUUCAGCAUGGGCUGGCUUAUCCCCUUUUUGUACAGCUGUCCCUUGACUAAUGUGAAGUCCCUGCUCCUGUGCUUUAGUCAUUUGGCCUCAUUGCGAUCGGUUGGAUGGUAGUGGCCUUGCAGGUAUAGUGUUAUUGGGGCCCGCCAGUCUUUGGCCAUGAUGAGGUUAACGAUGCGGUGGCCUUCGGUGUCUUGAGUUAUUUGCAGACCUUCGGGGUUGCGGACACUUGGCGUGCCGAUGACGUGAUAGAACACGUCGGAGGGCAAGGCCUCGCCCUUGGCCGCUACUUUGGCCAAUGCGUCGGCCUCUUCAUUCUUGUUGCGAUCGACAUGCUGCAGGGUGAAACCCUUGAAUUGUCUCUCGAGGCUGCGGACAGCUGUGAGAUACUGCAUGAGCACGGGCUCUUUUGCUGAGUACUCCUUCUCAACCUGGCCGGCGACUACUUUGUAGUCUGUCCUGAUUAUACAUGUGGUGACGCCGAGUGCUCGUAACUUACGAAGUCCCAGGAUGACAACUUCGUACUCUGCUAUAUUAUUGGUGCAUCUGUCGGACUCUAAGGCAAAGCUAAGGCGUGCUGCGUAUCUGUACUUGACGUCUGUGGGUGAUGUUAUGAUCACCGCGGCGCCUGCCCCCGCAUGGCACCAUGCGCCAUCGCAGUGGAUGGUCCAAACUUUCUCUGGGGACUCUUGUGGCCAUGUUGGUCCUGUCCAGUCAACGAUGAAGUCUGCCAGGACUUGUGAUUUGAUCGUUGUUCUGGGUUCGAAGGUGAUGUGGUACCCGGAGAGUUCGGCUGCCCAUCAUUUGGACAGAGAAAGAGAUGGGUGGGUGCACUGCCCUGCCGCAGAGAAAGAAGACAGCUCUAUCUCAGAAGUGAGCUCUGUCUCACAAGUUAGCUCCGUCGAUCAUUUGGCGAUUCGGAUGGAUGCCUCCGGGUUCCUAAACAAUUCCCCCAGACCCCUAUCCAAAGUGACCCAUACUUUGAAUGCCUCGAAGUAGUGGCAUAGUUUGCGUGAUGCCAUGACGACUGCGUAUGAAAUUUUUUCUAGUUCAGUCAUGUUGCACUUAGAAGCCAUGAGGACUUCAGAGACAUAGUACACUGGGCACUGCCGACUUGUGCCCUCUCUGUCCUGCUCUUGGACUAAAGCUGCGCUGACUGCACAUGGUGAGGCCACAAUGUAUAGAAGAAGAGGCAACGAAGGGUCGGGGCUUGUGAGGGUUGCUAAGUUGGACAGGUGUUGUUUGAGCGACUCGAAGGUUGCCGCCUACUCUAGUCCCCAAGCGAAGUCUUUAGCACCAUGCAAUGUCUUGAGGAAAGGUAAACUACGCUCUAUGGAUUUGGAGAUGAAUCUGUUCAGGGCGGCUAAUCUGCCUGUCAGUCGCUGGACAUCCCUUGUCGACUGCGGAGGUGCCAUGUCGAUGAUCGCUUGGAUCUUAGUUGGGUUGGCCUUGAUCCCUCGGUGCAAUACCAGGUAACCAAGUAUUUUCCCCUGGCGAACUCCGAAGACACACUUCUUAGGAUUUAGCCGGAGUCGUGCGUCGCGCAUGUUGACGAAUGUUUCUGCAAGGUCGGCCAGGUGAUCCUCUUUGUUUUUGCUUGUGACGACAAUGUCGUCUACAUAGGUGAAAAUGUUGCGGCCUACUUGACUUUCGAGGACCUUCUUGGUGAGGCGAGGGAAGGUUGAUCCGACGUUCUUAAGUCCUUCAGGCAUUCGGAUGAAACAGUACGUGCCGAAGGGUGUGAUAAAGCUUGUGCUGGCCUUGUCCUCCUCUUUCAUGUAAAUCUGGUGGUAACCGGAGAAGCAAUCGAGGAGGGACAUGACUUCGUAGCCUGCUGCGCUAUCGACUAUUUUGUCGAUCCGUGGCAGGGGGAAGUUAUCCUUGGGACAAGCCUUAUUGAGGCUUGUGAAGUCUAUGCACAUGCGCCACUUGCCGCUCUUCUUUUGCACCAUGACAACGUUGGCGAGCCAUGUAGGAUAAGCGAUUGGCUCAAUGAAUUUGGCUUCCGAUAGGCGGUGCACCUCGGCCUUGGCGGCUUCAGUCUUCUCAUCUGACAUUUUGUGCAGUCGUUGCUUUUUUGGGCGCACCGAAGGGUCGAUGUCUAGGCCGUGCUCGAUGAUGGAGCGACUGACCCCGACCAGAUCGAGGGCGGACCAAGCGAAGACGUCCUUGUUUCGGUAGAGACAAGAGAUGAGUUUUUCCUCAUCUCGCGAGGUCAGGUCUUCGCUUAUUACGAUCGUUUGUUUAGGCGUUGCCAAGUCGAGGGGUACCGCAUUCGUUCCGUCGUUGCUCUGGAGCUGUGCUUUGGCUUUUUCUUCUUUGAUCGGGCGACUGCAUUCAAAGCCUUCACGCUUUGCUGUUAGGCAGUGGAUGUUGUGUUGCCCUGGAACGAAAUCUCAUUCAAUGUUGCGCGCUGUCUGUUGGUCGCCGUAGAUGCUGAUCACGCCCUGAGGGCCUAGGACUUUCAUGCAGAGGUAGAGUCCAUGAAUGGCCACCUCAAACUUGUUGAUCGAGCCCCGACCCAUUAUAGCAUUAUACGGGUAAACCAUGUCGACAAUGUCGAAGGUGACCUGCUCACUUCGCGCAUUGGGUGUUGUACCAAAUGAUAGGGGGAGCUCUAUUUUGCCGAUGGGGAAGGUGCCCUUGCCGCCGAAGCCGUAUAGUGGAUUGUCUGCAGGUUUGAGUAAGCUGUGGCUUAUUCCCAUGCGAUCGAAGGCGUGUAGAAAAAUGAUGUCAGCCUGGCUGCCGUUGUCGACCAGCACCUUGUGUAGGUCCUAGCCUGCUACCCUGCAGGUGAUCACCAUGGCGUCUGCGUGAGGGGCGCUGCGCAAGUCGACGUCUCUGGUGUCAAAGGUGAGCGGGACAUGGGACCACUUCAUUUGCACUACUAGGCCAGUGAGAGCGACAUGGUUCACACAUCGGUAGUGGUCCCUUUUAUGCCGUUUUGUUUCGAAGUCCACGCUGGACCCUCCGGUGAUCAUGUGGAUGACUCCGCGAUAUGGUGGUUCGGCGAAGUCUUCCUGCUUGGGUGCUUAUGGGGGUGGUUAUGGUGUGGUGGAUUUGCGUGUUACGGAGGCGAUGGUGGUAGAACCUGCACUUCUUGACGGUGCUGGUACCCGUGGUUGGGUGGAUGCUAGAUUUGCUCAUUGUGGUAGGGUUGCUGGUGGUGGUAUGUGUGCGCGACGACCCUCUGGUUGUCGGCUGGUUGUGCUCUGGACAUUCUGUCCCUGGUGGCCUUGGUUUCUGGACAAUCCCUUGUUGGGUGCGCGCGGUCCUCGCCAUGAAAUAGACAGUAGAAUCUGCGCGGCUGCUGCGUCCGUCCUCGGCCUCUCCCUCUGGUGCCGCCGCCGCGGUCUUAAUCUAUCUAAUGUGCAUAAUGUGUUUCAUGUGUCACAACUUAAAAAGUGUCUCCGUGUCCCUGAGGAACAAUUACCAAUGGAAGAGCACAGUGUUCAGGGUGAUUUGACCUUACACGGAGUAUCCUAUCAAGAUUCUUGACACCUUGAAUUGAGUUACAAGAAAUAAGUGAUAAAGAUGUGCAAAGUGCAAUGGAGUCACCACGGAGAAGAUGAAGCUACUUGGGAGAGAGAAGAAGAGCUUCGCAUAGAUUUCCCCCAUCUUUUCCCUAGAUCUUCCUAAAUCUCGAGGACGAGAUUCUCUUUAAGGGGGGUAGGAUUUGUAAUACCCAAUUUGUAAUUUGUUAGAAAUAAUAUAAAUAGAGAAACAAUUUCUCCUUAUGUGAGUUUGACCUUUAUGCAUCAUCACAUGUGAACACCAUAUUCAAAAACAAAUAAUUAAUGAAAAGAUAUACUAUUAAAUUGUGCAUCAUGCUGGAUUUUAUUUUGUGUGCAUUUUAUGACAAAAUAAAAAUGAUGUUACAAGAAUUGGAAUAAAGUCCAAAGUAGAAUUGGACAAUCUAAAAGAAACCCUAGAAAAAGAAAGAAAGAAAAUUUUAUGUGAGUAAAAAUAAUAUAAAAUAAAUAAAUAAAAUAUUAUUUCUAUACUAGAGUUUUAAUGUGACACCUUACUCAAAGGUGGAGCUCAUAAGCAGAUUCAAAUUCAAAUUUGAAUUCAAAAUAUUUAUGAAUAAUAAGAACAGAAAAUAAAAAUUAAAAGAAAAGAGAAAGCUGUCGCAUUGGGCCGACUUCGCGCAUUUUGGCCCAUCAACCUCACGCAAUCUCUCCACACGGCACAAAUUCUACCACACCGCGCGCGCACACACCUGGCAUGCGGGCCUAGUCAGGCAGCCUCUGCGCGGUCUCCCCCUCGUCCCGGUGUCACUGUCACGUGGGCCACGACUGUCAGUUCUCUGCUCUUAACCGAACCAGCAGAUAGAAGUAGCUGAGCAGGAGCUCACUGAAGGCAAGUUGUGCCCUUGACCACUUUUGUUAGCCAAUAAUGUUCUUUCUAAUCAUUUACCAAGCAUAGGCUUAAUUUUGAUGGGACCCGAUAGGUCACCCUAGAUUGUUUAUCUCUUUGCCUUGUUAUCCCUGAAUCACUUUGGUAGUUUUGCUAUUGCUUUACAUGGUUUUGGGAUAAUAUUUUGUUAUAUCCAUGUUCCAGUUAUUUUGUUAUUCUAUUUAUGUUCAUGUCAAGAUCAUUAAUGUUAAUUGGAACAUGGAGCUUAACUUGAGAAACACGUGCCACCACAAGGGUUUAAUGGGACGCCCUUGGCUGACUAAUUAGGAAAGCUAGUGGAAGACUACCUUACCCGAAAGGGGCAAGGGCAGUAGGGGGGUUGCAUGCAAGGAGGUUCUCGGGUUGAUUUUGAUGCGAUGGCGGUCAGACGGGGGAUUCUAGCAAGUGCUCUUCCCAUACUGUAGCGGGUUUUCGGAAGCUAGUGGAACUUUGUAAAGGCCUCGUAGUGUUGCCCUGCCUCGCUUCCUUGGUAGAGGUGUAUGGGAGUCGCGACCCCUUGGCAGAUGGGUAACAUGACUUGUGGGUACAGGGUACAACCUCUGCAGAGUGUAAAAAUGGUAUACUAGUCGUGCUCGUGGUCAUGAGCAGCUCAGGACUCUCGCAUGAUUAAUUUAUGGAACUUAAAUUCAAUUUGUCAUUUGCAUUACAUGGGAUUAUUAUUAAUUUUGUUCUAUUACUUUAUUUAAGGUUCGGUAUUUACUUACAUUUAGUAACUACUAAUAAAAUUUUGACCAACUACUUAAAAGAAAUGCUCAGCUUUAACCCCUGUUGUUGAUUAGCCUUACACAUCACAUGAACUCCCGCCUUUGGUGAGUUCAUGCCCACUGGUUCCCCACAACUUGUUGAGCUAUGAUCAUGUGUGAGCUCACCCUUGCUGUCUCACACCCCCCACAGGAGAAGAAUAUGUUGUUCAGGAGGAGCCACAAAGCGAGGAGUUUGAUCUGAUCUAGGUAGCGUUUCCCCAGUUGACUCUUGCGCCAAGGAUGAUCCUUAGUUCGUUUUAUAUUUAUCUUUUAUUUUGUAAUAAGACUUCCACUAUGUAAUAAAUACUCUGAUGUUAUUGUGACAUUUAUCUCUAUACACUCUGUUAUUAUAUAUCUUAUCUUCUUGGCGCAUGUAUGAGAUGCACCCGACUUUGUCCCUUAAAACCGGGUGUGAUAGAAGUGGUAUCAAAGGGAAUGUUGACUGUAGGACGAAACCUAGAUAGAAAUGGACAAAACCCUUAUCUACUUACCUUACUCUGAUUCAUUCCAUACUUACCUUAUCUUGAUCCUGUCUCACCUUUUGCUGUCAAACUCUGAUUACUCUUAUCUUUUCUACUCUAAGACAAGAUGGAUUUCACACCUUGGAAUCCUACCUCUAUGACAUUCUUAAGAGAUAGGAGGCCUAAGACAAAAUUAAACUAUUUUCUUUAUUUAAAAAUGUUGGUUGAUUGUUCUGAUGAUAAAUGUCUGAUUUGCUUCUUUGAUUGAUUGAGAUAUUAUAAAUGGACAUCUUAGCAUGUACCACCAUAAGAUAUUGAGUUAGCUUUAGUAGGUAAAACAUUAAUCUGAUUAGCUAAUAAAUCCCCCAAAGUAACAUGAUUCGUAACUACCUGUCUUGUCUACUAUUCUCUCUUACCAUAUAUUUCUAACUCAGAUGAUCAAUACCAAGAAGGGUGGUGGAAUUGAUUUACCUCCCAAUCGACACACUUGAAGGAUAUUUAGACAACCCCAGCCACAACCAGCAGAGAUGGACCCUCCACCACCGCCUCCACCAGCAGGAGUUGACCCACUUGUUGCAGCUCAGAUGAAGAUGAUGCAACAAAUGGCGGACACUAUGGCAGAUAUGCGUGCUCAGAUGCAGCAGGAACGCCAGGAGAUGCGCUAAGAGCGGGAGGAUAUACGUCGAGAGCUGCGCCAAGAAGUAGAAGAGACACGCCAGGAAAGGAGGGUGCAGCAGCAACAGCAACAACAGCAGCAACAGCAACAAGCACCACUGUCUCCUCCACCACCACCACCAGUUCCACCUCGAGACAAGCACCGGGAGUUCAUGAGCCAUAAGCCACCUACAUUUGCUAGUUCUCCUGAUCCAUUGGACGCAGAUGAUUGGCUGAAUUCCAUAGAGAAGAUGUUGAACAUUGCUCAGUGCACAGACCGGGAGAAGGUUUUAUAUGCUUCUGAACGUCUGACAAGUCCUACUGUUGAUUGGUGGGAUUCAUACACUGCUGCCCACGAUGCUACUGAUACUAUCACAUGGGCGGAGUUCACUACGCAGUUCAGGAACCAUCAUAUACCAGCUGAACUGAUGAAGAUUAAGAAGAAGGAAUUCCAAUCGCUGAAGCAGGGAAGCAUGUCAGUCAGCGAGUACCGUGACAAGUUUAUCCAGCUAUCCAGAUACGCUCUAGAUGAAGUUGCUGAGGAUGAGAGGAAGCAAGAGCAUUUUAUUGAAGGACUUAAUGGACCCCUGCAGUAUGCUCUAGUGGCACAUACCUUUCCAUCAUUUCAAAGGCUGCUUGACAAGGCCCUAGCUAUUGAACACAAGCAUGUUCAGCUGGGAGAUUUGAAGAGGAAGGCUAUAUCCCAAGGACAAGGAAGCAGCAGCGUUCGUCCUCACUAUAGUUCACCCCAGGGCACACCAGUUCGCACUGGCGGAGGCCAGCGCCCAAUUCAGCAAUCACCUCAGAGGACUCCACCGCCUCGUCAGGCUACCCCCACUGGUACCCCGACGAAAUUCUCAGGACAGAGUGCAGGCACUACUUGCUACAAGUGUGGGAAGAUUGGACAUUAUGCAAAUGUUUGCCCAUAGAGGAUUGCUACUACUCCAGUUCAGAAUAAGCAGCAGACUCUAGGAUCUGGCAAGGGAUACUCUAUUGCCAGGGUUAAUCAAGUCAGCGUUGAUGCUACUCCGGAUGGUGCUGACAUCGUACUUGGUAUGUUUUACGUUAAUGCCAUUCCUGCAACCAUAUUAUUUGAUUCUGGUGCUACACAUUCAUUCAUGUCUGCUCGAUAUGCCAACACAAAUGAGAUACCCCUGCUAAAUAUGAGAAAACCAAUGAUAGUAAUUACACCUAAAGGGUCUGUUGAGGCAAAUCAAAUGACACGUAGAUUGACAUUAACAAUUAUGGGUAGAGAAUUUGGAGCUACUACUAUAAUAUUAGAGGCAAGCAGUAUAGAUCUGAUCCUUGGUAUGUCAUGGUUAAUAAAGGCAAAGGCCAUUAUAGCAUGUGGUAGGGGUACUGUAGAACUCACCAGCCCUAAAGGAGAAAGAUUUCAAGUUCAAAUUGCAGUAACCACCUCUUCCAAACGUGCAAUGUACUUUAUAGCUGAGGAGUUUGUUGGUGACAACAUCCGUGUGGUUAGGGAUUUUCCGGAUGUCUUUCCAGAGGAGUUACCAAGGAUGCCACCAGAAAUGGAAGUUCAGUUUGUUAUUGAUCUCUUACCUGGGACUGCCCCUAUUUCUAAACGACCAUACAGGAUGUCCGUAGAAGAGUUAAAGGAACUAAAGAAGCAGUUAACAGAAUUACAAGAGGCUGGGUACAUUCGUCCGAGUUCCUCACCUUGGGGAGCGCCGGUUCUGUUUGUACAGAAGAAGGAUGGAUCACAAAGGAUGUGUGUGGAUUAUAGAUCCCUUAAUGAUGUUACUGUGAAGAACAAGUAUUUGUUACCCUGUAUUGAGGAUUUAUUUGAUCAGAUGAGAGGUGCAAGGGUAUUUUCGAAGAUUGAUCUCUGAUCGGGAUACGAUCAGAUGAGGAUUAGGCCAUCGGAUAUUCCCAAGACAGCUUUCUCGACACGAUAUGGAUUAUAUGAGUUCACUGUUAUGUCGUUUGGAUUAACUAAUGCACCAGCUUAUUUUAUGAAUUUGAUGAAUAAGGUGUUUAUUGAGUAUUUGGACAGAUUCGUCGUAGUAUUCAUCGACGAUAUACUUAUUUAUUCCAAGAGUAAUAGUGAUCAUGAGGAACAUCUGAGAUUGGUGCUACAUAAGAUAUGAGAUAAUCAACUCUACGCCAAGUUUAGCAAGUGCGAGUUUGGAUUGGUGAGGUGCCAUUCCUUGGACAUAUCAUUUCUAAUGGCAGAAUAUCAGUAGAUCCUACUAAGGUCAAGGAGAUUAUGGAAUGGAGCGUACCCACUACAGUUACUGAGGUCCGGAGUUUCUUGGGACUUGCAGGAUAUUACCGGAGAUUUAUUGAAGGAUUUUCUAAGACUGCCAAGCCUAUGACCUCGCUUCUAGAGAAGGGAAGAGAGUUCAAGUGGGACGAGAAGUGCCAAGACAGCUUUGAUCAAUUAAAGAAGAGAUUAAUGUCACCACCAGUGUUGGUUAUGCCAGAUUUACAGAAGGGAUUUGAUAUUUAUUGUGAUACGUGGCCAAGGCUUGGGAUGUGUGCUCAUGCAAGAAGGACAUGUGAUCGCCUACGCGUCUCGUCAGUUGCGGAAACAUGAAUUGAACUACCCCACUCAUGACUUAGAACUGGCAGCCGUUGUGCAUGCGCUUAAGAUUUGGAGACAUUAUAUUAUGGGAACCAAGUGUCAAGUAUACACGGAUCAUAAGAGUUUGAAGUAUAUAUUCACUCAGAAGGAUCUCAACCUUAGGCAACGCCGUUGGUUGGAGCUUAUCAAAGAUUAUGAUUUGGAGAUUCACUAUCACCCGAGCAAGGCGAAUUUGGUUGCAGAUGCCUUGAGUCGAAAGGAGCACGUUCAUUCCGCUAUUGUUGCCCAGCUACCUGAUGAGAUGGUUGAGGAUUUCAGGAGACUUAACCUGGGGAUAGUUGCUCACACUGAAGGAGUUACUAUUGAUGUGGAACCUACUUUGGAGCAAGAAAUCUGCAAAGGACAGAUUGGUGAUGCUAAAAUACAAGAGAUUAAGGAUCUGAUUACUGAAGGUCGAGGUCCGGAAUUCACGAAAGAUGAGCAAGGCACCAUAUGGUUCAAGGACAGGAUAUGUGUUCCUGAUAUUGAAAGCCUUCGAGAGACUAUUUUAAAAGAGGCCCAUGACUCGGAUUAUUCUAUUCAUCCUGGUAGUACCAAGAUGUAUCAGGAUUUGAAGCAGAAAUACUAGUGGUAUGGAUUGAAGAGAGAUGUGGCUGCACAUGUGGCUAUGUGCGAUGUGUGUCAAAGAGUUAAGGCUGAACACUAGAGGCCAGCUGGACUACUGCACCCACUAAAGAUACCCGAGUGGAAGUGGGAAGAGAUUGGUAUGGAUUUUAUUACUGGAUUGCUCGCACCCAGAAAGGAUAUGAUGCUAUAUGGGUGAUUGUGGAUAGAUUGACUAAAGUGGCUCAUUUCAUUCCGGUCAAGACUACUUAUAAAGGUUCUCAGCUAGUAGAGUUAUAUUUGGCUCGGAUUGUGUGUUUACAUGGAGUACCAAAGAAAAUCGUGUCUGAUCGAGGUUCAUAGUUUACCUCAAGAUUUUGGAGAAGCUUUCAUGAGAAUAUGGAUACAAAGUUGAACUUUAGUACAUCUUACCACUCUCAGACUGAUGGACAGACUGAAAGGAAUAAUCAAGUAUUGGAAGAUAUGUUGAGAGCUUGUGCCCUUCAGCAUGGAGGAAGUUGGGAUAAGAGUCUACCAUAUGCUGAGUUCUCAUAUAAUAAUAGUUACCAGGCCAGUCUGAAGAUGUCACCUUUUGAAGCUUUAUAUGGGAGAAAGUGCAGGACUCCUCUAUAUUGGGAUCAGACUGGAGAAAGACAGUUCUUUGGACCUGAACUGAUUCAAGAAGCAGAAGAACAAGUAUGUAUAAUUCGAGAGAAUUUGAGGGUAGCUCAGACCAGGCAAAAGAGCUAUGCUGAUAAUAGAAGAAGACCACUGGAAUUUGAGGAAGGAGAUUAUGUGUACCUCAAGGUGUCACCACUUCGUGGAAUGAGGAGAUUCAAAGUUAAGGGCAAAUUAUCCCCUCGCUACAUUGGACCAUUCUUGAUCUUUAGGCGAGUUGGGGAGAUGGCAAACCAACUCGAGCUACCUGAUAAUCUAUCUGAUGUGCAUAAUGUGUUUCAUGUGUCACAACUUAAGAAGUGUCUCCGUGUCCCUGAGGAACAAUUACCAAUGGAAGAGCUCAGUGUUCAGGGUGAUUUGACUUACACGGAGUAUCCUAUCAAGAUUCUUGACACCUUGACUCGAGUUACAAGAAAUAAGUGAUAAAGAUGUGCAAAGUGCAAUGGAGUCACCACGGAGAAGAUGAAGCUACUUGGGAGAGGGAAGAAGAGCUUCGCAUAGAUUUCCCCCAUCUUUUCCCUAGAUCUUCCUAAGGGGGGGGGGGGUAGGAUUUGUAAUACCCAAUUUGUAAUUUGUUAGAAAUAAUAUAAAUAGAGAAACAAUUUCUCCUUAUGUGAGUUUGACCUUUAUGCAUCAUCACAUGUGAACACCAUAUUCAAAAACAAAUAAUUAAUGAAAAGAUAUACUAAUAAAUUGUGCAUCAUGCUGGAUUUUAUUUUGUGCGCAUUUUAUGACAAAAUAAAAAUGAUGUUACAAGAAUUGGAAUAAAGUCCAAAGUAGAAUUGGACAAUCUAAAAGAAACCCUAGAAAAAGAAAGAAAGAAAACUUUAUGUGAGUAAAAAUAAUAUAAAAUAAAUAAAUAAAAUAUUAUUUCUAUACUAGAGUUUUAAUGUGACACCUGACUCAAAGGUGGAGCUCAUAAGAAGAUUCAAAUUCAAAUUUGAAUUCAAAAUAUUUAUGAAUAAUAAGAACAGAAAAUAAAAAUUAAAAGAAAAGAGAAAGCUAUCGCAUUGGGCCGACUUCGCGCAUUUUGGCCCAUCAACCUCUCGCAAUCUCUCCACGCGACCCAAAUUCUACCACAACGCGCGCGCACACCUAGCAUGCGGGCCCGGUCAGGCAGCCUCUGCGCGGUCUCCCCCUCAUCUUGGUGUCACUGUCACGUGGGCCACAACUGUCAGUUCUCUGCUCUCAACCGAAAUCCCGACCGUGGCGGUGCUCGCCGGAGAUCUCGGACUCCGUUGCUGACCAACCCCUGCGCAUAAAAUGAAUCAUGCCGCAGCUUCCCCUUUCUCUAUUUCCCCUCGAAACACAACCAGCAGCACCGUUGCAUCGCCGUGGGGGCUCAGGGCGCGACGACUUCGCCGCCGCCGCUGACUUGGCCCUACGCCACCGUUCCGGGGUCAACUGGUGGCUUGGGUGAUUCGCCUAGGCCCGUGAAUCACGUCUGUUGCGGAUUGGGGCCCGAAAAGCCUCGGUCAUUGACGGAAUUGUUCUUCGGAGUAGAAGAACACCGCCGAGCCGCCCCGACACGUGAACAACUCGUCUGCACGCCCGAUUCUCGGUAAUCUUCACCUCCUUCGUGUUCGCCGUAGUCAUAUCUUCGUGUUGUAAGGAUUACUUAGGGUUUAGAUCAUCCGCGCGCCCGGGGCGAUGUCGCCGGCGUUCGGCCGCCGUGGGUGAAAUCGCGCUGCCGCUGUUCGGCAGCCUGGGGUUGAGGAUGACCUAGCUGCCGUUCGUUUCCCUUCGGACGGCUCAGAUUAGAAGGCGAAUAACGCUUCGGUCGGAUUUGCGUUAGCCGUUGAUAUCCGAUCGGAUGGAUCGGGUGGCUCUAGGUAAAAUUAAAUAUGCGCCGUAGGAUCGCGAUCCUGUGGUCGGCGACGCAUGCCGAUUUGUUUAUAUUGUGAUCUAAUCUGGAACGUCGGUGUGAGAUCGGGCGGUCGAGAUCUGAGAGUACCCUUUCGCCUGGCCAUUUUGUUAAAGAGCCCUCCUGGAAGUUGGAAACUAACCCGCGGUCAACAGGAACUAUUUCCUGUGUCUUAGAAAUGUUACCCCAAGACCCCUGGAUUAUCUGGAAAUUGAUGCGAGGUCCAGACAGUGAAUAAUAUUCAUAAACUCAAUUAGAAAACGAAUUUUUGUAUUAAAUUAAUUGCAUGAACUUGCUAAAUUCAUAGAAAAUUCAUUUUCACUCCAAAUUACUCCAUUCCAGUUUCUAAAAUUUUGUAAUAAUAUUCUCUAUCACUUAGAGUCUCUGUUUUGACAUGACAACAGUAAAAAAAUUUAUUCUUCAGUUAAUCCUAAUUUAAACACAUAAAACCUUUGGAAAUUCAUAUGUUAAAAUCUAUAACUCCAAAAAUUAUGAUUUCUGUUCCUAGGAUUUUAUUUUAAUGUGUAGAUUAUUAUCAUGUAUUUUGUUUACAUAUUUGGUGUGGUGUUAAUUUUCUCUAUAUAUUGUGCUUGUUUGUAUUGUGGCGAGUAGAAGAGCCUGUGACUGAGUAUCCUGGUGACCAGCAGAUAGAAGUUGUUGAGCAGGAGCUCAUUGAAGGCAAGUUGUGCCCUUGACCACUUUUGUUACCCAAUAAUGUUCUUUAUAAUCAUUUACCAUGCAUAGGCUUAAUUUUGAUGGGACUCGAUAGGUCACCCUAGAUUGUUUAUCUCUUUACCUUGUUAUCCCUGAAUCACUUGGGUAGUUUUGCUAUUGCUUUACAUGGUUUUGGGAUAAUAUUUUGUUAUAUCCAUGUUCCAGUUAUUUUGUUAUUCUAUUUAUGUUCAUGUCAAGAUCAUUAAUGUUAAUUGGAAUAUGGAGCUUAACUUGAGAAACACGUGCCACCACAAGGGUUUAAUGGGACGCCAUUGGCUGACUAAUUACGAAAGCUAGUGGAAGACUACCUUACCCGAAAGGGGCAAGGGCAGUAGGGGGGUUGCAUGCAAGGAGGUUCUCGGGUUGAUUUUGCUGCGAUGGCGGUCAGACGGGGGAUUCUUGCAAGUGCUCUUCCCAUAAACUGUAGCGGGUUUUCGGAAGCUAGUAGAACUUUGUAAAGGCCUCAUAGUGUUGCCCUGCCUCGCUUCCUUGCUAGAGGUGUAUGGGAGUCACGACCCUUGGCAGAUGGGUAACAUGACUUGUGGGUACAAGGUACAACCUCUGCAGAUUGUAAAACUGGUAUACUAGCCGUGCUCGCGGUCAUGAGCAGCUCAGGACUCUCGCAUGAUUAAUUUAUGGAACUUAAAUUCAAUUUGUCAUUUGCAUUGCAUGGGAUUAUUAUUAAUUUUGUUCUAUUACUUUAUUUAAGGUUUGGUAUUUACUUACAUUUAGUAACUGCUAAUAAAAUUUUGACCAACUACUUAAAAGCAAUGCUCAGCUUUAACCCCUGUUGUUGAUUAGCCUUACACAUCACACGAACUCCCACCUUUGGUGAGUUCAUGCCCACUGGUUCCCCACAACUUGUUGAGCUAUGAUCAUGUGUGAGCUCACCCUUGCUGUCUCACACCCCCCCCACAGGAGAAGAAUAGGUGGUUCAGGAGGAGCCACAAAGCGAGGAGUUUGAUCUGAUCUAGGUGGCGUUUCCCCAGUUGACUCUUGCGCCAAGGAUGAUCCUUAGUUCGUUUUAUAUUUAUCUUUUAUUUUGUAAUAAGACUUCCGCUAUAUAAUAAAUACUCUGAUGUUAUUGUGACAUUUAUCUCUAUACACUCUGUUAUUAUAUAUGUUGUCUUCUUGGCGCAUGUAUGAGAUGCACCUGGCUUUGUCCCUUAAAACCGGGUGUGACAAUAUAGCUCCUGUAGAUUUUUGGGUGGGUCCCUGAUGCAAUGGCUGUAUAGGACGCCGACCCGAAGACCGCUGAUGGCGUAAUGGAUCGCGAUGUGGUCGUCAACUGAUGGCAGUUGCGACUUGAGCGCCAGGAAUUUUCUGUAGUACUCGCGAAGGGUUUCCUUCUCUUACUGCUUGUAGAGGGAUAACUCGGCCAGGGCAUCGAUGUCAGGUCGGUACCCUUGAAAGUUGAGCAGGAACUUGUCGCGAAGUCCUUUCUAGGAGUCAAUGGACAGUGGCGGUAACCUGGUGUACCAAGUCAAGGCCGGGCCUUCGAGCGCGAUGAUGAAAGAUUUGGCCAUUGUGGCAUCGUCCCCUCCGGACGAUGCGACGACAACAUGGUAGCUCAUGAUGUAUUGUGUUGGGUCGGUACUGCCGUUGUAUUUGGGGUAGGUGCCAGCCCUGAAGUUGGUGGGCCAAGGCGAUGCUUGGAGUUGCGGAGCCAAGGGGCUUCGCUCGUCGAGGUAGUUGAUCCCCUGAAAAGCUACGGUGGGUGGAAUGAAGGGGCCACGCUGUGGUAUGAAUGGGUCUCCGGCUUGGACGCACUGCUAGAGAGGCGCUAGCGGUGCAAGCGGUCCACGCUGUAGAUUGUACUGGCCCUCGCCCUACAUGAGCGCGAUCUCUUGCUCUAGCUCCCGAGCUCUCUGCUCCUCAUCUUGUAUCAUCUGACGCAUCUUGGCUUACAUGGUGACACGUUGACGCUUGGCCUCGAGGAUUUCUUUUUGCUUUUGGAGGUUGUGGUUCUUGAUGCGCAGGGCCCGCAACUUUAGCUGGUCUUCGGCUGAGAUGCCGAUGAAUUCUCUGUCUUCUAUUGUAUCUUCGCCCUCUGGUGGAGCGAAGCCUGGUGGUGGUGCUUGCGGUGCACCUUCGGAGCUGCAGGUGCGUGCGGUGCCUUCGGGGGUGGGAUGGUCUUGGCACUGUCGUUUGCUGACAGCGUCAUCUUCGAAGGCCUGUUAGGGGGUGUUGUCUGUGAGGGCCUUGCCUUUUUUCUCCGCCAGUAGCGCUGCCUUCGCCGCUUCGUCGAUGGAUGGGGCAGCCUUCGAACUAGCUCGCUUGGGAGCCAUCGCGGGUUGUUUUUCGUAGCACGAAUGGUGGGCGCCAAAUGUUGGAACUAGUUCUCCUAGGCUAGUUGAUCCAACAGGAAAGUAGAAAGAGUGUUUGCAAAGUUUGACAAGGAAUGCCAAAAGCCUCGUUAAUCCCCCGUGUGAGGGCACUGUACGGGGGUAUUUAUAGGUACUCAAGGGGUCGCCUGUCCCUGUCAAAGACGUUUAUACCCUCGAGUACUCGGUUUAUCCCUAGAAUAUUCCCAUGAGGGGAGGUUACAGACAGUCAUUAAAGUAAACUCUAUUACAGACACGGCCUAAUCAGACCUGAACUCGCGGGGCCCAUCAUCAUGGGCCGAAUCACACAUGGGCCUUCCCCGGCGGUGUGGACGCGGGAAGCCCGUCGACAUCAUGUGGGGCCUUCGUCUAUGACACCGGAGCGAAGGGGGUCGCACCGGUCUCUGUCCGGGUCAUGCCCUUGGCUUGUUCCGGCGUGUCGUGGAUGCAGCCUUCAUCUGAGUGAUGAAGAGACAAAGGCGUAGAGCGAAGGGUAGCGUGUUCUCCUUCGCCCCAACACUAGGCUCCAUACUGGCAGGCGACAAUGGCUAGUCAGUCAGAUUGCCCACUAUUAGGUAUCAGCCGCCCGCCGUCAAGCCACUAGCACCAUGGUUGGCUGACUACAGACCAUCGCUGCCCUCUGCUAUAUGUUUUCUGUCCUAUGAAGAUCAUUAAGGGUCAAGAUCGAAAGAAGAAACAAAAUAGAUGAUGAGUAGAUGAAUAAUAGCAUGCUACACUAUAUUGAGCAUGAUAUAUUUAUGAAUCAUUAAGACAAAAAAGUUUGUCGAAAUAUAAAUUUGCCUCGCAACCGCAACUCAUAAAUGGUAUGUAUCGAGCUCUGUAUUUAUAGAUUUCGUAUCAACUUAUUUGGUCUACAUGUUUCUUCAAGAUUUGAAUUAUACAUUGUUGUUUUGUCAAAUUAAAUAUCGAUUAUGUCAUUUAAUUCAGGCUAAAAAUAGCUUUAUCUUAGUAGCCUCUCCUUUGGUCCAUUCCUGAAUCCGCCAAUGGUUAUUUGAUUUGCACUAUCAAGUGUCAUCAUAUUCGUUAGCAUGGGUAUUAUAUUAUAUGAGAUGAACAAGAACAACAUUUUGGUUAUUUUGAUUUGUAUAGUUAAAUAUUGUUGCAGCAUUAGAACAUGCAAUAUAUUAGUUAGUUUAUUAUGCAUAACAUAGAAAAUUAUACACUAAGCCUUCGCACGGAUGCAUAUACAAGAAGUGUAGCCAUUUGGAAGAAUAAAAUGGCUAGGACGAAUGUCGCGUUCUCUAGUAGCGGUCGUUAACAUGGCCAUUAUAUUAUAUGAGAUGAAUAACCUUUUGGUCAUUUAAUUUGUAUUGUCGAAUAUUAUCGUACUAUUAGCGUGGGUAAUAUGUUAAUUCACUUCUCUACUAUAUAAAACACCAGUCAUGAUUAACAAUAUUUGAAUGAUAAAAAACUAAAAUUACACGCAAACAGAGAUUAAAACCAUGAUUGUUGGCUCUAAACCUAUAUUAACACCCACCUAACCAACACAACACAUAUAUCUCUGUUACUUAAGUAUAAAUAGCAACGUAUAGACACUUUGCUAGUAUAUUAUUAUGCAUAGCUUAGAAAAUUGUGCAAUAGCCUUUGGAUCGAUGUGCAUACAAAAAGUGCGGCCCUUUUUAAGAAUAGAACGGCCAGCACCAUGAUCCUCUUCUUGUAGGAAAACAAAAUGUUCUUGUGGAGUUUUUGGUAAAAAAGGUUGAUGGAGGUGUUUUAUAUGAUAACAUAUUAUCACACUCUCAAGAACAGGUAUCACCGAAGGAAGACUACUACGAUGAGUUCGAUGAGAUCUACGCCAUCGUCUCCCAGUCAACCGCACCUUUGGAGAUAGUUAUCUUAGUUUGAUUUAUUUUAUACUAGUUUUUUUGUAAGUCAUUUUUGUUAAGUAAUAAAGCUUGUGACAUUGGCUACUAUACAGUAAGUCUUUACAUGUGUAAAAUUUGAUCAUGGCGCACAUAUGAUGUGCAUCUGGAAGGGUGUGACAGUAUCCCUAAGAGCUAGUUAGAUGUAUCUUCUUAUUUCUUUUCUAAGUGCUAGUUCAUGAUUCAACCUAUCCUCUACUUUACGACUAUUCAUCUUAGCACGAUUCCAAUGAAAACAUAUAAAACGAAAAAGGGUUUAACAUUGAGCUCAUGAAAAAUGGAUGUUCUUGUUAAAAUAACUCUAAAUCCAACUACUUUGAGUUACGAUCCUCAACCUUCAAUGAUAUAGGCAGUGUGUGUAGGAAAUGCAAAUUCUAUAGUGAAGAUAAACAAGAAUAAUGACAUCAGUUGAAUACACAAGAAUAAUGAUAGAAUAGAUUUUUUAACCCCAGCCUAAAUUUUUCUUCCAUAGGAAGUCAAACUUAGGACCUGAGUGUCACUCAGACCACCUAACCAACUCAGAUAGAACCCUUUUGCAUCGAUUUGAGACACCAAUCUAUACUAUUGCCCUCCACGAGGACGUGUCCAUUAAAAUCGGUAUUGACGCCUGAAUCAAUAUCGAUUCUACAACAACUAGUACUAAUGCCUUCUAAUGAAUAUCGUGUUCUAUAUGAGCGGUCUUUAGCAUGGGCGUUAUAUUAUAUGAGAUGAAUAACCUUUUGGUUAUUUAAUUUGUAUUGUCAAAUAUUAUCUUAGUGCUAGCGCGAGUAAUAUGCUAGUUCACUUAAUUUGUUAUGCAUAACUUAUAAAAUUGUGCAAUAGCUGACUACAACGGCUGAGAUUGUGAUCCUAUGUUUGUAGGAAAACAAAAUUUCUUUUGGAGUUUUUGAUAAAAAAAGGUUCAUGGAGGUAUUGUAUAUGAAAACACAUUACCGCACUCUCAAUAAAAGUAUACAACAAGUACCUUAGCUUUUGACAAUAUUAUCGGAACGUUAGCACAAGUAUUAUGCUAGUUUUCACUUAAUUUGUUAUGCAUAACUUAGAAAAUUGUGCAAUAGCCUUCAGACCAAUGUCAUACAAGAAAUGUAGCCCUUUUCAAGAGUACAACGACUGGGUUCGUGAUUUUGUCUUUGUAGCCAAACAAAAUGUUCCUGAGUAGUUUUUGGUAAAAAAUGUUCCUGAGCAGUAUUUUAUAUGACAUCACGUUAUCACACUCUCAAUAAAAGUAUACAACCAGUACCUUAGCUUAUGACAACCUUACAAUCUUAGUAGUCUCAUACACACAUAGACACAUGUGUAUUUUGCUACUGCACUUCUAUUGUAUUCAGUUCAUAGAUACAUGUGUAUUUUGUAAGCAAACAAAUGGGUGUCUGUCGCCACACCAAUGAUGACAGUUACCUAAUUAUAAAUAUUUUUGAACUUUUUUGCAUUAGGGUCCCUAGGGGCUUGUGCCUAGUGGAGGGGCAGUAGGCCGCCAUUCCUUUAUACUACAGUUUACCCAUAUCAAAUAUGGUUUUUUGAUAUAUUCGAUAUGAAAAAUUGACACAAGCAGAUUGAUUAGCUCGGGGAGGUGUAUGGCAAGUUGUCGUAGCUAGGUUUGAUCCCUCCUCGGCACAUUUUUUUGGUUUACACUUAGAUUUUGCAAUGCCCACAAACUAGACAUACAAAAUCUUGUGACAUCAUGCCUUGCACCUUCCCUCGCUAGCCAAUCCACAUGCGAAAGUUUUUCAUAUAUAACACACCAGACACCCUAUUUAAUAAGUGCAAACUAGAUUAUAGGGGGAAGGGGGGUUGUCGCCCCUCACUAGGCGACAAGCGUCUAUCCCGCCCCUCUAGGCCUAGUUUGGAUACUCUAGUAUUAAGGUCAAUCCAUAUGUAUUGUGGUGGAUUGGAGUGUGACUUAAACUAAUUUACACCUCAAUCCACCUCAACACACAUGGAUUGGGGUCAAUACUAGAGUAUCCAAACAAAGCCCUAAGGGGUGAUAGGUCCCCAUGGACCCUGGUCAGAAAAUAUUCAAAAAUGUUUACAAUUGGUCCUACCACCCAUUGACAGGAUGACAGAACCAUUUCUGCAAUUUUUCAGUUAUAGGGUAUAGUUUUGAUCUUUUGAAUAUUUUUUAAUGUAAAAAUGAAAAAAUGGCAAUGCUUCACGAGCUAGUACAUGCACUCUCAUCAAACUUGAAUCUUAUCUCAAUCAUAUCAAACUUGUAGAUAAUAUGUUUGUUUGCAUUUAGCUAAUAUAAAUGAUCGUUUUGGUUAUUUGAUUUGUAUUGCCAAAUACUAUUGCAGUGUUAGCACAAGCAAUAUAUUAGUUUACUUAGUUUAUUAUGCAUAACAUAGAAAUUGUACACUAAGCCUUCGCACAGAUUCGUAUAUAGGAACUGUAGCCCUUUGGAAGAUACAACGGCUGGGACUCUCAUCCUCUGCUUGUAGGCAAACACAAUAUUCUUGAGGAGUUCUUUGUAAAAAACUUCAUGGAGGUAUUUUAUAUGAUAUCACAUUAUCACACUCUCAAUAAAAGUAUACAAUCAGUACCUUAGCUUAUGGCAACCUUGCAAUCUUAAUAGUCUGAUACAUUACGAGCACAGACACAAGUGCAUUUUACUACCACUACUACUCUUCUAUUGUAUCGAGCUCAGAGAUUGUAGAGUAAGAACUGUCACCCUCUUCAUCACAAAAGUAUGGCCUUGGAGGCAUUUGGAUGCCAUCGACACCAGCUUCAAGCAUCUCUAUGACCUCGCUCAUCGUCGGCCGAUCUUGCGGCUUCAUCUGGAUGCACCAAAGCCCAAUGAUACAUAGCUUCUUCUCUAACUCGUGCAUAUCAACACCUUCACUAAUCCUAUUCGCAUCACCCUGGCUCAGCUGCUUGUACACCAAGGAUGGGUAGUAUGCUUGACUGGAGCUUCCUGCAUGAGGAUCUGCGUUUCUUCGCCCGCCCGUCAUCUCCAAUAGUAGCAUCCUGAAGCUGUACACAUCGGAUUUGCUAGAUAUGACACCAAAGCUUCGAGAUACCAUCUCUCGAGCUAUAUAGCCAAUCGUUCCCCGCAUAGCGCUCAGUGGCACGAAAUUGUCAUCUUUUGGGAACAGUUUGGCUAGCCCAAAAUCAGCAACUUUUGGAACAAAGCUGCUAUCAAGAAGGAUGUUGUGUGGCUUGAUGUCAAAGUGUACUAUCUGCAUAUCACACCUGUGAUGCAGGUAGUUAAGACCUCUAGGAAUGCCUAGAACGAUCUCGUUGAGUUUGUCCCAUGAGAAUGUCUUCUCCGACGAGAAGAUGUACUUAUCGAGAGAUCCACGGGCCAUGAACUCAUAGAUAAGUGCCCUGAUAUUUUCCUCGGAGCAAAACCCAAUGAGGCGCACAACAUUGACAUGGUGGAUCUUUCCAAUUGUGGCUACCUCACUGAUGAACUCGUCUCCGUUACAAUUGGAGUUGCCUAGCAUCUUGACAGCAACAUGAAUUUCACCUGGCAGUAGCACCCCCUUGUAUACAGAACCGUAGCCUCCUUGUCCGAGCUUGUCUCUGAAAUGGCCGGUGAUAGCAAUGAUGUUUGUGUAUGCAUAUCUCAUCGGAACGAGCAUAUGCUGCAUUCGCAGGAACUUCUCAACUGUAUCUAUUGUUAUCCGUGUUUUCUAGUAUUUAUAGGCUAGGAAGACAAAUACUGCUAGCGGCAUCAAUACAAACCUGCAAAUAACUGUAAAAAACAAAGUUUGUAGUUACGAAGAAUAAAAAUAAUAAUUUCAGAAGCCACACACAAUGUUUAUACAAAAAAAUGCUAUCUAGAGUGAGUACCAUGUGCAGAUUUUAGACCCCACAGAACAUAUGGUAUUAUUCUGACGAUGAUGUUGAUGAGAACAGAUUUGACACGAUUAUUAGUUGAUCCAAGUUGUUCAAUAAAACAAAACCAUAAUGUCUCGAACGUAAGAAUGUCCAAGAUCUGUUGCCUGAUGCCUAUACUAUUUCUUGGUUCUUUAUGGAAAGUACUGCAAAACCAUGGCAUGCCGUAGCAUAUAAAAGAAUUACAUAGGGAAUGCAACCAACACUUUUUAGAUGAUCAGAUAGAUACUCACCGCAUAUCCUUUGCGAGACAUUCUCUGAUGUUAUCACCAUAUGAAAAGGGAAAUCGAAGGGCAAAUCCACUCCUCAUGAACUUAACAACAUCUGGAUAACUUGUAUUCGAGGGCACCGUCAUGCCUGGACCACCCAAAGGAGUCUUGGCUAGGUAACCGCUUGAAGGCUCCAAAUCCCCAGCAGAAACAUAGUCAUCAUACCAGUAGCCAGUUGCCAAGUAGAUGAAAGAAGAAUUGCUCAAGCAAGACACCGGCUCAUAAUGAUAUUUAUCAGUAUCAUUGUUCUCUAUUGGCUGAGAACAAUUCACAAAGAUAGCCCACUGCCCCGAAUCCAUAUAAAAAGAAUAGAAAGAAUAAUGGCUCAACUCAAUCCACAAACGAUGUGAGUUGAGAUUGAUCCAACGAGCAUGGUAAUCCCACCGUGGAAGUGGGCAACUGCUCUGGAUGUCCAGGUUGGCAUCAAUGACCCAGAAGUAAGAAUAUGUGGAGUUGAUGCUAAGCACCUUGUAUGUUCCACUGCCGAUGCGAAUUGUAGCAUCUGUAUCCGUGCAAACCAGCUCAUACGAUUGGACACCGCACCCAGAUGGAUCACCUUGCCGACGAAAUGGAUACGAUAUAUUGCUUAAACCAUCGCAGGAGAAAUGAGGACAGACAUGACGAUGAUGUCGCCCCUCUACAUCUAAAACAAGAGCUGCCAACACAAACAACACGGUUAAAACUCUCAAGGAAGAAUCAGACAUCGGCAUGGCAGCAAGAAGGUUCACGAAUCACAUAAUCGUGAGUCACCCACAGCCUGAGCAUUUUCCCUGUAUUUGAGAAACAAAAAAUCGCACAUAUGACUAUUCCACAUAAUUGUGAUGCCUCUGACUUGGUAGUCUUUCUUUUGCGUUUGUCUUUUUCUGCACAACGGUAAAAUGGAGAAUUUUCGACGGUCAAAGUCUUAUCUCCGACGGUACCCAGCCCUCAGACGUAAUAGGUCGAAAAUAGCGUUAUUUUUUACAGCGGCCAUCAAACAUAAGCUAUCUCCGACGACCACGUCAGGCCGUCGGCGAUUAUCCUCGUCAACUGUUUUAACGGCCGCUAGCGGGGCCCAUAGGACCUUAUGUCCGACGGCCUAACUUAAGCCGUCGGACAUAACGAAUUUUAGCAAUUGCAAAAAAUUCCUGUUUUUAUAAAUUUCUGACAUUUACAGAAAAAAUCACAGAUUGCAUAUACAUGUACACAGAUUUCAUAUACAACCACAUAUUCACAUAAGUAUUCACAUUAUUCACAAAUUUAACAUCACCUCACAUUCACAAACAUAUAGUCCCAAAUAGUUGCAACAAGUCUUUUACAUCAACAUAUAGUUCCAAAUUAAAAACUGACAUAGUUCGACACAUAGUCUUUGACAUGAACAGUGACAUAGUUCCAAAUCAAACACAUUUGAUGAACUAUCACUCAUAUCCAUCACCUGGUUGGUUCGAGUUAUAGCCACUUCCUCCGGCUGGACUCUGGGUGUUGAAAAGGUUGUUCACCCAAGAAUGCGAUGUGUCGUCUUGACCAGACCCAUCUCCAGGUGCGGCAACUGAAGCGGGUGGUGUCUGAAAUCCCUAUAACACACACAUGAAAUAUUAACCACUAAGUUUUCAUUUUAACACAUAAGGCAUCUAUGAACAUGUCACACACGUAUAUGUGUACAUGCCAUAGGGAAUUGUGACGGAGGCGGAGGUGGAGGCGACAACAUUGGCAUCGGCGGUGCAAAGUUCGGAGGCGGCAUCCCAUAUGUCGGCAUCGGGACGCCCACUUGUUGUGCCAGUUGCUACAAAUUAUAUACAAGCCAUUGUUGAGAAAAUAAGGUACACAUCAUGUGUUUUUUGUUGUUACGAACAAAAUGUUACUUCAACUUACCGAUAGAAGAGCUUAAUUAUGGGCCUGGAGGUUUGAAUAAUACUCGUCCUUCUUCUUAUGGUACUCAGCUUGCUGUCUCUGGUACUCCAUUUGUUCCCUCAAAACUGAUUGAUGAUACUCUGCCUGCUGACGCAACACUGCAAUCUCUAUCUCUUUGGCGAAUGAUCGAGAACGUGACGACUGCGAAGACGAGGAUGUGGACUGUCGUCUACGGCGUCUCAGGUCCCUGGAAUCAAUCGUAGAAUAAAAAAUACCUAACCUACAAGAGUGAACCAUGCACUUAGUAGAGUUAAUCAUGGACUCAGUUCAAUCGCAAGCAUAUGAGGAUAAAUUUGAAAUCCAAAUCAAAUACUCUCACCGUCUAUGGGCUUGUCCUCCUGCGCUACAGUUAUUGUCACAGACAUCGAUUUUUUCGUAGUCCAUACCGAGACCAAAGAGCAACUUUUUGGACUGAUACAUGUCCUUUGGCAUCUUGUGAUUCUCCGAAAGUACAUCACUGAUCAAGUUCAGAAGCUCCUUGUAGCAGUUGUUUGAGAAUGCAUACUUAGACUUAAUAGCCAUAAGUCGAGUCACAAAUACAAGGACGGUCACUUUCGUGUGCUCAUGCAACGGCUCUUCGGCAGCUUUAAGGAGCUCGAAGAACUUCUAAACCUCAGGCAUAGGUGGAUCCUCAUAUUCGGUGGGUUGACCAGGGUUCUCCGAAUCGAUGGGUAGAAGCUCAUGGCGUACAUCGUCAAGCAUCUCUUCCAUCCUAUCUUAGUUCCCCUCUUCAUGUGACUGAACUUCCGAUACAGUACGAGGAGGUGGGUCCUCACUGUGGUGCACCCACACCUCAUAGCCUGGCAUAUAACCGCUCUUAUAAAGAUCUAUCGACAUAGUCCUCCUAUCAAAGAAAUAAAUGUUCUGACACUUGCUACAAGGGCAUCUAACAUCGAUUCCAAUCUCUGACCGAGCAAAAGCAUGGUCGAGAAAUGCGUCAGUCUCGGCAACUCACUCACUUGAUAGAGCACCUCUUUUCUUCCAACCUUCAUACAUCCAUCGACGAUCCUCCUCCAUGAGGUAACUUGAUUACGUUUACUUGAUUAGUUAAGUAAAUCACCCCCUAUAUCUAUAGGAAAGGAUAAGUAAAUUAUGUAGUUCAACUAAUAAACUAUGACUAAGUAAACUAAAACAGUGUCACGAGUUCAACUAAUAAACUACCACAAUAAUAUAUACAAAAUAACAUAUAAUAUAUACGAAAUAACAUUGUCACGAGUGCCAAAUUAUAUAAAAUAACCUUAUUUCCGAGGGCAUAAUAAAAACCCUCGGAAAUUAAAAGUUUAAAUUAUCUAAACACCACUAAGUAAACUAAAACAAAUUAAAUUUAUUACAUAAUCAAAUUCCGGCCAUCGGACAUAACAAGCUAAACAAUAUUAAACAUACAAAAAUUUUAAUACUGAAAAAAGACAACUAGGAAACAAUAUAUACAUUGAUAAAAUUAAAAAUACUCACUUAGCGGCUUGACGGCGGGACGGUGGUCGGUGUGGGCUGGGCGGGGGACGAGUCGGGGCCACCGGCGUCGGGACAGGUGCCGGGGCGGCGGUGGUGGGCGCCUGGGCGGUGGGCACGGGUAGGGCGGUGGCAGUUGACGGCAGCGGGUGCAGCAGCGCGGCGACAGAGCACAGUGCGCGGCGGCGGCGGCGGAGUAAGCAGCAAGGCGGACGGCAGCGCGACAGAGAAGAUGGAGCGGAUGGAAAUGAAACGGCAGUGUCUGGCUCGCGCGUUAAAAUAACUUAUGUCCGAUGGCUAUCAGAUAAGCCGUCGGACAUAGUCUUAUGUCCGACGGCUAUCAAUCCGACCGUCACACGUAAGCUUAUGUCCGACGUCUUAUCUGACAGUCGUCAGACACUAUUUCCGAGGGCCACCAGAGGCCGUCGAACAUAACCUUAUGUCCGACGGUGGCGUAGGAAGCCGUCGGAGGUUAAGUGGCCGUCGAAUGUGCGUCGUUUUAAUGUAGUGCUGGUUUGCAAAUGGACUGUGAUGGGGAUGGGACCUGUAAUAACAUAUUUUAAUUUCAGAAUUAAAUACAAAGGGUUUAUAAUUAUUUAUUUGAGGGAAUUAUUCUCUUAUGAAUUGUCUACUUAGAAAUAUUUUCUUGAAAAAAGUAAAGUGACUAAUAUAAAAUGUUACCUUGCACUACAUGUUGGGUUUUUUUAUUGUUACAUUUAAAUUGAAAUUGAAAUUGAUUUGAAUUUAUAAAAAUGAAGUAAAAACAAAAAAAUAAGAAGAAAGAAAAAGAGAGAAGAAUCCACUUAUAGAAAAUAGGAAAACAUAUAAAAUUUUAACAACAUCUCAUUUGUAAGUUAAGCAUAUCGAGAGCAUCACAAUCUCUAUCUCUACUACUAUAAAACACUAGUUUUGACAGUCGUACUACGUUACGUGUGAAACAUGUAGGUCUAUUCUUCUCUCCUACUAGUGGGACAGUACCCUUAAGAUAGGCCAUAAAAAACACCCAAGUAUUUAUUAGUGGGCUGUUACCCAACAGAUAGGCCAUGAAAACCCAUCCAAGCCCAACACGAUAGGAAGCAACACUCAGUGCAGUGCUCCCACAUACAGAUGGCAAUGGGUCGGGUGGAGCAAAAACCCGCCUGCGAUUGCACCUGUGAAGUAUACCUAAAUCCACUCGUGAUCGCACCUGCGGGUGCAAUUCUAAACCCGCAUCCAAACCCGUCGGGUUUUGGGUCACCCACGAGUUUUUACUCAGUGUAUAUUUUAAACAAUAAUUGAUCUAUAAGGAAUUGAGUUAUAUGUAUGGAUUUUAAGCGUUUUCACAUUGAGCAGCAACAAAACAUUUAAUGAAUCAUUAGCCAAGGUACUUAUUCAAAUUAAUUACUAUUGUAUCUUAAUCAAUAUUGUGCGAAAUAAAGAAUGAACCAAAUUUCGGGUCGGGUAGAAACCCGCACUCACACCCGCAAAACUUCGGGUCGGGUGCGGGUUGCACCAGCGGGUCAAAAUCUUCACUCAUACCCACACCCGUCGGGUCAUGUACCCUUUGGAUUUCAGGUUUACGAGUUAAAUUACUAUCCCUGCUCCCACGUAGUAUUACCCCACUAGCUAGAAGAGAAUGAGCGACCGAACGAGCUAUAAGAUAAAGGUUGGGCUCCUUUGUAACUCAUACUUUCUAGACCUUUUAGCUAAGAUGAAGUAUAAUAUUUAUUCUUGUGUGCCGUCGUGCGUACAGGUAUUGUACAAAUAUAUAAAUAACUUAUAGAACAUAACAAAAGCAUAACUAAUAUAAAUGGACAAUAUCAAAUGUAAAUAAGCUAUAACAUCAUGCUAAACUUAAUAUCCACCAUAACAAUUAUUAUUACAAAAAUAGUAGAAUUAUUAACGUAAAUUCUUUAGAUGGUUUAAUAUAAAGUGUGUUGCUACCUGUCUCCCAAAAGAAAAGUAGCAUACACCUGAAAACAAUAAAUAUAGCAAGAGUGAGAUAAAAACAACUCGACGAGUAAUUGAUUAAAAAGUCAUCUUGUCUAAAGAUUACCCAAGGUAAAAUCCAAUAUGAAUUUUAAGAAAGAUCUUAUACGCCACCCAUGCCGUCAUUAGUAUGAUAAAGUUGUUAACAUUGGCGUUGUUAGCGUGACAAUGAGUUCUAUACAUCACUAUAGCAAAUAAGGUUCACGAUUCAGAGAACUACAUGUCAAUGAAUGGCAACUCGGAAAGAUGAGUAGCACCAAGACCAAGAGUAGCAUAGCAACUUCACUAUUUGAGCAAGAAAACCGCACUUCAAUUGGCCCUACAUGAUUGUGAAUUGUGAUGUCGCUGACUUGGUAGUCUAUCUUCUUGUCUCUUUUUUGUUUGUUUGUAUGAGCCUUCCAUGUCACCGUUAUUUGAGCAAGAGAAUCGCACUUCAACUGGUCCUACAUGAUUGUGAUGCCACAUACUUGGUAGUCUUUCUUCUUUUGUGUCUUUUUUUUUGUUCGCAUGGGCCUCACUAGAAGGACAAAUAGGCACAACGCACACUCAUGGUCACGGUCUCACGAAUACCGAAUAAAAACAUGACAAAAUAGGAAAAACUCUAUAUAAUCCCUGAUCUUUAGAGGAUGGUGUAGUUCACUUUAUCACCUUCAAAAUUGGUUGUUUAACCCGAUCAUCUUUAUAAAAACAGACAAAUAACCACUAGACCGUUUUAAUUGACUGCUUUGAUGACGUGAUUUUGAUUUAAGCGAUACCGGUUUUAUCUUUUUUAAUUCUACAUUCUAGUAGUAUCCAAAAUUGAAAUUAUUUUUCACAAAGAUCGAUAAUUAUAAAUUAUAAUUUCCCUAAUUUCCUAAAAUUUUAGGAGCAUCACCUUAAUUACUAAAAAUAAAAAACUAAAUAAAAACUUAAUAUUUUUGUCCUGGGUUUAUUUAUUACCUUCUAAGCCAAAAAAUUACACUAGAGCUAAAUAACAUUAUUACUAAACUACUGAAAUGUUUGUUGAUUUUAUUAAGCAGGUCGAGUGGUCUUUCUAUUAAUUUUAACUACAUUAAUUUUAUAUUGGCUUUUAUAGAAACACUUAACAAACAAUAAUAAAAUAAUCUCUAAUUUUUACAUAGACCAUCUCUUAGCUAAACUAACAUAUAUAAAUAUUCUCAUAUUUUUUUGAGAAUUUAAAUCUAGAUCUAUAUAAAGGUAUCAGAAAUAAUUAUGUAAAUUAUAGGUCUAGAGUUAAAGUUGUCAGAAAAUUCUAAAAAUUAUUUGUGUAUGUUCAUUUAGCUAAGGGAAAAUCUUUGUAAAAGUUAGAGAUCAUUUUAUUAUUGUUUGAUAAGUUUUUCAAAAAAAAUAAAUGUAAAUUUGAUUUAAUUUAUAAUUAGAAGAAAGAACACUUCACUUGCUUAAUAAAAUUAAGAAAUGUUUUAGUAGAUUAGUAAAAGUAUUAUUUGGCUCACGUAAAAAAUUUAGCCUUAGAAGAUAAAAGUGAAUCAGAGAAAAAAUAUUAAGUUUUUUUAUAUAGUUUUUAUUUUUAAUAAUUAAGGUGCUACUCGAAAAUUUUUAGAAAAUUAUAACAAGUAUAAUAUUUAAUUACUGGUUUUUUAAAAAAAUAUAUGUAUAUAAAAUUUUUGGAUACUACUAAAUGAUAAAACCGAAAAUUAUAAAAUUGGUGCCACUUAAAAUAGUGUCAUGUCAUCAAAACAAUUAACUAAAACUGUUUAGGUGGUUAUUUGUUUGGUUUUGUAAAGUUGAUGUUUUAAAUAAACGAUUUUGAAUGUGAGGGGAUGAAGUACUAUCAUCUAAAAGGUAAGGCUAAAAGGUAAGGCGUUAAGUAGACUUUUUCUAAUAACAUGGUAUUUCGGUGCAGUAUCAGGCAUUUCGAUUUCAUUUGCAUGUGCUAUCCUUGAGGCAUUUCUGCGGUAUCUGGUUGUUUCCUGCCAACUAAACAUGCAUUAUUGGAUUUGACCAUUAUUCCCCAUGGGAAUUGACGAGAUAUCUAGUCAAUUCCCUCAGCUAUCUGCAGUUAUGCACAAAUCUUAUCACAGUUCAAAAUUGGACAACCACAUACUAUAUCCAAACAAUAGAAAUCACUAGAAGUUGGGAACAGGGCAAUCACUGGAAGAUGGAACACGGCAGAGAUCCCCUCUGAUAGCUUAAACGAACAACAGCCACUCAUCUAUCACAAGCCUUAUCCGAAAUUAAAACUCUCAUAGUGCCUUAACUAGGAAAAUAAAUGCUCUGGAUAUUAUAUUAUAUGAGAUAAAUAACCUUUUGGUUAUUUGAUUUGUAAUGUCGAAUAUUAUCGUAACAUUAGCACGUAUUAUGCUAGUUUUCACUUAAUUUGUUAUGCAUAACUUAGAAAAUUGUGCAAUAGCCUUCAGACCGAUGUCAUACAAGAAAUGUAGCCUUUUUUAAUGGUACAACGGCUAGGUCCGUGAUUUUGUGUUUGUAGCCAAACAAAAAGUUCCUGACAAGUUUUUGGUAAAAAAAAUGUUCCUAAGUAGUAUUUUAUAUGGCAUCAAGUUAUCACACUCUCAAUAAAAGUAUAUAACCAGUACCUUAGCUUAUGACAACCUUGCAAUCUUACUAGUCUCAUACAUUAAGAGCGCAUAGACACAAGUGUAUUUUUCUACUACUACUCUUCUAUUGUAUUCAGUUCAGAGAUUGUAGAGUAUGAACUAUCACCCUCGUCAUCACAAAAGAAUGGCCUUGGAGGCAUUUGCAUGCUAUCGAUGCCAGCUUCAAGCAUCUCUAUGACCUCACUCAUCGUCGGCCGAUCUUGCGGCUUCAUCUGGAUGCACCAAAGCCCAAUGAUACAUAGCUUCUUCUCUAACUCGUGCAUAUCAACACCUUCACUGAUCUCGUUCGCAUCUCCUUGGCUCAGCUGGCUGUACACCAAGGAUGGGUAGUAUGCUUGACUGGAGCUUCCUGCAUGAGGAUCUGCGUUCCUUCGACCGCCCGUCAUCUCCAACAGUAGCAUCCCAAAGCUGUACACAUCGGAUUUGCUAGAGAUGACACCAAAGCUUCGAGAUACCAUCUCUGGAGCUAUAUAUCCUAUCGUUCCCCGCAUAGCGCUUAGUGGCACGAAACUGUCAUCUCUUGGGAACAGUUUGGCUAGCCCAAAAUCAGCAACUUUUGGAACAAAGUUGCUAUCAAGAAGGAUGUUGUGUGGCUUGAUGUCAAAGUGUACAAUCUGCAUAUCACACCCGUGAUGCAGGUAGUUAAGACCUCUAGCAAUGCCCAGAGCGAUCUCGUUGAGUUUGUCCCAUGAGAAUGUCUUCUCCGACGAGAAGAUGUACUUAUCGAGAGAUCCACGGGGCAUGAACUCAUAGAUAAGUGCCCUGAUAUUUUCCUCGGAGCAAAACCCAAUGAGGCGCACAACAUUGACAUGGUGGAUCUUUCCAAUGGUGGCCACCUCACUGAUGAACUCUUCUCCGUUACAGUUUGAGUUGCCCAGCAUCUUGACAGCAACAUGAACUUCACCUGGCUGUAGCACCCCCUUGUAUACAGUACCGUAGCCUCCUUGUCCGAGCUUGUCUCUGAAAUGGGCGGUGAUAGCAAUGAUGUUUGUGUAUGCAUAUCUCAUCGGAACGAGCAUAUGUUGCAUUCGCAGGAACUUCUCAACUGCAUCUAUUGUUAUCCGUGUUUUCCAGUAUUUAUAGGCUAGGAAGACAAAUACUGCUAACGGCAUCAAUACAAACCUGCAAAUAACUGUAAAAAAACAAAGUUUGUAGUUACGAAGAAUAAAAAUAAUAAUUUCAGAAGCCACACACGAUGUUUAUACAAAAAAAUGCUAUCUAGAAUGAGUACCAUGUGCAGAUUUUAGACCCCACAGAACAUAUGGUAUUAUUCUGACGAUGAUGUUGAUGAGAACAGAUUUGACACCAUUAUUACUUGAUCCAAGUUGUUCAAUAACACAAAACCAUAAUGUCUCGAACGUAAGAAUGUCCAAGAUCUGUUCCCUGAUGCCUGUACUAUUUCUUGGUUCUUCAUGGAAAGCACUGCAAAACCAUGGCAUGCCAUACCAUAUAAAAGAAUUACAUAGGGGAUGCAACCGGCGCUUUUGAGAUGAGAAAGUCAUGCAUAAGAGAGGAAAUAGGAUGAUCAGACAGAUACUCACCGCAUAUUCUCUGCGAGACAUUCUCUGAUGUUGGGGUAAUAUUCAAUCGAAAGAGGAAACCGAAGGGCAAAUCCAUUCCUCAUGAACUUAACAACAUCUGGAUAGCUUGUAUUCAUGGGCACCGGCAUGCCUGGACCACCCAAAGGAGUCAUGGCUAGGUAACCGCAUGAAGGCUCCAGAUCCCCAGCAGAAACAUUGUCAUCAUACCAGUAGUCAGUUACCAGCAAGUAGAUAAAAGAAGAAUUGCUCAAGCAAGACACCGGCUCAUAUAUAUGAUAUUUAUCAGUAUCAUUGUUCUCUAUUGGCUGAGAACAAUUCACAAAGAUAGCCCACCCCGAAUAAUCCAUAUAAGAAGAAAAAGGGGUAUCAUGGCUGAACUCAACCCUCUGACGAUAUGAGUUGCUACUGGUCCAAUCAGGGUAAAAGUAAGCGUAAACCCACAUCGUCGGAGUAGAAUUGGAAAAAUCAUGGCUGAACUCAAUCCUCCGACGAUGUAAGUUACGAUUACGACUGGUCCUCCUAGCAUGGUAAUCCCACCGGGGAAGGGGGCAACUGCUCUGGAUGUCCAGGUUGGCAUCAACGACCCAGAAGUAAGAAUAUGUGGAGUUGAUGCUAAGCACCUUGUAUGUUCCACUGCCGAUGCGAAUUGUAGCAUCUGUAUCCGUGCAAACCAGCUCAUACGAUUGGACACCGCACCCAGAUGGAUCACCUUGCCGACGAAAUGGAUAAGAUAUAUUGCUAAGACCACCGCAGGAGAAAUGUGGACAGACAUGACGAUGAUGUCGCCCCUCUACAUCUGAAACAAAAGCUGCCAACACAAACAACACGGUUAAAGCUCGCAGGGAUGAAGGAGCACAGAGAUGAGACGCUGCAGACAUCCCCAUGGCAAGAAGGUUCACGGAUCACAUAAUCGCGAGCCAAUCAGUGGCGUGGCGAUGUGGAAGACAAGAGUCACCCAGAGUCACAGACAGCCUGAGCAUCUUCACUGUUUUUGAGAAAGAAAAUCGCACAUGACUGUUCCACUUCCACAUAACUGUGAUGCCGCUGACUUGGUAGUCUUUCUUCUGCGCCUUUGAUGGGGAUGGGACCGGAGAUAAAGAGAGAAUUUUAACACAGCAACCAGUAUAUAAUUGGAUACGCGAUAAAAUGUAAUUGAAAAAAGGUUUUUCAAUGCAGUAACCAAUAUCUGGAGUGUUAUUUUCAAAUGCAAACCUUGAAGCGGCAUCGUAGCUAGGCUAUCUCCAGCAGAUUUCAUAUCCAUAUCUGAUUCCAUAUAUCAAACUACAUUAUCUGUAAAUAGUACUUUGCACGUCUAUAUAUACAUCUCGCUGCAGAUAGCCUUAGUGCCAUAAUAUGAAUUUUUCCAAUGCUAAGGUCUAGAAAAACAAAUAAGGUGCUCAUUCUAAAUUUGCUCACGAGGUUUUUUUUUGCCGAAGCCAACAACAGACCAGCAAAACAAAGUCCCGGAAGUACAAAAGAAAAAACCACUAAAUAGAAAUAUAAAAAUUGUGUGACCAUCCUUGGUAGAUUUCUCCGCAUUUCAGUGAGGGUCCGAGUCGCUAAUGAACAUGAGCACGACUGAUAUACUAGUUUUAUACUCUGCAGAGGUUGUGCAUCUUUACCCACAAGUUGUAUAAAAUUUUAACAACAUAUCCUUUAACAUAUAAAAUUUGAACAACAUAUCAUUUAUAACUUAACCAUAUCUAGAGCAUCAUAAUCUCAAUUACUAUAAAACAUUAGUUUUAACGAUCAUCCUACAUUACGUAUGAAACAUGUAGGUAUAUUCUUAUCUCCUACUAGUGGGACGUCACCUACAAAACAUGUAGGUAUAUUUUUAUCUCCUACUAGUGGGACGGUACCCCCUAGAUAGGCCGAGCAUAGCAACUUGCAAGAAAAUCGCACUUCAAUUGGCCCUACAUGAUUGUGAUGCCGCUGACUUGUCUAUCUUCUUUUGUCUGUCUUUUGGUUUGUAUACACCUUCCACGUAACAGCUAUUUGAGCAAGAGGAUCACACUUCAACUGGCCCUACAUGAUUGUGAUGCCAUUGACUUAGAGUCUUUUCUUCUUUUGUGUCUUCUCUUUUUUGGUUCGCAUGGAUCUCUCUUUUGGGUCUUUCACGCAACUGGAAGCUGGAACACGGCAGAGGUCCCGUCUGAUAGCUGAACUUCUACUCACCAGUCACUCAUCUAUCACAAGCCUUAUCCAAAAUUAAAGUCUUAUAGUGACUUGACUAGGAAAAUAAAAGCCAGGUCGUUAGGCGUGCACAAAGUAGUCAAAAUAAUACUAACAGACGAUAAAUAUAAUAUUCGAGAAGGGAGGAAUAAGACUGAAGAAGAAAGGCAUCUUCCUGGUAAAGCAAUACUGGCAGCAGGAAUUCCUUGCCACCGCGUAGCGGUCAUGACAUUCACAGAAUCUCUCCUCCCGAGAGGUUAAAGCAAAUAGAAAUAGGUGCUCAUUCUGAAACACUUGCAACCUUCUCCUCGCCCACCUUCAUCUCCAAAUACAUCCCAUGAACUCGCAUAAAUUUCUUCUGGCGGUGCUGCUGCUUUUGCUUCUCAACUAUGCAUCCUAUGCUGCCACAUCGAAGGAGGAUGACGACUUCCUCAAAACUUGCCCAUCGCAUCGAUGCCAUAAGCAUGGACCAGAGAUCCGGUUCCCCUUUCGGCUUCCAAGCCUCCCUCCAUCCUGUGGCGCACCUGGGAUGCAAUUAUCAUGUUCUGGGCAUGACACCAUCCUUGAUCAUCCAGUUCUUGGCUCCUGCAGAGUGACAGCAAUAUAUUACAGGCAUCGUGUCAUGAAUGUCAUCCCACCAGAGGACUCAUCAUCACACUGCCAACUUCAGAAGCUUGUUAAAAGAAAUCAAUCAACUGAUGUGUACACACCUGUAGUGAAUCCUGUCUCAGUACUUGUAGGAUGCUCAAGAGAAGCAACAAACCAAGAUGGUAUUGUUGGCCCAAGCUCUUGCCGAAGCCUCAUUAACAAUGCAAGCCAGCUCUGGUACCUGGUGGAUCCUUAUACAGAUAUGUCUACUCUUCCCAUGGGCUGCGAGGUUGUUGCAAAGGGAAUCCCAGUACCCUACACUUACGACAAAAAUGGUCCAAAAGAUGAGACAUUCUCCGGAAGGUCACUGUUCAACAAAAAGGCAAAUAGAGCAAUCAAUUUUGGUGAAACAUCAUUCAAUUGGAACCUCAACAACAUCACCGGCUCUUGUCAAAGGUGUGAACAGGAAGGGAAACAUUGUGGAUUCAGUUCAAACAGGCGACAAGCAUUCUGCCUGCAUCACGGUAUUGUUUUCCAGCCUAGAUCCCAUAAUGUUUGUGGUGUUCCGUUCUAAGUUGUGCCAUGAUUGAUGUUUAUUAGCUUAGAAUCUUCUGUGUUAUCCAAGAUCCUUUCACAUCCACAAGAUUCAUGCCAAGAAAUUUUAAUAGUUUUAUGAAACUGUACUGCAAACAAACCUAAUGAAUUCUGCUACAGUAAGAUUCAAAGAAAUCCUGCAUUUUAAACAUCCUACAAGGUUUUUGUCUAUGCUUAAAUUGUUUUGCAAAAUUCAACUGCAAUAAACCUAACUCUAAUGGUUUCCUGCUACGAUCUUGUAGCAGAGCUGGGUCGCUGGCUGCUGCUCUGACAAAGUAUUGUAGAUUUUUGUGGUAGCUUACAUUAAGAGUUUAAGACUAGUCAUUCAAGGACAUCCUCACAGAAACUUAAAUUAUUAGACGCCAAUGUCGAAUUAUAAUCACGAUGGUUUUUUUUUCUUGAACACGCAAGAGAGUUGUGUAUCAUUGCAUUAAAAGAUAAGAGAACAAUACAAGGGCCAAAAAGCCCUACAGAAAAAGAAAAAGACAUAACACUAAAAAAAGCUAACACUUAAACACCUACUCCAGAGAAGAAACAACGUGCCUCAGCCUAGGUCAUGACCAUAAACUGAGAGCCAGACAAACCCUUAGCACCAACAAGACACCACAAACAAUACUCAUCCUCAACUAAAGACAAGGCCCUAGCGACACUAGGCGGAACACCUUCAAAAACACACUCGUUACAGUGCCGCCAAAUACACCAAGCUCCUAAAAUCACUAGAGAGUUGAAGCCGUUUUGGAUGCCUCCAUUAAGGCGAGCAGCUGAAGAACUCCACCAAGCCUCAAAACUGCUUUCCUCAAUGCUUGGGGAUAGUGCAGUCAAUCCCCUCUUCUAGAAGAUGUUGAACCAAAAUUGCCUAGCGAAAGCGCAAGACACCAACAAAUGAUUAAUUGUUUUGUCCUUUGGAUCACAUAAGGGGAAAAAGGCCAGAUCCGGAAGGCCUCUUUUAGCCAACCUAUCAGCUGUCCAACACCGGUUGUGCAUCACAAGCCAAAGAAAAAACAGCAUUUGGCUGACGCCCAAGAGUGCCAAAUGCGCUCAAAAGGACCAAAAGUAGAGCCGCUAAACAACAAAUCAUAAGCCGACUUAGAAGAGUAUUGUCCACAAUUGGAAAGCCUCAAAAAAUGCUUAUCAUGAAUCCUAGCACACAACCAAAGAUAGCUUCCCAAAGGGUCAAGAAGUCCGGGAUGACCUCCCAGGAACCCCCCUGAAAUCAUUAAUCCAACGUGAAUUUUCCAAAGCCUCUGCAACCGUCCUUGUUUUAGCAAUCCUUUUUGGGACAAGGGCGGACGCGCGAGGGGCCAAGUCCACCAGUCCCUGACCCAACAGCCAUCUAUCUUGCCAAAAAAGAGUAGUUUUGCCAUCUCCCACAUUAGAGGCUCAAUGGAGUGGGACUGCAUUGGAAUAGCAGCCCAAGGUUUCGAAGAGUCAGUUUUUUUGCAACCACAACCAUCUUACACGCAAAGCCAAAUUUAAAUACUGAAGAUUGGAAAUACCAAGACCCCCAAGAUCUUUAGGCCGAGUGACAGUGGGCCAUGCCACUAAACAGUGACCCCCGUUGGCAUCCUUACGACCUCUCCAAACAAAACUGCGGCAAAUCUUGUCAAAGGCCUUAAUUGCCCACUUUGGAAGGUCAAGAGCCAAAGCACGGUAAAUAAUGGUGACAGUGAGGGCAGACUGAACUAGGAUGGCCCUACCAGCACUAGUCAUCAAAUUGGCCUUCCAACCAGGAAGGAGGUCAGCUAGUUUGUCAAUUAUGGGUUGCAAUUGAGCCUUACUGAGCUUCUUAGGGGUAAGAGGUAAACCCAAGUACAUGGAUGGAAACACAUUCAAACCGCUAUGAAAACAUUCCUGGACCGUCUAGAGAUGAGCAGGAGAACACUGAAUCGGCACCACUCUACUCUUCUGAAUGUUGGUUUUCAAACCAGUAGCAUCUCCAAAAAGAUCCAAAAUCUGAGCAACAAUAUUAAGGUCACUAGUGAUGGAAUAAGUCUUGAGCAUCUAGAGGACAGCCUGCUUUUGACUGUCCUCUGUAGUCCUUUAGCAUCUAGAGGACAGCUUGACUGUCCUCUGUAGUCUCUUUAGCAUCUAGAGGACAGCAGUCGCUUUUUGACUGUCCUCUGUAGUCGCUUUAGCAUCUAUAGGACAGCAGUCGCUUUUGACUGUCCUCUGUAGUCUCUUUAGCAUCUAGAGGACAAUCCUGUUGUAUAGUGUGUGUGAGAAGGUGUGGUAGUGCAGCCCCUAGGGCUAUAAAUAUGUGUCCCCAACCCCUCUAAGGGUAUGACAUUGUGUAGUGUUUGAAGAAAUAAACAGAAAAUUGCCCCAACUCAUAGUGUCAUCCUCUGAUGAGAGUUAGAGUCCCUCUACUUACAAUUGGUAUCAGAGGCAAACUAUCCUGCAGCCUAAACAUCUCGUGCUCAUCUCCUUCCCGUGCCUCUCCCCACACUCAGUCGGCAGCAAGAGCUUCAACUGUUCCUUCCUCCCCUGCUCAGACGAGCAGCCUUUCGUCUGAGACAGCCUCUUCCACACGCAGCGACCCCUCACUAGCCCACCAUGUCCCUACGCUCGGCCACUUCGAGUGCGCGGCGCCAGCAGGAGGCCGAGGUCGCCGCGGCACAAGAACGCGAGCGAGCAGCAGCGGCGGCUGCAGCGACAGCGGCGAGGGCAGCACGGUUGGCGGCGGCGGAACUGGCAGCGGCGAGAGCGGAAGUAGAAGCAGCGGAGGCGGCGGAUGCUGCACGUGCGGCGGCAACAGAGCUCGAGGUUCUGCGCGGCAGUAGAGCUGGCAGCUCUGCUUCUGUCGACGACAACACCGACGACGAGCUCAGGCUGGCGAGGGAAGCAGCGCGAGAGCAGGCGGCACAGUGGGCAGCCGCGCAUCCCCAUGGGGGCGCGCGUGGCGGCAGCCCGGAUAGGCGUCGACACGCUGACGGCGCUCCAGGCGGGGGCGCACGCGGCGGCAGCCCAGACGGGCGUAGACGCGCCGGCGGUGCUCCCGGCGGCGGCGACCGAGUCGACGGAGAUCGCGGCCUCUACAGGCGGCGCGGUUCUCCCUCCCCGGAUCGGUACCAUGGUCGCCGCAUGGCCCAAGCCAUUGUCAGGGACAUCGGUGCCGGCGGUGGGUGGCCUACCCUCACCAAGACCAACUACGUCGAGUGGGCCGCUGUGAUGAGGGUACGGCUCCAGGUUCGCCACAUGUGGGAAGCAGUUCGUUACGACGACGUCGACUACCACGAGGAUCGGCGGGCGCUGGAUGCCCUCAUUGCUGCAGCCCCGCCCGAGAUGCAGUUUUCGCUUUCCCAGAAGCGGACUGCCAAGGAGGCCUGGGACGCCAUCGCUGCGACCCGCAUCGGCAGCGAUCGUGCCCGCAAGACCACACUGCAGGCACUUCGCAAGGAGUGGGAGAACCUGGCCUUCAAGCCAGGUGAGGAUGUUGAUGACUUUGCUCUCCGCCUCAACACUCUGUUGCAGAAGAUGGUGCAGUUCGGCGACGACACCUACGAUGAGGAGAGAGCUGUUGAGAAGCUCUUCCGUUGCAUCCCCGAGAAGUACAGGCAGAUUGCUCGCUCGAUCGAGUCUCUGCUAGACCUCUCCACGAUGACGAUCGAAGAGGCGAUUGGUCGCCUCAAGGUGGUCGACGGCGACGAACCACAGGCUCUCUCUGGGCCUAUCACUAUCGGCGGGAAGCUACAUCUCACUCGGGAGCAGUGGGAGGCCUGCCAGGGUGACAAGAAGCAGGGGGAGUCCUCCUCGACACGAGGCCGCAAACGCGGCAAGCCGCGCAAGGCGCGUGGAGGCGCCCAGGCCGGGGCGCGAGGACAUGCUGAGGGUGGUGCACGUGGAGGUGCCCAAGGCGGCGCCGUCGGCAACAAGAAGCCGGCACGAGACGACGGCUGCCACAACUGCGGCAAGCUUGGCCACUGGGCCAGGGAUUGUCGGCAGCCACGACGUGGCCAGGCCAACGUCGCAUAGGCGGAGGCGGAGGAGGAGGCCCUGCUCCUGGCACAUGCAAGCAUCGAGCCAUCUCCAGCGGCACCGGCCGCAGCGGCACUCCUCCACCUUGAUGAGUCGAAAGCACGCGCAUUCCUCGGCGACGGCUCCAACAAGGACAUGAUCGAAGGAUGGUGCCUCGACACCGGCGCCACUCAUCACAUGACCGGCCGACGGGAGUUCUUCACCGAGCUUGACUCUAGCGUCCGAGGCUCCGUCAAGUUUGGGGACGCCUCCGGCGUAGAGAUCAAGGGCGCCGGCUCAGUCGUCUUCACCGCCGCGUCUGGUGAGCACAGGCUGCUCACCGGAGUCUACUACAUCCCCGCGUUGAGGAACUCUAUCAUCAGCUUGGGACAGCUGGAUGAGAACGGUUCGCGCGUGGAGGUCGAGCACGGAGUCAUGAGGAUCUGGGAUCCCUCUCGUCGCCUUCUUGCCAAGGUACGCAGGAGUGCAAAUCGGCUUUACAUCCUCAAUGUGAAGGUGGCACAACCUUGCUGCCUUGCUGCUCGUCGAGACGACGGGGCAUGGCAGUGGCACGAGCGCUUCGGGCACCUUAACUUCGAAGCCCUGAAGCGGCUCAGCGCCAAGGAGAUGGUACGAGGCCUGCCGUGCCUUGACCAUGUGGAGCAAUUCUGCGAUGUCUGCGUGUUGACAAAGCAGAGACGACUCCCCUUUCCCCAGCAGUCGAGCUUCCGAGCCAAGGAGAGGCUCGAGCUCGUGCAUGGGGACUUGUGUGGCCCGGUGACACCAGCCACACCAGGAGGACGACGCUACUUCUUGCUGCUCGUCGACGAUCUCUCCCGCUACAUGUGGGUGAUGAUCCUUGGCAGCAAGGGAGAGGCUGCGAACGCCAUCAGGCGUGUGCAGGUCGCUGCGGAGGCGGAGUGCGGCCGCAAGCUGCGCGUGCUGCGCACCGACAACGGCGGCGAAUUCACGGCGGCUGAGUUCGCGUCGUACUGCGCGGAUGAGGGCGUUCAGCGCCACUACUCCGCGCCGUACAGCCCGCAGCAGAACGGCGUCGUCGAGCGGCGCAACCAGACGGUUGUGGGGAUGGCUCGGGCUCUCCUCAAGCAGAGAGGAAUGCCAGCUGUCUUCUGGGGAGAGGCGGUGGUGACAUCGGUUUACAUCCUCAACCGCUCGCCCACCAAGGCUCUCAACGGGAUGACACCGUACGAGGCUUGGCAUGGGCGCAAGCCGGCGGUCUCUCACCUACGGGUCUUCGGCUGCCUCGCGUUCACCAAGGAGCUUGGCCACAUCAGCAAGCUCGACGAUAGGAGCACCCCGGGGGUGUUCAUUGGCUACGCGGAGGGCUCGAAGGCCUACCACAUCCUUGACCCAAGAACACAGCGUGUGCGCACGGCGCGCGACGUAGUGUUCGACGAAGGGCGAGGAUGGGCGUGGGACAAGGCGGUGGACGACGGCACGACUCCGACGUACGACUUCACCAUCGAGUACGUCCACUUUGAGGGAGCUGGGGGAGUAGGCAACUCUUCUCCGAGCAGGUCUACCCCAGCCCCCAAGUCUCCACCGCCUCCAGCGCCACACUCUCCAGCUCCUGCUACAACGAGCUCUUCACCACCACGCACUCCAGCCACGACUCCGGCUACAGCGAGCUCUUCGCCACCACGUACUCCAGCACCGACGGUACCCUCUCCGGGAACGUCCUCUCCGACACCAGCUCGUGUCGAGCACGACCCAGUGGAGCUCGUGACCCCUCUGUCCCGCGACGAGGAGCGCGUCGACGCGUGCUACGACGGUGAGCCGUUGCGGUAUCGAAGGGUGGAGGGCCUUCUCAUCGACCCGUCGGUGCCAGGCCCUGCAUCUCGCAUUCUGGCAGGAGAGUUGCAUCUUGCAUGCGACGAUGGUGAGCCUCGGUCUUUCGCGGAGGCCGAGAAACAUGCGGCUUGGCGUGCCGCGAUGCAGUCGGAGAUGGACGCGGUUGAGACGAACCGCACUUGGGAGCUCGCUGAUCUCCCUCAUGGUCAUCGCGCGAUCACCCUUAAGUGGGUGUUCAAACUGAAGAGGGAUGAAGCCGGCGCCAUCGUCAAGCAUAAGGCUCGCUUGGUGGCACGCGGUUUCUUGCAGCAGGAGGGGAUCGACUUCGACGAUGCCUUCGCCCCUGUAGCACGGAUGGAAUCCGUGCGAGUCCUCCUCGCGCUGGCAGCCCUGAAGGGCUGGCAUGUUCAUCACAUGGAUGUCAAGUCGGCGUUUCUUAACGGCGACUUAAAGGAGGAGGUCUAUGUACACCAGCCGCCAGGUUUUGCGAUCCCUGGCAAGGAGGGCAAGGUGUUGCGCCUGCGCAAGGCUCUUUACGGCUUGCGACAGGCACCAAGGGCGUGGAAUGCCAAGCUGGAUUCCACGCUCAAGAGGAUGGGCUUCAUGCCAAGCCCGCACGAGGCGGCCAUCUAUCGGCGGGGCAAUGGAGAAAAUGCACUGCUGGUGGGUGUCUACGUCGACGACUUGGUGAUCACCGGCGCCAAGGAUGCAGAGGUGGCAGCGUUCAAGGAAGAGAUGAAGGCCACCUUCCAAAUGAGUGACCUGGGGCAUCUCUCCUUCUACCUGGGGAUUGAGGUGCACCAGGGAGACUCCGGGAUCACACUUCGCCAGACCGCCUACGCCAAGCGCAUCGUUGAGCUGGCUGGGCUCAUCGACUGCAACCCAGCUCUCACUCCGAUGGAGGAGAGGCUGAAGCUGAGUCGCGACAGCACGACGGAGGAGGUGGAUGCUACACAGUACCGGCGUCUUGUGGGGAGCCUUCGCUACCUCGUCCACACACGGCCUGACUUGGCAUACUCCGUCGGCUACGUUAGUCGGUUUCUGCAGCGACCGACGACGGAGCAUGAGCAGGCUGUGAAGAGGAUCAUCCGCUAUGUUGCGGGGACUCUCGACCACGGUCUCUACUACCCGAGGUGCCCUGGGGAGGCACACCUUGUCGGGUACAGCGAUAGCGACCACGCCGGCGACAUCGACACCAGCAAGAGCACAAGCGGGAUCCUCUUCUUCCUCGGCAAGUGCCCCAUCAGCUGGCAGUCGGUCAAGCAGCAGGUGGUGGCCAUGUCCAGCUGCGAGGCCGAGUACAUAGCGGCGUCCACUGCUUCGACUCAGGCUCUCUGGCUGGCUCGACUGCUCGGUGAUCUCCUCGGGAGAGACACUGGAGCGGUGGAACUCAGGGUGGACAGCCAGUCCGCUCUGGCAUUGGCCAAGAACCCCGUGUUCCAUGAACGGAGCAAGCACAUCCGGCUAAGAUACCACUUCAUCCGAGACUGCUUGGCAGAAGGGAGCAUCAAGGCGCGCUACAUCAACACCAAGGAUCAGCUUGCAGACCUGCUCACCAAGCCCCUUGGGAAGAUCAAGUUUGUUGAGCUUUGCUCCAGGUCCGGGAUGGCCCAACUUUCUCACAAGACGACACCCAAGACUUAGGGGGAGAAUGAUGGAAUAAGUCUUGAGCAUCUAGAGGACAGCCUGCUUUUGACUGUCCUCUGUAGUCCUUUAGCAUCUAGAGGACAGCUUGACUGUCCUCUGUAGUCUCUUUAGCAUCUAGAGGACAGCAGUCGCUUUUUGACUGUCCUCUGUAGUCGCUUUAGCAUCUAUAGGACAGCAGUCGCUUUUGACUGUCCUCUGUAGUCUCUUUAGCAUCUAGAGGACAAUCCUGUUGUAUAGUGUGUGUGAGAAGGUGUGGUAGUGCAGCCCCUAGGGCUAUAAAUAUGUGUCCCCAACCCCUCUAAGGGUAUGGCAUUGUGUAGUGUUUGAAGAAAUAAACAGAAAAUUGCCCCAACUCAUAGUGUCAUCCUCUGAUGAGAGUUAGAGUCCCUCUACUUACAACUAGCCACUGGUCUUAGAAAGAGUACCAUGUCAUCAGCAUAUAGAGAGAUUCAAUGCUUGAUAGAAUCCAAAGAUAGAGGUUGGAGUAGACCAUCAUCCGCUGCCUUGACAAUAAGCGCAUUGAGAAUGUCCAUGACCAGCACAAACAGUAAUGGGGACAAAGGGUCCCCCUGCCGCAGCCCUCUCCUAUGGGUAAUGAAAUCACCAGGCACCCCAUUGAGGAUCUGAGUAGAUGAUGUCAUGAGCAGCCUACUAAGCACAUCGCGCCAUAUAGGCCCAAAACCAAGCCUCUCCAGCACCUCUAGAAGAAAAGGCCAGGAAACAGAAUCAAAUGCUUUAGAAAUGUCCAAUUUGAGUAAAAUCCUUGGAUGUUUCUGAGAAAGGAGGAAUCUAGUUGUUCGUUGAACCAGCAUGAAAUUAUCUAGGAUGAAGCGCCCUUUGAUGAAAGCACUUUUUUGGAUAUCAGUUUCUCCAUGUAAUUUUGUAGCCUGUUAGCAAGCACCUUGGUAAGUAGCUUGGCAAAACUAUGAAUGAGGCUAAUAGAUCUAAAAUCCUUAGCAAAAACAGCUCCAUCCUGCUUAGGCAAAAGAGCAAUAAAGGCUGUAUUAAGAAAUCUGAGAUUUCUAAAAUCUUUCCUCCAAAUAGCAGCCACUGCAGACAUAAUAUCAUCCUUAAUAAUAGGCCAACAAACUUUAUAGAUUGACCCCUAAAACCAUCCGGACCGGGAGCCUUGUCGGAGGGUAAUUGCUAAUGGUAUUCCAUACCUCUGUCGGAGGGUACAAAUGUCCCAUAUUUAUUUUUUACUUGACUCAAAGAAUUUUCCAAAAGAAUAACAAUCGUUCAGUCAAGAAAAAAUAAAUAUGGGACAUUUGUACAAGAGCGCCACUGAAAUAAUCAGUAAAUUGUUAGUGUUUUAAUUGAUGUUUGUGUCCAUUCAAGGCACAUAUUAUGGUUAGGGGCUGGCAGUACUAAUUUUAAUGAAAAGACAGGAGCUCUGCCACUCAAUUAAAGAAGUUCAUACAACAACACACUGUACUCUUACAACCGCACAACAGCCGAUCCAGUAGCCCUUAAGACACAAAUCGUUGCCAAGAUUUCGUGCAAAAGCAACAAAACAGAGUGAACACAAACCGUUGCCAAGACUCCGUGCAAAAGAACAAAACAGAGUGGAUUCUUCAUGACAAACCUUAGCCCCUGCUACCAAGACACAGCCACCUGCACACAACUGGAUUCACCAAACACACCUAGAAAGAGGCUACCACAUGUCAUCGUCACCAAGCUUCAUCAUGCCCCCAACCAAACAGGCCGGACUCCAUAUCAACAGGGCGCCAAGAUAGAAGCAGCACCAAGAAGGCAUACCUGUUCGCUCAGUUUUAAUCCGUACCGGCUUCUGCUGAGUGUUUUUGUCUCUAUAGAUUAAAGCCGCAGCAGUCCAAACAACCGGCCGGCUUGAAUCCAAAGCGAACCGGCAUGCACACCAAGUUUAGCAGGGUCACACUAACGGAGUCCACCGGUCGUCAUUGCCAAGCUCCACACGUAAGUGAAGAGCAGCUCUGACUUCCAACGAUGAACCUCAGCUCAAACCAAGGUUGCCGAUCCCUCACCCAUAGCAACCACAUUGUCACUAGCAAGAACAGGCAUAUUGUGUCAUUGUUGCCGAGCCACAUCACAUCCCAACGACGCAACAACUCUGGCUUUACAAACACGCCCAAACCAUGAGGACCAAAUGGAUGAGAGUGAACCGGCGCUGAGCACAGUGAACGCCAAUGGCGAGCUCUGGCAAGACAUGAACGUGGAGAGUGGAAGUGGAUUGGUGCUGCGAAAGACAGUGCAGCUUUUCUGUUUUUUUAUUGCAGUAUUUAAAGGAUGCUAAGUCUAAACACGACCUUCUGAACUCACGCCACUCAACAGGUGGUGGCGGACUAAACGCGUGCCAUGCGCACGGCGUGCGCAGCGCGUAGUCCGCUCUGUAUGAACUGGGCAUGCAUCGAGCUCAAACGGAUAGCAAACAGAAUGACUUGACAAACUAACUGACUUAAAACUAAGUGGAUCACAGGGCUUUAUCUAACAAUCUCCUCCUAAAACCUGUGGCACUUUUACUUUAUUUCUUGAACCCCGAUCUUUGAUCGAAGUUCUUCAAAUUUUAUAACCGCCAGGGACUUGGUGAAAAUAUCCCCAAGCUGCUCCUCUGUUCGGAUGUAGUCGACUCUGAUCAAACCAUGGUCUGCACACUCCUGGAUGUAAUGGAAUCUAAUCUCAAUGUGCUUACUCCUGUCAUGUAAAACUGGAUUAUUGAUCAGAUCGUAGUUUUAUUAUCUACCAACAGCAGAGGUGGAACACCCGCUUUCCCAAGCAGCUCCUCCAUCAGCCUUGCUAGCCAAACACCUUGAGUUGCUGCCAUGGAAGCAGCAAUGUACUCUGCUACACAUGAAGACAGAGCCACUACCCUUUGCUUGGUUGACUAGUAAACCAUGCUGCUGGUGCUCUUGCGGUCUUCAACAUCUCCAGCUAUAUCGCUGUCAAUGUAUCCAAUAACCUCCGGCCUCUGUUUUCCUCUCCCUGCGCCAUACCAGACGUCCAAUUCACAGUUCCAGCCACAUGCCGCAAGAUGUGUUUCACUGCAACUAAGUGUUCUUCUCUGGGUGCCUCCAUAAAAUGACUCACAUAUACCAGAGUAAGCAAGAUCAGGCCAGGUGUUUACCAGAUAUCUGAGACUCCUGACGAUGCUGCUGUAGUUGGUUGUGUCGGCUGCCAGAGUUGUACCAGUCUUUCUGAGCCGAAGUUAAACAUCAGUUUAAUACCCAAUAUCUAAGUUCAUAUUUGGUGCCAAAGUAGGAAUCAACAAUGCUUGUUCCUGAACCCAUUUCAUAAGUGCUUUACUUUAGCUUCUCAAAACUAAACCAUGGGAAGAUUAAUAUUUGUUAGAUUAUGAUAUGGCGCCGGGGACUCUUCAGAGGUGAGUAGAGAAGGAGGCGAGCUUGAGGGUUGGAACG
rnacentral:lncRNA from 1 species